UUUUGUUUUUUUGUUUCCAUUUUUUUCUUUUUAAUUUUUAAAGCCUAAAAACCUGGACCGUUGAUAUGGAAAUCAACGGUCUAGAUUCAAAGGUAACUGCAUGGCGUUGACAUGCGGGUCCCAACAUCUGAAAACACGUAGGAGACGUGCCCCGACACGCGCAUGUUAUGCACGUGUUUGAUGUAAAAAUUUUUAUAACGUGGCUAAUGUCAACCUUGCAUUAAUCCCCCUCAUACGCUCAGGCUUGGACUCCUGCCCUCUCCCACAGGCUCCCCCUUUAAGCCCAAUUGCCUGAAUGGGCUGGAGCUAGUUUGGGAGGGGAUUGGGUUGGUUUAGUUCCCUGUCCACAGGCUAAACCCAAAGCUAGAUUUCCUCUUAGCCAUCACUUCUAUCCCAUUGUUAUGAUUUGAUUUAAAUCCCAAAAUAUGUUAAAUGACGAAAGUACCCUUAGUUAUAUAUAAUCAAGAAAAAUGUGAUUGGACAAAGGAGAGGAAAAGGGCACAGAAUUUUGCAAACAAGGGCAGCCCAAGCAGUUGAAAACCAAAACCAAAUCAAAUCGACAGCCAAACCUAAAACCCCAAUCUCUCUAUCUCUUUCUCUCUCCUCCUCGACCCAGUUUCUCUCUCCUCAAUUUUGGCACAAGACCUCCUUCUUCUUCUUCAGCAGCUGAAGUACAGUCUUCCAGGCCUGCAAUUUUCCAAUUUUGCCCUUCAAUUUCAAAUCUUGAAUCCCCCAGAACAAAACCCUUGUCCAUUUUUGUUCAGACAUGCCCAUCCCGAACCGAUAACGCAGAGGAAGGAACCCACCCAAACCCAAAACGCCGCCGUUUACCAAGAUGAUCGUGAGAACGUACGGCCGUCGCAAGGGAGGGGGCAUUCCCAGUACUUAUUCCGACACAGAGCUAAACGACGCCGUUCACGACGACGACGAUGUCGGCAGCGAUCCCUUCGGAUUUUCCCUGUCGCAGCCGCAAGAAAGCAGCGACCCUUUCAAUUUCUCGUCUCAGGAGGACUCGUCUUCCGGGUGGGCCCAUUUCGAUUCGGACCCCUACGUCACCAAGGACGACUCCUUGAAGCGCUUUCCGCUGGACGGCGUCGUCGCGGGGCGUUCCAAGAAAGCCAAGACUCGGAAGGAGGUGGUGGGAAAGAACUCCUGCAGGCCGCCACUGCCGCCGUCAAUUCUUGCGACUUCGACUUUGAUGGAGGCCCAGGAGUUUGGAGAGAUGAUGGAGCACGUGGACGAGGUCAAUUUCGCUUUGGAUGGGCUCCGGAAGGGUCAGCCGGUUCGGAUCAGAAGGGCUAGCUUGCUCUCAUUGCUGUCUAUUUGUGGGACGGCGCAGCAGAGGCGGCUUCUCAGGACUCAGGGGUAAGUUAGGCCGACUUUAAACUACUUCUUCAUUGGUUCUUGGAUAUAAAAAUCCAAUUUUUGAAAUGGGGUUUUGUGAAAUAUCAAGAAUUUCUUGGUGGGGAAUUGGAAAUGUUAGUUUUAAGUCCUUUUUUUCUCAUGGAUAUUUGAAUUUUGGGUAUGUGAGGGUUUGGAAUUAUAAGUAGUUCUUGAUAGGUAUGUGGAUUUGGAGAGUGUGGUGGUGUGUAUUUUAAGUAAACCUUGAUUGCAUUUCGAGUUUACAACUUUACAUUGAGGUUUUGGAGAUCUGUGGUUAGAGAUGCAUGGUUUUUAUUCGAAUUUUGUUUACUGGUAUGUGGAUGCCUAGCUGUGUUGAAUGUAUCCGAGGUUACAUGAUAGUGCAAUAGAAAAUUUGAUUUGACUGCUAAUUUUUCAUUUCAAAUUAUCAAGUGUAUUUGCAUCUUCGUUGGGGGCCAUUUAUUCCCAAUAUUGUGACACUGUGUAAUGAUUGCCUACGAUAUUGUUGUUUAUCAAGUUUUUGCUUACUCCUUGUUUCUAUCAAAAUUGUUGUGUGUUGUUUUAUGGGUUAUAAAUUGAUCGGUAGUCCCUUCGUUUCAGGAUGGCAAAAACAAUAAUAGAGGCUAUAAUGGGUCUCAGCUUUGAUGAUUCACCCAGCAAUCUGGCUGCUGCAACUAUUUUCUAUGUUUUGACAAGUGAUGUAAGUCAUUUAGUAUUCGAAAAGUGAUGAUUCUAACUUGAAGUUUUUAUCAUUAUCAGUACCUUUCAUGAAGUUUUCUUGUGCACGACUCAUGUCUGCUGUGAGUCUGUGAUUUUUCAAGAGCACAUACAAUUAAGUUUAUUUUUUUCUUAGUAGUAAACCUAAGGGAUUGUCAUCUUUCACUUUUGCAGGGUCAGGAUGAUCAUCUUCUGGAAUCACCAAACUGUAUUAAUUUUUUGAUUAGGUUUUGCAAACCAAUUGUCUCAAACACCACUGAAGAUAAAGUACCAAAAAUUGGACGUAAGCUUCUAGCAUUGCGUAUCGGUGCUGACAUCUCUCAGUGUACGACAAAAAGAUUGGACUCCAGCUCUGCCGCUAUCUUUUCCAAAGUUCAAGAAAUUCUUGUAGGUUGCAAGGACUUGAAGCCGAGUUGUGCGGAUGAUGGAGGAAUGGAAAAGCCGGAGUUAUGCCCAAAAUGGAUAGCUUUGCUGACUAUUGAGAAAGCUUGCUUAUCUACUAUUUCUCUUGAAGGUCUGUUUCUGUGUUGAAGCUGAUGGUUUUUUGGUUAUGAUGCACAUUGCUAUGUUUAAUUUAGUCAGGAUCUCAAGCAUUCAUAAGAUUGUAUUUAAUGUUUAAUUUAGGCAUGAGAUUAUGCACAAUGUAGAACACCACAUGGUUGCUUGAACUAUUUCAUUUGUGUUAAAACAUCAACUGUGCAUUAUAAUUUACUAUGUUCUGAUGACUAUGCAAUAGAUUUUCAAAUAAUUCUUCUUUAAUCCUGGGUUGGGAUGAGUAGGUAACUAUCAUGUUUUGUUUUGUUUUACAUCCUUAUUAUUUUUCAUUUUCGUCCUUUUAUUUAUUCCUGAUUGUUUUGUUUGUCUUCGCCUGCACUUUCAGAAACCACUGGCGCAGUAAGGAAGUUGGGGUGCAACUUUAAGGAAAAAUUACGAGAGCUUGGAGGUCUUGAUGCUGUAUUUGAGGUGACCAUGGGUUGCCAUUCCAAUAUGGAGGUGUGAACCUGUAUGUUUGUUUGAUCUCAUUGUCUGUUUCAUCAUAUCAGAACUUACAUUCUGUGAAAAAAUAAUGCAUGCCAUGGUAAAGAACCAAAAUGAUAGUGAGCAGCCUUACUUGUAUUAGGUUCACAAGUUUCUUCUGUUUCUUCACCUAUAUGCUUCUUUAGUUUAUGAGCAACACUGACUACACAUUAUAGUAAUAAUUGGGCAGUUAUCUAUUUGAUAGCAUCAUCUUCUUUAUUGUUCAUUGUAGUUCCUGAUUUUCUUCUUGGAGUAACAUGAGUGGUUUUGCAUGCUAACAAUAUCACUUCUCAAUCAUGAAUUUAUGGAAUUUAUGUCUGCUUUUGAACAAUUUGUUUAUGGUGGUGCUAUCCACACAUCCCUUUUUACCUCCCACACAACCUUGUUAAAUUCUGUCCUUUGAUAUUCUUCAAUUCAUUCCAUCUGAUGGCCGGAAAUUGAGAGGUGUGUGGAACAUAAAAAGAGGUAUGUGGAUAUAACCACACUUGUUUUAUUUCUUUAUUACAUGCACAUCAUGAAUGUUGAGUUGUGAUAAGUUGGUAACGAACCAUAGUCACGACUCACAAUAUAACUAUUUCCUUAUAUACUUUGUUGGUUUUUCAUUUGAAACCUGGGGUCUAUAUGGUACUCAAUUGUUAUUGGGGAAAUUGCCUUUUUAAGCAGAAGAAACUAAUAUGCAGGGUUGGCUAAAAGAUAGCUCACAUUCUAUUUGGGAAAAGGAAAUCGACAUGGUGCGGAGCCUGGUUCUUCUUUUGAAAUGUUUGAAGAUCAUGGAAAAUGCGACAUUCCUAAGUAAAGAGAAUCAGGUAAUUUUACUGUGAUUUACUCCCUCUCUGUCCCUCCCUCCUCUGUCCGUUGGUCUGUCUGUCUCUGUAUCUCUCUCACGCUUAUCUUCUCCUUUUUAGUUUGUAAAAAUCAUACUGCAUUAUGAUGUUGGAUUAUUGUUAACUAUUGAAAGGGGUAAUAAAUCUCCACAUCCAUGUUUUCUAAACAGAGCCAUUUGCUAGAAAUGAAAAGGAAGUUGGAUCCCAUGGCAAUUCCUAUGUCUUUUACAGAACUUGUUAUAAGUGCCAUCAAUAUUCUAUCAGGUAACUAUUAGUUUUUGGAGUUACGUUUGAUUCUUAAUCUUUUUGGCUUUCUGAUAAUUAAUGGUAUUGUUUUCUAGGGCUUUAUCUACAGGAAAGUUCCUCAUCUGCCUCUAAUGACGAAAAGUCUUAUAGUCUCUCUAAUGGGGUUGAACAUGUUUCUAAGAAGAGAUCUGAUAUAUGUCAGAGCAAUCAGGUAAUGUCAACGCCUUGCUCAGUGUAUACUAUAUCCAGUUCGGAAACUACCAGCACCUCCAUGGCUGAUGCUUAUUCAUUGAAGACAAGACUCAAUUCUUCUAGAAAUGGUUCUUCCAAUGGUGUAUCAAGCCAUGUAAGCAGUGGAAUCAGUAAAUUUAGCAAUCUUACCACGAAGAAUGCUGGUCUCAGACGGCGAUCCUCUAACUUUGACAACUCCAAAAUUGAUCUUUCAGAAGAGAGUCAAGAUCCUUUCGCAUUUAGCGAAGAUUCCAGGAUGGAUGCUGAUCUCAGUCAGAGAUCCUAUAUUUCCCAAGACUCCAAAACUGAUCUUUCACAGGAGAGUCAAGAUCCUUUUGCAUUUGAUGAAAAUGAUUAUAAACCUUCUAAGUGGGACAAGUUAUCUGGCAAGAAAAAGUUCUCUCUUUCGCAGGAGAAUGCGACAGCAUACAGAGAAAUUGAUGACAUUUGUCAAUUGCAGCUUAUUAUGAGCCAAGAAGCAUCAAGUAAUGGAGAAAACCAUCAGACACAAGAGACAACCUGUUCAGGUGCUGUUAGCAGAGAAGGUUCCAGUAUUGUAGCUGACUGCCUUCUUACUGCUGUCAAGGUAAUUCGGCAGUCCACUAUAUUAAACCUUUUUCACAUCACAUUGAACUUUUGUGGCUCUUCCUGUCAAAAUCUAUGCAGUUGAGGAUGGGGCGGUGGUGUUACUGGUGUACAAUGUAGUCUUUUUUGUUCUCUUGAUCAGAUGCAGGGUUUAUUUUUAGAUUCAUUAGUUACUGUUUACUGUUAUCAUGGUCUACUAUCAACUCUCAACUAUGACUUGUUCAGUGAUUUUUCCAGUGUAACUUUUGUGUUUAUUAAUACUCAUCAGCUGUUUGAUGAUUUUGGCUACUCAUAUUAAUGGAAGACCGCCUUUUCAAUGAAUCAAAAUCCCAUCAUCCAUGCAGUGUGUUGGAACACAGAAAAAGCCAUUAAACUGUGCGGACUCAUAAAAAUUUUUCUUGGCAGGUUCUGAUGAACUUAGCAAAUGAUAAUCCUGUUGGGUGUCAGCAAAUUGCUGCCUAUGGAGGACUGGAAACCUUGUCUUCCUUGAUUGCCAACCACUUUCCAUCUUUCAACUCAUUAUCGUCUCCCUUCAGCGAGAGAAGUGAGAAUACUUCCAGCAUUGAACUUGACCAUCAGAAUGAUAAACGUCUCACUGAUCAAGAGCUGGACUUUCUUGUUGCUAUUUUAGGCCUGCUUGUGAACUUAGUGGAGAAAAAUGGCCAAAACAGGUUACUUUCCAUCUCAUUUUUUGUCCAUCUGUUUAUACAUUCUCAUUUUAACAACCGACCUCCAUUUUUUAGCUCAAUUUAUAGUUCAAUCAAGAGAACAAGUUACCACAUUCAAUUUUUUAGCUCAAUUUUUUAGCUCCAAUGAAGUGGUAUCGUUGAGAGAGUGAAAAUGUCUUCCACAUUCUAUUCUUAUAGAGUCCAAAUUGCUUCUUAAUUUGGUGUAUCAGAGAUGCUCCUUUUAAAGUAUCUGGAAUAAUAUGCAUGAAUACAUUACUGUUAGGCCAGUUUUGAAUAAUUGUAUAGAUAGGGUGAGGGGUCUGUACAAGAAUUUGUCCAAUAUUUUUGUUUACAUCUGUGUGGAAAUAAUGGCAGGGUUAUGGAAGGGAAUGCUCCCAUUAAACAACUUGUAGAUACAAAAAAAAUUUAGUCAGUGAAAGUUGCUAUAUUGUAAUCGUAGUGCUUGUGCUGUGGAUUAACUAGUCUUAGUUUCCAAUUCUUUAUAAAUCAUUCUGCCGCAUUAGGACUGUCAUGCUCGUAAAUUUAAGAAACUUGCUUUUCAUCCAGAUCGCGUCUUGCAGCAGCUAGUGUUCACUUACCUAGUUCGGAAGGGUUUAAAGAGGAGAGUCGCAAGGAUCUAAUUCUGCUAAUCUGCUCUAUCUUUCUAGCCAACCAAGGUGCAGGCGAGGGAGGUGGAGAAGAAAUGGUUUUACCAGUGAGUGACAUGUUCUUGUUGACUAUGGAAAUUUCAGUUUUGUUGUUUAAGUUGUGAUUUCUUGAAAACACAAGUGCCUGCCUCCUAAUGAUUUUACCACUUCGCCUUCAGACUGAUGAGGCAGCUGUCUUACAAGGAGAACAGGAAGCAGAGAAAAUGAUAGUAGAAGCUUAUUCUGCCCUGCUUCUAGCGUUUCUUUCAACUGAGAGGUAGGUUUGUUUGCUCUCUUUCCUGUUUAUCAAGCACAUCGUUGUGCGUAUUCUCAUCUGAAUUUGUUUGCUGUCCUCAGUAAGAGCAUACGUGAUGCAAUUUCUGACUGUCUCCCAGACCGCAACCUGGCUAUCCUAGUACCUGUGUUGGACAGAUUUGUGGUAUGUGUAUUAAGUUCUAAACCAUGAUAUAUAUGAUGUUAGAGCUUAACAGAACGAAAUUUGUCGAUGCCAAGUUAUGCUAGAAUUGAAACAUCAAAAAAUUGGUGCACGUAGUUUGUUAACUGACGGAAAGUUAUAGUUGCUCUUAUGUGAUUAUAUAUAUCUAUGAUUUCUUCCUCAGGCAUUCCAUUUGACGCUAAACAUGAUAUCGCCCGAGACGCAUAAAGCUGUGAGCGAAGUAAUUGAAUCAUGUAGGAUACGGUGAGAGCUUGAGAGAUGGACGAGAAUCCUGUACAGAUUUGGCUUUCCUUUUAGAAAAAUGGUUGCUUACCCAUCUCCACGACGCUCACCGAGCCUGGAUUCAGGUGCACGCCAUGUUUAGCUGACUGCAGGCAGGCCUGUUUGCUUUGUAUUUUUUUUAGGUUUUGGUCUUCCUUCCCUCUGUCACGCUAUUCUUUUGUCUCCUUUUUUCUUGUCCCACCAUUUUUAAGUAGGUCAGAGACCAUACUUGUAUACGAAGAAUAAUAGCUUAAUGAAAAUGUCUUGCUUUCCUUGUAAUUAACAUUUAUUCCUUUUGUUUUGCCCAUUAUUUUUUCUUUUGGCUUAAAUGUCAAAAUGGUCAUUGUGGUUUACUCUGUCAACCAAUUUAGUUCCCGUGUUUUCAAUUUGGCCAAAUUGGUCCCUGUUUUUAUAUCUGUUAGCCAAUUCAAGACAUUCCAUUAAAUGACCGGUAAAAUUGACAUAUGUCAAGCACGUGAGAGGACAAAAACAUAAUACGGUGCCUAUCUUUAGAAAUUCAUGUUUCAUUUGAUUCACUUGAGUAUUAUGUGAUUUACGACAUGUCAAUUUUAAUUGUCUUUUAAUAGAUUGUCUUGAAUUUGGUAACAGAUGUAAACCCAGAGACCAAAUUGGCCAAAUUGAAAAUACAAGGACAAAUUAGCCAACAGGUAGAACACAAAACAUUUUGAUAUUUAAGCCUUUUCUUUUUGUCGUCCCAAUAAUAAGUAUAAUGUUAUCUAAAUCCUGCGGUCUACGAAAAUUGUGGUCACUCACCAUUUGUGGUCUCAAUCUAAUUGUAGGUGGCCAUUUAAUUUUUAUUAUUGUAUUUUCGCUUUCGCAGCUGAAUUAAGAUCGGCUCCACUUUGCAUCGUUAACAUUAAUUCCGAAACGCUUGGGUUUAUAAGUAGGACUUCUCAAAUUGUACAAGAACUUAAAUUCAGUGACUUUAUGUGGACCUUAAUUUAACCAAAUUGGCUAGAGUUGUGUGCUUCAAUUCUCCGAGUUGGGUUUAUAAGGAUGGAACGAGAAACAUUACAAGCCGCAAGAGAAUUACAAAGUUUGCCUUCUGCAUAAGAUUUCAUCUCUGGCCAUCUUCAAGCAAAGCAUCAGUGUUCGAAAUGUGCUUUCGGAGGAAGGUGAGGAUCAGCUGAUUGACCUCGUCAGGCAACUGUUCUUGAACAAAAUGCGUUCCUUGGGGAAGAAAUACAAUCUCUGAAUUAGGGGCAAACUCUUUGACCUUUCCACUGUUUAUGUAAUCCUCUAUCCCUGGAAAUUUGUUCGAAUAAUCCUUGCCUCCCCGUAUAAGAAGUGCCGGAGCUUUAACUACUGGAUCUGAUACAGCUUGGUAGAAUGCUAGGUGCGAUCGUUCGUUUCACAUUAGUUAGUUUUCAUCAACAGUUAAAGAGUAUGUGACAGCAUAAACCACUUGAUCAACUGCAUUACCUGUAUGGAACUUGCAGCGCUGUUCCGAAACCUGAUUUCUCAUACAAAGCUCCAUAUGCUGCAAGAUCUUGCUCACUGAACCAAGGGGGAAGAGGCGUAGAUGGAUCCACGAGGUCCAUAAUCUCCUGGUCUUCUGCAGCUAUUGGUAUUUCGCUUCUGGAGAACAGGAUGUAAACAUUACGAACAACUGUUUUUGCAUCAAGGCGCCCAAAAUCAGCCUCUGCCCGUCCAGGUUCCUGCAACAGAGGUAACAGUUAGUUGCAAAACUCGCAAGCAAAUCAUGCUUGCAAAAGUAUAGAACAUAUAACAAGGUAAAUGCACACCUGCCAUCUUGAAAUGUAGAGACCUUCUCGGAGAGAUUUAUCGAUUCUACGAGGGCCUGGUGACAUGAUUGGCGCUCCCAUUGUUACAACGCCUAAGACCCUCUCCGCGUGCAGAAGGGAAAAUAAUGUCGCCACCCCAACUCCAAAAUCUUUUGCAAUUAGGAAAACCUAUGCAUAUUUGAAUACAAUUUUUAGAGCCUUAAAUCUUGAAUACAGUUACCAACUAGCUCUUAUGUGUAGUGAUACUACGGAUCCCUACUCCAAUUACAACAACAAAGCUUUAUUCCACUAAGUGGAGUUGGCUGUAUGAAUCCUAGUACGCCACUCCCCUUGGUUUUGCAUCAAGUCUUCCGUUAGUUGUACUCUCCAUAUCUUUUUUUAGAGUCUCUUUUCAAAUCUUCCUAGGUCUUCCUCACCCUUGUCUCAUAAGCACAUCUUCUAAUCAGAGCAUCCAUGCUCCUAUAGGUCUUUGUUUCACGUGUCAAAUUCACCUUAACCGAUUUUCUCACAUCUUAUCUUCAAUUACAGCCACUCCUAUUUUACCUUAGAUAAUCUCGUUUUUAAUCCUAUUCUUUCACAUAUGCUCCCUUCAAUUACUAAAUUUAAAAAGAAAAAAAAGAAUCCAUUAACAAUGAAUUAACUUUCUUUUGAACAAAUUAGUACUAAUGACAAGAAAUAUUUUGGAGAUGCCACUGCAAUCGCAUUCGAAACUAAUUAUUUGCCGACAUGCAUAACAAUGACAUCUUGUUGUCCGUAAGUUUGUUUUAACUUCUACCAAAACAAAAGGGAGAAAGACUUGUGUAAUUAAGCAAAUUAAUCGGAAUUAAUAAUUAGGGAGAAGAAUCCGGAGACAAGGAUUCUUUCAAACAAGUACCUUGGGAAUAGCAAGGAAAUCAAGAAUUCCAAGGAUGUCACUGGCGAGGUCACGGUACGAGGUCUUCUCGGAUUGGGGAGGCGGGUCGGAUAGUCCGUAUCCGCGGUAGUCGGGAGCGAUGGCCCGGAAGCCGGCGUCGGCUACCGCAAUCAUCUGGUGCCGCCACGAGUACCAAAUUUCCGGGAAACCGUGCAGGAACACGACCACAUUGGAGCCUAUGAAAAACAAAAAAAAAAAGAAGACGGCGAUCGAUCGAUUGCGUUUGUGUUCGAUUUUAUUAAAAAUAAUAAAUGGUGUGCGCGAGAGGAAGUGGGGAGGAAGAUAAUCUGACCUGUUCCGAUGUCGGCGACGUGGAGCUUGAGGCCUUGUACGGUUAUGUACUUGUGCCGGAUUUGCUCCAUUUCAGGUGGUUUUUCAGACAAGACAGUGUGUACGAAAAAGACAAGACAAAUUAAUGAAAGAGAAAAUACCAGUCAGUUGACGUUGACUGUUUAUCCAAAACGACAUGUCGCUUUCACGCAGUAUCUGAAAAACUAAAAAAAGCGGCUGCUUUUCUCGCACAAGACUGACAUACCCUGAUCUCGCGCGCGGCAGACCGAAUUGACUCAGCGAGUUUACGAUCGCCUGAAAAAGGCGGGAUCUUUUCAAAUUUUACAAGCCCUUUAAAUGCCUCGACUCUCUUGCUUUUGUCCGGCGAGUUGGUUAUCCGAAUAUAUCUAACCAGCGAAACCCUCAGAUUUUUGAAUAUUUUCAGGUGACGUAUUAAUUUGAUUUAAUAUUAUCCUUUUGUUCGAGUACCGGAAAUUUAAGUAUUAAAACGGGUGAAAACUAAAUACCCUUUUGGGUUUUGAGCAAGUUUUGCUGUAAUUUGAAGAGAUUAAGACAUACAGGAAGGGACAGCAGAUAAUGGCAGAGUUAGAAAAUUUGCUAUUGGAGGCUGCAGGAAGAACGAGUUCAUCAGGGAAACCGAACUCAUUUGUCUACUCAGCCGCAACUGUGAAGCAGAUGAUACUAUGUGUCAAAGUCCGGUGGACAAAAAGGGGAGGCAGAGGCAAUUGAAGAGGCUGAUGGAGCCUUGACAGCAGUGGUGGGAGCAGUACGGGCUGGUAUGGCAGCUACUGCGCCGGCUCUGGAAGCUGCAGCUGGCGUCAGAGUCCCAGAGAAUGACGGGUGGAAGCAUGCACUGACACUUACAGUUAGCGACUACAAGAGAAGAAGAGGGCUUCUCUGAAAUGCGCUCGAGCCCGAAGAACAGCCACAGAGGCAAUAUAGACACCAUCUCCACCAACAAACUGAACAGGUGGUGCUGGUCUUCAAAGGUAAAAGCUUUAGAUUACUUGGAAGUUAAAGCUACAAUUACACUUGCUUCGAGCAGCAAGUGUGAUGGCAUGUUGGGGUAUUUUGCGUUAUCGGACGUCUGUAUAACGAGCAUUGAUUCCUAAUUUUGAAUAAAACAUGGCGUGUUUGAUUUGUUCAAAGAGAAAUCACAAAAUGCGGCUUGUGGGACUUGAUAUGCAGAACCUUAAUAAGAUUCCAGUUGUUUCGAUAAUAAGUCAUAAGUUUAUACAAUUUCUAUUCGACCAAAACUUAAAAAUGUAUUGACCACCACCGCAACAGUUGAAAAUAAAAAGGUAUUAACCACACUAAGUGAAGUGCAUUUUUAAAGAAAUAAUAUAACCACACUAAGUGAAAGCUGAUCCGUCUCUGUACUCAGUCAAAUACUGGCAUCAAACCUCAAUCUCUAAUGGCUCUAUGAUAAAUGAUCGUCAGCUUCGUCCUUGUCGUCAUCAUCAUCAUGAUCGGCAUGAUCAUCAACAUCGUCAUCUUCAUGAUCGGCAUGAUCGGCAUGAUCAUCAUCAUCAUUGAUAGAAAAUUUGUUGAUGGCCUCACAUCAUAAGGGAUGGAACCGUAAUCAAUAGACGAAAAGCUGAAGUUAAUACGUUUGUCAGAUACUAAGACGUACCCCUGUUUUCUCCACCCCGAUGAACCCAGUCUCAGUGUCUCGGGCUUGUACAAUAACAUGGACGGAGUCGCCGCCUUCCAAUUUGAAGUCGUUGUUUGAGAAAUGUCCCAUCCAAAGGUAUUCUUCCAAAGCGAGCAGGCGGGUAGAAAUCGGAUACAUGGGCAUGAAUGCAAGUGCACUUGGUAUGAUUAACAACAGAAACGGAAUAUGUCAAAGGAGAGUUCAACUGAUAAGGACGACAAGAGAAGCACACAGCCAACGCUUUUAAAUUAUAACCGAUUUCAUGAGGCACUUGAAAACAGACUCGGUCACCCUUCUUGUUGACAUUAUUGAACCAAGUCGGAAUAUGAUUUGCUCGAAGAUAAAUAUAUCCAGUACCAGUCCAUCCCUAUAGCAUGUUCAACAAGAUUUGUAUAAGGUACAUGGCAUUGAGAGAGAGAGAGAGAGAGAGAGAGAGAGAGAGAGAGAGAGAACCUGUAGUGUGCUAUCCUUGAAUAGGAAUUCAGUGAUUCUGUUGUGCGCUCGCAUGCCAAGUAUCAUACCCGUGUUUAACGCCCUGUCCAAGCCCUGAAACUCAAUGAGAUUGGAGGAACCAUCCUAGAGCCACAACUCUCGGCCAUCCUGAUAAAUUUGGCCAUUCUUUCUAGUGAAGUGCAGUCAUUCAUACUCAAGGAGACUUCAAAUUUGGUGGUAAAUCAUCAGUGAUUUCAACCAGGUCUUCGCAACCAUUCAAGCUUAGUCUUUGAAGCCUGGAGAGGCUACUGAAGCUUGGAAGGCUAUGGAAACCAUUGCGGUCCAGAAGUAAUGAUACCAAAGAAGAUAGACUGCUGAUAUCGUUAGGAAUUUCCUUUAAAUUGCCGCCACUAAGAUCUAAUUCUCUUAAUGCGUGCAUGCCCAUUAACGAAGGUGGUAACUUCAAAGACGACCUCAUGUUACGCAGAGAUAAGGACUCAAGCUUCUCCAGUAGUCCGAUGGAAGAUGGUACUUCUGUUAUGGCCGUCUCAUCUGCAACAAGGGUUGUCAAGGAUGACAUUUUUCCCAAGUCCUCAGACAAGUUUUUGAAUCUUGAACAACCUUUAAGAACAAGAAUUUUAGCAGAUUUCAACUUAUAAAAAGUCCUGGGGAGAUUCCUUAAGCAUUUUCGCAGCCUUCCAAAUUUACCAAAGCAAGACUCUUCAGAUCUCCAAUCGAUUCGUGAACAUUAGACAAUCUCUUACAACCUUUGAGUAUCAAUUUCUCAAGAUUUGGGAGUUUUGAAAAGUCCGGCGAUCGUGUUAGGUCAUGGGAAUGGCUGAGAUUUAGAAUCUUCAACUUGUCAAGCAACUGUUAGACAAAACCAAAUUAAAAAUCAAAAUCCAAAAAGAAGAUAAAGAGAGCAUGAUGUUUUGCACAGUACCAGAAGGAAAAAAAAUAUUAAUUUGGUUGAGGUUACUUGGUACUUACCCCGGAUUCUUCACAAAGAACUUGUCUGAGGCUGCUAUAUCUCAUGUCAAUAGCAACUAUAUUUGGUUGACACAAGUCUUUUGGUAUGAACUUUAGAGGGAAUCCACGCCAGCACAACCAUUUUAAUUUUUUGGAAAGACAUUGAUAUCCUCCUGUGAGCUGAAUGUACUUGAGUUGGAGCAAUCUGAGUCUCUUCAUAUUUGUAAAUGCCUCAGUGCUGAAACUACCCUCCUUCAUCAAGACUCGGCAAAUUCAAAGACAGUCCUUCAAUUUCUUCAGUUCCCUGCUAACCAAAAACAGGCUCGAAAUAUGAGAAGGUUUUGCAUGCAAAAAAGUUCGAUUGCUUACGUACACAUAUAUGAUUCUCUUCUAUUCCUUACGCAUUUAACAUAAAGUUCAAUUCGGUAAAGUACUUACAGAAUUGUCUAUCAAUAAAGCUUUUACAUCUUCAGGACGCCACAACCUACUCCGUUUUUCAGGAUACUUAGGAUUUUCUGCACGCACGAUUUCUCUUCCCAUGUCCCGAAGCAAAUCGUGCAUCAUUAGCUUGUUUUUUCUAUUAACAGUUACAAGGCACCGUUCCAUGGAGGACCUCGAUUCCUGCCGUUGCAGAAAAGCCACAACCAUCCAAGAUCUGCAUGACAUCAUUCUUUGUCCAUCCCAAUAAAGAAACAAGAUAUAUCGCAGAAUAUCUCCCUCGCGUAAUCAUCAUUUAGUCCGUCGUAGCUUAUUUUCAGUUGUUCAUGAACUUUUUCCAGGAGGAAUUUUUUCCAGUUUAUCCAAUGUACUUUUCCACUCUCCUAUGCUUCUUUUGAACAGGGUAGAUCCUAAAACUUGAAGAGCCAAUGGCAGUCCUCCACAGUAAUCGACAACUUCUCUUGCGAGCUCUAAGAUAUUCACUAGGACAACACUUACUUUCGAAAGCAUACCAACUUAGGAGCUCAAGAGCUUCUUCUUGUUCCAUUCCUUUCGCCGGAUAUAUCUUAUCAACUGCAAAUUCUUGUAGCAUAUGUUCGUUUCUUGUUGUGAUGAUAAUUCUGCUCCCCGGGCCAAAAGAGUGGCGAUUUCCAGCUAAUUCGCGCAGCUGCUUCACAUCGUCUACAUCAUCAAAUAUGACAAGUACUUUUAAGCGUCGAAAUCUUUCCCCUACCAAGGCGGUCCCUGCAGCAACACUGCUUACCUUUGUCUUGGUCGUUUGCAAGAUAUCUGAAAGAAGUUUUUUUGCAAUUUUUCUACUUCCUUUUCCCUCACUUUUUCAAGGAAACUUUUAUGCUCAAACUUGUCAUAAAAUUCGUUAUAAACAGCUUUAGCAAUCGUUGUUUUUCCUAUUCCACCCAUGCCCGAAAUUCCAAUCACGCGAACAUCAUUUGAAUCUCCGACGCCUAAAUAUUUACUGAUAUCUUGCAUUCGAGAAUCUAUUCCAACUUGGUAAGGCGCUACAUCUAAGUAUGUGUUGUUCAGCUUCUUACCCGAAUGACUUCACUAGUAAUCAUCACUGAUAAACCGUGCUUCAGACCUGGCAUUAGUCGAGUUGAGAAGCAAAACGAAGAUUGUUAUACAACUAUAAGACUAAAAUUGAACUAAUACACAAAAUUAUUCAUCCAUGACUAGAGAUUUUUAAUUUAAGACAACUUUCUUUAAGAUGUUUUGUUUAAACUCAGUAAACAUCAAUUAAAAUUUAAGUUAAAAUUUAAAUAAGAAACACAAACAAACAAAACGCAGCAUCCCCUUCCCUCCGCAGCCAUUCGCCGGCGACUUCCCUGCUGUGAUUAGUGUAGCCUUAACAGUUUAAGCUUUAUUGUACGAUUUUAUUAAGAGAGGUCUAAGAAUUCACAGUUGUAUCAUAACAUGGUCCGAAGAAGGGAAAUGUUUUCCUUUAUUUUAUUUUAUGUUGCAAAGAUACGGACACGGAUACGGCGAAACGCCACACAGCAACAUAAAAAAUCUCAAAAGAUAAAAACACGAACACAACUAGGACACGGCAAUUAAAGUCUAAUAUUUACAAAUAUGCCCCAAAAUAUUUUAGAUUUAAGGGGUUUUUUUAACUUUAAUCCUUGAAAAAAAAUUGAAAUUUAAUAAAAACCUAGUGUUAAACUACAUAUUAAUUAUAGUCAAUUGAUAUGUCCUUAAUUAAAAUUAAUUAUUUUAUUUUAUUCAACGUAUCCCAUUAAAUAUUUGAUUUUAUUAAUAUACACAUUUUAAUUUAUUUUUUAUCAAAAAAAAGUUUUUAAAUUUAUUAAUUUUAUUCAACAUUCUUUAAACUUAAAAAACUCAAUUAAUGUACCUAAAAUGUAUGUACCAAAAUGCAUGAACCAAAUUGUAUACACCAAAAUGUAUUAUAUUAAAUUAAUGUUCUUAAAUAUGUGCAUUGAAAUGUAUGCAUAGAAAUGGUAGUAGCGAAAUGUAUUAUAUUGAAUUAAUGUAUCGAUAUGUUUGUAGUGAAAUGUGUGUAUUAAAAUGUAUACAACAAAAUGUAUUAUAUUAAAUUUAAUAUACCGAAUCGAGAUAUAUUGUAUAACAAAAAUUAGUUUAUCUAAUGUUUACAAACGAAAUAUAUUAUGAUGAAGGAAAUGAAAAUAAUAAUUAAAACUUUAAAUAUUAUUAAUAAAUGAGAUUAAUGUCAAUGGACUAAAAUUAAAUUUUGACGGUACUCAUGAUUUUAGUCUAAAAAACAUAGGUUUUAUUCAAUCUAUAAACCAAGUAAAUAGAGGUCCGUUAAAGCCUGAAUGCAUAAAAGAAGAAAUUAGUAGAUACCCGCUAUCGUGAACAAAACCAGCCCAAGUUGCAACAAAACCAGCCAAACUUGCAGCUUCAGUAAGAGCAGCUCGCCACCUCGCUACCUUCUUUUUAUCUGUAUGUUUUAGAAACGAUUGCGCAAAACUACCGGUCUGUUUCCUGACAUGCGAAGGAUCAACUUUAUAAAAUAUCGGUAUAACUAUUUGCCCCAGCGUUGUUCUACACUCCAUGAUAUGAACCAGCUCCUCGAGGCACCAGCUGGAGUCCGCGUACCGUCUUGAGAAGACGAUGAGAGAGAUCUUAGAACCUUGGAUUGCCCGCCCUAGGGCGGUAGUUAUAUUUUCUCCUCUUUUUAGUUCUUCGUCGUCAAUAAAGGCGUUGACUCCGGCCUUUGUUAAUGCUUCAUAGAGGUCAAUUAAAAUUUAAAUUUAAAUUUAAAUAAGAAACACAAACAAACAAAACCCAGCAUCCCCUUCCUCCGCAGCCAUUCGCCGGCGACUUCCCUGUCGUGAUUACUGUAGCCUUAACAGCUUAAGCUUUAUUGUACGAUUUUAUUAAGAGAGGUCUAAGAAUUCACAGUUGUAUGCAUAAACAUGAUCCGAAGAAGGGAAAGGUUUUCCUUUAUUUUAUUUUAUGUUGCACAGAUAGGGGCAUGGAUAUGUCAGAAACAGGACACGGUUACACGAAAAAUCUCAAAAGAUAAGAACACGAACACAACUAGGACAUGACAUGUAAAUUCUAAUAAAUUUAUAAUAAAUAUUACAUAAGUUUUUAUAUUUACAUAACUGCCCGAAAUGUUAGGUGUUAUAAGUUUUUGAUAUUUACAAAUAUGCCCCAAAAUAUUUUAGAUUAAAGGAUUUUUUAACUUUAAUCUUUGAAAAAUAUUGAAAUUUAAUAAAAAUCUGGUGUUAUACUACAUAUUAAUUAUAGUUCAUUGAUAUGUCCUUAAUUCAAAUUAAUUAAUGUGUAUUUUAUUUAAUGUUUCCCAUUAAUUAUUCAUUUGAUUUAACAUUCUUUAAAUUUGAAAGACUCAAUUAAUGUACCUAAAAUGUUAGUACCGAGUAUGUGCCGAAAUAUUUGUAUCGAAAUGUAUAUACUGAAUUGUAUGCACUGAAAUGUAUUAUAUUAAAUUAAUGCACCCAAAUGUAUCAAAAUGUGUGCACCGAAAUGUUAUGACUAAAUUGUAUCAUACUAAAUUAAUGUACCUAAAUGUAUAUACCAAAUAUAUGUACAUAAAUGUUAAUACCGAAAUGUAUUAUAUUAAAUUAAUGUACCAACGUAUUUGUACCGAAAUGUGUGUAUCAAAAUGUAUGCAUUGAAAUGUAUUAUAUUGAAUUUAAUAUACCUAAAUGAAGAAGACAAAGUAUUUCUCGAUAUAUUGUACAAUAAAAAUUAAUUUAUCUAAAUAUUUAAAAUAAAAUAUAUUGAAUAAAAUGAAAAUGAAAAUGAUAAUGUAACAUAAUUAAUAGAUCAGAAUUUGGAAGAAAAAGAGAAAUAAUUAAAACUUCUAAAUAUAAUUAAUAAGGAGGUGAUUAAUGUCAAGAGACUAAAAUUAGAUUUUAAUCUUACUUAUGAUUUUAGUAAAAAGGUCAUCUUUAUUAAGGAUUAUAAUGAAGUUUUUCAUAAUUGAAGGGAACUUUAACGAAAAGCUCCCAGUACUGUUCACUGUAACGAAAAAUCACAUUUUUACAUUAAAAAGUCAAUACUGGUACUAUUCACUUUAUCAUUUAUUUUGUCUUUAUCGUUAAAACUCAAAGUUUUCAAACCAUUUUCAUUAUUUUUUCUUAAAUUGAAUUGUCCCAAAAUGUUUUUAUAUUUACAAAAAGAUCCCUGCCGUGUCUUGAUCGUGUCAAAACCGUGUCCGAACACUUUGGGGUUUCCCAGUGUUGGUGCAACAUAGGUUUUAUUGAAUCUAUAAACCGAAAGUAAAUAAAGAUACGUUAAAGCCUGAAUUCAUAAAAGAAGAACUUAGUAGAUACCUGUUUUCGAGAUGCCAUCCAGCCAAAUUUGCAGCAAGAGUAAGAGCAGCUCUCCACCUCGCUACCUUCUUUUUAUCUGUAUGUUUCAGCAACGAUUGCGCAACACGACCAGUCUGUUUCUUGACAUCCGAAGGAUCAAUGUCAUAGAAUAUCGGGUAAACCAUUUGUCCCAGCGUUGUUCUACACUCAAUGAUAUGAACCAGCUCCUCGAGGCACCAGCUGGAGUCCGCGUACCCGCUUGAGAAGACGACGAUUGACAUCUUAGAACCUUGGAUUGCCCGCACUAGUACGUUAGUUAAUUCUUCUCCUCUUUUUAUUUCUUCUUCGUCAAAAAAGACGUUGACUCCGGCAUUUGUUAAUGCUUUACGGAGGUGGCUUGUGAAGCUUUUACGUGUGUCUUUGCCUCUGAAGUUUAAGAACACAUCGUAGAGCGAACCUUUCGAGAAGGAGAAGAACGACGAGGAGGACAAGGAGGUGGAGGAUGAUGAAGAGGAGGCUUCAUCGGGGACCGAGAAGGAUGACGAGGAGGACAAGGAGGUGGAGGAUGAUGAAGAGGAGGCUUCAUCGGGGACCGAGAUGGACGACGAGGAGGACAAGGAGGUGGAGGAUGAUGAAGAGGAGGCUUCAUCGGGGACCGAGAUGCUCAUUUGGCGAAAGACAAGGCCGAUAGAGAAAAGGAGGAAGACUAGGACAGCAAAGUGGUAGGACUCUAAGCAACCACAUACCAGCACCAUGAUUGACAGCGUCACGAAUUUCAGCCAGUUAUCCAUUUCUUAGAUUUUUUAUUUUUUUUUUGUUACCAGCUCAGCUGCUAGCCAACCCGCUCCAGCUACAAAACAGAGAGGAUGAGCAGCUGCAGAACUACGCCUGCAAAUUUAAGAAUAGCUUCCUGCAGCAACCCACUUGUUAGAGUAAAUAUGUUUUUAUUUAAAUAUUUAAAUUGCUAUGCUUUUGUCCGAUGUGGCUUUUAUAUCUAUUCUAUAAAAAGAACCUUCUUGUCAAAUUUUUUCCUAUUUUUUUUUUUAAUUUUGUCUUCAUUUUUUAUAUACAUUAUUGAUAAAAUUAGGGUAAAAUAGUAAUUUUACACCUUUUCACAGAAUGACAAUCAUAUCCCUAUUUUUCCAAUUUUACCUUUUUUUUAAGAAAAUGACAAUCAUAUACUUAUUUUUCUAAUUUUACCCUCAUUUUUGAUACACAAUAUGUACAUAAGAAAUAAAACAAUAAUUAUGUAAUAUUAAAAAAUAUGCACUUAUUAAGAAAAAUUGUUCACACAUAUAAAAUGUGUGCUCUCUGCUAAUUGGGUUUAUUACAAUCAUUAAAUUUAUAUAACCUAAAUUGUCUUUAACCGUAUCUUUUGAUGAGGAGUAAUUUCCUCCCCACUUUUGAAACGUGAGAAAGCUUUCUCACAUUAAUUGAUGGGAUCCCUUCUCAGAAUGGUGAAUCAGAUUAGGUCAGAUUAGGUACUUACUUUCUUUUGUUCUGUUUGAAUAUUUACGUUUUUGAUUUGAUCGUUUAGGUUUUCUUCAGUUUUGAUUCUUUAAGAUUUUAAGCCCUUGAAUCUCUCAAACUUGCAACGUAUAUUUGAUCGAAGAAAAAGUGGAAAAAAAACUACAACUUAUAUAUUUUUUUAAAAAUUGAGUUCUGAAAUCAACAUUUAGAUAAUAUGUGAAUUCAAAGGUUUUUGCAUUGUUCAAGAAAGAACUUAUUAGAGGAAGAAGGUUUUGGAUUGUUUUCUCCUAUUGAAUAUUAGAGUGAUAACUAAGACUACAAAUUAAUAGAAAUAUUAUUAAACAAACGAAAAUGUCAAAACGGCUACAUAACCUUAGGAGGCUACAUUGUGACUAACUUACUCUCAAAUGAAUAACAAGCAUGCUAUUUAUAAUAAACUAACCAUAAUCCUAAAAGAUAAGAAACCGAAAUCCUAAUGCUAACGGGCUAAGCCUAGAAAACCAAAAUUCAAAUAAAUCAAAAUACUAAUAUUUUCCAACAUCCCCUGUCAAACUCAUGGCGGUAUACGACAUGGGUUUGCAAACAAGCAGAUGUGGACUAGCUCCGUUAGGCGGACUGUCAGGCAUGCAAACUUGACUCGACUUGACUGGCGAACUGGAGAACUGGUUCUUGUUGGCAAGCUAAUUCUGGCUAACAAACUGAUUCUGAUUCAAACUGACUAGUGUUGAGAGUAUGUAAAGAACCCGUCUCUAAAUGGACGAGAUUUCCAUAUCUCAAUUAUAGCAACGAACAAACAAAACACAAACACUAUCACUCGAGUGGUCACAAUUCCAAGCACUCGAGUAAUAGUCACAAAACAAUCUCAAACAAGCCAACAACUCGUGUGGGCCUUAAACACAUCAAACCAAAAAAUGGGCGGUAAACAGCCUCCAACCCAUUUUUCCUCUUUGCCCAUGUAGGCCAAAACCUCCAACAAUUUUUUUCCUACUUUUUUUCUUUUUUUUUCUUUCUCUAAUAUAGAAGCAGCAAUGGUGUAAUCCAUGGAGAUGGAAAUGGGUGCAGGUUGGUGGACAAUCUGGAUUUGGUACAAUGCGGUGACUGGGCACGAUGGACAGCAGCGGUAGGCUUGGAUGGGUUUCUCAGCAAUGGUCGAUGGAUCGGGCGGUUCGGAUUUAGUCAAAUGUGGCGGCGGGUACUAGCAUGGUGGGUUCUUGCAAGUUGGGUUCAACAUAAAAGCCUAAGGUAGAGACGAACUUGAUCCGAGUUUGUGAUUCUCGAGUCAGAGCUUCAUUAAAACCGUCGUCAAACAAAUUCUUUUUCUACACGCUUUUCUUUACUUUUUCUGCAACCUAAGCCAACGACAAAUGAGAACAGAACAACAAACAAACGGACGAGACAUACAAAUUGAUUGAUACCAAAUUGAAUAUCAGAGUGCACGAUAACAAACUAAUAGGGAUAUUAUUAAACAAACGAAAAUGUCGAAACGACUACAUAACCCUAAGAGGCUACUGUUGAGCAAAAAUUGUACACAAUAUGUAAAAAAAUAAUUUACUCGACAUAAUUUCACCCUCGUUCAUUUUGUCGAAGAGGGUUUUAUUAAUUUGAGUUCGACCCAUUCUAGGCUACGUGCCUAUUAAUUACAACCUUUCUUUUGGGAAAGGAAUACCCUUUGAUUCUAAUAUGAAUAAAUCGUAACUUGGGGAUUUGGGUGUUUAUUUGAUUUUGUGACUGCACCUAAGUAGAGCCCUAGAUUGCCUAUGUACCCUCGUUGAGGGAUCAAGUCACUCGUAGUUCCUUGGUAUUUGGUACUUGUUUGGAUUUGAUGCCUUGUGCAAUUUUAGCACGUGCAGGCGAGGACUUUGAACCAUUGGAGCGAUUGAUGCCUUGUGUAGUUUUAAUUCGUGCGAGCGAGGACUUUAAGCUGUUGGAGCGUUUAAUACCUUGUGCAAUUUUAGCUCAUACGAGUGAAGACUUUAAGCCAUUGGAGCGAUCAGUGUUCUAAAAAUCUGCCUAGGCGCUGGGCGGUGGAGCUCCGACCCGAUUUAGACCAAAACAUUCAGUUAGGCGAGGAGGAUAUAGGCGGCCGCCUAUGCGCUCACUAGGCGCCUGAGGCGGGCUAGGCGGCGCUAGGCGGUAGUCUAGGCGGUUUGAAUCUAGCUGCAAAUUCCAAACUUGCUGCAAUUUUCGCAAAGAUCUACAACUUCCGAUCUCUUACGUAGCAACAGAGACCCGGAAAAUUUUAUGUAGCUCGUAUCUGUGAAUAUGAGGAAAGAGAGAGUGCGAAGAGAGAGAGAGAGAGACUGUCGGUGAAGAUAAUUUCAUAAUUUCUGCAACUCAUCUGUGAAGAUGAGAGCAGAGAAGAAAGUGCGAAGAGAAAAUGCGAAAAGAGAAAGAGAGAGAGACUAACAUUUCUGUGUUGGUGGUGCAAGUUGAGGACUAAAAGCUUGGGUGAUGUGAAAGAGCAUGGACGGUUUGUGAUUUUAAAAUUGAAAACCAUGGACUUUGAUAGUUUUGCGGAUGGGUGAUGUGAAAACCACCUUGGGUGGAUGGGUGAUGGACGGUUUGAUGGUUUAACAAUGAAAACCACCCACUAUGUGGGUUUUUUAUAUUUUUAAAAGUUUGGGAUAUAUAUUAUGUGUGUAUAUAUAUAUCUUAUAUAAAUUAUAAAUUAUUUAGAUAAUAUUUUGUUUUUUUUUCCUAGGCAAGCAUUUCAUAUAUGUACAUAAAACUUUCAUAUAUGUAUGUUCUUAUAUAAGAAAUAGCAUAUUAGUCAAUAAUUAUUUACAUUUUAUAUAGUAAAUUUAAUUAAUUUAUAUAAUAUAUCAUAAAUUUACCUAAAUCCGCCUAGACCCUGUCUAGCCACCUAGGCACUAGGCGCUAACCCAUCGCCCGACUAGCGCCUAGCGUUUUUUAAAACCUUGGGAGCGAUUAUAAAUUUGAUAUGGCUUUAUGCCAUUUGAAAUUUGAUACGGCUUUGUGCCAUUUGACCACUUUGGUAAUUAAAGGGAAUAUGAUCCAUGGUGUGAGUUUCACCAACUUGAAGUGGUGAGUCUAUCAAAUUUUGUACUUUGAGAUGGUUCACAUCCAUAGUAUUGAAGUGGUUCGGAGUUGUCUAUAUUUGUAUUGCUUUUGUCCUCCACUUUGCUCUGUGUCUUGAUUUGAUCUUGGCCUAACAAUGACCAUCCAAAGAUUUUGAAGACAAGCAUUAAUUCAAUCAUGCUCAUGAAUUAAUUCAAGCCAUAGGUUGCGUGGGUUUGUCCUUGUGGGAUCAAACCAACCUUCAACUAAAGUCAUGACAAAUUUUGUCUCUUCACCUACUUAAUUGCUUGCUGGAGAUCUUUAUUCCAAUUCUUCACAUGAGCAACAUUCCCUAUAAAUUAGAAAUUUUGUUGUGUGAGCGACAUCCAUUAAAUGGAAAUCUAGGAAUUGUGCUUUGCAGACUUCUCUUUUACUCUUUGUAGAAUUUGUCAUUACUUGGUCAAAGUAGUAGAAGUGAAUUUAGUUUAUAUAAACCAGGGAUUCGUUCCGGUUUCACGAUUGCGUCUAAAAUUUGAUAUCAGACUUCCUCUGUAUCUUUAUCGGAAUACAACCGACGUAAUUCAUGAUAUGCUAGCCUUGGAUUUGCGUACUUGUGUUCAGACUUGGCAAAAUGAGUAGUCAAUUGGAUUUAUUUAAAACUCAUAUAUGACCUUUGGUAAUAUCGAAUAGGUCUUUGUGAAAUAGGACUUCAUUUUUUCCUUAAGUAGAAACCCACGUAAGAUGCACGGUUCAAAGUGAAAAUGGGACUUUGUCUUUUCCUUAAGUAGAAAGUGGGACUCCAAGUCCCACAUGAAACGCACAGUUCAAAAACCCAAUCAAAAAUCUUCCAUGCUCCAAUAUUCAUUCCUCUAAACAGCGAUGUCGAUAUAUUUGAACUCCACGUCGAUUUGGCAAUGUUUUUUUUUAAAAUUCCUUUUGGGUUUAUUAGCUGUUGAAUUCCAAACGAAGAUGAGUAAGAUUGGUGGAGUUCAAAGUCUUUUGAAUUGCUCCAAUUUAUCCUCUUUUCCUCCUAAAUCACAGUUUCUUCUUUUAUGCAGGUCACAAAAGCCUUUGUUUUUUAGCUGCCUUGUUCUUUUGCUCGUGUGCUUCCUUUGUGGAUCAAAAUUUCAAAGCGGAAAGGAGGAGAAAAUUACCAGCAUGUCACCCCAUUUUCGUUUUCUAUGUUUUGGGUUUGUUUCGGAGUGGGUUGAAACUCUAAACUACAACUAAUUCAUUUAAUUAUUUCGUGCAGGCGUCACUGGCAAUAGUAUCACUUCGAUUUGGUUGUUGCUAUGUCCCUUAGGUUGAAUUGUCCAAACCCUUUUUUGUGUACUGGUAGAUGAUAAACCCCACUUCUUGUUGGUAGCUUUUGUAGUCUAAAUUCAUUUAGCUUUUCGUUUAUCACGAGUAGCUUUUCGGUAUCAGUUUGACUUGGUUUUUGACAUGGUUGCUGGACAAACUAUUUUGCAACAUUGGGUCCGUUGAAAACAAGUGUUGAUUCAUGGCUCCAAAGGUGAGAAUUGCACUCUAAAAUUUGUAGUAACACACUCAUAGUAUCUACCGUAUUUUUAAUGGGUUUCGAUGUAUUAGUGUGUAAUUAUCACUCUCUGUCAUUUCUACUUCCACAUAGAGAAUUAUUUGACUGGUCUUGAUAGUGGGCAUUUGAACACCCUUUUUGUGUUCCCAUUCAUGUUUUGUCUCCGAUGCUUGCCAUCCUUUCUCAUUAACACUUGUACAAAGUGAAGCUUUUCCCAAAAUCUUCUGUAGUUUUGAUUUGUCUUCUAGUUCUUAGGGUGUUAAUACAAAGGUUGCCAUAUGAAUGAGUUUUCCAAAUAAUUUGGGAAGUUUGACAACAAGCUUUUCCUUCUUUGUAAACUUGGGACAACUUGAAUUCUUUCAAGUCCAACUUCUCGUGGCAGAGAAGCAAAUACCUUUUAGCUACUUAUUUAGAGAUUGGCAAACUUUCUUUCUUUCCUUUUGUCUUAUAGCAUUUGUCAGUUUCAUUUCAAUGUUUUUGGUCAAUAUUUUGACCCAAUAUUUGACCAAAAUGGUAUCCACAUUUAAGUCCUCCGAAAGAUGUCCUCCUCUCUUUUUAUUUGUCUUUAUCAAAAGUUGAAUUGGGGAAUUUCUAUUAGGAAAGAUGAUACGUCAUCCAUUUCUGUUAAUGAAAAAUAGUUUAGAAAAACUAAAUGUGGUUAGUUUUGUUAUUAGUUGUGGUUAGUUAGAAUAAUAAAAGUUUAGUUAAGGAAGUUAAGGGUAUAAAUGUAAAGAGCCUAAGGCUAGAUAUAUACACAUCCAUGUAAUUGUUUAUUCACUGAAUGAAAUACAAUCUUGUAGUAGAAGAAGUUUUCCUCUUGUGGAAUUGGACCAAGCAUGAGUCGGUCACUUCUUGUCCCUUGUUCAUUUGUCUACACAUGCACUUAUUCUCUUAUUGGACCACAAAAAAUGACUUUGCAUAUAAGACUUGACUUCCUGUAUCUGUGUCCUUAGCUUGAUUUUUCUGACUUCUUGUGUUUGCAUAUAAGACUUGACUUCUUAUGUCUGCUUCAUUAGAAUUAACUUUACCCAACAUGACAACAAUGUGAACGGUGUUCAUGUUAUCUAGAAGUCUUUUCUUGUUCCUCCUAUUGACACUCCCCGAUCCCGAUAUUCCACGAACACCAAGAUAGGCAUGUGUUGGCCGACACCCGAGGGUGACGAAAGCCAUUUAUUGAAAGCAAAUGCUGAGAAUAAAGAAUAAAUAAGACUUAUAAAUUUAAAUAUAAUGAAUAAGGCAUGGACUCUGUUGUGGGGAGCAUUGCACGUGACACCAAUCCAUGCGCAAACAGUAGUUGCAGACCAGUUUUUUGCCAUGACAAUGUGAGGGUCAUGAGUGAUGUUGGAUUUGAGAGCAAGCAGGGCAGAUUGGUCUGUGGUGAUGUUGGUUACUGCUGCCGCCACAAUGAAGCUACGAAGAAAGCAGUGCAGCAGCGGCAGCAACAGAUUCGUACACCGAAAUGGUGAGGACCGAGCUCUUCCCUCCAUGAGGUACGCGCGGCUGUUGACUUUGUCUUAUACAAGAGGCUGCAAGUGAAGAAAUUUUAUGAAGUAAUUUUCUCUGUUUCAGUUGUAUGUCACUUUCAUGCUUGAAAUAUUUCUUGAUCUAUGAAAAGAAACUUAUGUGCUCUCCACGUUUAUAUCAUGAAAGGACAUCUCGCACAAUCGAUGCGUGUGACACUUCCUUUUCUUCUUUUUUAGUAGUAUGUUGCUUUUAAUCCCCCGUUUGAAGAGCGUUUGCGGAGAGGCUAGUAAGAACCUUAUAGAAGUCAAUGUGCCCUUUGAGGAAUUAAGGGGACAGAAGGCCUCUUAACAACCUUAAUAAGAUAACUAUAAACAAAAGAAGAUAGGAUAACUUCUGUAGGAAAAUUGAGUAGAAUAAAGCCUUUGCCUAAUCCUCGAUUCAAAUCGCAAACGAGCAUAAUGGUUAGAAUUGCAGAAGACUGGAAAUUAAUCCUUAUUGUUUCAAUUAAAUCAAUACAAUCUGAUUUCAAACUCCAUCAGCCUUCAAAAUGAAAGUUCAUGGAAGAUCUAAAUAAGUUUCAAGUACAUGGGAGCCAAGAACAAGAUGGCCGGGAAAAUAUUUCUCUUUUGAUUCUGCUGUAAUAUAUGCAAUCGGGUACAUUUUGCAGUCAAACAAAUUGAGGAAACGUAAGUAUGCUAAAACUAAUAUAUGUAACGCGCAACCUGCCUAUUAUGGCUCCAGACUUGUUGCAGGCUCUACUAUUGGAAGCUUGUUCUGCACUAGACGUUCUGCAUCUCCCAUUUCAACCUCACCACCGCCUUGCCAUUCUCCUUCGUCUUGGAAAAGCUUUUCAAUUUCUUCCAAAGUCUUUCCUUUUGUUUCUGGAACACAUGUGUGGACAAAAGCAACAGAGAGAGCUGAAAUCAUUGAAAAAAUAAAGAAGGUUCCUGCCACUGUUAUUGCUCCAGACACGGAGAGGAAUGACAUGGUAAUCACACCACUACUAACCCUACUACCAACGGCCCCAAGGGCGGAUGCUUGAGCUCGAAGCUUUAGAGGGAAGACUUCCGAUGACAAUACCCAACAAAUUGGGCCAAUUCCUACUGAGAAGAAAGCUACAUUCCCACAAACAGCUAAUAUUGCCGCUCCAAUCCCCAGUUUCCCCUGUCCUGGCAAUGCUAGAGCAAUGCUCAGAAGAAAUAAACAAGAGGUCAUUCCUAUAGUGCCCACAUAAAGCAAAGGCUUUCUCCCCACUCUGUCAAUCAGAAAGAUAGCUACCAAAAUGAACACAGUUUUGGUAAAACCAACAACAACAGUUGCAGCAAGAACUUCAGUGUUGCCUUUAAUCCCAGCAUCUUUGAAAAUCGUAGGACUAUAAUACACAAGUGCAUCAAUACCAGUAAUCUGUUGGAAACAUUGGAUUCCACAACCAGUAAUCAGCAUUCGUCGAACUGCAGGAUUAGGAAUAAAAAUUUCGCGCCAUAUAGCUUUUGCUUCAUAGUUUUCAGCAUUGGCCAUCCCUGCGGCUUGCUGUAUUUCUGCCAAUCUAUCCUCAACAUCUUUUUCACUCUCAUUAGUCCUGGUCAAUACCAUCCUUGCUUCUUCCAUCCUAUUCUGUGUCACCAACCACCUUGGGGACUCCGGGAUCACAAAAAGAGCAAAUCCAAGAAAGACCGAAGGUAUGAUCCCCACACCAAGCAUGACCCUCCAGCUUAUAUGUACCGGAAGUCCUGAAAAAACAUAAUUUGAUAUAUAUCCAAGCAGGAUCCCAAAAUUUAUAAAUAUCUCAGGAAAAGAUGUAAGAGAGCCUCGUGCUGUUGCAGAAGAAAUCUCAGCAAUGUAAACAGGCGCAACCAUGACCCCGAACCCUAUCCCCACCCCAGCAAAGAGUCUACCAAUCAUCAGUACUGUGAAAUUAGGAGCAAGUGCCAUUAUAAGAGCACCAGUCUGAAAGACAAUUGAUGCCAAUGCAAUUGUCCACUUUCUACCAAUGACAUCGGAUGUUUUUCCACCGGCUAAGCUUCCCAAUAGGGAGAUGAUACUCAAAAUUCCAACAAGAAGUUCUAGUUGUACGUUGGUGAUUUUCAGAUCCUCUUGGAUGAAUAUAAUUGCUCCACUCAUUACACCCACAUCUGCAUUGUGAUAAAACAGACAUCAUAAACCAGGCAGUUGUACUGCAUAAAAGUUACCAGCUAAGUAAAGGGAUAAACAAACACCGGUGAAGAAGUAUUAAAGUUUCCGCUUACACAAGACCAAAAUCACAAUGAACCAAGCCAAUGUUACGCCAUUUUUUUCAAAGGGGAGCCCUUAUCUUCUGGUGCAUUUAGUAUUGAACAAAUCAAAGGAGAAUCAACGGAUAAAAACAAAGGGAGGAACGCAGAAGUAAAAAAAGGGAGCAUGAAAACCUUCCCCUUUUUCGAAAAAGCCAUAACUUUAAGAGUCAAAACAGGUUCUUUACUUCGCUACGCCAUUUCAACUGCUCAAAGCAUUGAAAAUGGAUCUUGGAACAUGACACAUUAACUUCACAUUGGCAACAUUUGUCACUCAAAAUUUCUGGAACUUAAAUCCAAAUUGGAUACACUUACUCGGAUUAUCUUACUGAAAUUUAGACAACUAGACAAGUGUUUUUUUAACAAUUAAGUCGGAAAAACAUCCUUAAAAAUUCUACAUCUAAAUAUAGUUGUCUAGUUAAUUUCAAUAACUAAAUAAAUAUAUUUCCAACCAUUAAAUCCCGAUAGGAGUUUGCCAAACAAGCAGAUCAAGCAGAAUUACAGAAACAUAUAAUUAUACCAAUAAAAUAAAAUAAAACAAGAAAAAUGCAAAAAAAGCAAAAUGGUCGGGCAGAUCAAGCGAAAAACAAAACAUAGAUCAAGGAAAGAGAAUGAAACAAACCGUAUCCAAGAAGCACGGAAUUGAGGGAGGCAAAGAUUGCGCAGGCGAAGACAUAUCUCUCGGUAUUUUUGUCGGUCAAUGGAGCAUCUUCCUCUGUCUCUCCGACCUCGGACUCCAUUCUCUUGUACUUGGUCUUGCUCCCUCCGAGUUGAAAUUCGCACCCAGCAACCCCAUUCUCAGCUGCAUUCCCGUUUUGCUGCCCACCCAGCAACCCCAUCACCCUCUUUCUCUCUCUCUUACCCCUCUCUCUCUCUCUCCUCUGUUCUGACGAGGUGGGAGAGAAAAGAAGGACCUUUUUUUACGUGGGCAGCUGUUUUUUCGAGUUCUUAAUCCGAUCGAACUCAGAUUUCCGAAAAAAACAAAAGAAUUAUUGUGGGUUUUGUGACUUUUGUCUCAGAUCUGGAACAGAGGAGGAGGGAUUUUUGGUUAUGUUUUCUGUCUCUACGGACGAUCCCGCGUUUUUCGGGUUUUUUUUCUUCCUUUAUUGCCGUCUGUGUCGGCUUUUCCCUUUUUUCUGAAGCAAAACGGAGGAUUUUUUAACAUUUUACUUGAAGAAAUUGGGUGUUUUGUGAUUUACCGAACAAAUUACUAUUUAUAAACCAAAUUAGGACCUAAUUAGUACACUCUUUGACUAUGUAUACAGUACAUGUGAGACUUAAUGUAUAAAUUGAGUGUAUUUUGGCUCACCACCGUCAAGCUGUGUAGUCAUCACCUAUUUAUUAUUAUGUAAUAAAUUUAAAUUUUGAGAUUUGUAUCUAUCCAUUAAAUAGAUCUCGAAAUUUAAAUUUAUAUAACAAUGAUAAAAAAGAGUAAAAAAUAUCGUAUCCAGUGCACAAGGCUCUUGCUUUACGCAGGGUCUGGAAGAGUGAUGAACAAAAAUAUUUCCGUAUAAAUUAUUACGAGUAAAGUUACGAAUAACAUAUUAGUUGUACAAUUACAAUGCCUUAAUUUUUUUUAAUAAAACGUAAAAUUAUUUAGAUACAUUUUCUGGCACAAUCUCUAAUAUAAUUGAGAUUCAUAUACAACAGAGUUUAUAUCACUUGAGAGUGUUUUUUUUAUUGACAAAUAAAAGUAUCAUUCAACCGUCAUAUAAAGUCAUUUUAUAUAACACUUUGGACAAAUCAAUGUUGAAACUUUCUUCUUCUUUAAAAAAAAUAAACGUUGAAACUUCUUUCGUUGGAAAAUUAGGACAAAAUAUUCCUUCAAAUCAAGGAUCAAAAUGAUAACACUGGUAAUUCUAUUUAAAUUGGAAGACAAUCUUCUUCGGAUUAUAUCCUUUGUAGAAAUCUACCAUAAUUGUAAAUUCAUGCUAUUUAAAAAAAAAGUGAAACUAAUUAGUGACUUCGUUACAAUAGUCUACCAUUUUGAAGGAGAUCAGAGUGAAAUAAUAAAUCACUCUCUAUUUCUUAAGCAUAGAAGAGGUAUGCACAGCCUGAAAGUGACGUCAAGGAAUAUAUAAUAUAAUUAUAAAAGGACAACGAUUGUCUGUCAUCUUUGUUCCCGUGUCCUUCUGUUUGUAUGGUCACGGUUAAGCUACGUCAACAUUUUAUAUUACUAUUCAUUUUUGUCUUAUUAUCUCUAUAAAAAACAAUAUAAAAUAUUAACGUUGCUUAACCGUCACCACACAAAACAGGAGGGCACGAAAACAAAGAAGGCAGACAAUCUUUGCCCUUAUAAAAGAAUGCACAGCAUGAAAGUGACGUCAAGGAAUAUAUAAUAUAAUUAGAAAAGAAUGCACAGCAUGAAAGUGACGUCAAUAAAUAUUAUAUAUAAGUACAAAAAUAUAUAAAAACACAGAGAAUACCAUUCCAAAACUUACGUUGCCAGCAAGCAAAGUGGGGCCAGAUGUCGCUUUGUAGUUGAGCUAAGUUUUCACAUAUUUUGGGCUUAGCCCACUCAAACUGUCAUAUGGGCCUGAAAUUUUAAGCCCAAUUAUUAUUAUAGUAGCUUCUCUGACGUUGAAUAAUUAGGGUUUUGUAGAGACAUUUUCAGAUAAUUAAAAGCAUUUUUUUACAGUCUUUUGUAUAAUAUAGCUUGUGUAAAAGUUCUUUGAAAAUGAAUUAAAGCACUUGUGAUGGAAUUACUUUCGAUACCAAUCUUAAGUAAAAAUGCAAGUGAAUCCAGAAAAAACACUUUAAAAGACAUUCAUAAAAAACGCUUCCAAGAGGAUCUAAAUUAAGUGUUUCUUCAAAAAGCGUUUUCUAUUGUUUUGUAUUAGGAACUUGAAUUUUUAUAUUACAAUGUUUGAGAGUCAAAAUGCUUCAUACGAAAAAACCUUCAGUAGAGCAAUGAACACCCGUAGUAAUAAAUAACUUAUUGGAUGACUCUGAAAGUCCGACCGCGUGACACCCUUACUGAAGAGAUUCUCUCCCUUAAUUGGGCUUCAUAUGGGUCCCCAGCCCACUUAAAACCUGACGCAUCCACAAACUUUGAUAUGGGCUAUCAGGCCCAACUACGGUGGCCUCUCACGUGGUGAGUCACGUGCCAAUUCUUGCACGCUGUAAAUACCAUUCCCAUUUCCUGCCCAAAUUAUCUUCCCAAAUUGUUUACACGCGCGGCCACUCUGAGAGAGCCUCUUUCCUCUCGAUUCGGUUUUCCGCUGUUCGCUUUCCGAUCCCGAACCAUGACUGCGGAGGUUCUCGCGCAGCCAAACGGCGCCGUCGCGAACGGCGACCUGAACGGAAUCCCUAACAACAACGCCGCCGCCGCCAAGAAGUCGAGGGAGAGCGAGCGACGCCGUCGCAGGAGAAAGCAGAAGAAGAACAACAAAGCCUCUCAGGCGCCGGAGUCCAGCGCCGGCGAGACCGACGAUGACGUCAAGGAGAAUAAUGAUACUCAGCAGGUUCUUCGCCUCCCUCUCCCUCUGAUUCUUUUGUGAAAUGUUUGUUUAGUUAUUGUUCGUCGCAGAUUGAUUUCCAGGGUUUUAACGAAGUCUUAUGCUCUGAUUUGGACGCCGUUCUGUUGGGUAGAUUUUCGGGUUUUAUCGAAGGGUUGUAAUCUGAUUUGGAUGCCAUUCUUUCUAGUAGUUUAUUUUUGUUUAGAUUGGAGGUUUUAGGGUUUGCAUUCAACUCCUUUAGCUAAUUAGAUUAGGGUUUUGGCUCCGCGGCUGCUUAGAAUAUAUUAGCUAUGUAACGAAAACAAAGAACAAUGUGUAGGGUUGCCAAGCCAUUAAUUGAACUACACCGCUUGAGUAAAUCUUAGAAAAAGAAAUGGUUACCCUGUAACUUCUUAUCUUGCAGUGAAGAUUUAGGCGGGGAAAGUGGAACCCGGAACUCUAUUUUAAUUCGCUUGUCUACACACUGGUGUUAAUCUUUGAAAACCCAUUGUGAAAGUUGUUAACUGUAAUUUUCAAUACCAUGUGAGCAGCCAAACAAGAGUUUGUAAUACUGUUGAUAUUUUGUUUUUGCUUCUUUUGUUUCGAGAAUGCUAAUUCUGGUAUAUUAUCUUUUCAUGUGUAUUAAUGAUACUUUUUGAACCGUGUAGAUUAUUGAGCAAGUUCAAAUUGAAUAUGUUCCAGAGAAACCUGAGUUAAUUGAUGGCAUGGAUGAGGAAUUCAGAAAAAUUUUCGAGAAAUUCUCCUUCCAGGACUCUGAGGGUGUUGAGGUAAAAAGGCAUCUUGUGUAACAUCUGAAUUUCAGUGCACUUUUUUAUUUAUUUGCUAGAAUGUUCCAUGAUGCAUUUCUCUGAUCUAUCCAGGUGGAUAAGAAGGAUGAGUCUGAAGGAGUCCCCAAAAAGAAGGCUGACUCAGAUUCUGAAGAGGAAGAGCAGGAUAAUGAACAAAAAGAGAAAGGAAUAUCAAACAAGAAGAAAAAGGUUUGUUAGUAUUUUCCAUUUGUUAAUGUUAUGUUAAUUUUUUUUUAUUGUUAGCGCUAUAUCAACAACAUUUUGUCGAGGCUAAAUAAAUGUGUUGUUAUCUUUCAGCUUCAACGGAGAAUGAAGAUUGCAGAAUUGAAACAGAUUUGCCAAAGGCCUGAUGUUGUUGAGGUCUGGAUACCUUGAUCUUUUAUAUGUUUGAAUUUGUUUUAUAUGUUGUUCCUGUUGUUUUCCAUUUUUGUAUGUUUGAAAUUAAGCUUGUCUGUCUACAUAUUCUCAGGUGUGGGAUGCAACUGCAGCUGAUCCUAAGCUGCUGGUGUUUCUAAAAUCAUAUCGCAAUACUGUACCCGUGCCAAGACAUUGGUGUCAGAAAAGGAAAUUUCUGCAGGUUAGUGAUUACCCUGAUGUUAAAACUAUCUAUUAAAAUGUGGAUGCAUGAUUAAUGGGUAUGAUUAACAUGAUGGGAUUAGGGAUAGGGUAUGGUAAGAUCACGUCGAUGAGGUUUCUCUUAUAUGUAUACAUGUGGUUCUUGCAGGGGAGCGGCUGUGACAACCAUGGAGCCUGGACUUGUAGGUGUUUGGAAAAUUAAACCUUGAAUGUUUAUCUUUAUAUAUCUACUAGUGCCUAGUGGGGUGGGUAUCUGGGCAUAAUUUAGAGCUAUUAUUGGGGGAUAUUUUUAGUAUCUGUGCAUGAUGGAUUUUGGGAUUUUAUUCAGGUGCUGAUAUAUCUAUUUUGAAUUUUCAGAUGCCUUCCCAUAAUGCUUAGUCAUUGGGCCCAAUUCUGCUAUAAUUUUAAUAUUUAAGACUGCUGAUUUGAUGUAGAAAUCUAUGCUGAUGAUUGUAAAAUAUUACAUGUUUCUCAUCAAGACUGGAUUGAUUUUGCAGGGUAAGCGUGGUAUUGAGAAACAACCGUUUCAGCUUCCAGACUUCAUUGCUGCUACAGGAAUUGAGAAAAUUAGACAGGUAAAUUGGUAAUGAGAUUUUUAAAAAUCUCAAUUCUUGUUCAAGCAUGGCUUGUUUGUUAAGUUUUGCUCGUAACAUAUAACUUUAACCUCAUAAGUGAAAUAUUUCUUUUGUUCCUGAAUCUUAAUUAAGUUUUAACAAAGAAACAUGCAUCAAAUUCUUGUUACCUAUGCAUAAUUAUAUUUAUGGUUUUAUCUGCCUUGUCUUUCCAAUUUUCUGAUUUUGUUGUGUGUUGAUUGUGAUAUGGUUGUCUUGUGCAGGCGUACAUUGAAAAAGAAGAUAGCAAGAAGUUGAAGCAAAAACAACGGGAGCGUAUGCAACCAAAGAUGGGGAAAAUGGAUAUCGAUUAUCAGGUGUUCAUUUAUUAUAAUUCAGACUUUUUAAUCUUGUGUUUUAAUGUAAUUCAAGAGGACAUGCAUCUGUAAUCAUUAUCUUGAUUUACUGAUGUGAUUGUUUUCUGUUUGUUAGGUUCUCCAUGAUGCAUUUUUCAAGUACCAGACUAAGCCAAAGUUGACAACUCUUGGUGAUCUGUACCAUGAAGGGAAGGAAUUUGAGGUAUAUUAUUCCAGCAUCUAUUCAUAAACACCUCUGUGCUAUUGGUCGUGUGAAUAUUCUAUCUGUGUAUCUUGUGUGAAGGUGUAACAUAAUUUUUAUUUGUGUUGGUUUCUGGUUUUGUGUUCAGGUGAAAUUGAGGGAGAUGAAACCAGGCAUGCUUUCACAUGAACUAAAAGAAGCUCUGGGUAUGCCAGAUGGUGCUCCUCCCCCAUGGCUCAUCAAUAUGCAGGUGAGUGUGCACAUAUCUAUAUAACUUUGUUAAUGUUGGGUAUUGCCUUUAUUUGACUUUUUUUUUUCUUGUAGAGAUAUGGUCCUCCACCAUCAUAUCCACAUCUGAAAAUUCCCGGGCUGAAUGCUCCUAUCCCUCCUGGAGCCAGCUUUGGUUACCAUCCUGGUGGCUGGGGAAAGCCUCCUGUUGAUGAAGUAAGUUUUAAAUUCUUGGUAUUGUUUCCCUUGUUUUACUCCAAUUUCAAACCACUAUAUAUAAAUAUUUGUUUUUUAACCAUUUAACUUUGGUCGUUUAACAGUAUGGCCAACCGUUGUAUGGAGAUGUAUUUGGCGUUCAGCAACAAGAUCAGCCCAAUUAUGAGGUACAGCUUUUGGUCAUUAGAUUUAACUUUGUACGUAAUUUCUAUUUGUCUGAUGAGCCUAUAGAGUACUACUUUAAUUACUAGGAGAUAUAUUUAUGAUUGACUUGUAUUAUUGUUUCUAAUUCAUUGAAUUGUCAUCGGACCAUGGCCUUUACUUAUUAAAUUGCAAUAACAUUUUCAUUUAAAUUCAGGAGGAGCCUGUUGACAAGACAAAGCAUUGGGGUGAUUUGGAGGAAGAGGAAGAGGAGGAAGAAGAAGAAGAAGAGGAAGAGGAAGAACAGCCUGAGGACGAAGAUUUAGAGGAUGGCAUUCAAUCUGUAGACAGCAUGUCAAGGUAUCUUAUUUCCAGUGUUUCCCAUAUUUAUUUGUUUUAACAUGCUUUUUCGGUUGUACAUUUCUUAGUUUUUUCUUUCCAUUUUUUUCCAGAUUGGUUGUUUUAUCUUAUCGUUCCACUGAAGAUUGCAACGUAAACUCUUUUUUCCCUUUUACUAAUUUUUCAUCUUUUCCUCAGUACUCCCACUGGCGUUGAGACACCUGCUCAAAUUGAACUUCGCAAGGAUCAGAAAAAAGAACCUGAAAAGCCUUUAUACCAAGUAAGCCCAGUGAUUAGAGACUUUUGUCGUUUGUGUAGUAUGUUUGAUUACCAACAUUUUGUAAUUCUUCGUCUAACUUGUUUUGCAAAGGUACUUGAACAAAAAGAGGAAAGAAUUGCUCCCGGGACACUUCUUGCAACGGGUCACACGUACGCAAUCUGCUUCGUCUCUUUAAACGUUGUGUGUCUACCUUUUUGUUUUUCAACUUCAUUAGUUUCUAAACUUGUCCUUUUUCACGUGCAGGUAUAAUUUGGCUGGCACCCAAGACAAAGCAGGGGCCAAAAAGGUAAUGACUGCAUGAAUUGUUUCUUUCUAAGCUCUAAAAGAAAUUCUGAUGUAUCCGUACCUUCUUACGUUCAAUCUCUGUCUGGCAACUAUUUGUUAUUUUGCUUAUUAUUCUCGAUUGUGUAUCAAUGAUUGAUUUGUCAUUGUUGUCUUAGGUUGAGCUGCUUAGAGGUCAGAAAGCUGAUAAAGUGGAGGUCACUAUACAACCCGAAGAAUUGGAUGAUAUGGAGACCGUUUUGCCUGCAAAGUAAGUCCGAAACAUGAAAAUAUUGAACUUUACUUUUACCAUUUACCUUAGCAGCAGAUAGCUUAUAACUAAUGUAUGGCCUUUAAUAGGUAUGAAGAAGCAAGGGAGGAGGAGAAGCUGCGAAGUCAGAAGGAAGACUUCAGUGACAUGGUCGCAGAGGUGUGUGCCUCUUCUCUACCUUUGGCAAAUUCUAACAAUUAGUUUUUUCAUUUACGCAUUUAACAAAUUCUAAUGGGAUCCCAUCAUAACACCGAAGUUAAGCGAGUUUGGGGUGAGAGUAGUACUAGGAUGGGUGACCUCCUAGGAAAUCCUCGUGUUGCAUACCCCCACCUUAGCCGACCCCACUUAGUGGGAAAGGGCUUUGUUGUGUUGUUAUUUAACAAAUUCUAAUAAGUUGGUUUAUGGUGCAGAACGAGAAGAAGAGGAAACGUAAAAUGCAAGAGAAAGAUGGGAAAAACAAGAAGAGGGACUUUAAGUUUUAGGCUCUACCGGUGUUGUUAUUACGAUUUUUUUUUUCUGGAGGCCACCCUUAUGUUGAGAUUUUGGUGCCGGGGUUUGAAACUUGGUUGUACCGAGAAAUAUGAUACGUUUGCUCCGCUCGUAGCACUUUGAUACACAUUUAGUGAUCUGUAUUGUAAUAUAAUCAAUCACCUUUUGUCAUGUUAAGCCGUAUUUGUUAGUGACUUGGAGAAUCAAAUCGAAAAUAAAUUUAGUGGUCUAUGUGAAUCCCACAAUUGAGAUUAAGACUUGCGUUUUUCAUUGAGUAAAUUGGAGUAAUGGUCCCUCAAUUCUAAUCAAAUUGGAGUAGUUGUUUCUCAACUAAAAAUCCAUUACUAUUGGUCCCUUAACUUAUCAAAAUGUGUAGUUAUGGUUUUAUUUGUCAACUUCGUCAGAAUUUUGUCAAAAUAAGUUAUAUUAGAAUGAUCAUUGCUACAAUUGGGUUAAAGUUGAGGAAUCAUUGCUUCAAUUGAGGUUAAAGUUGAUGGACCAUUUCUUCAGUUGGAUUAAAGUUGAAGGAGCAAUGAUAAUGGAUUUUUUGUUGAGGGAUUAUAGUUGUGCGUUUUGAUGAGUUGAGUGUCAAUGGUAAUGAAUUUUUAGUUAAGGGAUCAUUGCUCCAAUUGAGUUAAGGUUAAAGGAUCAUUGUUACAAUUUAUUCUUUUUCAUUUCUCGUAUACAAUUAGGAUCCCAUGCCAAAAAGGCUAAAAAAAGUAAACGGAGAUUCAAAAGGGAAAACGUAGUCUUGUUUCUUCGCCACUAAGAAGUGAGGUUGUGUUCCUCUUUUCGCUCUCGUUUUCUUUUUCGGCACGUCUCUUAUUUUCAUCUCUUAAAUUUAUUGCGCUUUCUUCAACUCGAAGGUUAUCAAAAGGGAAGUGAGCAUUAUGAGAGAAAAGAGGAUUGUGAAAAUUGCUCAUCAAAUUUUACGACCCAUUUGGAACUUGCACGUUAAACUCUUCCAAUUGUUUUACUUCUAUCUAAAUAAUCACGAUUAUUUAGUUUAGUGAUACUCUCUCUUAUUUUUAUUGAAAAAAAUCUUAACUUCAAAUCUUAUGAAUAAAAAACGUGACGUUUGGUAUUGCAUGGCGAUAUUGAAGCAGUAGGGGCAUGGGACGGGACCUACGGUAUUUGUACUUUUCCAUGGAGUUAUUGAGUUCUCGUUUAGUUUCUUGGGAACUGAUUUUGGGUAUUAUGGAUAGGUUUGAAUAAGAGCAUUAGGGCAAAGUUGUGGACGUUGUUGAAAGGUAGGGAGCUGUCAAAGUUCAAACCCUAAUUUGAGACUCUAGGGUGUUUAGUCGGCUCAAUUAUUGACGUAAACAACCAAAUUAUGUUUCCUCUCACACUUAAUUUCCAUGCAUACGAUAAAAAAAAGGGUGGACCAACCACUGCCACCCUCUACCACUAUAGAGUAUUAGGGCAUAGCCAAUUCAUUGGAGAGAUUUUUUUAGUGUUGGGAACAUGAUCAUGUACAUUAAGUAUUUUAGAAAUAUUCAGUCACUGGUAUUAUGAAAUUUAGUUUACGUGUAGUGUUUUCGGCAGAGCAUUGUCCCACUUAAUACUAUACAUGAGUCUCAUACAUACUUUUUUGACCCUUCAUGUCAUUUGACUAGUAGAUAUAUAGUUACCCAUGAAUUCUCCUCCAACCCUUUCGUACAUUGUUUCAUUCACAAAACCUCCUAUUAUUUUAGCAAAGUUCACGAUUUCAUUACAAAAUUUGUAACACCACCGUGCAACUCGAAUCUUAACAUGAUUGGAAAAAUAGAAACUUGAAAAAGAAGAAUUAAACAAAUAAAAAACGUAUCAACAAAAUCUAAAACAAUUUGCAUCCAAGUCAUGCAAUUCAAAACAAUCAAAACCCUAACUUAUUUCGAAAUCCAUGUGUAUAUAACAGCGAAUAACAAUUUUGAUUUGACAAGGUAACUUGCUUGAUUUGCAAACAAAUUAAUUAGUCAAAUUAAUCAAAGUGACCAUAAUUAGUGUUGCAUGCACAAACCUAAACACCUAAAGUUACCAUCAUCAAUUGCACACCUAGUCCAACCACAGCCCCCUUUACUGUACCAAUGACAUCGCGACACGUGAAACAAUCAUAUUUGGACCCUUCCUAGAACUUCCUCCCUCCCACAUGGAAAAUAAAAUAAUCCAUCUUAAUAAUUUAAUUAGUGUGACAACGAUAGUAAACAAUAAAAACAAAUAAAAGUGUUGGCAUGCGUUUUAAGCUUUUGGAAUUCUUCAUUUGGUCACUGAGAUUGAAUUGUUAAAUAUUAUAUAAUUAAAGUAUGAAUUAAUGUGGUACGAUGCCUUCGUUUCUUUGGUAUGAAUUAAUGUGGUACGAUGCCUUCGUUUCUUUGGUUAAUAAGACUAUUCUUUUGCUUAAUUAAUUUUAAACUUUGGUAUUAUUUUUUUAAGUUUAAUUCGUUUACGACAUAUAUUCUGUCGUAUACUUUUUAAUAAAUUAAUUAAAAUGUGUGGGAGACGACCAUAUAAACAAGAACCUUUACCUAACCAAACUACUCGAUCGAACAAGUUUGAUUUCAACAUCUAACAAAGAUUGGAAUUUGCUUCAAAUUAUUUAAUAAGUUUGGUGCCUUCAUCAUAUUCAUAUGUACGUGGAUCUCGUGGUCUUAUAUGUUCGACGGCCAAACCUCCAUCCAUUGAUGAUGAUAAUAUAAACUCAUCAUAAAUAAUUAAUUCACUCUUUGCUCGUAAUUAGGAAGUUAAGAACCAUGUUAAUGAGAAAAUUUUCAAUGUGCCGGGAGUAUGCUCGAUAUACCAAGUGUCAUAAUACAAGUGUUUGAAUUUUUUUUGUUACAAGUAUCCAACCACUUAUAUUACGACACUUGAUAUGAGAUAUGCUAAGGAAACUCUGAAAAGUGGGACUUUGAGCUAAAUUUUUUCAAAUAUUAAUGUUGACAUGAGAAUUAACGUUAAACUGUGAGGUGUCAGAGGGUCCAUGGAGAGUCCUACUUUGAGAGAGCAACAUUUCAAUAUAGUGGUACUCAAUCUCCACUUUGUUACAAAUUAAGACAUGUAAAUUUAAAAAAAAAAAAUAUCUAUACAAAGAGAUAGGGAGAUGUCUAAACCUCACCAUAGGCUACCUAUAAUAAUUUGGUUCGAAUUUACCUUUAACAAGAAUUGAACCUAAAAUCUCUUAUUUACAAGUGAAGAGGAAUAUAUACCACUACUAAAUGAUAAAGACAUAUCGAGUUUAAAUAUAUCAUAGAUGACAACUGUUCUUGAACACAAUUUGCAUAAAAAAAUUAUUAUUACACACUCAUUUUCUUCUCUGCAUAUGCAUAUUUAUGUAUGACCAUAUAAUAAAAUAAAUAAAAAACAGAGAUAGACAGAAAUUAGAAUCUAGGUUUAGAGAUUAACUAUUUCCUUUUGCAUGGACCACUAACCCUUCAUUGUAGCUACAUUGCACAUAUUUGCAUGGUGCAUGGAUGUGAUUAGAACACAUAAGGCCAACCUGUAACAUGUAAUCACAUGUAUAUAGGGCCACAGGGUCAUCAAAACCCUCCAAAUAUUGUAAUACAAAUGCCCCACUUGUGACCACGUGCUGCUCGACUGUGCAAUUUAUCCCCACAAAAUUGGGUCUACUCGCCACCCCUCUACAACAAUUUGAUCCCCCAACAAGUCGAGCUAGCUAGUCCAUGGAUCCUAGCGUACUUUUUUCCAUUUUAUGUCCAUAUAUAUAUAUAUAUAUAUAUAUAUAUAUUUCAAUUGCCCAAAAUUUCCAAAUUAUAUUAUUUUAUAUGGUAUUGUCGCACAUAAUGUCAUCUAGGACUAGUGAGCUUAAUUUUGGGAACAAUAGUAGUCGACGACGUGAUGUGAUAAUAAUAAGAGCAGUACAUCGAUUGAUGUGACAAUAUUUGUAUUUCAUGUUUAGCCUGAGUCUAAACCUUAUACGUAGUUACUCAAUGUGAUAAAUUAAACUUGUACACAAGCAUAAUUGUUAAUACCAAAAUGUUAUAACCGCUUUAGUUGUUAGCUGAAUUUGCUUGAUUUAAUCCAAACAUUCUAAUCUAGUUGUUUGUAAAACAAUGCAUCACAUACACUGCUGUAUUUUAUGGUUGACUCUUGUUAAAACUGUUAUAUAUAUAUAGCAUUGCAUGCACAGACGACGUUGUAUAUGAUCUGUUUACAUAGCCAACGUAUAAAGCACUAUCAAUGGUGCUGAAGGUAGCCACAUGUCAACAACCCACCUUCACCUUCGAGGUUAAGUAAUUUUCUCUCUUUCUCUGUCUCCUCCACGUUGUUUCUUCUCUUAUAUUACUUUAGUCCUUGAAUAUUUUGUUUCUAUAAAAUUGUGGGGGUGAUGAGUAAGGAAUAUAUAAGAGCAUGGUAGUAUGGUACUAUUGAUUGUCGCCUAAGUUUGCAUAAUUUUAUAAGGUUGCCGCCACCCACCAGUACCAAACCCCACACAUCUAUCAAUCACAACUUUCCUCGACCAUUCAAAAACCUUUCCUGCUCUUCCAUCAUCAUAUCUUAAUAUUCUUCUUGAUAAACCAAAUAUUCAGUUCAAACUACCUGAGUAUAAGCCAUGUGCUGCUGACAUAUAAUCCAUGUGCUGCUGACAUGGUGAAAGGACUAUUCUAAAUGAAACCCAUGAAGUCCUGUCGAAGAUGGGCAGAAGAAUAUUGCAUGAUCUCACAUUAUUUAUUGCAUGCGUGUACUAUUGUUUAUGGCAUGCGGGUGUAUGUAAAACUGUAUAAAAACCAUACUGCAAUGAUGCAGAUUGUAAGAAAGCCAAACCAUACUCCUUGAUGAGUUUAUGCAGUUCACAGUUUUCGAACCCUAGCUUAAACUCUUUCAUGGUAUCAAAGAGCUAAAGUCUAGCGACAAUAAUUUUUUUUUCCCCGUUCUCCCAUGGCUUCUCAAUCUUCCUCUCCCAUUCCCUUUCCUAAUGUCUCCAAUUUUCUCACGAUCAAACUUGAUCGUACCAACUACCCUCUCUGGCAAGCCCAAAUGCUACCUCUCCUCCGCAGUCGAAAUCUGGUUUCCUUUGUUGAUGGAACUAGUAAGUGUCCCCCAGCAUUGCUGACAGAUGAGGAUGGAAACAUCACUGACAAAGUCAACCCUGAUUUCGACACUUGGAUACAACAGGAUGCAACUGUUAUGUCAUGGAUCAACUCCUCCGUCCAUCCUACCGUGCUUGCUGCUUUAAUUGGGAAAACCAGCUCCCACUCUGCCUGGACAACACUACGUGAUCGUUAUGCUUCUCAGUCCACCGGUCGCCUUCUCCAGCUUCGUAGUGAGUUGAUGAAUACUCACCGAGGUGAUUCUUCCAUUUCUGAAUUUUUGGAUAAAAUUAUUGUCUCGCAGAUACCCUCUCUCUCUCUGGUGCUCCCGUUUCCGACUCCGACAUCGUUGCCAUCAUCCUCAACAACGUUGGUCCGGCCUAUGAAAGUACCGUUGCUUCCGCUCAAGCCCGUGAUGAGGCUAUUACCUACAGUGCUUUGGAAGCCCUCCUCCUUGGCGCUGAAAGACGACAGCAAAUACAUUCCGCGUUUGGUACUGACAGUGGGCUCACUGUCCUUGCCGCCGCUCGCAAUGGCAACCGCGCACCUGCAUCUUCUCGAGGACGAGGAUCCUCUACUGGCUUCCGUGGUCGUAGUAACUUCAAUACUGGUCGCGGCUCUACCAAUCGCCACUACAGCUCCUCACCCUCUCACCAAGGUUCCUACUAUCACCAAGGGUCCAACUCUCACCAAGUAUCCCACUCCCGCCCACAUGAUGGGAUUCUUGGCACCUCUCCUUCCCAAGGUACUUUUACUACAAGCCGGAUUCAAUGCCAAAUAUGUAAUCGUUAUGGUCAUUCUGCGAUUGACUGCUUCAACCGCCUAAAUAUGUCUUAUGAGGGACGUGUCCCUGCACCACGUCUUCAAGCCUUUGCUGCUCGUGCUCCUCCUGCUUCUGCAACAGCACCUGCCAUACAGGAAUGGCUGUUUGACUCCGGGGCCAAUGCUCACAUCACCAAUAAUCUAGCUACUGUUGCGCAUCCUCAUCCUUAUACUGGCAUGGACCAAGUCAAUGGAGUUGUUGGUGGCACAGGUUUGCAAAUUUCACACAUAGGCAACACUUCCAUUCGUACACCUACCUCUACUUUCACAUUACCUAAUACACUACUAUGCCCUAAUGCAUCAACCAAUAUUAUUUCUAUCCAUCGUUUUACUACCGAUAAUAACUGUUCUCUAACCUUAUAUCCCAACUCAUACUGUGUUCAGGAACUCCACACGGGGAGGAUGCUUUUACAAGGCCCGAGUAGGAAUGGAUUCUACCCUUUUUCUGGUGUUUCAUCUUCCAUUAAAGGCGUGUCUGCAUUUUUAGGAACUAGAGUGUCCAAUUCAAUUUGGCACUCUAGGUUAGGUCAUCCAUCUUCUCAUAUUUUGCAAAAUUUGGUUUCUAGGAACAAAUUGCCUAUUAAGGGCGUUGUAACUAGUGAGUUAUGUCACUCAUGUCCCAUGGGCAAGAGUCACAAGUUACCUUUUCCAUUGUCUGUCUCUAGGUCUUCAUCUCCUUUACAAUUGGUUCAUUCCGAUGUAUGGACUUCACCUUCUUUUUCUAUCAAUGGUUUUAAAUAUUAUGUCGUGUUUAUUGAUGAUUUUUCUCGCUACUCUUGGCUAUAUCCCUUAAAAUUAAAAUCUGAUGUUUUUCUCACUUUUGUGUCCUUUAAGAAAUUGGUUGAAAACAUGUUCCACACUACAAUUAAAUCCUUUCAAACUGAUGGAGGAGGGGAGUACGUAAACAACAAAUUCAAAAUUUUUUUUGACUCAACAUGGCAUUCUACACAUCGUUUUACAUGUCCACAUAUCAUCCUGAACAAAAUGGAAUUUCCGAACGUAAACACCGUCAUAUCGUUGAAACUGGUCUCACUCUUCUUGCUCAUUCCUCCUUACCAACUUCUUUUUGGGAUGAUGCUUUCCAUACAGCAAACUAUUUGAUCAAUCGUUUACCCACUAAAGUUCUCCAUGAUGAGUCUCCCUUUCAAAAACUGUUUCAAAAAUCUCCUCAAUAUGAUUUUCUUAAAGUUUUUGGGUGUGCAUGUUUUCCAUUUCUUCGUCCUUAUAAUACUAACAAGCUGCAAUUUCGCUCCAAACGUUGCAUUUUCUUAGGUUAUUCAUUAAAUCAACAAGGUUAUAGGUGUUUAGAUACGUCCACAGGUCGCAUUUUUUUGUCACGCCAUGUCCUAUUUGAUGAAACCAAUUUUCCAUACAAAGAAUCCAUUUCUACAACGUCCUCAUCCUCCCAAUCGUCUAUGGUACUGAACAUUGACCCCUCUUCUUUCCAUUAUCCCUCUAGGAACCCCAUUUUCCCAACUGUACCACCAAACCCACAUCCGUCCAACUUAUUCCCCAUAUUAUCUCACCCACCUAACCCUAGUCCUAUUCCCUGCCCUUUACCACCACAUCCGCACCAUCACAUGCAUCCCACUAUACCAUCCCCCAACCUAACCCUAUUUCCUCUAAUUUCCCACCAAAUCCGCACCUCCCUGCCCCUUCUUCCAUUCCAUCCCCUACGACUGCAAUGGGUGUUGCUCCUGUCUCACCUUCCUCUCAGAGACAAAUUCAACCUGUUCACUCCAUGGUUACACGCUCAAAGGAUGGCAUUCAGAAGCCAAACCCCAAGUAUGCUCUUGUUUCUGAUGUGACUAAUGAACUUGUUGAGCCCUCUUGUUUUACACAGGCAAAUAAGUCUCCCGAAUGGCGUAUGGCAAUGGCAGAAGAGUUCAAUGCUCUACAAAGCACAGGAACGUGGUCCCUAGUUCCUUCUCAUCCCUCCAUGAAUGUCCUACCAAAUAAAUGGGUCUACCGUAUUAAACGGAAAUCUGACGGUUCCAUUGAAAGAUUUAAAGCACGUCUUGUUGCCAAUGGUUUCCAUCAACAAGAAGGGCUUGAUUACAGUGAGACGUUUAGUCCCGUCGUCACUCAUGGCUUCUCAAUCUUCCUCUCCCAUUCCCUUUCCUAAUGUCUCCAAUUUUCUCACGAUCAAACUUGAUCGUACCAACUACCCUCUCUGGCAAGCCCAAAUGCUACCUCUCCUCCGCAGUCGAAAUCUGGUUUCCUUUGUUGAUGGAACUAGUAAGUGUCCCCCAGCAUUGCUGACAGAUGAGGAUGGAAACAUCACUGACAAAGUCAACCCUGAUUUCGACACUUGGAUACAACAGGAUGCAACUGUUAUGUCAUGGAUCAACUCCUCCGUCCAUCCUACCGUGCUUGCUGCUUUAAUUGGGAAAACCAGCUCCCACUCUGCCUGGACAACACUACGUGAUCGUUAUGCUUCUCAGUCCACCGGUCGCCUUCUCCAGCUUCGUAGUGAGUUGAUGAAUACUCACCGAGGUGAUUCUUCCAUUUCUGAAUUUUUGGAUAAAAUUAAUUGUCUCGCAGAUACCCUCUCUCUCUCUGGUGCUCCCGUUUCCGACUCCGACAUCGUUGCCAUCAUCCUCAACAACGUUGGUCCGGCCUAUGAAAGUACCGUUGCUUCCGCUCAAGCCCGUGAUGAGGCUAUUACCUACAGUGCUUUGGAAGCCCUCCUCCUUGGCGCUGAAAGACGACAGCAAAUACAUUCGCGUUUGGUACUGACAGUGGGCUCACUGUCCUUGCCGCCGCUCGCAAUGGCAACCGCGCACCUGCAUCUUCUCGAGGACGAGGAUCCUCUACUGGCUUCCGUGGUCGUAGUAACUUCAAUACUGGUCGCGGCUCUACCAAUCGCCACUACAGCUCCUCACCCUCUCACCAAGGUUCCUACUAUCACCAAGGGUCCAACUCUCACCAAGUAUCCCACUCCCGCCCACAUGAUGGGAUUUCUUGGCACCUCUCCUUCCCAAGGUACUUUUUACUACAAGCCGGAUUCAAUGCCAAAUAUGUAAUCGUUAUGGUCAUUCUGCGAUUGACUGCUUCAACCGCCUAAAUAUGUCUUAUGAGGGACGUGUCCCUGCACCACGUCUUCAAGCCUUUGCUGCUCGUGCUCCUCCUGCUUCUGCAACAGCACCUGCCAUACAGGAAUGGCUGUUUGACUCCGGGGCCAAUGCUCACAUCACCAAUAAUCUAGCUACUGUUUGCGCAUCCUCAUCCUUAUACUGGCAUGGACCAAGUCAAUGGAGUUGUUGGUGGCACAGGUUUGCAAAUUUCACACAUAGGCAACACUUCCAUUCGUACACCUACCUCUACUUUCACAUUACCUAAUACACUACUAUGCCCUAAUGCAUCAACCAAUAUUAUUUCUAUCCAUCGUUUUACUACCGAUAAUAACUGUUCUCUAACCUUAUAUCCCAACUCAUACUGUGUUCAGGAACUCCACACGGGAGGAUGCUUUUACAAGGCCCGAGUAGGAAUGGAUUCUACCCUUUUUCUGGUGUUUCAUCUUCCAUUAAAGGCGUGUCUGCAUUUUUAGGAACUAGAGUGUCCAAUUCAAUUUGGCACUCUAGGUUAGGUCAUCCAUCUUCUCAUAUUUUGCAAAAUUUGGUUUCUAGGAACAAAUUGCCUAUUAAGGGCGUUGUAACUAGUGAGUUAUGUCACUCAUGUCCCAUGGGCAAGAGUCACAAGUUACCUUUUCCAUUGUCUGUCUCUAGGUCUUCAUCUCCUUUACAAUUGGUUCAUUCCGAUGUAUGGACUUCACCUUCUUUUUCUAUCAAUGGUUUUAAAUAUUAUGUCGUGUUUAUUGAUGAUUUUUCUCGCUACUCUUGGCUAUAUCCCUUAAAAUUAAAAUCUGAUGUUUUUCUCACUUUUGUGUCCUUUAAGAAAUUGGUUGAAAACAUGUUCCACACUACAAUUAAAUCCUUUCAAACUGAUGGAGGAGGGGAGUACGUAAACAACAAAUUCAAAAUUUUUUUGACUCAACAUGGCAUUCUACAUCGUUUUACAUGUCCACAUCAUCCUGAACAAAAUGGAAUUUCCGAACGUAAACACCGUCAUAUCGUUGAAACUGGUCUCACUCUUCUUGCUCAUUCCUCCUUACCAACUUCUUUUUGGGAUGAUGCUUUCCAUACAGCAAACUAUUUGAUCAAUCGUUUACCCACUAAAGUUCUCCAUGAUGAGUCUCCCUUUCAAAAACUGUUUCAAAAAUCUCCUCAAUAUGAUUUUCUUAAAGUUUUUGGGUGUGCAUGUUUUCCAUUUCUUCGUCCUUAUAAUACUAACAAGCUGCAAUUUCGCUCCAAACGUUGCAUUUUCUUAGGUUAUUCAUUAAAUCAACAAGGUUAUAGGUGUUUAGAUACGUCCACAGGUCGCAUUUUUUUGUCACGCCAUGUCCUAUUUGAUGAAACCAAUUUUCCAUACAAAGAAUCCAUUUCUACAACGUCCUCUCCUCAUCCUCCCAAUCGUCUAUGGUACUGAACAUUGACCCCUCUUCUUUCCAUUAUCCCUCUAGGAACCCCAUUUUCCCAACUGUACCACCAAACCCACAUCCGUCCAACUUAUUCCCCAUAUUAUCUCACCACCCACCUAACCCUAGUCCUAUUCCCUGCCCUUUACCACCACAUCCGCACCAUCACAUGCAUCCCACUAUACCAUCCCCCCAACCUAACCCUAUUUCCUCUAAUUUCCCACCAAAUCCGCACCUCCCUGCCCCUUCUUCCAUUCCAUCCCCUACGACUGCAAUGGUGUUGCUCCUGUCUCACCUUCCUCUCAGAGACAAAUUCAACCUGUUCACUCCAUGGUUACACGCUCAAAGGAUGGCAUUCAGAAGCCAAACCCCAAGUAUGCUCUUGUUUCUGAUGUGACUAAUGAACUUGUUGAGCCCUCUUGUUUUACACAGGCAAAUAAGUCUCUCCCGAAUGGCGUAUGGCAAUGGCAGAAGAGUUCAAUGCUCUACAAAGCACAGGAACGUGGUCCCUAGUUCCUUCUCAUCCCUCCAUGAAUGUCCUACCAAAUAAAUGGGUCUACCGUAUUAAACGGAAAUCUGACGGUUCCAUUGAAAGAUUUAAAGCACGUCUUGUUGCCAAUGGUUUCCAUCAACAAGAAGGGCUUGAUUACAGUGAGACGUUUAGUCCCGUCGUCACUCAUGCUACCAUCAGGAUCAUUCUCUCCGUGGCUCUUCAUUUUUAACUGGCCAAUUCGCCAACUUGACGUCAAAAAUGCGUUCCUUCAUGGCUCUUUAAAUGAAGAAGUCUACAUGCGCCAACCUUCUGGUUUUGUCGAUCCGCAGUUUCCGUCACAUGUAUGCCGUCUUCGCCGGUCCUUAUACGGCUUAAAACAGGCUCCACGUGCCUGGUUUCAGUGCUUCUCUCACCAUCUGGAGGAGCUCGGCUUUCAAGCCUCCAUGGCAGAUUCUUCGCUGUUCAUUUUCUGCAAUGGAACUAAUGUCAUUUACUUGCUCAUUUACGUUGAUGACAUCCUCGUCACCGGUAAUAAUCCAGCUCACAUCUCCACCUUGAUUCAUCAAUUGGGUCGAAAAUUCUCCAUGAAGGACCUUGGUCCCUUGCAUUAUUUUUUGGGAAUGGAAAUUACGAGAACGCCAACGGCCAUGUACUUAACACAGUCAAAAUAUAUCCUGGACCUCCUCAAACGAACUCAGAUGGCUGACGCCAAACCCUUGUCUACUCCAGCCCUCCCUGGCCGCAAGCUUAGUUUGUAUGAGGGCGAGCCCUUGGCGGAUGGAACAACCUUUCGAAGUAUUGUUGGGGCUCUCCAAUAUCUCUUAUUCACACGUCCGGACAUUGCUUUCGCUGUGAAUCAAGUCUGCCAGUAUAUGCAUUCGCCCACCACUACACAUUGGGUUGCCGUCAAACGCAUUCUUCGCUAUUUGAAAGCCACUCAUGAUCGCGGUCUCGUUUAUAAACCCAGUUUUUUGUCCCUCACAGCAUUUGCCGAUGCUGACUACGCUGGUGACCCUGAUGAUCGUCGCUCCACUGGUGGUCAUUGCAUAUUUCUAGGGGAUAACUUGGUCUCCUGGAGUUCUAAAAAGCAGCGCGGCGUGUCUCGCUCAAGUACGGAGGCCGAGUAUCGCCAAAUGGCCUACACAGCUGCCACCUUAUCUUGGUUCAGACACAUUUUUUGUGAUCUUCGUCUUCCUCUCACUCCACCAAAAUUGUGGUGUGACAAUAUCAGUGCACUGGCAGUGGCUUCCAAUCCUCUAAUUUCCCACCAAAUCCGCACCUCCCUGCCCCUUCUUCCAUUCCAUCCCCUACGACUGCAAUGGGUGUUGCUCCUGUCUCACCUUCCUCUCAGAGACAAAUUCAACCUGUUCACUCCAUGGUUACACGCUCAAAGGAUGGCAUUCAGAAGCCAAACCCCAAGUAUGCUCUUGUUUCUGAUGUGACUAAUGAACUUGUUGAGCCCUCUUGUUUUACACAGGCAAAUAAGUCUCCCGAAUGGCGUAUGGCAAUGGCAGAAGAGUUCAAUGCUCUACAAAGCACAGGAACGUGGUCCCUAGUUCCUUCUCAUCCCUCCAUGAAUGUCCUACCAAAUAAAUGGGUCUACCGUAUUAAACGGAAAUCUGACGGUUCCAUUGAAAGAUUUAAAGCACGUCUUGUUGCCAAUGGUUUCCAUCAACAAGAAGGGCUUGAUUACAGUGAGACGUUUAGUCCCGUCGUCACUCAUGGCUUCUCAAUCUUCCUCUCCCAUUCCCUUUCCUAAUGUCUCCAAUUUUCUCACGAUCAAACUUGAUCGUACCAACUACCCUCUCUGGCAAGCCCAAAUGCUACCUCUCCUCCGCAGUCGAAAUCUGGUUUCGAACCCUAGCUUAAACUCUUUCACUUCUCACACUUAUAUAUCAUUAAUAGUUAUAUAUACACAUAUAUACACACACUUACAUAUACAUAUAUGUUAAAAUUAUUGAGAUAAGGAGAUUCAACUUAGACAUGCUCACUUCUCAGGAGCUUCCUAGGCAUUUCAUUGCACCUGAAACCAGAAUCACUCAUUUCCUCAGAUCAACGCGUUACCCUUUUGCUUAUAAACAACCCUAGCUAGUCUCAGCCUCGUCAACUUCAUCAGACUGCUUUCUCUUUCGACGUCUGCGUUUCAAGGGCUAGAUAUAAGUAUACCAGAAGAAGAAAAAGAAAAAUCAAACACUUGUUCCUUGAUCUUCAUCUUCGGGUAACUUGUAAUCAAAUCGUUGUUUCGGGUUUUGAGAGGGUUCGAGGAGAUGGGAUUGAGUACUAAGCAGGUCAACAGUGACGGGAUGGAUUGGAGUCAGACAAGCUUGCUGCAAGCUCAGACGUUUCAGCUGCCAAAACCACCAACCGCCAUGAGGAGGCAGCAGCAACAAAAUCAGCAGCAGCAAUCCGAGCCGUUGAAGUGUCCGAGAUGUGAAUCAACGAACACAAAGUUUUGUUACUACAACAACUACAACAAGUCGCAGCCAAGGCACUUCUGCAGAGCUUGCAAGAGGCACUGGACAAAAGGUGGGACUCUCCGAAAUGUCCCCGUUGGUGGCGUCCGCAAAAACAAGCGCCUCAAAAAGUCAUCAAACACUUCUCCCGCGGAAGCAGCUGCCACAACCGCCGCAAACAGUGCAGGGAUUGAGGAUCAUCACGAGAAAAAAACCGCGGCGCAAGCUCUCUAUCACGCUCUUAUCAGUCCCCAAUCUUUGCUUCCGCAACAGAAUUUGGACAACACAAUCAUAUUUUCAUCAGCAGGUUUAAGUAGCACCACUACUUUGCCUUUUCUUCAUCAAAGUAGAAACCUGAUAACCUUUGAUCCCUUCUCAAGCUCAAUUAGUACUACUACUUCAAGUUCCUUUGACACAAACUUCUCUUCAAUCUCAACAUCUUUGCAAUCCUUAAACGUUUAUAACUACGCUGGCGCCGAAGAUCAGUUCAAAGCCACCGUAGAGGAGCCAACCAUUACAAGCAUCAUGCCAAAUAUUCUUCCUCAGCAGCCCAAUUGGAAAGCCCCUUCCACAAGUAACGCUGCCACGGACGUGUACUCGAACGACUGGAAUUGGGAAGACAUCGAAACCCUCGUUUCUACUGAUCUCAACUUGCCUCAUUGGGAUGAUUCUUCUGAUCACAUGAAACCGUAAAAUUAAAGAAUUAGCCAUCUUCAUUAGCGGUAUGUUAAUUUGAAUUGCGUGUGUGUGAGAAAUCUACGACACAGAAACAGUCUCCCAGUUCUCUUGAUGUGUCACUUUCAGUUUGUCACAUUGUGCGAUCUUCAGGUGAUAUAAUUUCUGGUAGUUUGCUCUCUCAAUCUUGUAAUUUCUAAAGAGAGAUGUAGACUGUUUAAAGCUGUCCUUGUCCUUAGGUUUCAGCUUCGAGAUAUUUAAUUUGAAAAAAAAAAAAUAUAUAUAUAUAUAUAUGUAUGUAUGUAUGUAUUAAUUUGUAAGUUUGUAAAUCUUGAUUGCUCUUUGAUUUUCUUUAACCUGAUGGAAGAAGCAAAUACAUGCAUGUAAAGGUUUAUAUUAGGGUUUUUUUUGGUUCAAUGAGAUAGAAUAGAACUAAUUGGCUUAUUGAUUUUAUUUUAUUUAUUUUUAGAGUAAAUUGUAGCAAUGGUCCCUCAACUAAAAAUCCAUUACCAUUGGUCCCUCAACUCAUCAAAACGUGUAGCUAUGGUCUUUUUUGUCAACUUCGUCAAAAUUUUGUCAAAAUAAGUUAUGUUGGAAGGACUAUUGCUACAACUGGGUUAAAGUUGAGGGAUUAUUUUUCCAAUUGGGUUAAAGUUGAGGGAUCAUUUCUCCAGUUGGAUUAUAGUUGAGGGACCAUUGGUAAUGGAUUUUUAGUUGAGGGACUAUAGCUGCACUUUUUGAUGAGUUGAGGGACCAAUGCUAAUGGAUUUUUAGUUGAGGGACCAUUGUUCUAAUUGAGUUAAAAUUGAGGGAUCAUUGCUACAAUUUACUCUUAUUUUUAUAGAAAUUUUGGUGAGUGGUUUGUGAUAGGAAUGGAAAUGGGGACUCCUACACAGCAGGGCGAACGACAGAAUGUGAUGGAAGAUUCUUGUAAGAUAUGUAUGUAUAUUUGGACAACUGAAUAAGCUUGCACAGAUUUGUUUCCCCAUAUUUUAUGGCCACUGGUUCUAGUCCCUACAGAGUUUGGGUUGUAAAGUAAUUUUAUAACACAAUUUAUAUGUUUUUUUUUUUAAUUUUAUUUAAUGAUUUUUGUGAACUUCUUCAUUUUGUUAGCACAUGACUUGAAUGAAUCAAAAGAAAAUAAAAAAACAGAAUAAGAAUUGCAUGAGAAGAAAACGAGAGCGAAAAUUCACGACCCAUUCCAUAUUUAAUUAUUUUAUUAUUCCCUUCCUGGUGUUGUGUAUUUGAUCCUUCAUAAAACACUAUUCUAAAAAUCCCUGCCUAACGCCGUCUAGGUGUUAGGCGGCUGGCCACCAUCCCGAUUAAUGCCUAGGUGUAUGAAAAUUAAGAAAGGGCACCUAGACAUGAUGAGACACCCGCCUAGCCCGCCCAAACCCGCUUAGGUUGCGACUCACUUAGAGAGAAAAUAGAUAACUUUCAUUUUGUAUUUUAUUUUUUUUUGCAAUAAAUUGUAAGAGACUUGCUGAAUGGUUAAAUGAACACACAUUCCCCAUGUUUUCAUUAUGUUCCAAUACUUCAUAAUAUAUAUGUCAUUCUUGAUGAAAAAAUAUAUUUUUAAGUAUAAAAAGACACUUAUUUACAUGAAAUAUAAUUUAUUUACUUAAAUUCCCCUAGUCCGUCUAGGCACUAGGUUCCAGUCCACUGCCCAACUAGCGCCUAGCUCGCCGCCCGGCUAGCGCCUAGCGUCUUUUAGAACCUUGUCAUAAAGUUGUAAGAUUGAGCCCUAAAAUCCAGAUCGUUUCAAAGUGGUCCCAUUCUCAUACUCUCACUCCAGUUCUAAAGACUACGGAUUUAGCAUGUGCAUUUGGGGCCACAGUUCUGUGACAUAUUUUUCUUUUUGUUAAAAAUAGAUCAUGUUUUGAUGCUUCAAACCUACGUUUCCUCAGAUCCAUCUGUAAAAUAAUUAGGAUUAUGAAGCAAAUUGCCAUCGAUGGAUGACUCCAAAAGCACCAGUCCAAUGCUUGUGCUGUAAAGUGAGGGAGCAAAAUUGAUCUAGGAAUGGACUGAGGCACCGGACAGAUGCCAGAUACUAGUUUGGUGGCUCGGUGUGGAACGGACUAUCCAUUUUCGAAUGUCUGAUGAGGGCUAGUGGACUAUUGUCUUGGCCGUUGUUUGACGCUGGAACUGGAACUGGAACUGGACUAGUUAAACCGGACAACAAUCCAAUGUACUGUGUCUCUGUUACAGGUUCCACCGAGAGGAGUGAGAUUAUAACACUGACUUGCACUCAAUUCUAAUCUCAUCCAGUUCCAUCCGUCGAACGAGCCUUGUGGUAAUAGGACACUGAACUCCAAAUUAGUAAUUUUAAGAGACAUAAAACUCCAAAUAUCAUACAUAAAUCACAAGCAUUUCAAAUAUUCAAUCAUAUGGCCUGUUAAUUAACUAACUUAGUCCAUAAGAUAGGCAUGCAGCUAUUAGUCAACCAACUACCAAGUGAUAAUACAAGAUCACUGUCACUUCCCUCCACUUGGUUUCUGUUCUAGAGGUUCUGAAUCCUCACACCGGUGUCUCUGCUAUAGGCAGCCGGGGAUUCGUUAGCCCUGGAAUAACUAACAUAGUAAAGCUCUGAGAAUAUGCCUGUGAGGACGACAAAUGCAGCCCCAGCUCCGAAGAUUCAUUUCAUCAUUGUCUCACAUGAAAGUUUAUCGUUCAUAAACACAGUCCGGUACUUCGUGCGGUAUGCAUUUCUCACUGAACCGGCGAGAGGCAUCCCUCAGCAAUAAGAAAAAACACCCUGAAGUUUUCAAUUCGACACCAGUAAAUCUGAAGUCUGAAAUUGAAAUAUAAGAAUAGCAUUUAUCUUUCGACAACAAGCGAUAUUAAGAUGUUGAUCUUGAGAGUGUAAACAUUAUACACCAAACAUGAUCUCAGAGAAUGAGGGGAUUAUAUGAGGAGUACUUACCAGCUGGUAAUGAAUUGCAUGAUUGCCCAUGACCGAGAUCCGCUGGGUCUCAAUGCCUUUCCACAGCACAAGCAUCGACUUGCCACCAUUAUCAGAGCUUGACUCGCCAAUAAGAACAGAAAUGAUAGCACGAAUUUGCUUGAGUUUGUGUCUUGGCCUGCAAGGGAGAGAUAAUAUAUGAAGUAACAUAUGCAUGGGUUCGACUGAAAUUGCUCGACAGGUCAACUAACAAUGUAUCGAACUGUAAAACAAACUGAUGGUUCUAAUAACUUAAGCUAUCAGUGUGUGUUUCCUCCUCGUUCCAGUUAACGCCAAAUUUGAAAUUUGGAAAUGAAAAAUGUUCCUGCGAUUCGAGUAGAACGUUGAUGACAUACACAUCUUAUGAGAUUUUUCCUCCUUCCUUCGGCUUUUGAGAUUUUGAAUUUCAAUAAUUUGAGGAUGAAUCUCAAGUCUCAACUCAAGUUCCUAGUUGACAUUUGGGUUAAUCUCCACAGAAAAAUCAUGUCCUUAUCAUUAAUUUAACAAAAUUUACACACUAAUUGUAAAUUUUCUAAACCCUAUUAUAAAUCUAAACCUGUAAUAACAUUAUAAGUGGAUUUCAAGGUUUUGCGCCAAUUGGACACAUGUGAGAUUCUCAUGCUAAGUUGUCGGAACUUUAUUUGGACUUUGAUUUGGCAUGAAGAUUACAAAUUGAUAAAUUACUAGAAGAAUCAAACUCUGCACUCACAAUUUAUUUUGAUGUUGCAAUCGGGCACGAGUCGGGCACCAAUCGCCUGAUUGGGCAGUCCGGCACAGCUGGGCCCACAGAUUGCCCAGCAUUUUGUCAUGGGCUGGAGCUGGGUUUUCCAUCUUUUGGGUAAUAAUGGCCCAUUUGCCUGCCUUUUUGUCAUGGGCUGGAAACAUUGAAGCCAUCCCCCAAAACCCCUCUUGUUCUCUCGAGCUCGAAUUUCGUUUAAAACCCCAACACAAAUCGCAGAGACGGAGACUGAGAAACGAAAUGAAGAAAAAAGCGUUUGAUGUUUUUUUUGUUUUUUGUUUUUUUUUUGGAAAGAGGAAUGACAUUCCAAGGCAGAAGCCAAAAGGUACAGGAGAGCCUACAAGAGGCUAACACCAAACAAGCACAAAGAGAAUGAAAGCGAUGAAAGGGGAUACAAACUAGAAGACGCUACAACCAAAUUGAGCAUCACCCCAAACACUACCACACCAAAUCAAUGCGGACAAGGAAGGCCAUCCUUGUUCAAAACAUGCACCAACGAAGAUGGGGGUCUGUCAACCCAAACCCGAUCACACAUCUCCGGAAAACCAACCGACGCAAGAAAAUCCGCCGCAGAAUUGGCUGAUCUUGGAACCCAAGACCAGCGACAAAUCUGGAAAGCUUCACUCAACUGCUUGACUCUUGGCAAGAUAAGGAAAGCCUCCCAACCUCCCAACUGCCAGAAUCAAUAGCACCAGAAAGACAAGAUAUGGAUUCACGAGAAUCCAAUUCCAAAAUGACCGAGCUACACCCCAAAGAGGUGCCCAAUUCACAGCCACGCAAUAACGCAAAAGCUUUUGCCGCAUCAACAUUAAGGGACAUAAUAGCAUACCUCGCAGCCGCCACAAAACUCCCUCCCUCUACACGCAUGACCAUCCCAACAAAGCCCAGUUUAGACACCUUAGACCAGCUAGCAUCAACAUUAAUUUUUUAAAAAAAAAAGGAGAUGUUGGAGGGAUCCACCGAGGAACCAAAUCCUACCGAGCAGAAACCACCGAACCCCCUGUCAUCGUGAAACCCCCCGCAUUCCAGUAAGACCCAACGGCAGAAGACAACCCCAACAGCACCGAAAUAAGAUUAAUGGGAACCUGAUUGAAAACAAAAUUACAACGAGCAAAAAGAAAAGAAAUAACCCCUCGCCGCCCCAAGCAAAUAAACGAAAUCUGAAUUCUCUUACCAAUGAGAAAAUUUUGAAUCCAACUGCUUAAAUCAGAGUGUGUCGCUUAUAUUGUGUUGAUUCGUUUGAUGUUACAAUCGUUGUUGCAAAUCAAGAGGCCACAAAACACCCACUUUUUUUUACCUUUUUUUUCUUUUUUUAAGUGCGACCUUUUCUUCUCUUUUUAUUUACAGUUAUUUACUUCAUGGUGAAGAACAUGAAUAAAGGUGAAAAGGAGUCCAAAUAAUUAUUAAAAAAAGAAAAGAAAUAAACCCUCGCCGCCCCAAGAAAAUAAACGAAAUUUGAAUUCUCUUACCAAUGAGAAAAUUUUAAAUCCAACUGCUUAAAUCAGAGCGUCUCGCUUAUAUUGUGUCGAUAUCAAUAUGUUUAGGUAACAAAGAAUCGAUAUGAUGUUGGGAUAGUCUAAUUCGAAUUGGUCAAGUCCUGAUCCUUAUGGUUGAUAGUUGAUUUUUUUUUUUUUUUUUUUUUUUGAGAAACUGGAAAUCAUAUAACCAGGGCGAAACAAAGAAACCCGAUGUAUGGCAAACAGAGGUGCAUAGACGUGGGGGUAGGGGACAAACGACAUUGCCACUGUUGGCAAAGGUGUUACCCAACCCACACACAAAACUAUCUAAGUCAGGGUACAAGGUAAUCCGUCUUUGUUUAGAAUUCUUACAAACGAAAAUGGGGGCCAAUUGAUCCAGACAUAAUUGCGCAUCUCCGAAACCUGGUGUGACUCAACAAAAUCCGCCGCUUCAUUCCCCGAUCUUGGAACCCAAGACCAGCUGCAAGUUUGAAGUGAGGCACCGAUAUCCAACGCCCGAGACAGCACAUGGAAGGCCUCCCAAAAAGCGUUGUCAAUAGAAUCCCUCAACCAAGCGUUGUCAAUAGUUGAAUCUAUUUUGACAUUUACUUUUACCAUUCAGUAAAGUCAAUCGUAAUUCAAUCUAUCUAUGAACAUUAUUGAUACCACAAAAUCAACAAGUUAUGAGAGAACCGGCAAGUCCUUUAAUUACAUUGAUAGUUUUUUUUUUUUUUUUUUUUUUUUUUUUUUUUUUUUUUUUGAGGUAUAUGGAUAGUUAUCCUAAUGUUAAUGCACACAAAUAUUUUUCACAAUAUGUAUAGGAGGAACAUUAGAAAAUGAGUAGAUAGAAUCAAAUAUUUGCAUGUUUAUUUCAUUUCUCAAGUUUCAUCCUCAAUCAAACACUACCAUAUUCUCACAUCAGUACAUUGAUUUCUAUCACUAAAUUUACUACUGCAUACCAAGAAAAAAAAAAAUUAAGGUGACCAUCUUGUAUUCCUUGGCACCAAAGCUACCACCAGCUAUCAUCUUCAACUCAUCCCACAGCAAGUCCUUUAUCUCUAUACGCAAGCUAUUUUAUUUUUACAUGAUUUCUCUGUUGAUUGUAUCGAAGAUUAAGAGGUUGCGCAUAGAGAUAACGGACUUGUUGGAGGAUGAGUUGAAUACAGUAACAGUCGGGUGGUGACUUUGGUGCCAAGAUAUAAAAAAUGGCGGCCCCGGUUUUGUUUGUGCAUAGCUUGCAUGUGCUUAACAAAAUAUAUGAGAUGGAAGUGGUAACAUGAGUUCAAGGACAAGGGACUUGUUGGACUUGGAAGCUGAAGGUGAUGAAAGUAGCACUCCGGUGAUCAAUUUGGUGCCGAUUGUGGAUGCCAUAAAUUCAGGCAGGUUCAUUCGAUCGACGGGAACGAUGAACUCAAACCAUAAUACUGCAUUGGAUCGUCUCCAAUUCCUGACAAAAAAUGCUCAGAUUAACUAAUUACAGAAACAAAAGAAGUGCAUAAGGAGAAAACGAGAGUGCGGAAAUUUCCCCCUAUGCACUCCGCUCUUUGUUUCUAGCAUUUGAGGUGAAUAAACGGAACAAAAAUCAAAUGAAAAACUUACUUGAAGUUGAAGUGGUAAAGUUGCUGAGCUGAUUUCUGCUGCAAUGGUAAUAGAGAGAUGAUGUAUUUAUAGGUGUUGAUGCAAUAUAAUCAAAAGGUUGGAGUACUGGAAUUUAGUACUCACUGGUACUUGUACAUCUAAGAUGUAGUACAGAUUGGUUAGCAGUGCAAAUGUAGUACGACUGAGAAGAUAACAGAAUAAGGCAACAAAUGAAAUCGCGUUUGCAUCGAGAUCCAACAACAGAUUACUGUUAAGAAAAAAAGUUGGGCUAUCAUAGUGAACUUUGUGUUGAACUAGUGGCAGUGGUCAAAAAUCUUUCGGUAUAUAAAAUAAAAAAUGAAGGACAUAAUGAUGUGGGAACAUCAUUAUGAGGAGACAAAUUAUUAUGUUUGUUGAAAAGAAAAAUGAAGAUCAUGAUGAUGCUUGUAGAUGAAUGAUUAUUCAUUUAGUUUGGAUUUUUUAUUGGAUGCUUUAUGAUGGAUGAAUGUGUGCAGCCGAGUGUGAGAGAGGGAGAGUACAACAUUUCUGUUUUAGUAGCCCAUCUUUGAGAGAGAAAAGACAGCCACAGAGAGCAGAAGAAGAAGAAAGUGCUCAUCUCUUUGGUUAGUAAUCACCCACCAAGGUAGUUGUUGUUGUAAUAGCUUUAAGCUUUGUAUAGAGAGGAAAUUAUUCAUUAUAUUUCUCUCUAUUUGUUUCUUUGGUGUGUGAGAGUGUUUGGACCCAAAUUUACACUAUCGGCCCGUGCAGUUAAGGCCGUUAGAUGAGUAAAGUUCUAGACCAUUUGAUGAUAAAGUGUUUGAGAUAAUUUUCAAUUAUUAUUAAGAAAUAAUAUUGUGAUUUUAAGCAUAAUAUUAUCUCUUAAUAUAUAUUAGAAUAUCUAAGCCUAAUAUUGGCUAUAUCCGGUUGGUUGUUUGAAGAUAAGUGAUGAGGCAAAUCAUAUUUCCAACUUAGAAGUACAGUUCGAAUGGGGUUUGGAUGUUUGGUAUGACUUACAUGGGAAUACAACUACGAAUGGAUUAGAUUGCAUUUUAAGUUAAUGCAUGUAUUGGAUAAAGGUGAAAUGGUGCAGCAGUGGCCAAUGAUUUACAAAUGGCAGAGAAGAAUCAAUCCAUCAGGAUCAGGAUCAUGUAUUGGAUAAAGGUGAUUUGAUGGUGAUCAGGGUCAGGGUCAGUUUGUGAUAAUGGCUGCAAUUGACAUGCAAAUGGAUAAGACAAACAUGAAAAAAGGAAGAUUUAUAUGGUCUCCACGUGGAAGUUUACUGCGAACAUAAGAAGAUUACUUGACACGGUAGUUUUAAAGGCAUGCAUUUUAGGAAUGUGUGGAAAAAGGUUAGUCCAUUGAUUCGGCUAGCAUUAAGGCAUCAUGUAUUAUUCUGCUAGUCAGAUUAUAUUGAAGUGCGUCAAAUCAGAAUUCACCCACUAUAAAUACAAAGUCGCAUGCAACAUUGAGACCAUCUUCAACACAACACACAAACUAUCCUGUGCAAACCCUCGCUCUACGAGAAACCUCUCAAAUAUCUUGAGAUUUUUUAUUUUCUUUUUCGCCAACACAUCUUCAGUUUGGAUAAACAACACUGUGAAGGCAACCGGUGAACAUCUUCAGUUUGGAUAAACAACACUGUUGCCGUAGAAUCAGCCGACCUUGGAGCACUUUCAGUUUGGAUAAACAGCACUGCGUCGAGGCGGACUGGUUAUCUAUCCAAGUCUCGGUUGAGAAGGAUUUUCGAAUCCUUAUUGGCAGAGGUCAUCUCAUUAGCCUUAUCAACGAGGUAAGGUGUUACAAGUUACUACAUUCGGCACAUUGAAAGCUGAAUUUGAUAUUGAACUUCGCAGAACUAGCAGCAUUGUCUUCAUGCUUUAGAACUCGAAGGCCGAGAUGUGUUCCUUCCUCGGUCGCAGUCGCAAGAUCAAGAAGUCAUUAGCGCACCUAACGCAACAUCAACAAAUUUUACUCCUCGACCGAUGAGUUGGCACGCCCGGUGGGAUCCAGUGCUAAAACUACGAAGUUCACAUGAUAGAUCAAGAUUUCAACCAGGUUCCGUUGGAGAUUUGGCGCUAAGUAAAGCAUUGCUACAAGAAGAAAGCAAAACUCCUUGAGAAGUUGUCUAGAAUAUGGGGGCAAUUUUCCGCUCCAGCAAUAAUCAAAAUUCGGCCUAGGAAAAUUGUCAAGACGGCCGAAGAAGAACCUAGGCCAUUUGUUUGUUCGGUCGAGACUGAAAGUGUGGUAGGCCUAAAAGGAAAAGUUCAAGUUUCUGAGCCAGAAAUUGACUCAGAAAAUGAUUCGUCAGAGGAGUGUUCCAAUGACGAACAAGACCGAUACACGGCCUCAAACCAUAAAAUCACAUCGAUUGAUAUGGUAAUUGAAGACAUAGGCCUAGCCGAAAAAAAUCACGCCAAUUGAUAUGAUUAUUGGUGAUAAAGCCGAUAUGGAGAAAUCUUGUUCGGCUAAGAUGUUCAAGUUAAAAGACGAAAUUGGAAAAAUUAUUAUGCCUGGGGGGCAUAAUAAUUGUUCAACACAUUCGGCGGCCGAUGAUAAAAAAUCUUUCGUCAAGCCGAACAUAUUUGCAGAUGAUCUUUUAUUCGGCUUUGGAAAAUCUCAAAGUGAAAACUUUGAUGUAAAAAGAUCCCGGCUUAGAAUAAAGCAUCGUUGGCCUCCUCCUGAUUACGAUUUAACCGUUUUCAAUUUCUUUAUCUAAAAAAAAAAGAAGAAUAAAUUAUUUUCUUAACCAUUCGGCCUUUCAAGCCGAUGCAUAAGAAAAUAAGGGGGGCAACAUUUGGGGCGGCAACCCAAAAAAUGGUGUGCUCGGCUUAGAAAGUUUUUUUUUUAAUACAUUAGCCAAGCCGAGGAAGGAUGUGUGCAGAAGGCCACCCGUUGUGGGAGCUCUUUUUGAGUCGAGUACCAGGCCAAAUUCACACUCGGUGGAGGUAUUUAAGGAUCAAAGAGAAUUGAGAGUUUGACAGCUGAGUUCAUCAAAUACACACACACACACACACACACAUAUAUAUAUAUAUAUAAUCACCUCAGUAUCUUCCAUCAAGAGUAAAUGACUAGGAUGGGCCAAUUUUUGCCGAGACCAUUCAAUGCAUGCAUGCAGUGUUUUGGGGGUACUUCCUGUUCAAUAAUCUCGGCAGAGAAAUUUUGGUGGUGUGUUCGUCGAGCUCAACAAUAUUUUCGGUCUGUACAUCUCGACCGAGAAAAUUAGGGAAGCUAAUCAACGACCACCACGUUUAUUCGGAAAAUAACAAGUGAGAAUGAGUAUAGGAGCUGCUUGGUAAUAUUUGAUAGUCAGUGCAGAAGAGAAAUAAAAAGGAGGAAUCUAGAAAAAAUAAGGGUGCAAACUGUAUGCUCGACAAUCCAAACUUUAGUCUUGCCAAGACUACAUAUUAUACAUAUAGAGUUUUGAUGUUGGACAUAAAUCAUGCAACAUUUGCCGAGUGGCCGAAUACAAUUCUUUGUCUAAAUAAAAGAAAUUUGGUGAGCUCGACGAGAAGCGUUGCAGGGCGUUUUGUUGGCCGAAGUUGGUUUGUCACGAUUUGGGCCUGGCUUAGCAGUAUCACAGUCAUGAUUGAUGACAAUGGGUUUAAUAUAUAUAUUUAUAUAUAGGCAGGCCGAGCUGCCAAGACAAAUGCUUCUCGACCUCGGUCCACUUUACCCUCGACCCUAAAUUUUUUUUUUGUGGCAGCCGAGAAGGACCACUGCGUUGGCAGAACAUACAUGUUAUUGUCAUGGAACAAAGUUUCUUUUUCGGCAAUACGACGAGAUCUUACUGACUCCAAACAAUUAAUUUCCUUAACCAUUCGGCUCACGAGCCGAAGCUCAAGAAAACUGGGGGCAAUGUUUGGACCCAAAUUUACACUAUCGGCCCCUGCAAUCAAGGUCGUUAGAUAAGUAAAGUUCUAGACCAUUGGAUGAUAAAGUGGUUGAGAUAAUUUUCAAUUAUUAUUAAGAAAUAAUAUUGUGAUUUUAAGCAUAAUAUUAUCUCUUAAUAUAUAUUAGAUUAUCUAAGCCUAAUAUUGGCUGUAUCCGGCUGAUUGUUUGAAGAUAAGUGAUGAGGCAAAUCAUAUUUCCAACUUAGAAGUACAGUUCGAAUGGGUUUGGGAUGUUUGGUAUGACUUACGCGGGAAUACAACUACGAAUGGAUUAGAUUGCAUUUUAAGUUAAUGCAUGUAUUUGAUAAAGGUGAAAUGGUGCAGCAGAGGCCAACGAUUUACAAAUGGUAGAGAAGAAUCAAUCAAUCCAUCAGGAUUAGGAUCAUGUAUUGGAUAAAGGUGAUUUGAUGGUGAUCAGGGUCAGGGUCAGUUUGUGAUAAUGGCUGCAAUUGAUUCGCAAAUGGAUAGGACAAACAUGAAAAAAGGGAGAUUUCUAUGGUCUCCACGUGGAAGUUUACUGCGUACAUAAGAAGAUUACUUGACACGGUAGUUUUAAAGGCAUGCAUUUUAGGAACGUGAGUAAAAAGGUUAGUCCAUUGAUUCGGCUAGCAUUAGGGCAUCAAGUAUUAUUUUGCUAGUCAGAUUCUAUUGAAGUGCGUCGAAUCAGAAUUCACCCACUAUAAAUAUAGAGUCGCAUGCAACAUUGAGACCAUCUCCAACACAACACAAAAACUGCCCUGUGCAAACCCUUGCUCUACGGGAAACCUUUCAAACAUCUUGAGAUUUUUUAAUUUCUUUUUCGCCAACACAUCUUCAGUUUGGAUAAACAACAUUGUGAAGGCAACCGACGAACAUCUUUAGUUUGGAUAAACAGUAUUGUUGCCGUAGAAUCAGCCUACCGCGGAGCACCUUCAGUUUGGACAAACAGCACUACGUCGAGGCGGACUGGUUAUCUAUCCAAGUCUCGGUCGAGAAGGAUUUUUGAAUCCUUUUUGGCAGAGGUCAUCUCAUUAGCCUUCUCGGCGAUUUGAGGUGAGGUGUUACAAGUUACUACAUUCGAUACAUUGAAAGCCGAAUUUGAUAUUGAACUUCGCAGAACUAGCAGCCUUGUCUUCAGACUCUAGAACCCGAAGGCUGAGACUUGUUCCUUCCUCGGCCGCAGUCGCAAGAUCAAGAAGUCAGCAGUGCACCCAACGCAACAUCAACAAAUUUUACUCCUCGACCGAGCUCGGCUGACGAGUUGGCACGCCCGCAUACAACCGAAGGACGUAGUUAGCUUACUAAUUACUCGGCCUGCGCGCCACGUAGGCUUGAUAGUUUUUAGGGUCAACAGAGAGCUAUUGGUUGUAUUGGGUUUUGGGUUGUGAACUUGCCAACACUUUGUAAACUCCCAUUUGGUUGAUAGUGAAUUAUUGGGUGAGCUCCUACUGCUCCGAGGACGUACUCCAUUUACACUAACUGUUGAAGAACCUCGUUAAAAUCUUGGUGUCCUUUAAUAUUUUGUUCUUGCAUUCAAUUUGAUAUAUUUCCUGUGGAUUAGCUUGAGUUGGUUCCAUAAGGUUUGGUGCUAUCCUAGCACAACACUUUGGUGGAACAUAACAUGUUAAGCAUAGUCGUUUGUGUAACGUUACUUGUCCAACGAAGAUAAAGAUGACAACGAGAAUCAAUGCAUCAUGAUCCAACCAAUUGGGCUCGUGUAGGACUCGAAUUCAAAAAAUUAUCGUUAUGUACGUCAUAAGUGAACAAAUUAACAUGACAUGAGCGUCAUAUUAAAAAAAAUAAUAAAUGAAUUUUUUAAGUCAUGUGAAGUGGGUGUGAUUUUGACAAAAGUAGGCACUGAUAACAAAAAGUCUCGUCCUUAUCCAGACUAAUGGCUACAUAGAACGUGUGGCUGUAAAUGUGAUUAGACACUGCAAAUGACAUAAAUUGUUCAUACAUGCAUAGCUCUUGACAAAAAGGAAACAAAAACCAUGGCUUCUUCUCUUCCAUUAUCAUCCAACACCAAGAUUGCCACUUACGCUAUCGCCCCUUCACUCCCUCAAAUCUUCCCAAACAAAUCCCAGAUCUCCUUAGUCAGAAAUCUUAGAGGUUCAUGUAAAGCAACAACAAUCAACAGUGACCAAAACCCUAAUCAUGAUCCGCAAACUUGUCUGGUAAAAUUGGAUAGGAGAAAUCUCCUCCUUGGUCUAGGAGGACUUGCCUUGGCUACUCAUAACAUAACAAGGCCAGCAAACGCGGCAGAGACGUCAAAGAAGGUAGUGAAUUGUCUUGAGAACAUAACGUCAAACAUUUGCCUCAACAUUUUUCAUGUUUCUCUAACCCAUGUUAAAUUGCGUAUUUAAUUUGUUGAAUCAUGUGUGAUUAAAAUUUAGCAAUUAUAUUCUGUAUCUUUUCAAUAGGUAGUUUUGGUGGAGAGUAGUGAUUUGCCAAUAGCUUUGGACUCUGUGGUGAGCGUGAUCGUGCCGCGGCCGAGGAGGUCGAGGAGCAAGAAGGACAAGGAGGAGGAAGAGGAGGUGUUGGCGAUUGAAGGGAUUGAGUUUGUGGCAGACAAGGUGCUCAAGUUCGACGUGCAUGUGAACGAUGAUGAGGACUCGCUGUGUCGACCUGACAAGUCUGAGUUUGCAGGGAGCUUGGUGUUUUUGCCACAGUCCAAGAAAAAGGUUAAAACCAGCCUGCAUCUUGGGAUUUCGGCCUUGUUGGAGGACUUGGGAGUUGACGAUGAUGGCAGUAUUAAGGUAACUUUGGUGCCAAGGAAUGUCCAGCGACCCGUCACCAUUGGUCGGAUCAAGAUCGACUAUUUUGCCUAGAUAAUUAGAAAAGAAGCUUGCUUAAUUUCAUGUAACAUAACAUUGUGUAAGAUGAUCAAGAUUCAAAAGACAACGGUAUACCUAUAAAUCAAUCAUCAGAUUCAGAAUUUCAGACCAAGUAACCAUGCCGGCUGCCGACUAAACUACCUGCUCUCCUCCACUUGAUCUUGUACUAGUACUAGUAGUAUUGCCAAAGAUUCCACUCUUAAAUAAUUUGUCCCCAUGAAAGUUGUACCUUUUCUCUUCAACAUAUCUUCUGCUGCGGUUUGGUUGUUGUCCACUUUCGUGUCUUCGUCAUUGGCUUUCCUCUUCUUACCUGCUUCCGCCACAUGAUUUGAAGUACUAGAGCCCGAUUUAUGUCUAGUAACUGGUGUCGGCCACCAUGGGAGCGCAAAUGGGAAGACAGCCGUCGCGGAGUUAUUAACUGGAGCAUAAUUAACCGGAGUGACCUAGUAGUCGUACCUUUCUUGCACGAAUGUUGCACAUGACAUUGUGUUCAUUGAGUUCUAGAUAUAAGAUAUCUUCACUAUUUGGGUCGAAAGCAAGCACCCCUAUUGUGUUGAUCAAUGCAUUUCGCAUAACCAUUCUGGAUACGAAACCGUGCCUACCAAACACCAUUUGCCUGCAGAGUUGUCAACCUGAUCAUCAUCUAUCAACUCCCAAACACUCAAAUCAUUCACUCGAUUAUGAGCUAACUGGCACUUUCGCAGACACGUACCUCCUCUAGCUCUGUUACACACACCUGGGAAUUCAAAUCUUGUAGUGACAGUGACCAGAUCAUCUUUAGGCAUAUCAAUGAAGCGACAAUUAAUAUUAGUAUGACCAGAGCUAUUACUUGUGGAGCUUGUUGUGUUAUUAUUAAUGGAGUUGGGAUGCAACCCAAUUAUAAGUGACCCCUUCUUCGAGAGUCAAGCUAUCGAAACAAAAGCUUCGUGGGCUUAAUACAACAGUAGUUGUCCAUUUACGAGUCUCAGAAGAGAAGAAACUGGAAGGAUGAGUCUUUUGCAAGUUUAGAAAAAAAAAUCCACACUACCUUCUACCUAUACUCAACAUUGAGCUGGAAUAAUGUUUUACAACCGGUUCUACCACAACUUUCUUCUUUUCUUCGGUCGUCAUCUUCCUUGCAUCCGUUAUAGUAGGGUUCACAGAUGAAUCCUACUUGUAUGUCCUCGUGACACUGAGGAGGGGGAGGAAGAGCAUCCCACUGUUUAGUGUAUGGAUUGCAAAUGUAGUAAUUACAUUAACGAUACAUGGUUGCCCAACAUAAAACUAAGCAGUAUAUAAAUACUACCACAAUUGGUUCAUACUCUUGUGACUUGACAGGACCUUGAUGAUAACGAAGGAAGCUCAAAAAGAAGUUCCAUGCUUCGGGCGCCAGAGGCUGCUCGGACAAGGAAAAGAAUUUCUUCGUGUUCGUUGGAUCAAUGAACACUAAAGUAGCAAGCGGAAUUGGAUGUUCGUUAUCACUUUGAGACGUAGAAAGCGUUCAAUAAAAUAAAGAUUAGAAACGAAACUGAACCAGCGUUUCAUGGCAAAAUGAAGAUCGAUUGAGCUGCAGAUUUACUGCGUAGAGGUUUUGGGAGUUAGACGGGCAUAUUUCUUGCGUUAUAAACUUAAUUUAUAUAUACAUACAGUGCAGAAUAUAGGUUGCCCAUUUUCAUCUUUAAGCAGGUUCACCUUUUCUUUUGGUGGCGGUAUUUCAAACUACUAACGCAUUUAUUUGUGUCUUAAAUUUCUUAUAUGACCGUCUAUUAUUAAUUUAAGAUACCGUUAUAUACUAAGUAAUUUUUGGUUCCUUUUCUACCAACUAGUCAAACAUUUUACAAACAGUUGGUGGGCUAAAAAAAUUAAGUAUUAAAACCAAGCUUUCCGCCAUGGCUCCCAUCUCUCGAGCCCACUCCCUUAUUUCCUUCCUCUAAAUCACAAUACUCCCUACACCCUAGGGGGCUUUCUGGUUGUCGUCCCCUUGUCCCAAAAGUUCGCCUCCGGCGUACAAAAAUCUCAAUCCCCCCUUUGCAUAAGGGUCAUCAAAUUAAUCAUAUUAUUAGCUUACAGCGAUUCAAAAGAGAAAUUUGAGUACAAAAGAGACGUUAAGGGAUCGUUUGAUAACCAUUUCGUUUUUUGUUUUCAGCUUUCAUUUUUUUGAAAAUUGAAAUCUUGUUUGGUAACUGCUUUUAGUUUUUCAGUUUAAAAUAAUAAUAAAAAGUGAAAACUCAAGGCCAAUAUUUGAAAAUUGAAGUCAUAUUUGAAAAUAAUUAUCAAAUAUGACUUCAAUUUUCAAUUUGAAAAUAAGUGAAAAUUAAAAUUGAAAAUAAAAUAGUUAUCAAACAGCCUUUAAGAAACAAUAUCUACGUACAUGACGACGAAGACGGGCUAAGUCGACCCGAGAAGGCCGAGUUCGCUGGGAACUUCGUGUAUUUACCGCAUAAGCAGAAGAAGGUGACAACAAGCCUCCAACUAACAGAGUAACGGACUUGUUGGGGGACUUGGUGAUAACGGUGACGACAGUUUUAAGGUUCCUUGGCACCUAAGCUUGGUACCUGAGUACGUCAAACGGCCCGUUACCAUCCGUCUGAUCAAGGUCGAGUUGCUGAACUAGGAGUGCGUAGAUGGAUAUUUCGGGUGUGCUGAGAUGAUUUCACGUGCAAAAUAAUGUAGUCACAAACAACCCACUUAAAUUAAGUUUUCUUAUGUUUAUGACGUAUUUAAUUAGUUUCUUGCUUGUUGUUUGUUUUUGUUGUAUUUUCUCUUUAUAAUAUGUUCUGUAAUUCUCUCCAGAUUAACAAUAAAUAUCAGAAAUGAAAUUGAUAUUAAAAAAUAAAAAUUGUUAUUUCUCACCCUCCAAAAUAUCAUUUACUUCCAUAAAAAAAAGAAAAUCAUGUGCUACAGAAGAUUUCAUUCUUCCGCAGGCUCAGCCCAACGUGUUUAUCAUAGCAGAUUGGGCUAGCCCAGUAAUUUGGGUCAAACGGGCCUGACCCAGAUCACCAUUUUUUUUUUAUUUAAUCAAUGGAGAUCACCAAUUUGAUCAUUGCAUGGAGUGGUGGUGUACAAUUUGGAUAGGUUCGACCCAAACUCAGAUUCAGAUUUCAAUCCAGCAGGGGCAGGAUAAGGCUUAAAACACUUUACGCCGAGAGAUGAUUGGUUUGGAGUCAGUUUUAUAAUUGAUUAGGAGGUUUUUUUUAUUUUUUAUUUUUUUAACUAAAAUGAUUCCCGAGAUUAGCAUAACUCCUCACUUUGAUUCUGGGAUUUGAAAUCGAUAGAAGUGGUCUUGAGUUUGUAAAUUAUUUUGGCUCUUAUGUGAAAAUUCUCCAUUAAAUAAGGAUAAAAUGAUUAAAAUAUCCUCAUUUUUUGUCAAAUCAUUUUGGUCCACUGUUUAUCAAAUUGAGGAUAUUUUCGUCAUCUUGGUCCUUAUCUAACAGAAUUUUUCAUGGAAUGAUAAAAUGAUUGAUAGUGAACAAACUUAAGGAUCACUUCUAUUGAUUUCAAAAUUCAGGAACCAAAGUGAGGAAGCCUAUCUCAACUAGCAUUUGCCUACACAUUUUGUGUGUAUGUACACAAGCCUAUCUCAACUAGCAUUUGCCUACACAUUUUGUGUGUAUGUACACAUUUUUUUUUUAGAAAAUGAGGAGAGGGAGAGAGAGAGAGAGAGAGAGAGAGAGAGAGAGAGAGAGAGAAGGUGAGGGGGGGAGUGGGAGGUUUUUGUUUGUUUUUUUAAAUAUUGAAGGUAUUUUAACAUCAUAUGUAGGUGAGGUUUCAAUAAAAAACAGUAAAAUUUGGACCUGUGAAAUUAUAUUAUUACCCAUCAUUUUUUUGUGUGAUAAAAGAUUAAAUUGUCUUUUCACCAUUUUUUAUUGACAAAGAGAGUUUCAUUAAUUAGUAGAGAUAACCAUUUUUUUUUCCAAAUUACACAAGAUUGUUUUCACAUUCAAUAACCACCAUUAUCUAAUGACUUGAAAUUGCAGGACUCGCCCCCAAAAUAUCCUCGAACUAUUUUCUGUGGUUUGGUUAGUGGGUUUGGAGGAUGAGUCAUGCUCUGAUUGCUAACAAUUGACGAUACAAUCAUCCUAACAAAGGGUAUAAAUUUGAAAAUUUUCUAACAGUGGGGUGCAACGUGCAAAAAUUGAAACUUCAUGACUCAUUGUAAAUUGACUUCAAACAUUGAUAGUGUAAAAUAUAUUUAGCCCAACAAAUAAGUCGGUGUUAAACCAUGAAUGCUCGCUACACUAAGAAAGCUACACUAAGAAAGGGGGGAGAGUUUGGACUCAAGCACAGUAAAUUAAAAGGGAGACUCUAACCACCAAUUUGUGGUACAUGGUUUAAAGAACAAUAUCGAUAAUUCAUACAUAAUUAACACAAAUCUAUAUGUGGAAAUAAAAUCGUCUUAAAUUUUGUCGAUGUGACAGAUUUCUAACCCAAACCGUCCCAUUGUGGUUUUAUUUUACUCUGUUGUGCUGGUUCUAUAUAUGAUAUCUUAUUAUAAGAUGACACACAAUGGUUGAUGGUUCAUUGAUCAAUUUGAAGUAGCUGUGCAAUUUAUGUUUUACUUUUUUUAUUUUUUUGUCAAAAGAUAAAUUUGUUAAAUUAGAUGUCAGAUUAGGGAGCAGGGUUCGAAUUCAUGCCGUAGUGCAAGGGCAACACUCAUCUCCACCAAUGUGAUAGAGGGCCCAAUUUAAUUUGAUAGAAGACUUGAGAUCCUCAUCAGCCAUAUAGGGUUAGGGAAUAAACAUUACUUGCGAUACUAAAGCUAUAAACAUUACUUGUUUGUCUAAAUAUAAAUUUUACAAAAAGCUAGUGCCGGAUUAUUGUUGCUAAUUUUGAUCCUCGUCUUACACAAGCAGUAAUCUGUUGAAUUCAUGAUUCAUAUAGGUUGAACAAAGGAAAAAAGCAGCACUGCCGGAGCAUGUCAAGAGGGACCUUCAUCGUUGGAAAGUUCAUUGCAAGAUGUUGCAUCACGAUCGAUAUAGUUUCAUGGAUCUCUGGCCCUGCUCUUCAAAGGACUGGGAUCAUUUAGCCCGGCAAGAGGUACCUUUAGUGAAAAUGUUAUGCUAGUAUGUCCAUUUCCACCAUGAACAUCUUUGUCAUCAGCCUUUUCCUUUUUCGUAGUAUGCACACAUGCCCCGUACUACCAUCUAUUCAAAAAGCUGAUGUCUAAGAGAUUAUAUUUAUUUAUUUAUUUAUUUUACAUUUUCUUCAUGCUACCGAAAACACUAAAAUCAUAAGAACGAAAUAUGUAAAGGGGACGGUGUAAUUUAAUGUUGAAUCGGUAUUCAUUCACCAUACAAAAUGGAAUAGUACUAGCUUAUGUGUAGAGUAAACCCCUGGACGCUAGUAAGCUCUAGCCCUCUGCAUGGACAAGGGAAUUAUUAAGCUUAUUGUGGAAAUGCAUUCUGCGGCUGCUGUUACUUUGCUGCAGCUGGAUGCAGCUCAUAAGUUUCACCCUCUUGCCUUUCUUUUGAUCAGUUGCCAUAAGAUUUCCUGCUUUGAGAUCAAACAUUUUUUUGUUGUGAAUAUCGCGUAAAGAAAUGAACCAUUUGAAAAAUUUGCAAUUGAGAAAGAACAGUUUUCUUCAUCCUUGAAUUGAAGUCAAAUUAGUUUGCAUUGGUCUGUCUUUCUUGUGAAUAUAAUUUGACUAUUUCUGCCAUAAUGAAGUUAUCCAAUUUCAUUGGAGUUGGCACAUUAACGCUUUUGUCAAAUCAAACCCCUAAGUUUGGUCUUUUUAAGAUGAGUAAACUGCCGAUUUGCCCCCUGAACUAUCACCCAACUUUCGAUUUGCCCCCUGAACUUUUUAAUUGGAAAAUUAAGGACUUAAACUAAUUUUUUUGGCCGAUUUGCCCCCUGCUGUUAAUUUUUCAUUCAUUCCAUCAAAAUUUCUGUUAAAUGGAAGCAUAUGCACAACAUGUGUAGGUAGUUCGGUCGUUUCAUUCUUUAAAAUAAUUGAAAAUCUUAGAUUUCUAAAAUAUAAACCUAUGCAAAUAUGUGUGAUUCUAUAGCUUUUUUGUCUGAAUGUCUAGUGAAAUGACGCUUUUGUCCACAAAUGAGAGUUACGUGGUUUGCACACGAUAAGAGUUAACGUUAAUUUGGAUGAAAUCUAUGAAAAACUAAUGGUAGGGGGGAAAUCGGCCAAAAAAAAUAGUUUAAGUCCUUAAUUUUCCAAUCAAAAAGUUCAGGGGGCAAAUCGAAAGUUGGGUGAUAGUUCAGGGGGCAAAUCGGCAGUUUACUCUUUUAAGAUCUCCAUACCCUCGUUUUCCCUCAAAAGUCUAAUCUAGCAUAUGCACCAAGUGGAAAAAAUUUAUCUUUACAAUCUACCUAAAUCUAAUAAAAAUAUCAGAAGAAUGAAUUUAGGUCGUUGUAUUUCUGAGUCAGCAGAGAGAGGGCAAAUAGUCUUUAAACAUGGAGAGGUGGCAAAAGAGAGAGAUCAAGGAAAGAUUUUUUAGUGUGUCAGGAACACAAUCAUAUAUGUUAGACAUCAUCAUACAAAUAGAGGAUAUAAUAAUAUAUAAUGUACUGCCACAUAUUCUGAACAUAUUAAAAAAUCUCUCGAAAUCAAGGACAGUUGCGUCGUGUGAGGGGCAGGCAAUGUUGAGCCCCUCUUGACAAAUUAUUACAUCCGGAGGGUCCCGUUUUGUGCCUUUUUUUUUCCUCUUAGCAAACCCACAUGCUGCCCAUCUGCAUUAUUAAUAAAAAAAAACCUCACAACUACGUCGUCCCUUGGAUUGCCAAUUGCAAUUGGGGAUCGAUCAUCGAUCUCUCUAUAUAUGCCUUGAAAGUGCCUAUCUGCAUUAUUAAAAAAAAUAAAAACUUCUCGAGAUUACAUGAGAUACCACUUUACUUUACUCAUCCACCUCACUCUCUCUUUCCCUUUUCACGUUUUUUGAUAGGCAUCGAUCACACCUCGAUCAAUGAUGGGAAACUGGCAUCGAGAAUUCCACUUGUGUGGAAAUACGGUGACUCAAUCAGCCAUUAUAUAAAGAGGACACUUGAUCUUCAUUUCUGCACACAUGCAUGUAGCUGAAAAAACCUAAUUGAUAAAGCCAUGGCUUCAUUUCUUCCACUUGCACCCGCCACUACGCUUAUUAACCGCCCUUCUUCCAUUCGUUCUAAUACUUCAACUUCCCUUAGUUGUUUCCCUAGACCUUUGUUCUCAAUACAUCGUUCAUUUGAAAAAGGUAAGCAUGGAUCUCCAUGCAAAGCAAGAAAGAGCGAUGAUGAACAGGGUAUUAACCAAGACGAUGGAAAACUGGACAGGAGAAACAUGCUGAUUGGUCUUGGAGCUGGAGGUCUGUACGGGGCAACCAGUCUUGGCCUUGGGACCAACCCAUUCGCCACCGCUGUUCCGAUUCCCGCUCCUGACCUAAAAACUUGCGUCCGGACCACCGAAGAUAUGAAAGGACUUAAUUGUUGUCCACCGUCAACCGAAAUCAUCAAUUUCGAGCUACCCGAAGUCAAAACACUCCGCACCAGGCCAGCGGCACAUACAGUCGAUCAAAAGUAUAUAGAAAACUACAAAACGGCCAUCGAGCUGAUGAAGAACCUCCCCGAGGACGACCCACGUAACUUCUGGAACCAAGCUCAAGUCCACUGUGCCUACUGUGAGGGUGCAUAUUACUAUGCUAGCAAUGAUUGUGAUGGCACCAAGGAAGAAAUACAAGUUCACUCCUCGUGGCUCUUUUACCCCUUCCAUCGCUGGUACCUCUACUUUUAUGAGAGAAUCCUUGCCAAACUCAUUAAGGACCCAAAUUUUGCUCUGCCCUUCUGGAACUGGGACGGUAAAGACGGCAUGUACUUGCCUCCUAUUUUCGAGGAGGGCCGCAGUAGUUCCCCACUCUUCGACCACUACCGAAACGCCAAGCACCGGAAGAAGAAAUUUGUGUUGGACCUCAACUACAAUUGCACCGACUCCGGCAAAACAGAUGAAGAAAUUAAAGAGGAUAACCUCUGUACUAUGCACCGGCAGAUGUACUCUGCUUCUACUGGUAAGGAUUUGCGUCUUUUCUUUGGCCACCCUUACAGGAAAGGCGACAAACCUAGCCCCGGUGCAGGAAACAUUGAGCGUAUUCCCCACAACAAUGUCCACAUCUGGACUGGCGACCCCGAUUGGGUUAGAGAGGACAUGGGAAACCUUUACUCUGCUGCUAGAGAUCCCAUCUUUUUCGCGCACCAUGCCAACGUAGACCGCAUGUGGUACUUGUGGAAAAAAGAAUUACACUGCAAGGACAUCUCCCAAGAUGACUGGCUGAAAGCCGAGUUUCUAUUCUACAACGAGAACAAGCAACUCGUCCGAGUUAACGUCGAACAAUCUCUCGACACGGACAAGCUCGGGUACAAGUACGAUGAUGAUGUUGAUAUCGAGUGGAUGAGCAAUAAGUACAAGCCAAAAGCUCGUAAGUCAUUAAACAAGGCAAAGCCAAACGUCUCUAGGUUCCCGGUGAAAUUGGACUCCAAGGCAAGUGUUAAAGUGCAGAGAGCAUCUUUGAAGCGGCCCGCGAACGAGAAGGCAGAACGAGCAGAGGUGUUGUUGAUCGAAGGGAUUGAGUUCCCUGGUAACCAGGCUGUGAAGUUUGAUGUGUAUGUCAAUGACGAUGCAGACACGGAGAGCGGGCCUUGCAACUCUGAGUUUGCUGGCAGCUUUGUUCACGUCCCACACAGGCACAGCCACACUAUUAAGACCAAUAUGACAUUAGGGAUUACGGAUCUGUUGCAGGACUUGGAAGCUGAAGAUGACAGCCACGUGGUUGUGACUUUGGUGCCAAGGUAUGGGAAGGGGCCUAUCACCAUUGGUGAUGUCAAGAUUGAGCUCUGAUUCUUUUCUCGGCCUUCUCGAUCCACUGGAUCUGUUUCCAUGCAUGCUUUCUACGUAUCCUAGCUACCCCUUUCUUGCUGCCAGUGCUAAUAAAUUGCAUGCAUGCUUUGAUCAGAGCACUGCGAUGUUUCUGCUGCCUUUCAUUUCCAUCCUUCAUUACUUUCACUUCUUGUUUGUGUCAAGUUCUUGUGUAUGUGUAAUGCAUGCGUCGAUCAAGACCACGUACGCAUGUACCACAGUGCAUGCUUCCGUGGGAGAUCAUUUAUGUUGGUUGUUGCUAAAUAAACCUUAUGUUCAGUGUGUUUAAGUUGCUUUAAUUUGCUUUUUGUUCUCUCUCUCUUUUUCCUAAAGGCGAUUCAUAUAUACUGCAGUGGCGAAGCCAGGAAUUCUCGGGAGGAGGGGCAAACUUAUAUGCGUGCAAGGUUAAAGAAAAAUGGCAACAACCAAAUCUUUUUAUAUAGAAAUGUCUUAUAUAAUUAAUCAAUACAAAUAAAUUACAGUUGUUGUCGGCGAAGUUUCAUGUUAUGAAAACGUCACAUAAUAGGAUCAUUAUCAGUAAAAGCAAAUACAUCUCUCUCAAAGUAACAAUCAUGUUAUCACUCAACUAUUGACUCUCAUUUUGUUACGCAAUGAUGUUUUCACAAUCUUCAUAGUAGAAAAAACUCUUUUCACCGAAACGGUUGCAACCGGUAACACUAAAGUUAAUGUAAGAAACUUAUACAUUAACAUGUAGCUUUCACACCUCCUGGUUCAUUUUGUGAGAUUUAGGUUAACAAAGUUCAUUUUAGAGUUACUACCUACGAAUUGCUUCGCGAUAAUUGGAGAAGGAUUUAAGCACUGUUUCUUAUAGUAUCGUUCCAUUACAUAACUGUAUAACAAAAGAAAAAAAUAUAUCUUAGACUCUUAAUCCUAGAGUAGACUAUAGGGUAAUAUCUAAUCAAAUCACAAAUUAAUUAAUCAAUACUAACAAUCAUAUGAAUAAUCAAGAAUUCAAUUUUUAUUCUAAACCACAAUUAAAAAUUGAGUAAGUUGAUUAGGGUUUAUAGCGGUUACUGCAAUCAAUUUUUAUUACUAGACCACGUGUGAUUCAACUUCAUAUAAUAUAUAUAAUGUAUGAAUCCUCUUUUAUGUACUUCAAAAAAAAAAUAAAAAAAAAAUCAAUAAUCAUAGUAUUUAUAUGAAUAAUCUAUAAUCGAUAACCAUAAAUUUAAAAAAAAAAAUUAAAAAUUAACCUCACUUGGAGCGGCUGGCAUGGCGUCUGGAGCUUGGUGGGCAACGGAACAGGACUUUCUUAUGUUCAAUCUCGGGAUUUGAGUCAAUUUUGAAAAUUGAAAUAUGGGAAUAAAGGUGGGGGGAUGGGAUUUGUAAUUUAUGGGCAAGAGUGGGGGUAAUAAUUGAAACGGGUGGGAGGAUUGGGAUGGGUACCAGUGGCUCUUUAAAAAAAAAUUUAUUUGAUUAAUGCAAAACGACGUCGUUUACCAAACCAAAAUUAAAAAUUAAAAAAAGAACCUGCAAGCUCACAGUUCCCAGAUUCGAACCAUGAACCACCGUGGUUCCCAGAUUCCGGCCGAACCAAAGGGGUUCAAGCCUCGCUCCUGCCUUUGUUUUCCGGCGAGCGGAGGGGCGGCCGCCCCCCUUCGCUCCUAUGUAGCUUCGCCAUAAUAUACUCCAACUGCAUUUGAUUCGGUGAAUGUCUCAUUACAUGUCUUUUACAUUUUUGAUAAAUUUUUUUAUAGAGGGAUGGCCCGGAUGGGCAAUUAAUGAUAUUAUAUAUGAUCAAUCGAACGAAAACUAAUUAAAUUCAAGACGUAAACCUAAAACUUAAGUGUAAAUGAAUACACACGUGCUAAAGGAUUUUGGUGCUUGUAGACGAGAUGAAGACCUAGUUUGGGAGUGAGGUGCUUAAAAAAAAAACACCCAUGAAAAAAAGCUGUGAGGGUUUUAGGUGUUUGGUAAACUGAAAAAAAAGGGCUUAUUUUAGAAGCUGCUGUGAGAAUAAGCUGAAAUCAAAGGAAAAAGCUGAAGCUGCUAUUUGUAGCUUUGGAAAACUGGCUUUUUUUCAAAGCACACGGAGCUACAGUGCUUCUUUAAUGAAAAGACCCACUAUCAGACUGCUUUUUUUUUCCAAAAGCACUUUUACAAAAAAGUUUACCAAACACUCAGCUGAUUUAUUUCACAGCCGCUUAUUCUCACAGCACAGCCGCUUAUUCUCACAGCAGCUUUUUUUCAAAGCACAGCAAUACCAAACCAGCCCGAACUUAUAUAUGGUGGCUGGUUAACUGACAUAAUGUAUAUGACACAUAUUUGAUCACAUAAGUAUAGACACCAACAUAGAAGAUGAAGAUGGAUUAGGAAGUGAAGAACUUACCAAGAGAGGCUGCUGAGAGGCCGUGGAAAAAUUGGUUGAGACCUUUAUGAACUGGUUGGUUUAACAAGCACGUGAUAAACAAUGAAAUAAAACUAGGUCAGUAACUAUUGAAUUAAUAGAACAGAAAGAAGAAGAUUUUGUGAAGGAGUUGUAGACAUGUAAAUUUCAGUGAAAUAAAUGUUCACCAAUAAAUUAAAUUUUGAUCCACUAGAGCUUAAGACGCGCACACCAUGGGCUCCACAAAUUGCUCACAUUGCAGGUGAUUCAUCAAAACUGGAUGAAUUAAUAAGAGUGACACGUGUCAGCAUCUGAAACCUCCGUCAAACAAAUCAAAUCAAGUGCAAAAGAUAACAAAUUAACCCUAUAUAAUAUGAUCAAAUUAUAUCAAUUGGGGUUUAAUUUCCUAAAUAAAAAAUUAUGAGCUAAAUUAAAUAAUUUGCUCAAAUUAAAGCACAUCAGAAAAUCAAUCCCACAACUCACAGGAUUCAAAUUGAGUGUUCUAAACGAAAACUCAAUCCCUUGCCUAUAAAUACUAGGCUCAUUUUCAAAACACAAACUUCAGAGAAAUGAAGCAAUUCCAAGCCUUUGGAGAAACUUUGACAAAAAAAAAAAAAAAAGCCUUUGGAGAAAACCAUAAAGCUCUUUUGCCAAAGCAAACACCAAACAUUCUUGUUCUUCAUCAAUCUCAUGGAGGAUUAACAAGCACAAGAAAUACACGUGCCAGUUCCUCCACCAAAGCCGAAGAUCACAACCACACUACUCGUGGUCCCAAUUUGUUCAAGAUCAAGUCUCUACAACUUUUGACCAAAUCACAUCUGGUUCAAGAGUAGUGCUCGCCACCCUUAGAUCAAACUCAAUAUUGGAGAUCGAAUAAGAGAAAAUUCUUUUCUUGUAAAGAAUAUUCCCUAAACAUUCAUUUAAUACAAGUAUUACUUUGUAAACGUGUUCUUGUUUUAUUUGUUGAAAAAAAAAUCAUGUUUAUAGGAGUAUAAAUCCCAAUUCAGAGAGGAUUUCAGAGCAAAAAAUGAUACGGCCAACAAGAGGUUUAAUAAGCACCAUUAAUCCUAGAAAUAAGUAAAACUAAGGAAUUGUAUUGAUAAGAAGAGCUAUAGUAUUAACCCGCCUGCGACGACCAUCGGUCAUUCUGGCCAACGAUUAACCGUUUGAUUCAUAUCUCUCAAUUUUUUUUUCUCCUCCCCUAUCUGCCUCUUCCUCUCUCUUUAAACAUUUACCUUCCACAGGUUUCGAUCCAUCUCAUUUUUCCCAGAUCUUGGAUGCAAGAACACAAGGCCUAGAUUUUCCAUACAAUAACAUCCAUAUCUGGUGCGGUGACCCGAACCAUACCAACCAGGAGGACAUGGGCAACUUCUACUUAACUGGUCGGGAUCCCCUGUUUUACGCCCACCAUUGUAACGUGGACCGGAUGUGGAACAUUUGGAAAACCCUCGGGGGCAAGCGUAAGGACCCAACCGACACCGAUUGGCUCGACGCUGAGUUUCUUUUCUACGACAAAAACGCGGAGAUUGUGAGCUGUAAGGUCCGGGACAGCAUCCAUCCUGAGAAAGAUCUUCGUUAAACCUACGAGCCUGUUAAUGUUCCAUGGCUGUUCACGAAGCCAACCGCUUGUAAGCCGAAGACCAAGACCAAAGCCAAGGUGGCGGCUACUGAGCUGACAACCAAGUUCCCAGCAACGUUUGACUCAAAGACGACGGUGGAGGUAGCGAGGCCAAAGCUGAAGAAGAGUGUUGAGCUAGGAUAGCACCAAACCCGUUGGAACCAACUCAAGCUAACCCACAGGAAAUUUAUCAAAUGAAAAAGCAAGAGCAAAAUAUUAAAGACACCAAGAUUUUAACGAGAUUCCUCAACAGUCAGUGUAACUGGAGUACGUCCUUGGAGCAGUAGGAGCUCACCCAAGAAUCCACUAUCAACCAAAUGAGAGUUUAAGUGUUGGCAAUCUCACAACCCAAAACCCCAAUACACCCAAUAACUCUCACUCACCAAAGAAACAAAUAGAGAGGGAAAUAUAGUGAAUAAUUUCCUCUCUAUACAAAGCUCAAAGCUAAUACACAAAUACAACUUUGAUUGAGUGAGUACCAACAAAGAAAGAAAAUCACCUUUCUUUCUUCUCUUCAAAAUGGGGCUGUAGCACCUCUGUUUUCUUCUCUGUUUUUCUGGUGCACUCUAUCACUACAAUCAGAAAAUGCUCUCUAUUUUCUGCACCUUCUACAACUCCCCUUCCGUUUCUCUUAUUUCCAAAGGCUAAAUAAAAAAUUAAUUUUCUCCAACAUCAUCAUUUGUCAUCAUCACAAAGCAAGGAACAACAUCAUGAUGUUUCCCUUUUUUUUCUUUUUAACAAACAUAAUCAUUUGUCUUUUUCUUUCUUUUGCUUUGUUUAAUAGCUAAAAGGUGAUGUUGAGUUGCCACUUGGCCACAAUUCAACAAUCUCCACCUUGGCCAAGUUCCGAAAACGCCAUGAUAAGCCAACCAACACAAUUGAUUCAAAAAAUCACUCUCAAACACUAGCAAGAGAACAACUCAUGCCGAGCCAAAUGCUCCAAAAACUCCUACUGCUCAAUGCCUUCUUUAUAUAGGCAAAAUGUGAGCCAAGUUCAAGCAAUGAACAAACUUGGCGACACCAACAACCUUAGUCAACAUAUCAGCGGGGUUGUCUUUAGUUGGAAUUUUCUGGAGAAUGAUUUCCCCUUCACCAACAAUUUCACGAACAAAGUGAUAACGCACAUCUAUGUGCUUGGUCCUCGCAUGAUGAACCUGAUACUUAGCCAAAUAAAUGGCACUCUGACUAUCACAAUGUACCUCCACCUGCUUCUGAUCAACCCCCAAAUCUCUAAUCAGCCCAUGUAUCCACAUGGCCUUCUUUAUAGCUUCAGCAACUGCCAUAUAUUUAGCCUCUGUAGUAGACAAGGCAACAGACUGCAAAAUGAACCUCCAACAAACUGGCUCUUUAGCCAUAGUAAACACAUAGCCUGUAGUAGACUUCCUUCCAUCCAGAUCACCUGCAUAAUCUGAAUCAACAUAACCAACUGCAAAAUGACCAAUACCAGAGUCAUCAUUCUCAAAGCAUAAACCAACAUCUCGAGUACCAUGGAGAUAUCUCAAUAUCCACUUAGCUGCUUGCCAAUGCUCUUUACCUGGAUUAUGCAUAUAUCGACUCACCAUGCCAACUGCAUGAGCAAUAUCCGGUCUAGAGCAUACCAUUGCAUACAUCAAACUACCAACCAAAUUUGCAUAUGGUAUAUUUUUCAUUUGCAGCUUCUCUUUAUCAGUUUUAGGACACUGUAGAGAACUCAAUUUAAAAUGAGGAGCUAAAGGGGUACUAACCGGUUUGGUUGAAUCAUGAACUCCAAACUUCCGAAUCAACUUCUCAAUGUAUUGUUUUUUAUUCAAACUGACCAAACCCUUCUCUCUAUCUCUAGUGAUCUCUAUGCCAAGGAUCUUAUUCGCUUCACCAAGAUCCUUAAUCUCAAACUCAUUCUUCAUUUGCUUCUUCAAUUUUUCAAUCUCUUCAACAUUCUUUGAGGCAAUCAACAUAUCACCAACAUAUAUCAACAAAUAAAUGAAAGACCCAUCUUGCAACUUUUUGAAGUACACACAAUGAUCAUAUUGACUUCUAGAAUAAUUUUGACCUCUCAUAAAUUUAUCAAACCUCAAAUACCAUUGUCUUGGAGAUCGCUUCAAGCCAUAAAGUGAUUUCUUCAAUUUGCAAAACAAAUUCUCCUUCCCUUUCACUAUAUACCCAUCCGGUUGACACAUAUAAAUCUCUUCAUUCAAAUCAUCAUGUAGGAAAGUCGUUUUCACAUCAAGUUGCACAAGCUCAAGAUCAUACUGUGCAACAAGAGCUAACAUAAUGCGAAUUGAGGAGUGUUUCACAACCGGAGAAAAGAUUUCAUUGUAGUCAAUGCCCUCCUUUUGUGCAUACCCUUUAACAACUAAUCUUGCUUUGAAUCUCACAUUGCUUUUCUCAUCAGCAUCUUCCUUCUUGGCAUACACUCAUUUGCAACCGAUAUCUUUCUUGCCCUUAGGCAAUUUAGCUAACUCCCAAGUCUUGUUCUUCAAGAGAGAAUUCAUCUCAUCACCCAUGGCAUUGCACCACCUCUCAUUUUCUUCACUCUCAAUAGCUUCCUCAAAAUUGGAUGGAAUCUCAUCAGUGAUAAUAGGAAGAGCAAAAGAAACAUAGUCACUAUACCGAGCUGGCUUGGUAAUUUGUCUCUUUCCUCUGUUCUUGGCAAUAGACUCUUGAGGUGAAACUUCCUCUUCAACUUGAAUAGAAUCUUCAAGUUCAACUUCUUCAACAUCCUCAUGGUCUUCAACUUCUUCACUUGUAGUGGCUUCGACAUCAGCGGAAAUAGGAUUUGAAGUACCAGAGGCAACUUUCUCAAGCUCCACCUGUUGGACAUCUUUCACAUUCUUCUCAGAGACUUUGAACAUACUUUCUUCAUCAAAUGUCACAUCUCUGCUGAUUACAAGUUUUUUCAUCUCUGGGCACCACAACCUGUAACCUUUGACACCACUACUAAAACCAAGAAAGAUAGCCUUUUUGGCUAUAGGAUCAAGUUUAUUUUCAGUCACAUGAAAAUAAGCAGGUGAACCAAAAAUACGGAUAUAGUCAUAAUCAGAAGAAGGUUUUCCAAUCCAUACCUCCAUUGGUGUCUUACCCUGAACAGCAGCUGAGGGUAACCGGUUGAUGAUGUGACAUGCAUAAUUAACUGCUUCUGCCCAAAAUGACUUGCUUAAACCCGACUGAGACAACAUACAUCUAACCUUCUCAAGCAAGGUUCGAUUCAAUCUUUCUGCAACUCCAUUUUGUUAUGGAGUUCCCCGAACACUAAAAUGUCUCACAAUUCCUUCCUCUUUGCAAACUUUAAAGAAAGGGUCGGAUGUGUAUUCACCACCAUUAUCCGAUCUCAAAAUAUUAAUCUUUCUCCCAGUCUGGUUCUCAACCAUUUUCUUCCAACUCAAGAAAAUGCUCAAUACCUCACUCUUGUGCUUCAUAGUGUAAACCCAAGACCUUCUUGAAUAAUCAUCAACAAAGGUCACGAACCAAUGUCUAUCACUCAAAGAGGGAGUCUUUGUAGGACCCCAAACAUUCGAAUGCACAUAAUCAAGAAUGCCCUUCGUCUGAUGUACAGCAGUACCAAACUUCACUCUAGUUUGCUUCCCCAAGACACAAUGCUCGCAGAAAUCAAGCUUACAAGUCGUGACACCUUUUAGAAGACCUUUUUUCACAAGCCCUUGUAGAGCUUUCUCACCGGCAUGACCUAAUCUCAUAUGCCACAAUCUAGUAGUAUCUGAAUCAGAUGUGCCCAUAUUUUCAGAGACUACUGAUGCUUCACCUGUCACCGUGCUUCCCUGCAAUAAAUACAAAUGGCCACAUCUAGGAGCUUUCAUCACAACAAGUGCACCAUAAGUAACUUUCAAUGUUUGUCCAUCUGAAUGAAACCUGAAACCCUUGGAUUCCAAAGUACCCAAAGAAAUAAGAUUUUUCUUCAAAUUCGGUACAUACCGAACACCUGUCAACUCUUUAACCAUGCCAUCAUGCAACUUCAAACGAACUGUACCAAUCCCUUUUGUUGUGCAAGGAUUGUCAUCUCCCAUGAACACAACUCCACCAUCAAACUCUUUCAAGCUUGAAAACUAAUCCUUGUGAGGAGUCAUAUGAUGAGUACAACCCGUAUCCAACACCCACUUAGUAGCACAAUCAAAUGAUGAGGAAGUGGUUAAAGAAAAAUCAGAAAAAUCUGUUUCAACCUCAGCAACAUUAGCUUCAGAACUUUCUUUGCCUUUGGUCUUCAACCUAGGACAAUCUUUCUUCCAAUGACCCUUAUUAUGACAAAAGGCACAUUCAUCCCUUUCCAAAGGUUUUCUACCUUUAGAGUUUCCUCUAGGUCGAGACUGUGAUUUUUUCCUACUAGAAGAUGAUCUUCUCUCCGAUGAUCUACCUCUAACAAAUAAAGCUUCAGAUGUACUAUCAUGAUUUUUAUCUCUAUGCCUCAUUUCAUAAUUCAUCAAGGCAUUUGACACAUCUUCAAAUUUCACAGUUUCUUUACCGUGUAUAAUAGUGGUAACAAAAUGCUCAUAAGAGUCAGGCAAUGAAUUCAACAAUAUUAAGGCCUUAUCUUCAUCCUUAAUAUCCUCAUCUAAAUUUAAAAAGUCGGCAAUCAACUUAUUAAAAGCAUGAAGGUGUCUAAUCAUUUUUGUACCUUCUUUGUAUUGGAAGCGGUAGAGCUUUUUCUUCAAGUGUAGCCGGUUCUCUGCACUCUUCGUCAUAUACUUGUCUUCCAAUUUUUGCCACAACACACUUGCUACCGUCUCCCGCAUCACAAAAUACUUUUGAGUUUUUGCAAGGCACAACCGAAUUGAAGAGCAAGCCCACAAAUUUAAUUUCUCCCAUUCCGGCUUCGACAUAGCUUCCGGCUUCUCUCCCAAAGCGGCAAGUAGAUCUUGUUGAGCCAACACAUCUUUGACCUCACAUUGCCACAUCCCGAAGUUGUUUGUGCCAUCAAACUUUUCAACUUCGAACUUUGCAUUUUGCACCGUAGUUCUUGCAAACCCGGAGGUGCUUCUAAAAGGAUUCUCAUCUUGCCCGUCUGACAUAUUUGGCAACUAGACAGUACCCAAGAGCAACCAGUGCUCUGAUACCAAUUGUUGUGCUAGGAUAGCACCAAACCCGUUGGAACCAACUCAAGCUAACCCACAGGAAAUUUAUCAAAUGAAAAAGCAAGAACAAAAUAUUAAAGACACCAAGAUUUUAACGAGGUUCCUCAACAGUCAGUGUAACUGGAGUACGUCCUCGGAGCAGUAUGAGCUCACCCAAGAAUCCACUAUCAACCAAAUGGGAGUUUACAAAGUGUUGGCAAUCUCACAACCCAAAACCCUAAUACACCCAAUAACUCUCACUCACCAAAGAAACAAAUAGAGAGGGAAAUAUAGUGAAUAAUUUCCUCUCUAUACAAAGCUCAAAGCUAAUACACAAAUACAACUUUGAUUGAGUGAGUACCAACAAAGAAAGAAAAUCACAUUUCUUUCUUCUCUUCAAAAUGAGGCUGCAGCACCUCUGUUUUCUUCUCUGUUUUUCUGGUGCACUCUAUCACUACAAUCAGAAAAUGCUCUCUAUUUUCUGCACCUUCUACAACUCCCUUUCCGUUUCUCUUAUUUCCAAAGGCUAAAUAAAAAAUUAAUUUUCUCCAACAUCAUCAUUUGUCAUCAUAACAAAGCAAGGAACAACAUCAUGAUGUCUCCAUUUUUUUCUUUUUAACAAACAUAAUCAUUUGUCUUUUUCUUUCUUUUGCUUUGUUUAAUAGCUAAAAGGUGAACUUUCCAAGUGGCAACUCAACAAAGAGGACCAAGAAGGAGAAGAGCAACGAGGAGGAGGUGCUGAUCAUCAAGGACAUCGAGUUUGAGAGCAACGAGGCGGUGAAGUUCAAUGUGUUUAUUAAUGACGAUGCUGAUUCGCUGAGUCGGAAGGACAAGUCUGAGUUUGUCGGGAGUUUUGUGCACGUGCCGCAUAGCCAGAAGACUGGCCUAAAAACAAGUCAAGUCAUUUCGUUUAUUUGUGAAAAAACGAAUUGUGAUUCUUUAUUUGUUGUUUACUAAGACCAUCUCCAACCCUUGGGCUAAAAGCCAAAUUUUUUAGCCCGGAAAAUUUAGCUUUUAGCCCAGAAACAUCUUUUCUGCUUCAACCCUUCUACCCUAAAUUUUAGCCCGAAAUUAUUAAAGAAUGAAAUUAGCCUAAAUUUUUUUCUUAAAUCAAUUUUUUUUAAAAAAAAUAAAUAUGUAGAUUAUUGUAAAUUAAUUUUAUGAACAUUUUAAUCUAAAAAAAUUUAAAUUCCGAUAAACAUUUCGCAUUUAGCCCGGGGGGAAAAUUGGGGGGUAUUUGGCCCAGAAAUAGCAUUUGGCAUUUAGCCUAAAAUUUUAGCAUGGGUUGGAGAGUGUUUGGGGGGGUAAUUUGGCUUUUAGCCCAGGGUUGGAGAUGGUCUAAAAGAUCAUUUGAUAACCGGUCAUUUCGUUUUUACUUUUCAUUUUUUCGAAAAAUGAAAUCUUGUUUAGUAACUAUUUUCACUUUUCAAAAAAAUGAUAACAUAAACAAAAAAGUGAAAACUUAUGGCCAAAUUUUAAAGACGGAUAAUAUUAGGGAUACUAAUUUGUAGACAAAAGUUACAAAUUAAAUGAUGUUUUACCAAUAAGACUGAUUAUGUUUAUUGAUGCUUAAGUAAUAAACCAAUCAUCAAAUUUCAGUCCUUUAGUUUUUAAAAUUUUGUCUACAAAUUUAGUAUAUCAAGCAUUACCCUUUAAAAACUCAUGAAAAUAGGUUUCAAUUUUCAGCUUUCAAAAAAGUAAAAAUGAAGGCUGAAAAUGAAAUGGUUAUCAAACAUCCCCUAAAGAAGUCAUUCUUAGUGAUAAUAAGGAGAGACUAGAGAGAGAUUCCUAUACUUAGCCGUGAGAGUUUCCCAUAUAUGAUUUUCAUUAACAAGAUUGAAAUGAUUACAGAGAGAAGAUCAAGUAUGGUUUAUUUUUAUUUUGUAGAGUGUAGACUUUAUACCUAUACAUUCAUAAUAACAUGAGUAAUGUUAUAUUUAUCACAUUUGUACUUUUUUUCUAAUAAUAGUAGGACCUAUUAACACAUGUGAGUUCCAUUUGCCCAUCAACACAUAUGUGUCUCAUUUCUGUGAGAAAAAUAUGAUAUGGAAAAUAUGAUAAGAUCGCAAUUUUGUAAUAACAUAUAUACUCAACUAUCUAUAUACCGACCCCCCCCUCUCUCUUUUAGUGUAGAUAAUAUCGCUUGUUCAAAAAAAAAUGAACUUGUCAUAAUCAUUGAAUCUAUUUACCAUGAACAAAUGGCAGUUUACUAAACUUGCCCUCAUAGUAUAUAUAAAAGGUCAAUCACAAUCUAUUGGAUUAAUAUAAGGAAACAAUAUGCUAUGCACAAUGAAAAUUAAGCUCACACUUUAUCCCAAAUAAGGUGUUGCACAUUUAAUUUAUGGAUGCUGGUUUGGUAAAAUGAGAGGUUCGGAAACAAGGAUAAAGGCCAUUAUUGAAGCAAAUAAUUGGAGCAAUAAAUCAUGCAAAUAAUUGGUUGUCUCAUAAACGCCUAUUCGCAUCACUAUAAAUGCGUAUUUCCUAUAUUGCACAUGGAGUAGAAUUGAUCUUACAGUAUUGGUAAUGCUAGGGACGAACUUAUUAAAUCAAAUUUUAUAAAUUUGAUAACGUAGUUGUUGAUAAUUUAAGGGAAUUGUUAUUAGCACUCUAAAAAACUCAUUUGGCAUUCUAAACUUUCUAUAAUUAGAAAGAAAAAUACACUUAUAAGGGAGUGUAGAAUGAGAUUUUGGAGUAUUAAUAACAUUUCUCUAAUUUAAUUACUUAAGUGUUGAUUAACGUGUUUAAUUUCUAUUUGUGACACAUCAUAUAAUUCGCAUAUUCGGUCUAUCUAGCAUUACUCUAGAGUAAUAUAGAUCAAAUUUGUAAACUAUGUGAUGUGUCACCAAUAGGAAAAAAUUUCAGUAUGCUGGAAAUACGGCUCAGAACACCAAGUGUCAUAAUAUAUACUUGGUUGGAAAUUUUUUAUUUUCAAGUUUCCAACUAAUUGUAUUGUAACACUUCGUAUUCCAGACUAUGUUCUUAGUGCGCUGGAAAAUCUCUUCACCAAUAGGAAAUAAGCAUAUUAAUGAACACUUAAGUAAUAAUUCAAUCAUCAACAACUACGUCAUAGAAUUUAUGAAAUGUGGUCUAAAUUGAUGGUCUCCAUAGCAUUACCUUUAUCUUAGCGUAUACGUACCCCUUCACAUGUUUAUUUGCUGAUAUGCAGCUUGAGUGAAAAUUUCUUUUUAAGAACAUAUAUGUGAAUAUAAACAUAUAUAUCUAGUGACGGAUGUAGCGUUAUUUAAAAAUAAACAAAUUAAUUAAUUAAUAAAUGAACUGUGUACCUGUCUGUGUCGAGUAAUCCAUAUGUAUGCUUGAAUCCUGAUCACCACGAAACCCUAACAUAUAAGCUACUCAAGGCCCGAAAGCUUGGAUUGAAGAGAAAAACACCCAGUCAGAUUAAGCCAAUAUAUCAAAGUUAUAAUUCCAAAUGUAAGCUUUAAGAUUGAAAAAUCACUUACUACCUUGAGCAGUUGAGCUUCUUCAAUGGCAUAAAGCUUUUAGCAUGAGAUGGACUGCAUCACAACUAAAAUUUUCUCUUGGAAACUACACAAGGAAUAGCAUACAUACCUAUAACAUUGAGAAAGUACGCCAAUUUUUUCCUUCUGCUCGUUCAUGUUUAAAAUUAAUCCUCAGAUGAACUUGCCCACAAUGAAGUGCAAUUUGAGGUAGUCGAGUGUUCCAUUUCCAUCCUAUGGAAAUUACUACUAAACUUUAAGAUGGCAAAAGUGUUUAAGUUAAUAUUUAAACUAUGGGCUUUUAGGAAGGGAAGCCCAAAAAGGAGCUCAAGGAGGAGAUUCAGCUCGAGGCCCAGCACCUAAGCUCAUAUCAUCCAUCCUAAAAGCCAGUUGGCACCCCCAUUAAUACAAAUGCUAGUUGCAUACAAGAAGUGACAACCGAUGGGAGUUCACCUGCUCUAGGCCCAAAAGCACUUUAUGGAUGGCAUAGCAUGUAAAUAUCAAUGGUUCUCUACCCUCCAAAUUACUUUCGGGCAAGAACAGGAGCAGCACAAAUCAAGUUAACUCAUCUAUAAAAUGGGGAUGAGGGCCCAGAGACAAAGAGACUCAACCAAUCAAACAAACAUACAACUUGACUCUCAGCCAAGUAAAUGCCCAGAAAGUCGUGCUUUGUCCAGACUCUGCACCCUUUUAGCCUUAGAUUUCCUUAGAAAUACAUCUUUUGUCUAUGUAAAAGCUCUACUACCCUUUCCCAGAUGUCGUAGUAUCGAUCUUUAGUGUAUAAACUCCUUUCCAGUCGUUCCCCUUAAUAUUCAAUCAUCUGCAAACUGCAAGGAGAAGAGAUUGCAAGACGUUUAACCUUGCCCAACAAGGUGAAAUCUUGCUCGACUCUCUUUGUUUUGUCUUUCAAUUAAUAGAUCUGCACUACUACAAUAUUAGCUUUAGGUGGCGGAUGAUGGUGGCGGAUAUUAAAAAAUCCUGUCGAAUAAAUUAUAUCCGACACAUCAUUUAAUUACUGGCGGAUAUUAGAAAAAUCAUGUCGGUUCUAUCCAACAUAAAUUUCGGGCGGAUAUUUACUGGCGGAAUUUUUGAAUCUUUUUUUUUAAUAUUUUUUACAUAUCCUGGCGGUUUUACGUUAAUAGUGGCAGUUAUAACCGACAGAAAUUGACUAUUUUAUUAUUUUACUUUAUGGCUGUUAUAACCGACAUAGAUGAAAAUUUUAUUAUUUUAAAAUGUUAUAUUGAUUAAAAAUAAAUAAAUAAACACAUAUUUUAAAUAAAAAAUUUUCACUCAUGACCCUAAAGUCUAAUGAACCCAAUUCUCACAAGUCAUAAAUUUUCUGAGAGAAUAAUGACAAUAGACUACAAUCUAAAGCUCUAUCAUUUUUGUAAUAAGGAUUAUGCUCCCUCAUAGGCAAGCAACAAGAUACAAAGAAAUUUAAACAAUUUUUUCUAAUGCACAUAAACACACAUAAACACACAUGAACAUCUGAUGUACUUUAUCAUGUCUAAUUUUAUUAUUUUAAAAUGUUAUAUUGAUUAAAAAUAAAUAAACACAUGUUUUAAAUAUUAUAUUUUUUGCGAUUUUUUACACAUGCUAUCUCAUAGUAUAUACGAACAUAUUUGACGAAUGCAUAUCCUAUCAAAUUGAUAGAUUUAACAAACAUUUAAGAGUUAAUGUUAUGCUUCCAUUAUUUAUAAAAUAAGAUUUAUCCACUAGUGUGAAUAUUUUAAAUUGAAGAUUGAAUUCAUUCAUUGCAUUCUUAAAGGAUCGAGGAGUGUAGCUGCAAAAAAUCAUCAAAAGCGAAGCUAAAAUAACCGUUAAAUUGUGAUAUUUCCUUUAUAACCGUUGAAAACUUUUGUUUUGUUACCUAAUCUCUGAACGUUUGCUUUUUGUGAUUUUUUACGUAUGUGAUCUCGGAGUGUUUACAAACAAGUUUGACGGAUAGAUCAUUGAAAAAAGUUUCGUAGAAUGUGUAUUGCGUCAAAAUGGUAGAUUAAAUAAACACUUAAGAGUUAAUGUUAUACUUCCAUUAAGUAUAAAAUAAAAUUGUGUGGUAUCCACUAGUGUAAAUAUUUUAAAUUGAAGAUCAAAUUCAUUCAUUACAUUCUUAUAGGGUCGAGGAUUGUAGCUGUAAAAAAAUCAUUAAAAUCGGAGCUAAAAUAACUGUUAAAUUGUGAUUUUUCGUUUAUAAUCGUUGAAAACUUUUAUUUUGUUACCUAAUCUCUUAAUGUUUGUUGUUUGUGAUUUUUUACGUAUGCGAUCUCGGAGUGUGUACAAACAAGUUUGACGGUUGGAUUGUUGAAAAACGCUUCGUAGAAUGCAUAUCCUAUCAAAUUGAUAGAUUUAACAAACAUUUAAGAGUUAAUGUUAUGCUUCCAUUAUUUAUAAAAUAAGAUUUAUCCACUAGUGUAAAUAUUUUAAAUUGAAGAUCGAAUUCAUUCAAUGCAUUCUUAUAGGGUCGAGGAGUGUUUCUGUAAAAAAUCAUCAAAAACGGAGCUAAAGUAACCGUUAAAUUGUGAUUUUUCGUUUAUAACCGUUGAAAACUUUUCUUUUGUUACAUAAUCUCUUAAUGUUUGUUUUUUGUGAUUUUUUACGUAUACGAUCUCGGAGUGUGUACAAAUAAGUUUGACGGUUGGAUCGUUGAAAAACGCUUCGUAGAAUGCGUAUCGCAUCAAAACGGUAGAUUAAACAAACACUUAGAGUUAAUGUUAUACUUCCAUUAAGUAUAAAAUAAGAUUUAUCCACUAGUGUAAAUAUUUUAAAUUGAAGAUCAAAUUCGUUCAAUGCAUUCUUAUAGGGUCGAGGAGUGUUGUUGUAAAAAAUCAUCAAAAUCGGAGCUAAAGUAACCGUUAAAUUGUGAUUUUUCGUUUAUAACCGUUGAAAACUUUUCUUUGUUACCUAAUCUCUUAAUGUUUGUUUAUUUUUAUUUUUUACGUAUGCGAUCUCGGAGUGUGUACAAACAAGUUUGACGGUUAGAUCGUUGAAAAACGCUUCGUAGAAUGCGUAUCGCAUCAAAACGGUAGAUUAAACAAACACUUAAAGUUAAUGUUAUACUUCCAUUAAGUAUAAAAUAGUGUAAAUAUUUUAAAUUGAAGAUCAAAUUCAUUCAAUGCAUUCUUAUAGGGUCGAGGAGUGUUGCUGUAAAAAAUCAUCAAAAUCGGAGCUAAAGUAAACGUUAAAUUGUGAUUUUUCGUUUAUAACCGUUGAAAACUUUUCUUUUGUUACCUAAUCUCUUAAUGUUUGUUUUUUUUGAUUUUUUACGUAUGCGAUCUCGAAGUGUGUACAAACAAGUUUGACGGUUAGAUCGUUGAAAAACGCUUCGUAGAAUGCGUAUCGCAUCAAAACGGUAGAUUAAACAAACACUUAGAGUUAAUGUUAUACUUCCAUUAAGUAUAAAAUAAGAUUUAUCCACUAGUGUAAAUAUUUUAAAUUGAAGAUCGAAUUCGUUCAAUGCAUUCUUAUAGGGUCGAGGAGUGUUGCUGUAAAAAAUCAUCAAAAUCGGAGCUAAAGUAACCGUUAAAUUGUGAUUUUUCGUUUAUAACCGUUGAAAACUUUUCUUUUGUUACCUAAUCUCUUAAUGUUUUUUUUUGUGAUUUUUUACGUAUGCGAUCUCGGAGUGUGUACAAACAAGUUUGACGGUUGGAUCGUUGAAAAACGCUUCGUAGAAUGUGUAUCCCAUCAAAACGGUAGAUUAAACAAACACUUAGAGUUAAUGUUAUACUUCCAUUAAGUAUAAGUGUAAAUAUUUUAAAUUGAAUAUCAAAUUUAUUCAUUAGACAAUAUUUAUUUAUGUUUUUCAAGUAUUGAUUAGACAAUAUUUAGUUUGUGUGAUGACAUUUUAUCGCAUAUUUUACAUGCAUUAUUCUCUAUUAAACCAAAAGUGUAAAAAUUAUCUAUUAAACCAAACAAUUAUUUAUUUAAUUUUUAAAAACAUAUUCUAUUUAAAUACAUAUUAUUUAUUUAUUUAUUAAACCAAACAAUUAUUAUUUUAUUUUUUAAAAUUGUAACAAAAUUUGGGGGGAAUUUAAAAUUUUGAGGGAAAAUUUUAAAAUUUUCGGAGGGAAGUUUGCCGCCAUUUUUUUGUCUGUCGGUUAUAACCGACAGUAAUGAAAUUUUUCUGUCAGUUUUUAUUUUUAAAAAAUGUUUCUGUCGGUUUUAACCGACAGUAAAUAAAAUAACCUAAAUUUUUAAAACCCAUCCAUCUUCCUUGCGCCGAUGCUUCCCCCUUCCCCCUAUUCUCCUGUCCUCAUUUCUUUCUCCUUCUCCUUCUCCUCUUUUCUUUUCUAUUCUGUUCGAACACUUGCAACCCAUUCCAACCAACAAUUCCAGACACACUGUAGAGGGCGUGGACAGAGGGUUGAUGGGAAGGGUUGGCCGUGGACGGAUGGUUGAUGGGAAGGGUAGGAGCUAGAGAGAGGGGGUGAGGGGUGGGUUCUGUCCACUGACGUUGGUUGCUGGGAGAGAAAGAGAGAGAGAGAGAGAGAUGGGGAAAAGUAUGGGGUUAAGGUUGAGGGGAACGAAACGGGUACAGAGAGAGAGUGAGGAAGGGACAUAGGAGUUAGAGGUAUGGAUUGAUUUGUCAGGGGCUGCUGCAUCCUUCCUAUUCGAAAGGUAACAAAUAAUUUUCAAUUCAUUCUGCUGCAUCCUUACUAUUCGAGAGGUACAUGAAUGGCUUCUCAUCUGAAAUUAUUAAACAUUGGAUUUGCUAGUUUGGUUGCGCAACUAUGCAGGUGCUCUCUCCAAUCUAUCGAUCAGUUUAGUGCUAGCUGUUAUUGCUGCCUUGGAAGUCAACAAUAUUCCUUCAGCUCCUUGGUUCCUGUCAUUGUGUUUGCAUAUUUUAUAUCAUUUGGUUUCUCAGGUUAUGUAUUUAUGUUUGGCGUUGCUUGCUUAUUGUUUUCGUGUUUAUAUUGUAUCAACGACUCUUAGCUUGUUUUGGCUUCUUGCAGGCUUACGGGAUUCUGGAAAAAUAUCUGUGUUAUUUUGUUCCUCUCCUCGAACUGAAGAGAUGAUGUUCAUGUUAGCAUGGAUGUUUGUCUAGUCUCCUCACAUAAUGAAAUGUUGUGCUUGACAUGAAUAAGGGUACUUGAUACAACCAUUUUUUCCGAUUUUGUUUGGCCAAGAAUGUAUCUGUAUAAAAUCCAAAUGCAACCGCAGUUGGGUGAUGGAUUACAUUAUCGCUCGUUUGUUUAACUUCUAAGAUUUCUACCUGCGAUAAUUUUGCAAUAUCUUGUCUGUCAUUGUGAUUUUCUUUCCCUGAUUGCAACCAUACGAAAACUUAGGUUGAGGAUUUAGAACGAAUAUUAGCAAGCUUCUCUUAUCUAUAUUGUUAAUUUGUUAUAGCCUAGAAAGGAUGAUCAUGACCCUCCCUGUUUAUCAUUAUCAGUGUAGGGGAUGGGCGGAGGGGUCGGAUGACGAGUCGUGGACUAAGAAAACGGUGCCCAUUAUUGCUCCCUUGCCUAAGACUUUAAAGGCCCUGACAGUCACCGGUGAGAUCGAGCUCCGGCGAGGUUGGAUGGUGAAUGUGGGGAUAUGGAAAAUGCAGAAAGCAAUUUUUUUUUUAUUAUUAAUAUAAGUCAUAUCGGUUUUAGCCGACAUUAAAUGAUUUUAUUUAUUAUUUUUAAUUAAUUUCUGUCGGUUUUAGCUGACAGGAAAUGGUUUUAUUUAUUCAUUUUUAAUUAAUUUCUGUCGGAUGGUUUAAUGAUUUUCUGUCGGUUUUAUCCGACAGAAAUAUUUCUGUUAGUUCUAUCCGACACAAUUUCUGUCGGUUUUAGAGUAUUUUCUGUCGGAUCUAUCCGACACAAUUCCUGACGCAGGCAAUUCUGUCGCUUAUUAUAUCCGCCACUGCAUCCAUUUUCUGUCGGAUUUUGCUUAAAAUCCGACAAUAAUAUAUGUUUUUUGUCGGUUUUCAAAACGCCACUAAUAACUGGUUUUCUAGUAGUGAUGGUGCUAUAAUGUAUUCCCUAGUUUAUAUUCAAGUUGUUUCUAGUCUUUUGAUGAUUCAAAGCCCUAUCAGUUCCCAGAUAUAGUUCACUUAGUGGUUUUAUCAAGAUUGGAAUGAGUUAAACUGAUGACUUGAUCAGAUCUGGACCUCCACCCCUCGAGCAUACAAGAUAACUAAAAGUCCUUGAUAUCAAGGCAUAGAAAAGAACUUAAUGUAGACUUAACCCAUCCUUUGAUAAACAAGAAAUCUGAAAUAACUUGGGGUGCAAGUAAUCGGCUUAAAACACACUUGUUCUACAUCUUCCAUACAAAAUGGCAAUGGCACGCCUAAGCAUUUAGUUGGUUUUGAUUGCGAGCCUCAAGGCCUACACCUAAGGCCCCAUGAAGGCACCUUUCAGAACUAACUCUAUUAUCCUCUUGCAGCAUUGUGACAAGCAGGAGUCCGACAAUCAACCAAAGUGCCAACUCCUCGGGGAGCUAUGUGCUCGAGCCAGGGACGCCCACUGGCCAAAUUUCUUGCCCGAACAAAAAGGUCCAUGAAGAAUUUUACUUUUGAGAUUGUCUCCUUAGCAUUUCUCUUAGCUAUAAUAACGAGGAAAUACUUCAUCUUGUAUCAAACAAGGGAGACAGAAAGUCAACUACAAAUAGCAUCACAGAGCCAGCAAGAUUGAGGAGGCCAUGAAGAGGAAAGAGAAAAUACACUCUUGUUUUGUAAGGACAGAGAUAAUACAUUCAAUGAAGGGUACUGAUGUUUAUAUGCAAAGCUGAUAAAUAGUCGUAUUUAUUCUCUACAAUGCCAAUAUUACCCCUCGUUAGUACACUUUCAAGACACUAUACUCCAGUGUAUGCACUAUGCAGUACGUUGUACUCCUCAUUUUUUUAGGAAAUUCGUUAUUGGCCUUCAUGUCUUCUUUAUUUUCCUUGUCCUCAUUGUGCCACAUGUCUAAAACACUAAUUAUAGGUAAAAGAAAGAUAAUUAAAUGUCAUUUAGUACUACAAUCUAACGAUAUUCCUCUUCAGUGUAAAAAUUUUAUAAUUAAAACCGUUCAAUUUUUUAAUAUCUUCAUUUGAAUAUUAUCUGUACAGAAAAAUUAUUCGAAUCAGAGAUCGUUUAUGCAUUCAAAUGUAUGAAAUAAAUUGACAUUGUGAGUACUAAUUAAUAUUUUUUUUAUAAAAUACAAUUAUUUAAUACAUUUGAAUGACCAAAUGAUCUAUAAUUCAAAAUAAAUAUUAAGAUAUUAAAUAUAAUUAUGAAAUUAAUAAAGUAAAGAUACAUGACCUCGUGAAGGAUGCAUGUAUUAUUAAAAAAAUAUAAAAAAUUUGAAAAACGAUGCCGUUGUUGCCACCACUUUUGCAAUGAUCGUUGCCACCACUUCUGCAAUGAUCGUCGCCACCAUCACCAAACCCCAACACCCCAUUACAGCUCAUAAAAGCACAUCAAAAGAAAUUUAUAAAAUAAAAUUACUCGAAUACCAAAUUCCCCCUUAGUUUAGGUCACCAAUGUUUAGAUUUUAUCACAACUUUCAUUCCAAAUUUACUUUUUAUCCGUUGCUUUGUUUGUUCAAAUUUACUUUGGCAUUUCAAUUAGUAUUAAAAUCUAAUUUAAAUUUUAGUGUUCAAACUAGAAGAAAAGAAAACUAACGAAAAGUUCAAAAAAACUUUAGUUUUAAUGAAAAAUGACAAAUAAAGAUGUAGCGAAUAGUACCAGGAAAAAGUAAAAAUAUGUUUUUUUGUUAAAAAAUGAAUAGUACCGAAAGUGUUGCAAUUCCCUAGAAGAAGUGUUCCAUUUAAUAUUUAAUAUCAGUUUUUCUCUUUAUUCUUUUAUUGGGAUUUGGUUGCAUCGUAUCUCCAUUUUUCUUGGUGUUGUAUGUUCAUAAGGCUUGUGAAAUGAGUUGAAUAUCAGAGUGCGCAACGAACGAGACUACAAAAUAAUAGGAAUAUUAUUAAAUAAACGAGAAUGCCGGAACGGCUACAAAACCCUAAAGGCUACAUUGUGAAUGACUUUUUCUCUAAUGAAUAACAAAGCACCCUAUUUAUAAUAGCCUAACCCUAAUCUCUAACAAAACCUAAUUCUAACCGGCUAAGGCCAGAAAACCAAACAUUCAAAUAAACCAAAAUACUAAUAUUUUCCAACAAAACGUUGGCAUGUAGUGCAUGGUACUCAUUUUUUGGCCCAAAAUGCAUAAGGCAUGUAGAUAUGUAGACUAAAUUUUAUAAACUAAAUAACAUGAAAGUUGAUGAUUAGAUUAUUACUUAGGGUAAUGCUAGGGAGACUAAAUUUGGAGAGAAAAUAUACAAACUAAAUGAUGCGUCACCAAUAAAAAUGAGCAUGUUUAUCAACACUUAAGUAAUAAACCAAUCAUCAACUUUCAUGUCAUUUUGUUGAUCUUAAAAACUACCAAGCCUACGUGGCGCGCAGGCCGAGUAAUUAAUAAGCUAACUACAACCUUCGGUUAUGUGCGGGACAUCACAACUAGUCGGCCGAGCUCGGCCGGGGAGUAAAAUGUGUUGAUGUUGCGUUGAGCGCGCUGUUGACUUCUUGGUCUUGCAACUGCGGCCGAGGAAGGAACACGUCUUGGCCUUCAGGCUCUAGAGCCUGAAGACAAGGCUGCUAGUUCUGCGAAGUUCAAUAUUAGAUUCGGCUUUCAACGUGCCAAAUGUAGUAACCUGGUAACACCUUACUUCGCCGAGAAUGCUAAUGAGAUGACCUCUACCAACAAGGACUCAAAAAUCCUUGUCGAUUGAGACUUGGAUAGGUAAUCAGUCGGUCGAAAAGCAGUGUUGUUUAUCCAAACUGAAGGUGUUCCUUGAUCGGUUGAUUCUACAAAUCCAGUGUUGUUUAUCUAAACUGAAGAUGUCGCCGAUUGCCUUCACAGUGUUGUUUAUCCAAACUGAAGAUGUGUCAGCGGAAAAAAGAAAAUAAAAAUCUCAAGGUUAUUGAUAGGUUUUGCGUAGAGCGAGAGUUUGCGCAGGGCAAUUUGUGUGUUGAAUUGGAGAGAGAUUGAAUGUUGUCCGUGACUCUGUAUUUAGAAGCAAAUGUUGUGUGGUGCGACCAGAUAAUUUUGUAGAGUCCAACUGCAACUCUAAUUCGCGGAACUAAACUUGAUCCGCGUCAAAAGCCAAGGCAUAUCCUUCUAAUUGAUCCAUGGGAUUUGUUCCUUGACCUCUCAAACCUAAUUAAAGUUAGGCUUAUCAUAUCACAUCAGAAACCAAACCUAUUUAGGCUUCUUCAUAAUCUUUACCAUCAUAAUCUUUACCGAUGCAUGCAUCCUGAUCCCUACCAUACUUUGAAUAGACAAUAAUCAGUUUGCAACACACCACUUGUCAGUCAACCACACUGAUCUCACCUACACAUUCACACGCCAAAACAUCCAAAUCAGCUUGAAUUGUGCUGCCAUGUUUCCAGUUGGAAAUACAUAUCUCAUCUUUCAUAAUAAAUUAUUAUUAAAAGAUAAUUAUGAUAAAACACCAUAACAUUAUCCUUUAAUAAUAACAAAAUGAAUUAUCUCCACUUUUCAUCUGACGGUGUGAAACUAUGCUCACUCAACGACCUUGAUUGCACGGGCCGAUGGUGACACGCCCCGAUCCCAAUAUUCCCCGAAUACCAGGAUAGGCAUGUGCUGGCCGACAUCCGAGAGUGACGAAAGCCAUUUAUUGAGUACAAAUGCUGAGAAUAAAGGAUGGAUAUGACUUAUAAAUAUAAAAGAAUCAAGAAUAUGCAUUUAAGGAACGUGUUCAAAGCACACAACUAACUAGAUUACUAAAAGAAAUAAUAUAAAAUGGAGUGAAUAAAAGAAUGGGUCAUACACCGAAAGGACUCGAAGAAGUUGAUGUAGGAGUCCUUUGACGUCAGGAUUGUAUGCCUCGAUUCUAAGUCCUGAAGGGGGCGCAAAACAAACAUGAGUGGACCAAUUUGAUAUAUAAAUAGUAAAACAGUUAUCAACGUACUAACCCCCAGGUUUUAUGAAAACACAUAUAUAUCAUGAUAAACAUAAUUUUUUCGAAACCUAGCAUGCCGUGCAAUGUCUCAAACCAUACCUUGUAUAUAUAUAAUAAUCACUAGUGAAUUGUUCGAUAAACCCCAGGCCCCAUGCCGGCUCCCCGUCUCUGAGCAGACAGUCAGAGGAAAAUAUACUUCAGGCCCCAUGCCGGCUCAUGCCGGCUCCCCGUCCCUGUGCUAAAUAGCCAGAGGAAACACAUUACAGGCCCUAUGCCAACACCAAACCGUCGCCCAGGACGGACCGGAUCUAUCCCUACUUCCCGUAGCGGAAAUGACCACUAGGUAAAUACAAAACCAUUGAACAUACAUAUAUUGAAAAGCAACUUCAUAGUAUAAAGUCAUCCAUCAUCUAUAUUAUAAAGAGGUGUUCGAAACAUGUUCUAAAUAUCAUAUCGUCAUCCAUCGGAUAUUCUAUAAGAACAUGAGUUAUAGGAAAAAUAGUAAUAAUUCAAAGUAGCCUUAGUAAGCAUGUUAUCUCACAAAACGUUUCAUAAAAUGUAAUCAUCAAAUCAUGCUUUUCAUGUAUGCAUUUCUACUAUUAAAACAUGAAUUUUGAGAAGGGGUCCACUCACAGUACUUAGCCGCCGAAGAGCCACGCAAACUAGUAACCACGAAAACAUCACAAAUAUUGCCCUUAAGCACAUAAAUGGUCCAAUUAAUAAAACUCUAUUGUAACAAUUGAAUUUGGGAAAACGGAAGUUGGAAACGGAUUCAGAACGUCAAAUUACCCUAAGAAGGGUCCUGGAUAAAUUUCGUAAAAUGUCAACAAAAUAUUCCCUGACAUAAUAUUUCCCAUAAAAGGUAUGGGCCGAUUAGGGUUUAGGGUUAGCUAAUUAGGUGGGCUAGGUUUAGAGGAGAGGGCUUAGGGCCCUGGUUCAAAAGGCCCGAAGGCCUUAAGCCUAAGGGUUUUGGGUUUUUAGAUAAAAAGGCUUAGGGCCUUAGCUAAUUUGGCCCAAAGGCCUUUAACUUAAAACAAUUAAUAAAAAUACAUAAUAAAAAUUGAAAUGGGUUUUGGGUUGGGCUCGGCAGGAAAGGCCCAAAGGCCUUGGGAUUUUUGGGUUGCAGAAUUCAAAGGAAGGAGAAGGCCGGAUUCGGCCGGAAAACUACAUCAACUUUAAACGGCCAUAACUUUGUCAAAACUCAACGAAAUCGAGUGAUUCAAAAACAGAAAUUGUAUCCCUCGAAGAGACGAAGAGAAUGGUACCUCGCACGAUGUGGUUUAAAGUUGUUGGACUCGCCGGAAACUGGGUAAGAUUCAAAUGAGUAUAACUUCUUCAAUACUCAACAAAAUUGGGUGAAACAAAAAGGAAAGUUGUAGUACUCAGUGAGACCAAGAGAUUGAUACCUUGCACGCCGGCCAACUCACUAUAGUUUGGCCGGAAAUUGCCUCGAAAGUGGCGGUGCUCGCCAGAAAAUUUGGAAAAGCUUUCCCGAGCUAUUUUCUGUGAUUCAAAUGUAUACACAACUUAAAACAAGCUUCAAUCUAACCCUAAAACACAUCCCAGGGGUUUUUAGAAGCUUACCAACAUUGAAAAAUCAAGAAACUCAUCGGGGAAGAAGAUGAACAGUACCGGCCGAAUGGAAGAGAGGGGUUUGGGGUGCUAAUGGAGAUGUUGUUGUUGUUGUGGUGUUGUUUGUUGGUAAGAAAAGCCCUUGGAGGGGCUGAGAUAGAGAGAGCUGAGAGAGUGUAAGGGAGAGCGAGGGAGAAGAGAGAAAGAGAGACUUUUCAAAAGAAAGAAGAAAAAAAAUAAAAGAAAGGGAAAGGGAACGGGAACGGGGGACAAAACAGGGGGUGGGCCCCUUGAGCACAAUCCAAAAAUAAUUUUAAAAGCAAGAUAAUAUCAAACUUAGUGAAAAUACAAUUUAAAUUAGGGGUGAGUGUAACAGAUUGUGUAAAUUUGGGUCCAAACACCUUUAGUUUCCAAAAUUUAGUAUAUAAAUUUAGUCUCCCUAGCAUUACUCUAUUACUUAAGUAUUGAUUAACGGACUUAUUUCUUAUGGUGACACAUUAUUUUAGUUUACAAAUUUAAUCUACAAAUUUAGUCUACCUAACAUUACUCUUUUGAGAAUUUAACUAUCUUGUCCACUAAUAUAAUUCUAUUUUUCUUAUGAUCAAAACUUCAAAUGUUAGCAAGUCGCACGUAAAGUCGCUUCUGAGAGAAUGUGCUCACAUUGUAGUUGAAAGAUUAUGUGGCUAGCAACAUUACAAAUUUAAUUUGGUAUAAUUUUAAAAUAUGGAUUGAGGAAAAAAAUGAUCACAUUAACUAGAAACUGAAAAGGUUUCAGCACAGUUUGUUCAAGCAAGAAACUCAAUUUUGAUGCUACCGAUCUUGAGCGCCGUACCUGGGCACCAAAGUCACCACCACACUCUCAUCAUCUUCAGCACCCAAAUCCUCCAACAGGUCCGUUAACCCCAACCUUAAACAACUCUUGCUCUUUUCCUUCUGCUUAUGUGGCACACUCACAAAACUCCCAGCAAACUCGCUCUUGUCGGGUCCACUCGGUGCCGCAUCCUCAUCGUCCACGUCAUUCACAUACACAUCAAACUUCACAGCCACAUCUUUGUCAAGCUCAAUCCCCUGAAUCACCAAUAUCUCCUCCUCAUCCUCUUUCUCCUUCUUGCUCCUCUUCUUCGGCUUCGGCCUUGACACCACCGUACUUAUCUUCGUCUCCAAAUUUAUUGGAAAAUCUUUACCCGCCACCACCUUCCCUGAUGACGUCGUCUCAGCGGCCUUCGCCACUCCAGCCGCCUUUGCCUUUCUCGCAAGCUUUGUCCGACGUGGCGUCGGUCUAGACUUGAGCCAUGGAAUCUCAACAUCUUCAUACGUAUACCCUAGCUUUUUAUUAUCAAGAGUGUCCCUCACCGUGACCCUAACAAGCUCAGCAUUCUCGUCAUAAAACAAAAACCCCGUAUCCAACCAAUCCUUAUCGUUAAUAUCUUUAUUUUUAGUCCCUAUACUUUUCCAAAUAUUCCACAUUCGAUCUAUAUUCGAAUGGUGCGAAAAAAAUAUUGGAUCCCUUCCAGCGGAGUAAAAAUUCCCCAUGUCUUCAAAUUAGGUUGCGUGUUAUCUCCGGUCCAUAAAUGAACCGGACCAUGUGGGGUCGUUUCGAUUGAACCGCCCCCUGGAUCUGGUUCAGUGCCAGCCCUGUAGGGCGAACCAAAGAACAACAGCGGUUUCUUGGAGUUGGAAACCAUCUGCCUAUACAUAAUUUUGAGGUUGGCUUCGAUUUGAGCAUCGUUGGACAUUGUUUCAUCCGUGCCGUUGAAGUCAAGAUCGAUGAGAGUCGGCGGCUGAUGGCUGGCAGCGCGAAGCUCGUCGUAAAGCGGAGAGUCCGGGUUAGCGAACAAGGCAGGGAGUUGCAUGCCAGCUGGCGCGUCCCAGUUCCAAAACGGCAACGCGAACGUCGGAUCGUCUAUGAGUUUGGCCAAGAUUCUUUCGUGGAAGUAUAGGUAGUAACGAUGGAAGGGGAAGAAAAGCCAGCAUUGAUGGAUUUGGAGCUCGAGGUUGGGGAAGCCGACUUGGUCGUACGCGCCGUCGCAAUAGGCACAGUGGAGAUCGGCUUGCUGGGUGAAGCUACGCGGAUCGUCGUCCGGGAGGGCUUUCAUGAGCUCGAUGGCUUUUGAAUAUUUUUCGAUGUAGGCUUUAUCCACGGUGUGAGCUGCCGGCCUGACGCGGAGUUUGGUAGGGGAGGGGAAUUUGAAGUCUACGAUUUUUUGGGACGUUGGCGGGCAACAGUUGGUCGGGACUGCUCCACUUGGAAAGUCCGCAGCUCCGCAUUUGGCUAGGUCAGGCGGCGACACUGGCUUUGCAACAGCGAAGGGGUCGCUGCCAAGACCAGCCACUCCACCGUAUAGGCUUCCGAGACCUAUAAGUACAUUUCUUCUGUCUAGGUUUACUGGAGAAGGGUUUUCAUGGUCGUGAUCGUUGGAGCUAGUGGAAGGGUUUUUGUUUUGGUCACUACUAUUAUUUGUGGCUUUGCAUGAGACAGCUUGUAAAUUGGAAUGCCUAGGGUUUCCAAAUGAGGAUAUUCGGUGAUACUUUUGGGAGAAAGGGGAGAGGAAAGUUGUGGGGAUGAUACUUGUGGCGGAGGUGACGAGUGGAGCUGACAUAGAAGCCAUGGUUACUUUUGACUCUGAAUAAUACGUUGUAUUGGCUUUGCUUUUAUAAUGUGUUCUAGGUUGUACUUUUCUUUGCACAGGUGGCAGGCCGUACACACGUGGUCGGUCCUUAAGGGUUUGACGAGGAAUACUACGUAGUCAUUUAGUACAGGACAACCAUACACUAUAGCAAGUGGCAUGUAUUUAGAGAUCGAGAGAGAAUUGGGUAAGGUUCACGAGGGAUUUGUAGUUUCAGAAGGUGAAUUGGUUUUGGUCUUCUUGUGUACCAAUAAUAUUUACUUAGUCAUUUAGUGCAGGACAACCAUGCACUAUAGCAAGUGGCAUGUAUUUAGAGAUCGAGAGAGAAUUGGGUAAGGUUCACGAGGGAUUGUAGUUUCAGAAGGUGAAUUGGUUUUGGUCUUCUUGUGUACCAAUAAUAUUUACUUAGUCAUUUAGUGCAGGACAACCAUGCACUAUAGCAAGUGGCAUGUAUUUAGAGAUCGAGAGAGAAUUGGGUAAGGUUCACGAGGGAUUGUAGUUUCAGAAGGUGAAUUGGUUUUGGUCUUCUUGUGUACGGCUGUGGGUCUGCUGUCCCGGACUCUCUGUCUCAUUUGUGUCUUAUUUUUUAUUUUUUCACACGUGUCUUUUACUUAACGUCAAAUCAUGAUAGCAAUGUUAUGCAAUUGGGAGCUAAACGACCGAUGCUUUUAUUUUUUAGUUUGCUUUUUUUCCAGAUCUGAUCAAAUCAUGAUAGCAAUGUUAUGCAAUUUUCAAGAGGGAAAGAUGCACCUGGGAGAGAAACGGUACGGUGACUUCUAAAUCACCGUCCAACAGAACAAUUCUCAGUAGAGACUACUAGAGAGAGAUGCACCUCACCAAUGAAAAAUUUAACUGCAAAAAUUCUGGGUAUUGGGUAAGGAAAUUCGGUGAUACUUUUGGGAGAAAGGGAAGAGAGAAGUUGUGGGGAUGAUACUUCUCGUGGAGGUGACGAGUGGAGCUGACAUAGAAGCCAUGGUUACUUGACUCUGAAUACUACGUUGUAUUGGGUUUGCAUAUAUAUAUAAUUAGGAUUGAAGGAUGUAGAGCUUAUUUUGUUAUGUAUUUUAACGAUUUAAGUGCUUAUCUUUUAGGUUUUCUCUUAAACAUCAUGUCUAUAAAAAAUCACCAAAAUUCAAACCAUAUGACCAUUAGAUCCAUAGUCAUUUUAGUGUUUAUUUGUAAAAUGUAUUCAUUCAUUUUCUUCACUACAAAUGAGUGAAUUAAUGAUUUUAGAAUUUGUCUAAUUUUUUACAUUGAUUAUUUAUGAAUGUUGAAUUGAAAUUUAGACGAUUCAAAAAUAGUUGAUAUGCAUUACAAAAUGAACUCCACAAAAUAAGUGUCAAAAUAUGUAUAAAAAAUGGACAGCGUGAAUGGCUUGGAAAUUGGAAUAGGUUUGAAAAUUGUGCUUUUUGUAGCAAAUUUUAGCAAAGUUUGCUUGGACUUUCACAACCGUAUAAAUUAAAGGGAAACUUGAUAUAACUCCAAUUUUUUGAGCCAAUAGUAGGAAUAGUCCAGUUUAUUAAAAUAAGUUCAAUUCUUUAAAUUUAAUUAUUUAGUUAUCAAUAAUUAUCUCUUAAAAGAAAAAACUUAUUGUAAAAAUCAAAUUUCUUCCUAAUUAUCUCUUUGAUUAUUUCUUUUUAUUUAUUUAUUUGUUAUUUCUUGUUCUUCCUCCUGCUUUAACCCAUUUAUAGAUUUUUUUUUUAAUUUUAUAAUCAACCUAUGUCACAGGUUAAUUGUAUUUAUCUACCUAUAUGACAUAUUCUUUUUCAUAGUCAACAUUUCACAGAUUAAUGUGUCUUGCUUGUAGAUAUAUUAUGUUUUUUUCUACCUUUUAGUUAGGUUUCAUAUCUCACUUAUAGGUAUAAUAUACAUUCAUAUAUUUGCUACUUGAGUUAGGGUAGAAUGUUUUGCAGAUAGAUUUAUGUUAGUAUAUUAAUUUUUUUUUGUUUAUAAGAUAUUAAUUAGAUAUUUUGGAGUUGAAAAAUGCAUAAUAUUAAAAGCUUUUAAUUGAUUUUUAAUAUUUUUAGAAAAUAUAAAAGGAGUAUAAAAGAAAUCAAAACAUAUAAUUAGAUAACGGGAGUCACUCCUAAAAACACUCUAUGUUUUUUGACCUGGAUCUUAAAGCCCCUAAAUUAAACUGUUCGCUUUGUUGGGAAAAAGAAGUGGCCCUAGUUUCCCUUUGAUUUUUCAAGCACGGUGGGAGACUGGUCAUAGUUUCUAGAUUGAUGCUCUAAUUCUAAUGUUAUACAACGCGUACGCUAUAAUAUUUUUAUCAAAAUAUUAGUUUUAGUGUUAUCAAAACAAUAUGUUAUUCUUACCAUGUUUUUGUAUCACAAUUAUAUACCACCUUAGAUGGUAUCUGAUGUGGACAGCCACAUCAUUUAAAUUAAUAAGCAUUUAAUUUCAAAAUGUUAAUCAAUAAUUAAUAAAAAGAUUGUUAAUUAAAUGAUGAUUGUGGUAUACAAGGAGUCUCCUUCUUCCUUCCUCUUUCCAUUCUGCUUUUUCUUCUUACCUCUUUUUUUUUUUUAAUGCCAGUUUUGUAUUGAUUUCUGUUGAUUUCCAUGAUUAUGGUCAAUCUUUAUAGAAUUUACUAGUAUGCCACAAUCACCAUUGAUUUCUAUCUCCAGACUCAUGCCCCGUAGCCCUAAUCCUCAUUCCCCUUCAAGUAUUUCUGUCUCCAAUCUUCUUUGGUACUCCAUGAUUGUUCAUCUCGUGAUAUUUUUUUUUUUGAUUAUUUCAUUAAGUAACGCUUAUUAGCUUUCAUGCGAAUUAGGAGUCAAAAUCAAAUUUGUCUAUCGGAUUAGGGUUCAUACCCAAUUAAGUUACUAACGCCAGAGGGAUUUUGAAGUAUGCAAUUUUCCUUAUUUAAGUGUUUUAAUUAAUAAGAAAAUUGAAAUUAAACAAUUUAGCUUGUCCAACUCAUCUGCCACCUAAGAUGGUAAAUAAAUGUGGUAUAAAAUUGUGGUAAGAAUAUCAUUACUCUUAUCGAAAUUACAAAAAAAAAAAAAAAAGCUGAUUCAAUAUUUAGUUAUUAAAAAAAAAAUGAUCAAGUAACUAUCCAAUACCCAUGUAUUGGGUGCUUUGUUUGAAAAUUUUCAAAAUGAUAUUGGGCUCGUUUGGAUAUGUUUUUAAAAUGACUGAAAGCAUUUUUAGAGAAAAUAUUUUUUUGAUUCCAAAAGCACUUAAAGUGCUUUCUGCAAGAAGCACCCGUUAUGUGCUUCUUCCUGGAAGCACUUUAAGUGUUUUUCCAGCAUUUACUUGCUUUUUUACUAAGGACUGGUUCCAAAAACAUUUUCACAAAAAGUGUUUUCAGUCAUUUUAAAAGCACAUUCAAACGAGCUCAUUGUUUUUCCUAUUUUAAUCGAGUGCGUCGUCCUCUGUUGAGAAUGAAUCUCAUAUUAUGGGAGGAGGGAUCUUGCAUGAAUGGGAGGAGGGACCUUGCAUGAGCUUAUAAGUAAGUUGGGUUACUCUCCAUAUUGCCAAAAGAAAUUUUAUUUGGACCCAGUUUUCCUCUCUCUAAACCCAACUUUAAUAUUUUGUUACCUAUAAACUCUCUAGUUUACCCUCAUAAAUUAUAAACAUAAAUAAACUAGAAAAAGAAAAACUCAUCAAACCCAUUUCCCAACUGUUCUGGCGUCUCUUCCCUGUAUUUGUUGGGUCUGUCUCCCUCCCGACUGUUUUUUUUUUUCUGAUAUCUCUGUGUGUUCCCCCACCUCUCCCACACCCACCAAUUCUUUGUGGUGGCUAUUCCACCAAACGUCCAGUGAAUCUUUCCAUUUUUCUUCUAUUGCGCGUGAUAGGGCCUUGCUAUUAAUAGGCAAAACUAAGCGGCAUCGUCGACUCCGUAAGCGACUUGUUGCAUAAGUCCAAAAUGGAGUCAAAUGGAUUUUGUAUUGGGUCGGGUUGUUGAAGGCGAUGGCUGAUUUAGCAAUCCCGCCUAACUAUUUCUAUAUGUAGGAGAAGGAAGAGGGAGGGAGGUCUGAAGUGGUGGUUGAGUGGUGGCGAUGUAUGUGGGUUCUCUCUCGGUUGAAUGGGUGUAGAAAGAUAUUUAAUUUUCAAUAUCUUAUUUUAUUUUGUAUAAGGGAUAAUAUAGGAAUUACAUAAAAAGUUUUUUUUAUAGCUAGGUGUAGAAAUAGUAUUGUUGGGUCUAAAUAAAAUUACCCUAUUGCCAAUUAGUUUUAUGGUGAAAUCUUAACUUUGUUCAUGCUUUCAUAGUAGGUUGUUCCACGUGUGAAGUCAAACAUCCACACGCGCUGCACGUCACCCCGUUGUGUUGUUCACGUGUUAAGCUUGAAAAUUCAUCACACAUGAGGGAGCGUGUUGAGAAUAAAUUCCACAGUUUAUAAGUAAGUUGUACUACUCCGUAUAUUACCAAUUAAUUUUGUGGAAUUCCGUCAAAGCUGAAUUUGACGGAAAAAAAUAACUUCAUGUUUGUUCUUAACUAUAAAGUCAGUGAUACACUAAUUCUGGUUUGUUUGUUUUUUCCUUCCUUCUUAAGGAAAUUCCCAAUCCAACCAAAAAAAUGAAAUUCCCAAGAGAAUAGUAGCACGAACAAUCGUAGCUUUCUUCUUCGAUAAGCCUUGGGGAAACAGAAAAGGGAAAACCGGACUUUAACCCUAAUUUCUCCCAAUGCCGCAGCACUCUCUAUUUUCUCUCUCGCUCUAUAUCGCGGUCCCUCUCUCUCGCCGUCCUCUAUUGCUCAAACUCAAUGUCUCCAACUUCCUCUGUAUGGUUCCCGAGGAAGAUGGUAAAACAGUAAGGGCAAGAAAUUGUGACAAGGUUAGAUUUGGGUAUUAAUCUGGUGGGGCUACAAUUCUCCAAUCCACACCCCUUUCAUCUGUGCUAGUGUUUGAACCCAAUAUUAGAUAACCGGUCCAUGCAAUCGAUGCCGUUGAAUGAGAAAAAUUCUAGGCCGUGGGAUCAAAUAUAAUGAUGUGGAUUAAAUAAGGAAAAUUUAAAGAGUAAUGAUAUUCAUACCAUGUUUUUGUACCACAUUUUCAUACCACCUUAGGUGGCAUUUGAUGUGGAUAGCCACAUCAUUUGAAUUAAUCAGAUUUUAAAAUUUAGUUGAUUAUUUAAUAAACUAAUAAUUAAGAAAAACUAAUUAAUUAAAUGAUGAUUGUGAUAUACGAGGAGUCUUUCUCGUUCAUUUCUUUGGGUUUUGCAAAUUUUUCAAAUGAUGUGGCUGUCUACAUCGGAUGCCACCUAAGGUGGUAUAGAAAUAUGGUAUAAAAAUAUGGUAUGAAUAUCAUUACUCAAAUUUAAAUGUUUAUCUUGGUUAAAUUACCAUGAUAAUAUUGUGGAAUUAUCUUUUGCAUAACGGAAGAGCGAGAAAAGUCCAAGGGUGUAGGGAAGUUGUGUGGUUGACUACCGCUAUUUUGAUGGUAUAAUCUGUAGAGUAAUAUUACAUUUAACAUCUAUUUGUAUCAUAUUUCUAAUAAAGAUAAGGACCAUCAAUGCAUAAAUAAUUAAACAAAUAUAUAAUAAGAGUAUCAUUUUUGUAACUAGAAUAGGAGAAGAAAGACUUCAAGAUGGGAUCAGCCAAAUAAUUAGCGUUAAGAUAAAAAUAUUGAAAGGAAAACUAAUGAAAAUGGCUUGAAAACUUUGAGUUUUAACGAUAAGGACAAGAUAAAGGGUAAAGUGAAUAGUACCAGGAUUGACUUUUUAAUGUAAAAAUAUAGUUUUUCGUUAAAGUGAACAUUACCGGGAACUUUUCGUUAAAGUUUCCAAUGAGAUAAUAUUGCAACAGCUGGCAUGAGACAAUGAUGGUAUAAAGAUGGCUACUACGGCCAAACUACUACAUAGGAUUCCAUACAUGCGGUCAUUAUUUCGACAAAUCAAUGGCUGCCGCAAUCAUGUGCUCAUUAUUCCGACAAAUCAGUAGCUACUUGCAUUGGAUUAGGAUUGCAUGCGUGUGGUCAUUGAAUGAGGAUUGCGUGCACGUGAUCUUUAUUCAAACAAAUCACUAUUGACCAUAUAUUGCAAUUGGUUAAUGGUAGGCAAAUUGAAUUUUUACAUCAAAUAAUGUGAUUGCUGAUAAUUGAAUUAUUAUUUAAAUGUUGAUUAAUAUGCUUAUUUUUUAUUUGUGAUAUAUCAUUUAAUUUGUACAUUUAGUUUACCUAACAUUACCAACUGUAAUUUGUAUAAAUGGACUGGUACCUAACAUAACCAGUUGUAAUUUGUAUAAAUGGGACUGUAAUUUGUAUAAAUGGACUGGUGCCUAACAUUACCAGUUGUAAUUUGUAUAAAUUUACUGGUCCCAAGAGCACAUGCUACUGCUCAAGAAGCAAAGUUCUUAUUUGCCCAAAAAAAAUCAUGGUUUUUUAAUUGAUGCUCUCAUUUUAAUUUACUAGCCCCUUACUUGGCCUUUUUUAUUUAUCAUUUUAUACAUAUUAAUAUUUUUUUGUAAAAUAUAUUAGUUUGAGUUUUAUUAAAAUUAAAAAUAAAUAAAAAAACUUAGUUUUAGUUUUAUCAAAUUAAAAAAAAAUGACUUAAUAUUUAGUUAUUGAAAUUGUAAAAAAGUGAUCAAGUAUUGGGUGCUUUGUUUGAAAUUUUUCAAAAUGAUAUUGUUUUUACCAUUGAAACCCUGUUAUAUACAGUGAUGGCUAAUUUGUCAAGUUCUACGAAGUUGGGAUACCCAGCGUUUUAGCAUAUAACAUAGCUUAGUAUUACAAGCAUAAUUAAUUAAAAUAAAGGCAAAAUAAGAGGAUAGCUUAGUAUUACAAGCAUAAUUAAUUAAAAUAAAGGCAAAUUGUAACAGCCCGUCCCUAAAAAUGACGAUUUUAUAAUCUUAACACGUGAGUUUAUGAAGAUGCCCUUCGAGGCAAAGUGUUGACUACCGCGUCGUGUCAUGUGAGACUCAUCUUCUUGGCGUAUUCUCGUUUUACUCGUCGCUACGGAUGCGUGGGCGCAAACGACACGUGAUUUGGAGCUAUAACAAAAGAGUUAUUAACAUUUAAAGUUAAGGACAUUUUAGUAAAUUAAUUAAUUUCAGAUUUUGUUGAGGGGAAAAUCUGGAGUGCCAUGUGGGUGGCCCAGAUUAAAGGAAAUGAGGAAUGGAUGGUGGAGGUGUAAAGGAAAGAAGAUAAAAGAAAAAUGAGAGGAAAUGUGUGACUAAUAGGGAGAUGAGAGAGUUAGGAUGGCCCAAUUAGAAACAAACGAAAGGAGGAAAAAGGAGAGAAGAGGGGAGCAGGGGAUCCCUUCAACCCGGUUCCACUUUCCGACCCGACCCGAUCCUUUUCAUCUUUUCCGGUGGUUUUUCGUCAGUUUUUCCGGCGAACCACGUUAUCUAACCCCGUUGAAAAUGUUCCACGACCUUCCCUCUACCAUUACAACCCAAAAUUGUAGAAAUUUAGCCAUGAAAGUAUGAAAACCGCACCGGUGGGUGCGGGAAACCUUUGUCGUCGAUUCUCCCAUUAUUGAAACGAUUUUCACCAAUUAUCACCACCUACAGCAUCCUCUUGAGGUCUGGAAUAAAGCCCAAACAAGUUUUGGGGCGUUGGAGUUCGUUUAAGGUCGAAUUGAGCACACCCAAAUUCAAGGGUUCCGUACCGUUCAUGGUGAUUUGAGGUGUUUCUCGGCCAAAUUGGCCUUAGUCACAAGUAUGAAAGUUGCUCCACUCGUUGAGAUCUUCAUUUAUGUGAAAUUUGAGAAUUUUUUGAAAUAUUUGGAUUUUCCAGCGAGUCGGGGUGGCGGACCGCCACCGGCAGCAGCGCAUGGCCAGUGGUCCACCAAUGUCAUUUUACGUUAAAUUGAUAUCUUGAUUUUAGAUUUGAUGUCUAUAUGUUAUGACUUGAUUAUGUGAACCUAGUUUGAUUAAGGUGCGUUAAUUGGUAAAAAUAUGAAACGACGAUCCGACCGUGGGAUCGUCACCAAACUUUAAUAUGUUAUAGUACAUAAUAUUUGAGAAUCAUAGGGACUGACAGAUAGGAAAUCCGAGAUACAGAUCUUCCCGAAAUGGAAUUGUAAGUUUGAAGAAUAAACGUUAACCGCCACUUUGUUUUGACUAUUGGUGGAGAUCCAACCGUUGGAUCAUAAUGAAAUUUUAGGAUGAUGUUUUAGAAGCAUAAUGUGGAUCUUUGGAAGUUACUGAUCGGAAAUCCGAGGAGUGAAUCUUCCGAAUUGAAUUACGUAGGGUUGUGGACCUUACCGUCGAUCGUUGACCGAUGAUCGACUUUUGGUCAAUGGGGCUUAAAUCAAUCUAAAACGUUUUUAGGGAUGUGUUUUACGUAAAUUACAUGAUCUAUUGAUAAGAAUUAUGAGAUGUGGUUUGAUAAUUGUCCUAGGUGCCGAUCGUUAGGAACGCUUCGAUGGUUAUGCUAGGAAAUUGUAGCACAGACUCCUUGUGAGUGAAUCUUUUCCUUCUUAUCAUAUAUAUAUAUAUAUAUAUAUAUAUAUAUAUAUGAUUGACAAUUCCACAAACGUUUAUAAAUUGAUUAUUGCAUAUAACUACUGUGAAUACUUUGAAGUACUUAUGCGAACUACGAAUGGCUUGAUCCGUGUUUAGGGUACGUAGGCAGUCUAACAAGACGUUAGAUGUAGUCAUACAAUAAUUGAGAUUAAACAAUUGAGAUAAAGCCUUGUUUGGGGAACUGGGCAAGGUGAAGGAAUUUGGUAAAAAGGUGAGAUUUAACCUUAUGAAUUGGUGAUUAAAUGUUGGUCAUAAAUCAAUGUGUAAAGAAUCAAGAAUUUGAAGUAAGGAAACGUAAGUAAUGAUAAUUAAUUAAACUAGUGUCUAGUUGGGCUUGUCACCUAUAAUUAUCCCCGAAAAUGAAUAAUUCGGGAGUAGGGCGUUACAGCUUCUGCAUUUUUAUGCCACAUUAUAUAUAUAUAUAUAAUUGGAAAUGCUAUAACAUGGUUGAGUAUCAGAUUUCAUCAUGGUUUAUCUAUAUGUAUAUUACCUGCACACAAUUAUUAUGAACGCGUUGAAGUGCAAAGGUGAAUGCACGACACCCAGGUAAGUUCAGGUGAGUUUAUGGUAUUAGUUGAAAUGAUGGGGUUAUGGUAUGACUACAUGUAUGUUUAGGUUGCAAUGAUAGGCAACUCCAACACUGUCGUACAGGUUGCCCAUGAAUUGUACAUGUUACAAUAGAUACAGUUAGAGCUCAUAAACCUACACCCCGGUGUUAGUACUCCCGCUCGUGGCCAGGGCACAGUCCUUCACGUGAUGUUCACCUCCCGCACCUUACGCUCACCUUGGAUCCAAGGUAGGUGCACAAUCAUGUCGUACCACUAUAGGUGGUUCCGACUCGUAGAUGACCCGCGAUUAUUUGCACAGUCUUCACGUGAUUGUAGCACUUGAGCGUAUUUAUUUACACCCAGUUCUAUUGUACAGACCACUUUAGGUGGUUCCGACUCGUAUGCAGGUAUACUUAUUAAGCUAUGGAUAAGUCGUACAGGUCACUAGAAGUGACUCCGACUUAUGAGCUAGCAUAUGUGAUGAGCUAGCAUAUGUGAUGAGAUAAGUGAUGAGUUAGUAUAUGUAAUGAGAUAUGUGAUGAGCUAGCAUAUGUGAUGAGAUAUGUGAUGAGCUAGCAUAUGUGAUGAGAUAUGUGAUGAGCUAGCAUAUGUGAUGAGUUAGCAUAUGUGAUGAGCUAGCAUAUGUGAUGAGAUAUGGGUAAGUCGUACAUGUCACUAUAGGUGACUUCGACUUGCGUGCUAGUAUGGGUUAUUAAUCACAUGAUUAUUGAUAUUACUGAUGAGAUGCUGUGUUGUGGUAUAUUUAUGAUCUUUCUGGAAACUAUGCAAGUGUUGUAACGAGGGGUUAUAAUGAGGUGUUGUAACGAGGGGUUAUAAUGUUUUAUAUGGUUUCUGUUAAAAUUUUAUUUCUAGGGUCACUCACCCUUAUUUUGUUUUCACCCUCUAGGUUUUAUUAGCUGAGCUUUCUUAUCGUCGAAGAUUCGUGGCGAUUCUUAGUAUUGGAGAUUAUUUCGAGAGUACGAUUCUUAAUUCACUUUACUGUACUUGCUUAAGCUGUAACGUCACGUGUGAAGUGGGUUCAUUUCCGCUUACCAGCGCAUUCUGGUAUUUAGGCACUCUUAGGUUUAAAUUUAUUCACAUUUUUCCACAUCAUCAAACUUUAUGGCUUUGUCACUCUUUAGGUGUCGGCCAGCACAGCUCGAUUUGGAGUCCUAGUGGACAUUCCGGGUCGGGGUGUGUCACAAAUGAAGAGGAUGGUUGAACUUGUUAAGUUUCUUAAGUGUGUCUACUUGAAGUGUGUUGCUAAUAAAUAUUUUGUUGUAGGCAUAAUUUACUGAACAAUUAUGGAGGCAGAGAGAGAGAGAGGGAAUAUGCGGCAUAGAGAGAGAAGAGAGAGAUGUGUAAUUGUGAGGUGUGUUCUAUUCCACCCCAUUGUACCUUUAUUAUAUUAGUAGGGAAAGUUAAUUCCUUACCCUUUUAGGAUUACAACUCUAAUAGGAAAAUAUCUAGUCUAAGAGAUAUGAUAGAAUCUCAUAAGGAUAUCCUAGAUAUGUUAGGAUUUACACAAUCAUAUUCCUAUUCCAAUAAGACUGCAACACAUUUGUAUUUUUUUAGAAUUUUUUUGAUAAUUUGUUGGUAUUCUCAAUUUUUGUUAACAUUGAAAAUAUAACGGUUCAGAUGAAAAACCUUUGGAAAUCCAACAGCUUGCAAGACGUUGGGCUGUGCUGAAGGAAGCUGGGCUGUCACGUGGAUGGGGCCCUCCCUCUCCCUCUUGUUGAUUCAAAGGGCGCAGGCCCGUGCAACAAUUGGCGAGGCAGCCCAUAGAGAUCCUGCGAUUCACCCAUUCGCCAUUUUUUCCACCGCUGGAGCACCAAAAUUCGGUCAAAAGGCAGGGGUAUCAAUGGCAAGGGCAAUUUGGCUUCCGCUGGAGGUGCUCUUUGUCGACUUUGUUUUUUCUCUCAUUUUAGCUUUUGCAGUAAUAUUGAAGUAAUCACUCCAAUUUUAUCCAAACUUUUGUUGUCCGUCAAUUUUUAUCAAAACUAUUGGUUAAUUUACAUAUUCAGACUAACCUUCUCAUUAUUUUUAGUAUUUUUAUCAUAAAUAAUAUCUGAAAUAGUCACAUUUUAUUCAACAACCACUCAAUUAAAAAUUAAUUAGUGUUGUUUCUAAACCAUUACAUCAAGCUUUUGUAGAUACACAUCAAUAUUGCAGCGAUCCGAGGCAUUGUUUUAGUGACGGUAGUACUUUCUACUCCUUGGAUUUGGUGAAUCGGAAAAGAGAAGAGUUACGAGUAAAAGUCCCUCGCAUUGUUUUGGGGAGAUGAAGAUGAUGAUCUUUUGUUUUUGUUUUUUAAUGAUUAAUCCACGCAGCAACAUAUAAUUAAAUUGUUGGGAUCUACUCAAGUUCCAUAUCACACACUAACAUAAAAUUUGACAAACGAAACGAAAUAUGUGUGUAGACAUCGAAAUUUCGUAAAUAAAUGUUGACCGAUAAAUCAAAGUGUCAACGCUCAUGUAUUACAUAAAUUUUACACGUAGCGUGUGACUCAACGAAAAUUGAAAUGAGUUGGAAAAGUCAUCAAAUAGGACACGUGUCAACACCUGGCAGAAACGACUUAUUUCAUCUGGGAUAUUAUAUUCAAAAUUAGCCAUUGGAAAAUUCUAUAAAUACAAGCCCAUUUCAUUCAUUUAAGGAGAGGAAUUCAUAUUACACCUUGAAGCUCUGAAGCUCUGAAACUCCGAAGCUCUCAAGCAUCCAGGUUCCCGAAGAAUCAAGAAAGUGUUCUUCGUUCUUCGUUCAUCGUUCUUCCAAGAUCAAGCCUCGACGGCCCUUGGAUCAACAAUCAUCCACCUUCAAGAUCAAGCCCCGACGGCCCUUGAAGAAAGCGUUCUUCGUUCUUCGUUCAUCGUUCUUCCAAGAUCAAGCCCCGACGGCCCUCGGAUCAACAAUCAUCCACCUUCAAGAUCAAGCCCCAAAGGCCCUUGAAGAACUUCCACCAAUUCAAGAUCAAGCCCCGACGGCCCUUGAAGAAAGCACCAUCGUUCAUCAUCCGUUCAUCCAAGAUCAAGCCCCAACGGCCCUUUAGAUCAACAACGUCGACAAAUCCACACAUCCAACCGUUCUUCAAGAUCAAGCCCAAAAGCCCUUGAAGAUCCGUUCAUCACUGUUCUUCAAGAUCAAGCCCAAAAGCCCUUGGAGAUCCGUUCAUCACUAUUCUUCAAAGAUCAAGCCCAAAAGCCCCUUUGAAGAUCCGCUCAAAUCCACCUUCAAGAUCAAGUCCACGGCCCUUGAAGAACGUUCAUCCUUAGAUCAAGCCCAACGCCCCUUUGGAUCAAUCGCACAUCCACAAAUCAACACCUUACGGAGAUCGAAUCAGAGGAUCAAAAUAGAGAGAGAUUGUAACCCAAAAUCAUCAAAUACAAAUAUUUGUUUGUGCGCGUUGUUCUUGUCUCUUUCGUUUCAGGAAUUUUCCGUGUUCACAAUGUGCUCUUGAAAUCAAAAUGAGGGCACUGCUCCAAGAACAAGAAGGGCACCUUGUCGAGGUCGCCAUCCGCCGUGAGGGAAAACCGGAAGAAGUUGGACAACAAUGAUAACAUCAAUUUGCGGCACCCAUAUCGGGACAUCACACUGUGAAAUAAAUAUUGAAAUAAAUACUCAAAACUCCUGGAAAGUCCUCGAGACAACAAACUUUCAUCUCCUUCAAACAUUUCAUUUUACUAAGUUUUAUCUUUGAAGGGAGGGAAAAAAAGAGAAGAGAGAAUCCUACUCCUUAUUCCUGAAUAUAUUCAAGAAUAGCUAUUGAAUAAAGAGAGAAUGGAGGGUGAUCGAAAGAGGAGGGAAGAGAAUUCUAGUUCCAAACAUAAAAAGGACCACAACUUUUAAAUUAUCAGCACAAUCAUCACCUAAUUGAAGAGACCAUUCACUGUGAAACAUAUUGUCAAUCAGUCUAUCUAUAUCUAUUUAUAUACCAUAUUUUUAGAGUAAGAUUCUCUCACCUCCUAUUACCAUCCCCUUCCAUCCUUUCAUCUCAUACUCUUUUUUUGUUGUCUUAUUCUCUAUAUAAAAAAAUUCAAAACAAGAUGUAUACGUGACGUAAUCGUAACCGUUUAAAUAAGAGGGGAUAGAAGAGAAGAGAGAUUAGGAGAAGGGAGAAUCCUACUCCCACAUUUUUCUUCUUCAUAAACAAAAGAGAGGUUCUAGAUUACUUGACUCUAUGCCUCAUUUUUUUCAUCAAGUAUUUGUGAUAAGUGGGUUCAUUUUCAAGUAUUUUAGUUUUUUUGUCAAAAUUGAGAAAACUGAAAAUCAAACAUUAAUAUGAAAAAUUAAAAAAUCAACAUAUAAUUAUUUAGAAAUCGCAAUAGAAAAGAAAAAAAAUGGAGGUUUGUGAUGAAAAAUCUUUUAUACUAAGUAAUUUAGUAUCCUUAUGCAUGAAGAUAAAUCAAUUUGUUCGUUACGGUCAUACUCUUUUUUGAAUUUUUGAACACAUUCUCCAUAGGGCCUUCUUAUAUGUUCCUUCUCCAAGCUCGGGUUAUGGAAGAAGUAAAAGAAGGAAUCGAAAAGAAAGUAUUGGUAACAACCGAUUUCAUUACGAGACAACUCUUGAUAUUCAUAUCAAUCUAUUAUGUACCUUUGCAUCUAGCAUUAGACAAUAAUUGUCAUAGCUUUACCAUAUUUUUUUGUUUCAUUUCUUCUGAAACAAUCUCACACACUUUUUUAUUAUGUGUCUACUACUAGGAAUUCAAUACGUAAUCUUAGCAUUCAAUAGUUAUUCCUAAAUAAUUUCAAUUUUCAAAUGAUCAACCAUUUCAUUUUACCAAGUUCAAUCAAUGUUAGUCAGAUUAGUCAACAUUUAUAUAUUUUGAUGCAACAACAAGAUGUUAUUUGUAACAAGUGAUUUUGUUAGUUGGUUAAUUGGUCACAAGUUAAUGUUCGGUUCAGUUUAGUUUUUCUCUCGAUUUUUUGUGAUUCGGUUUUUUCAAUUCUCUUUAGGGUCGGUUCGGUUUUGUUUUUUUAUUUAUACUUGAAUUUUAUUUUAAUUUAUUUUAAUUUAUUUUAUUUUAAAUCUGGAAACACCAAGAACAACACAAGCACAUAGUCAAUCAAACAACUAUCCUUCUCCACAAAUCAUAGUAAUAAUUACAUUCAUUGAGCUGAAAUGCAAAUAACUAACAAACUCACAAAAAUCAAAUAAAAACUACAAAUUGCUUACUCUUUUUCUUUGGGUUUCACUCGAAAAGUGUCGGUAAAAUUUAGGGUUUGCAAGAACGCAACUGAAAUCUAAAACGGAGGCCUUGUGGCCUAUGGGUUGCUAUUGAGUUCCAGUACAGAGAACCUUGCUUAAUCUCGAUCACGGUACAAAGUAUCGAGUACCUUUAGCACUGUAUUUUGGUAUGAUUGGUAGAACCAAAUUAAAAGCUAACAUCAACAACAACUACCAGAGACAAAAGCUCUUAUCAAUGCUUUGGAAACAUUUAUGUAUCUCCAAGUGUAAUGAUAUAAUUGGUUGGAAACUUGUGAUUUCGUAUCAAAUCAAUAAAAAGUUACAAUAUUGACAAUAUAUUAGCAAUUUUUAUGUUAAUUAUGAACAAGUCAAUCAUGUAGAACCAAAUUAAAAGCUAACAUCAACAACAACUACCAUAGACAAAAGCUCUAAUCAAUGCUUAGGAAACACAGUCCUGUAUCUCUAGGUGUAUUGAUAUAAUUGGUUGGAAAUUUAAAAGAAAAAUGGUGAUUUUGUAUAAAAUUGAUAAAAAGUUACAAUAUUGACAAUAUAUUUGACACACCCCGACCAAGAUCAAGGCAUGCUGGCCGUCACAUGAGAGUGACGUAACCAUGUGCACAGUGCGGAAGCAAUAAUGAUAAGAAAUAUAUGAAUAAUUAAAAACCGAAUCUACUAGAGUGCACUACUAAACAGGAAGUAUUAGGAGUAAGAUACAAAAGUAAAUACUCCUAAUCAGAGCAUAGAAAGUCUAGGUGCAAUCCAGUAGGACAAGUACUAAUUAUACAGUAUAAAAUGUCUUACAAUUAUUUAGAUAGGUCAGAACCGCCGAAGUCCUCACACCCAACAACUGCAAACUUACUUAAAACCUGAAGGGGCGCAAAAUAGAAAACGUGAGUGGGAAAAAACAAAUGUUUUACAAAACCAUUUCAUUUAUCAAUAUAUCUAACCCCUCGCUGUAAACAUGUAUAAUUUUUCCCAGAAUCAAGAUAUAAGCAUAUACAUAAAUAUAUAUAUAAAUAUAUCAAUUCAAAUCAUGCUUCACAUAAUCAUAUUCAUAUGUAUGUCAUGCCAAGAUAUAACAGAGUAAGCAACUCAGGUAAGAGUAAUUUCAUAGAAAUAUAACAUGUUAGCCGGAACCCCUGUAGUAGUCUGUACGGCUGAAUUCAUAGCUCAAAAGUCAAUCUAGCCGAAGUCACUACAAUGACCUAUACGGCAAUAUACUGCACAAGAGUCGGAACCAAAUGAAAAGAUCUGUACGACAAUAAUGGGUGUUGUUGAUGCACAAAAUCAGUGAGGACUUUGGUACAACAGAAAGUGUUAAGUUUGUGACAUUCUCUAGAUUACUCCGAUCACUAGUGUGGAUAAGUAUGUAAAUGGAUAAAGACAGGGAAGCAAACACAAGAUGUACGUGGUUCACCCAGAUUGGCUACGUCCAUGGAGUAAAUGAGUUCUUAUUAAUUGUGAAGGGUUUACACAAGUAUAUAGGUUCAAGCUCUCCUUUAGUGAGUACUAGUGAAUGAUUUAGUACAAAUGACAUUAGGAAAUAUUGUGAGAGAAUGAUCUCUAUUUAUAGAAGAGAGUUUCUAGUUUCAUUCUGACAUUGACACGUGUCAUGUUGUGAUUGGCUUCUGAUGUUGACAUGUGUUGCACUAUGAUUGGCUUUAGAUGUCAACAUGUGUCGCGUUGUGAUUGGCCUCCUGGUUUGAGGGAAACUCUUCUGGCUCCUUGACGGUAUAACGUUGAUCGAUGCUCAGUAGUUUCGGGAUUGGUCAAGUAUGGUACAAACAGGUGUAAUAUAAUCAUACUCAAUACUACUCUCACAUAAUAGCUGGGUGAUAAAUCGCUAGUCACCUAUGAGUCAGAACGAUAAUAAAGGUCUGUACGAAGACUGUGCACCUAAAUUGGAUCCAAUAUGACCAUAUGGUGCGGGAUGUGACAUUAUAUACAGGCUUGUGCCAUCACUGGCGGAGCUACACCCACGGCUACAGUAGGCUGUAGCCUAGGGAGGAUUUUAACAAACUGCUGGUAUAAUAGUUUAUAUAUGAGUUUGUUGUUGCUUAUUGUAUGUAUAAUAGCCCACAUAAAUCCUGCCAAAAUUAUUAGUUAAUGUGUUUCUUAAUUUAUAAAUAAUACUUUUAUUACCUUUUAUUAUUUUAUUAUUUUUAGGCUAAAAGUAAAAAUGGUAAAUUAAUACAUAAUUAGGUUUCUCCUAUUCCCCAUGCUUUUUACCUAUUCGUUCAAAACAAAAAAAUUAAACCCUCUACCCUAAGAAAAGAAAAACUAUGAAUCACCAUCAAAUUAUUUUCUAAUGAAAUUCAACACUAGAUAUGCUCUUCAUGUCUUCAUUUAACCUAUUUCUUGAUUCAAUUGUUCAUUCCAUAUAUCUACAGCACGACUUGAAUUGGUAUCCCCUAACCUUUUUUCUUUUGGGUACUUGUUAUCAACAAAAGUGAUAAUAUUUGUUCUCUUUCUAUUGCUUUUUUGUAUGCAUGUUUUAUUUGUGUAAAAAUUAGUUGGAAAGUAAUUAAUAAACUUGUUUGGAUUAUUAGUACUUCAUGUUCCUACUUUUAUGUAGAUUACUAUAUAAUUUUAUGUAGGCAAAAAAAAAAUUCAUAAGAUUAUAUGCUAAUGAUUUUAGUUAGCCCACCCAAGAAAAAUUUUCUGGCUCCGCUAUUAUGUGCCAUAACUCUGGCAAAAUCACAAUCACCCUAAGUGCAGUUUUAUGAGUUCAACGUUAUUCUAUCACAUAUCACAUCAUCGAUAAUUCACAUAACCAAACAUAACUCACAUGAGCUUACCUGAGCGUCCACAGUACCAUAAUUAUAUAUAAUGCAUCAUAUACGAAAUAUAAAUUCAUAUGCAUGGCAUUUAAGGUAUACUUUCAUUUAAACACAUAUUUCUGGGAAAAUAUCAAGUAUAUAAAUAUAUACUGAAAACCAAAAGCCCACUCAUUGGUAUGUCGAAGGGUCGUAGCCCCCGAGUCGCCUUUGAAUACUCUCGUCCUCGUGAUAAGUCUCACCUAUAUGCGAAUUAACUAUAAAAACGUUAUUUUAGAGCACAUACAAAAAAUUAGCUAAUAACUCUCAUACAAUGCUCAAUUUUUGUAUUUGAAUAUAUCACAGUGACCUACACAACCUCAAGAUCAUCCCUAAAUUUUUACAAUAUUUUUCUGACCCCUCACGCGCUGCCACGCACCGGCAAGGGCAACGCCUUACUCGCCCCCACGCGCGGCCACGUGACAAGCAUACUGAUGGCGUCAAUCAACAUCAUCAGGAAUAUUCUAGGGAAUAUUCUGUUAAAACCCAAUGGUAACUGUUAAAGAUGACUGACGGCAUGAGCAUAUUCUGUCAACCUUGACGGAAUAUACUCCUUUCUUCUCCGAUGAGUCGUCGGUCGCCGGCGACUUCGCCGAUUUCUUGGUAAAACUUUAAAUCGCUUAUUCUUCUUCGUUUCUUCGCCAUUUUUCAUGAAAUUGGUACCAAAAUGAAGCUAAUAACAUGUAGAAUCACUUUGUAUAAGUUUCAAGGCUUAAAAUCUACUAGUUUUUCCCUGAGAAAGCUCGAUAGUUCGGCUUACCUAGAUAUGCGUCGAUCUCAGCCCUCCGACGUCCAAUUCCUUCCAACGAAGUACCCCAAGACUCGUGAGGACCUCCUUAAGCUUCCUAUAAGCUUCAAAUUCCCUGAAACACAAGAUUUUACGUAUGCAUGAACAAUGCACAAAGUCGGAGCUAGGGUUUCCACGUGAAAUCGAAGGUUUCCUUACCUGAAAAUGGUUCCUUUGAAUUCGUAUGGUUCUCACGAACACAAUGGUGAUCUUAAAACCUUCGAUCUACAAGGUUUAAGAGGGUUUCUGGGUUGGUCCGUACGAAGAAGGGAGAGAGAGAAUGAGAAUCUGCGAGAGAGAGGGCACGGGAAGGAAAGAGAAAUAAGAUAGGUGUGUGUAUGGUCCAAAAGCCACCAAUCAAAACUAAGAAAAGUCUUAGUUGUAAUUGGGUCACCAAUCUAAAACAAUUUAACCCAAUAAUAACUUACACACAUCAUUUAACAUCCGAGGGUAAUUCCGUCAUUCUACGUCAUCGAGAAUAAUCUUCCGGGACGGGCUGUGACAAUAUCAGCAAUAUUUAUGUUAAUUAUGAAUAGGUCAAUCAUGUAUUUAAUACUUAAAUGUAUUUAAAAUAAACACCUUAUCAAUGUUUUCUGAACUGUGCUCGAUUUUUCUCCUUCGCUUUGGUUCUGUCCCAUUGGAUUUUUCAAGCAAGAUUUUAUCAAGGCAACUAUCAUUAACUGUGAACAUAAUUUAUCAUUGAGACACGAACAUCCAAGGGGGAGUGUCGUGGAAAAAAAUGUAGAUAUCUUUAUACGUUGUAUGGUAGUAAACCAUCAUAAACACCAUAAAUAUGUAGAAACGCCCUUGCGGUACCUUUGAAUGAUAACUCAUGUAUUUGUUGCCCUAUGUAAAGAUGGCUAAUGAUAAUGGAAGACUAAUUUUCUCAUCCCAAUCUCUCCUGUCUCUCUUAUUCUCUUUUCUCUAUAUUUUAUUUCCAACAAGUUGUGUUUUUUUUUUAGUAUUGUUAAGCAACCCAAUAGAUUUUAAUCGUAGUCUUUGUUUUUUUUCUUUUAUAUUUUUAAUCAAUUUCAGUUGCUUAUCAGUUCUAGCUAAUUGAGCUCUUUUACAGCAAUUUUUUUCUUUAAAUAAAAUUAUUAUUAUUAAAAAGAGUGAGAAAAUUCGAAAUUGUUACAAUAAUUUAAAAAAAAUAGGAGUUUCAAAUCAUGAAGGUAGAGGGAGUUAACAACAUUUUAGGGGGGGGUGUAGUCAAACUAGGAUUUUGAAGGAUUUUAAAAGUGAUAGAUUUGAUAGGAUUUAAGAUGAUUAAAGACUCUUACAAAAUUCAUAUGGAUUUUAAAGAAUAUGAAUGGAUUGCGGUGGAUUGUGGGGGAAGGAUUUGAAAUCCUAGGGGGUGAGGUUUGAUUCUUUUUAGUUUUGGUUAUAUAUGGUAUGCUUUCAAAUCCCAGAAAAUCCACAACUUUUUAAAAUCCUUUAAAAUCUUAAUUUUUUUAAUACACUUAGAUUUGGAUGGAUUCUAAAAUCCUUUAAAAUCUUUUAAUUGACUACACCUAGAUUUGAAUGGAUUCUAAAAUCUUUUAAUUGACUACACCUAGAUUUUAAUGGAUUCUAAAAUCCUUUAAAAUCUUUUAAUUGACUACACUAUGAUUUUAAAGUCUUUAAAAUCCUCUCAAAUCCAAGUUUGACUACACCCCCUAAAGAUUUUAAGGAAAACUAAUGAAAAUGGCUUGAAAACUUUGAGUUUUAACUAGGGGUGGGCAAACGGGUACAGGAACCGCGGGUAGGGGUGGGUAAUUCAAGUUCGGGGCAGGUAUGGGACAUGUCCAAUAUUUCUAAACACAAAACGGGGCGAGGCUGUUCGGGUAUAUGAAAUUAUCGGGGCGGGGCGGGUCUUAAAAUAGAAGGGAACGGGCCCCCAGCCUGACCCGUUUCUUUUCCUCAUCCCUAGUCUUCUCUAUCUCUCUUCCCCGACACUUUUCAUUUCACUCAAACCCGGCCCAUUUCUUUUCCUCAUCAGUCAUCCCUAGUCUUUUCAAUCUCUCUUCCCUAACUCCUUUCAUUUCACUCGUACCUCGAGACCUCCUCUUAACUCGCUCCCAGCCUCCCACCGUCCUAGCUCCGUACCUCGCCAUCAUCAUCGUCAGACCUCCAUCUCUCCUGAUUUACUCAUGUCUUCCUCGCUGCGUCCGCCGCCAUGUCUCUCUUUCUGUGACGAACUUAAAGGGACGGACGAAGUUGAACAACUCGAAACGACGCCUCUUCUGUCUGAAUUAGACCCAUAUUUGCAGCGCACGACUCUGCUCAUAGUCCUCUUCGGUUUUAAGGUAUUACGUUUUAGAGAUUUAGGAUUGAAAAUUAAAUUAGGGUUUUCUAGAUUUAGGGAUUUUGUUGGGUUCUUGAACCUUGACCUCUGUUAUGUUCCAAUUUCAAAUAUAUAUUGAAUUGAAUUUGAAUCGACUGUGUUUGAAACUUCUGUUGAAUUAAAUUGAAUUUGAGCAGGAGAAGAGGCAGAUGUGGGUUGGGCAAUGUCGAAUCUCAUUGUGGGUGGUGAGGUGGGCAUGGCGGGCGACAAUAUUGACUGGCAAUGGUACGGGCGGUGCUAUUAAGUUGCAGAAGAAUACGAAGGAGGGGGUGUGGGCAUGGGUGGAUAUCGCAAGCUCAAUUGAAUUUUUUCUGGUUUUGUUUGUGAUUAAUUGCUUGUAUAUGAUAGUUAUUGAUGGAUCUUGACAUGCCCAUUUAAUUGUUAUUGGCAAUGCUAGUUUGAUUGUAACAAAUUCAAACCGAUUGAAUUGUAUCCCAGAAAAAAAAAUCAAUAAAGGAACUGAGGACCCGGCCCGAACCAGCCCAUUUCAACCGGGCCAGGUUAGGUUCGGUUCUUAUAUUAGAAAAUGUUGUUCCCGGCCCGUUUCUCUUAAGCCCGGAUCCAGUCCGAUCACUUCGAAAUUGGCCCCAACCCGGCCCGGGCCCACCUCUAGUUUUAACGAUAAGGACAAAAUAAAGGGUAAAGUGAAUAGUACCAAGUUUGACUUUUUAGUGUAAAAAUGUAAUUUUUCGUUAAAAUAAGAUUUUAAUGGAUUCUAAAAUCCUUAAUUAAGAAAUUAGGCUUCAACCCAACUCAUCUUUGCAACGCCGGUUCCACUUCACAUCAACAGGCAAUGUUUUCUCCUCAACAAAUAGUAUUCUUUUAUGAGACAAAGACUAAUGAGGGUGAUAUAUAUAAUUAAUAAUAAUACUUGUGUUCCCUUUGUGAGUGAAUGCACUUAUUUUACCAUUCUCUAAUAAUGUAUCUUUAUUAUAUAAAUUUAUAUCAUGUGGAUAUCUUCCUAUAAAAAAGUUAUUCAAAUUGGAAAUCCUUACGUCAUCAAAAUAUAUAAAAAAAUGGACGAUCUCAUCGUAAAUAUGUUAGUUACUCACACUAUAACUUUGUAUAUUCCCUCACGUAGGAAACGCAAUAAUUAUCCUCUAAUUAAUUCUUCUUGAGAGUAGAAUUUUUAUUGUUGGUUUUUCGCAACCUUCAGACCUAAAGCUGAUAUGGACCUCUCAUUGUUUUUUGGGUUGCCGUUCUUAUUUUGCUUGGUCCUUUUACCUUUUCUAUAGUUGUUUAUCUAGUUCUUUUGAGCCUCGUACUAAUUUUUAAUGUAAUGAAAAUUAUCUUCGUGAUAAAAAAAAAAAUCAUUAGUCCUCGUAUGAACAUGCGAUGUAACACACUUUCAUGGAACAACAGAUGAUAAAGACGAUAUCCAAAUUUUCUCUGUGUUAUGUGGACUUUCCCAACCAAAUAAAUAAUAACCAAUAAACAAAUAAAUAAGAGUUUAACUUCAAACAUUGAGAAGCGAAAUUCCAACACUACGAGCCUAACUUUUGUCUUCAUCAUCAUCAUAGACUAGUCUCCUAUCCAUCAACUCCUACAUCAAUUUUUUUUUUUACUAGAUUGUAGCUCACUUUCAAAAGAGUUACGUAAAGUAUUUAAGCACCAUAAAAGAAAAUUAAACGACAACGAUUGACAUAAUAUUAGUAGUAUCAUGGUCUAAAAUAUUCAUAAUAUCUUGAUAUUUUUAUUGAAAUUUUCGUGUUUUUAGACUACCUAUAUUUUCAAUAUCAUCGAUAUUUUAAACCUUGCUAAGUCACUCAUGUAUCUUACCAUGCAAUGUAUAAAGUGUAAAAUAUUGUACUAAUUCAUUAUAUAUAAAUGAUUAUAGUGUGUUUAAACUUCUUUCAUUAAUUACUACAUAUUUUCUACACUCACAAUGUUUGCCAGCUCGCUAUAUAAUCAACUUAAAUCAAUUAUAUCUAUCAUGUAAUGCAUUUCCUUCCAAUUUUUUGUGAUAAACUAAUAGAUAAUUGACUAAAUAAACAUCCUGCAAAGUUUCAAUAAAAAUUUCCAAGUUUUUCUUACAAUUUCCGUAGUUUUUAUUCAAUUUUUAUCGAUAUCGAUAAUAUCCCGAUAUUUCCAUCGAAAUUUCCGUAUUUUUAGACUACUGAUAUUUCCGAUAUCAUCGAUAUUUUAUACCUUGGUAGUUAUACAUUUUAUCGGCCUCAUUUUUAUGCAACUUAUACAUUAAAUUAUUGUCAAAAUGUACAUAUAAAGUAGCUGAUCAACGAUGAGAUUUUAGGCAACCAUUUUCUUCUACGACGUCAAAGGUUGUAGAGGUGGCCAUGUGCACUACAUGCGUAAAUCAACUAGGGACUUGGAUCCUCUCUUAAGCCCAAGGAGAGGAUCCUCCUAACCAAAUGACUUGGAUUGUUGGAUGAAAAUCUAACGAUUACAAACAGAUGAUCUCUUUAAAGUUAUAAUAUUUAUUACCGUUGAAUUUUCAUCAAACGGUCAAAUAUCAUUGGUCAAAAGGGUCCUCUCAUUGGGCUCAGAGAGGACCCAAGUGCAUCAACCAGAACUAUUGCUAUUAUAACAAUUCAUGAAAUCAAUUAAACAAUAAUUUUCCUUCUGGCAGGCAUGUUAGUUAUUUCUUAUUUGGCCAAUUGCCUAGUGGAUUUGGUAGAUUUAACCUCUCCACCACAAACACAUUUAAAAAUUUCCAGAAAUCCGUAACGUAAAAUUUAAAAAUAAAUAUUAAUAACAGCAAGUUCUUUUCACCGACCGUGACCGAGAUCUGUCACAUAUCCAAAAUGUCACCUCCUUAUCGCAAAAACCAAAUUUGACUUGGGAUAAAUACCGUGUACAAAUUAAACGCGUUUCUCUAGCUUUUGCGUAAAGAGGCAACCCAACACUAAACUAGGAAAACGUUGGGUUGACAAAGAUACCAUGAAGAAUAAAGGGGUUAUGCAAUCCACUUUGCAAGAUAAUCAAAGUUUCCCGUUGUAGACUUGUCUUAACCCAACACUAAACUAAGAAAACGUUGCUUUCCCGUUGUAACAUGAAACAACAUUAAACAACAUUAAACAAUAUUAAAUAACAUUAAAUAACAUAAAAAUUAUACAACAUAAAAAAAACCAUUUAACAACAUAAAACUUAAAAUGCGUACUUCUUGCUUCUUGUGGCCUAAAGAUGUGCAACAAGAUCUUGAUGUAGGUACUUGUUUGUGGCACGAAAACGUAUCAUCCUAGCCGUUGGAUUUGAAUUUUUUUUGUUUUCGGCCAAAAAAUUUUAAAUUUAAAAGUUGAAGAUGGUGAGAAAUAUGAUCCUACACUGUUCAUUAAAAUAUUAAUUUCUUGAAUGACCAAAAGGCUAAAACAAGCCAUCCUUCGGUUGGAGAUGCCUAAGGAGAGACUAGAGAUAGAGAGUUUCCUAUAUAUGAUUUUCAUUAACAAGAUUGAAAUGAUUUCAGAGAGAAGAUCAAGUAUGGUUAUUUUUAUUUUGUAGAGUGUAGACAUUAUAACUAUACAUUCAUAAUAACAUGAGUAAUGUUAUAUUUAUCACAUUUGUACUCUUUCUCUGAUAAAGGUAGGGUUCAUCAACACAUGUGGGUUCUAUUUGCCCAUCAACACAUGCGGAUCUCAUUUUUAUUAGAAAAAUAGUACAAAUAUGGUACGGAAAAUAUGAUAAGAUCGCAAUUUUGUAAUAACAUAUAUACUCAACUAUUUAUAUACCGACCCAUCUCCUUUUAGUGUAGAUAAUAUCGUUUGUUAAAAAAAAUGUUGAACUUGUCAUAAUCAUUGAAUCCAUUUACCAUGAACAAACGGCAGUUUACUAAACUUGCCCUCAGAGUAUAUAUAAAAGGUGAAUCACAAUCUAUUGCAUUAAUAUAAGGAAACAAUUUAUAGGGUUUGACGGGUGACUUAAUAUGCUAUAUGGCACAAUGAAAAUUAAGUUCACACUUUAUCCCAAAUAAGGUGUUGCACCUUUAAUUUAUGGAUGCUGGUUUGACGUGUGACCGAAAUAAUCAAAUUGUAGCCAUUAAUCAUUUUACAAGUAAUAAUAUGUAGUUUUUACUGUUUACGAUUCACACAACAAUCUGCUAGGAAGUAGAAAAUGCAGUACUUGUCCCUCUCACAGAAGUCAUGAAUAAUUAUCAAAUUCAAAGAUAAAGAAAAACCACACAAUUUACAAGAGGAAAGAAAAUGAAGGGAUAAAGAAAGUAAGAAAGGAAUACCUCUAUGGGAGGACUCUUAUUUGCUUCAGAUGCCUACAAUAUUCAUCAUAUAAACACUGAUUAAGUAGUCAUCGAAAACCAAAACAAAUGUCGAACAUAGGGUGAAAAACAGAAAGAAUAACCGCAGCUCAUCAUACCAAUAGAGAUAGAACUGCCCGAUGCCCAAGUAUGACUGAAAAAUGGCAAUCCAAACAUGGCGCCUUCUAGCUCAUCAAACUGUCAAAACCUAGGUUCCACCAAAAAGAUACAAGUCACCUAGUUACUUGUAAAAUAAAAAUCUGUUUCAAAAUAGUGGAAAAUAUUAUUAACAUUGUUCAAAGUCCACAUUGUUGUACCUACCAAGAAACAAGAAGGAUUGUAUCUUAUCAUGAAAAAGAACAUAGGUACCUUUUCAAUUGUAAUUGUACAAAAAUGAGAGACCACUUCCGAACUUCUCUUGGAACUUCAAUCAAUUUCUGCCCACUUUUAAAUGCCUUGACAUACUUAAGCCUAUUUCUUUGAGCUUCAGUUUUGGCUUCUGAUGCCUUUAAAUUUCUUAAAGAUUCUUACCAAGUUUUACAAACUCACUUCUAUACAACCAUUUGUCAGUAUACAUACCAUUUUCUUUGAGCUUCAGUCUUUGCAACACCAAAACCCCCCAAAUAGACCCGGAAUUUUGCAAUGUGCAGGGAAUAUACAAAAAAAACCCUCCUAUCCAUCUAAAACGAAAUCAGAACCCAAACCACAAUCAAAAUCCGUAAAAUUAAUUUAGCCAACCCUAAAUCUAAUAAUUCUAACAAAUAUUAUAGUAUCAAUUGAGAGAGAAUUUGAGAAGAUACCUAGAGAUGAAAGGAAGAGCGUUUCCUCUGAUAGGGGUUCCGUGAAAGCAUCUGUUGACCAGAAAAGAAAAGGCAAAAAACCCCAAAUUACAUAUCAAGCAAUUAUAGAUAGAUCGAACCUUGAAAAUUGAAAUUUCAAACAAGAGAAAGGUUAUAAACUUACAACGAUCUGGGUGUUGGUUACUGGGUUUGGAUUUGGGUUUCUGAUAAGAGAGAGAAUCGUAUGAGGAACCGAUAGAGGAACUGCACCGGCAACAGAGAGCAACUGAUAUGGUGGAGAAUAGAGAUGGGCAAAAUAUCCCGGUUAUCCGCCCAUUUAAAGUUCACAGUUACGGUUAUGGUAAUUGAACGGUUAUGGGUACUACCCGUGGUUAUAACGGGUAUCUAUUGGUUAUGGGUAUUAUCCGCGGUUAUAACAGGUAUUCAUUUACCCAUUUAAUUUCAUAUAUGUAAAAUUUAUAAUAUUUUUAACAGUUAUAACGCGUUUUUGUAUUUGUUGCCAAACUUUUCGUAUACAAAAAAUUUGAAGCACAAGAAGCCAACAAGGAGAAAGAUCAAAGAGCUUACUUGAAGCUUAUGAUCUAUCCUGCGGUUAAUAGAAAGUACUGGUAUUAGUGUAGAAAAAUGUUUGUUUUUAGAAGCUUUAUUUUGUAAUCAUAUGAAUUAUAAUUAAAGACUUGCUUGGGUGUAGUAAAAAAAUAUCGUUUGUAAACUAUUAUUUCAAUUAUUAGAAUUGUAUGAUGACCUAAAUGAUUAAAAUAGAGAAAUGCAUGCUAAAAUGUAUUUAUAACAGUGUUUAAUUGUCAGAUUUUUUUUUUUUUUGUAAUUUUCAAGUUGUUAAAAAAAACAUGCAGAGAGGUGAAAAAAGGGAUUAAAAAAUGAUAAACGGGUUCAAAACGGGUAAACGGGUAAAUGAUUAUGGUUAAAUAGGUAAACGGUUAUGGGUAAAUGGGUACACGGUUAUGGGUAUGAGUAUAACCGUUUAUGCAAUUACCCAACGGGUAAACGGCUAUGUGGGUAUGAACAUAAAUGGUUAUGAGUAAAUAACCGCGGUUACCCGCCCGCUAUAACCAUUGCACAUCCCUAAUAGAGAACAUACGAGAAUAGCCGCUUGGAUGGUCAAUCCAAGAAGAGAAAAUCUUGCCACAAUCACGGUACUUGAAAAAAAAAACAAUUUUAAAGGAGGGAAACAAUCGCGCCUUUUUUUUAAUAGACUCUGUCGACGAUAUUCUUGACAAAUAGUCGGGUGAGCUUAUUUUUCACAACAUUUUAUUUAGGACUAGGUUCGGUUGGCAAAUCGUGUCAAAUUUCUUGUGCCAUUUGCCAGCCACAUAUACAUAAUUACCAAAAAUCAGUUACCGUUCGCCAACCAUCUUCUUGCGGUUGCCAAAAAUCGGUUCAACCAAAAUGAUUGGCUGGUUCGGUUGGUAAAUGGCACAACCGGUGGUUUCCACUUCUUCCUCGCUAUCUUCUAGUUGCAAGGGCUCAAUUUGAUUUUCAGAUUGGGAUGCUUGUUCGGUUGCAUUGUGUGGUUCAUUUUGGGUUAAUCCAUGUUGUGCACUAGCAAUUAAUUGGCUAGACUCCAUCAUCCUAAACAUAAGCAACACAUAUACAUUCAAAAUCAUAUAUAUGUACGUGUAUAUAUAGUAUCAGUAAUCAUCAUGUUAUCAAUUUUGUUAACAAUAUUUUCUAUAUUGAUUAUGGCAUGAAUCAUAUACAUAUACAUAUAUUUUUUAAACCCUAAAACUAAGGAGUUAUUUAUUUUCUAAGCCCUAAAAUUGAGGAGUCAAGCAUGUAAAAAAAUACUUAAAAUAUCUAAAUAGAAAAAGAAAAAAAAAAAAAAAAAUAUAUAUAUAUAUAUAUAUAUAUAUCGGUAGGUAUGGCAUACCGCCGACAUACAAAAUCAAUUACCAAAGCCAUGCCAUUAAUUGUCGGUUCGGUAAAAUGCCAACCGAUUAUGAAAAAAUGCCAAAACUAUACCAUACCAUUUUGAGCCAACCGGUAUGGUUCGGUCGGUAAAUCGGCUUAUGGCAAAAUUUCUCACCCCUAAUUUUAUUUGUCGCCUUAAACCUAUUGGUUUCUAGCCUACAAUUUGGAUAUUUUGUUGGGGAAAGAUUUUUGUACCAAUAAAAUUUUGCUUUGUCAGCUUAGGAUUUGUCGGCAAAAUGACAUUUUCUAGUCGUUAUAAUAUUAGGUAGAUCAAAUUUGUAAACUAUGUGAUGUGUCACCAAUAGGAAAAAAAUUCAGUGUGCUGAAAAUACAGUCUAGAACACCAAGUGUCAUAAUAUAUACUUGGUUGGAAAUUUUUUAUUUUCAAGUUUCCAACUAAUUGUAUUGUAACAGUUGGUGUUCCAAGCUAUUUUCUCGAUGCGUUGGAAAAUCUCUUCACCAAUUAAAAAUAAACAUAUUAAUUAACACUUAAGUAAUAAUCAAAGUAUCAACAACUACGUCAUAAAAUUUACGAAAUAUGAUCUUAAUUAAUGAUCUCCAUGGCAUUACCCUUUAUCUUAGCGUAUACGUACGCCUUCACAUGUUUAUUUGCUGAUAUGCAGCUUGAGUAAAAAUUUCUUUUUAAGAACAUAUAUGUGAAUAUAAACAUAUAUAUCUAGUGAUCCAUGUUGCGUUAUUUAAAAAUAAACAAAUUAAUUAAUUAAUAAAUGAACUGUGUGCAUGUCUGUGUAGAGUAAUCCAUAUGCAUGCUUGAAUCCUGAUCACCACGAAACCAUAAUAUAAGCUACUCAAGGCCCGGAAGCUAGGAUUGAAGAGAAAAACACCCAGUCAGAUUAAGCCAAUAUAUCAAAGUUAAUACUUCGAAAUGUAAGCUUUAAGAUAGAAAAAUCACUUACUACCUUGAGCAGUCGAGCUUCUUCAAUGGCAUGAAGCUUUUAGCAUGAGAUUGACUGCAUCACAACUAAAAUUUUCUCUUGGAAACUACAUAAGGAAUAGCAUGUAUACCUAUAACGUUGAGAAAGUACGCCAAUUUUUUCCUUCUGCACAUUCAUGUUUAAAAGUAAUCCUCAAAUGAACUUGCCCACAAUGAAAUGCAAUUUGAGGUAGUCGAGUGUGUUCCAUUUCCAUUCCAUGGGAAUUACUACUAAACUUUGAGAUGGUAAAGGAUUCAUGAAAUUUUUUACUUUUGAGAUAGCCUCUUUAACAUUUCUCGACUAUAACAAUGAGGGAAUACUUCACCUUGUAUCAAACAAGGGAGAGCGAAAAUCAACUACUAAUAGCAUCACAGAGCCAGCAGAAGAUUGAGGAGGCCAUGAAGAGGAGAGAGAAAAUACACUCUUUUUUUUUGUAAGGACAGAGAUAAUACAUUCAGUAAGGGGUACUGAUGUUUAUAUGCAAUGCUGAUUAGGUUUAAAUAGUCCUAUUUAUUCUGUACAGUGCCAAUAUUACCACCCGUUAGUACACUUUCAAGACACUGUACUCCAGUGUGUGCGCUAUGCAGUACGUAGUACUCCUCAUUUUUUGGGGAAAUUCAUUAUUGGUCUUCAUAUCUUCUUUAUUUUCCUUUUCCUCAUUGUGCCACGUGUUUAAAUCACUAAUUGUAGGUAAUCUUUCAAUUUAAUUAAAUCUUAUGUAAAAAAAGAUAUUUAAAUAUCAUUUAGUAUUACAAGAUAGUGAUAUUCCUCUUUAGUAUAAAAUUUUUAUAAUUAAAAGCGUUCAGUUUUUUAAUCUUCAUUUGAAUACUAUCUAUAAAGAAAAAUUAUUCGAAUAAGAGAUCGUUUAUGCAUUCAAAUGUACAAAAUGCAUCGACAGUGUGAGAACGAAUUAAUAUAUUUUUGAUGAAGUACAAUUAUUGAAUACAUUUGAAUGAUCAAAUGAUAUAUGAUUCAAAAUACAUAUUAAGAUAAUAAAUAUAAGUGAAUUGUUAUUAGCACUCCAAGAAUCUUAUUAUACACUCUAAAUUUUCUAUAUUUUGAAUGAAAAAUAAAUUUAUGAAGAGUGUAGAAUGAGAUUUUUUAAUGCUAAUAACACUUCUCUAAAUAUAAUUAUGAAAUUAAUAAAGUAAAGAUACAUGACCUCGUGAAUGAUGUAUGUAUUAUUCAAAAAAUUAUUAAAAACAAAUUGAAAAAGGACGCUGUUGUUGCCACCACUUAUGCAAUGAUCGUCGCUGCCAUCACCAACCCCCAACACCCCAUUACAGCUCAUAAAAGCACAUCAUAAGCAAUUUAUGAAAUAAAUUUACUGGAAUACUAAUUUCCCCCUUAGUUUAGGUCACCAAUGUUUAAAUUUAGGGGUGUGAUAUGCACAUACCUUUUUUUGCUUCUCUCACACUUUUUUUGUUGUUGUCGAAUCAGAUGAAUUGAAGAAGAUCAAUUGACAGAAAUUAACAAGGGGUGUAUGAAAAGUAAAAAUGGAUGUGUAGAUAACACAUCCCUAAAUUUAUCACAACUUUCAUUCCAAAUUUAAUUUUUAUGCGUAGUUUUGUUUGUUCAAAUUUACUUUGACAUUUCAAUUAGUAUUAAAAUCUAAUUUAAAUUUUAGCGUUCAAGCUAGAAAAAGUGUUCCAUUUAAUAUUUAAUCUCAGUUUUUCUCUUUAUUCUUUUAUUCCGAUUUGGUUGCAUCGUAUCUCCAUUUUUCUCGGUGUUGUAUGUUCAUAAGGCCUGGGAAACGUUGGCACGGAGUGAAGGGUACUCACUUUUUGGCCCAAAAUGCAUAAGGCAUGUAGAUAUGUUAAUCAAAUUUUGUAAACUAAAGGAUAUAGAAGUUGAUACUUAGAUUAUAAUUUAAGAUAAUACUAAAGAGACUAAAUUUGCAAACUAAAUGAUGUGUCACCAAUAAAAAUAAGCACGUUUAUCAACGCUUAAGUAAUAAAUCAAUCAUCAACUUUCAUGUCCUUUAGUUUCCAAAAUUUAAUAUACAAAUUUAGUCUCCCAAGCAUUACUCUAUUACUUAAGUAUUGAUUAACAGACUUAUUUCUUAUGGUGACAUAUUAUUUAAUUUACAAAUUUAGUCAACCCAACAUUACUCUUUUGAAAUUGUCUUGUCCACUGAUAUAAUUCUAUUUUUCUUGUGAUCAAAACUUCAAAUGUUAGCAAGUCGCACGUAAAGUCACUUCUGAGAGAAUGUGCUCACAUUGUAGUUGAAAGAUUAUGUGGCUAGCAACAUUACAAAUUUAAUUUGGUAUAAUUUAAAAUAUAGAUUGAGGAAAAAAUGAUCACAUUAACUAGAAACUGAAAAGGUUUCAGCACAGUUUGUUCAAGCAAGAAACUCAAUUUUGAUGCUACCGAUCUUAACAGCCUGAGCGCCGUACCUGGGCACUAAAGUCACCACCACACUCUCAUCAUCUUCAGCACCCAAAUCCUCCAACAGGUCCGUUAACCCCAACCUUAAACAACUCUUGCUCUUUUCCUUCUGCUUAUGUGGAACACUCACAAAACUCCCAGCAAACUCGCUCUUGUCGGGUCCACUCGGUGCCGCAUCCUCAUCGUCCACGUCAUUCACAUACACAUCAAACUUCACAGCCACAUCUUUGUCAAGCUCAAUCCCCUGAAUCACCAGUAUCUCCUCCUCAUCCUCUUUCUCCUUCUUGCUCCUCUUCUUCGGCUUCGGCCUUGACACCACCGUACUUAUCUUUGUCUCCAAAUUUAUUGGAAAAUCUUUACCCGCCACCACCUUCCCCGAUGACGUCGUCUCAGCGGCCUUCGCCACUCCAGCCGCCUUUGCCUUUCUCGCAAGCUUUGUCCGACGUGGCGUCGGUCUAGACUUGAGCCAUGGAAUCUCAACAUCUUCAUACGUAUACCCUAGCUUUUUAUUAUCAAGAGUGUCCCUCACCGUGACCCUAACAAGCUCAGCAUUCUCGUCAUAAAACAAAAACCCCGUAUCCAACCAAUCCUUAUCGUUAAUAUCUUUAUUUUUAGUCCCUAUACUUUUCCAAAUAUUCCACAUUCGAUCUAUAUUCGAAUGGUGCGAAAAAAAUAUUGGAUCCCUUGCAGCGGAGUAAAAAUUCCCCAUGUCUUCAAAAUUAGGUUGCGUGUUAUCUCCGGUCCAUGUAUGAACCGGACCAUGUGGGGUCGUUUCGAUUGAACCGGCCCCUGGAUCUGGUUCGGUGCCAGCCCUGUAGGGCGAACCAAAGAACAACAGCGGUUUCUUGGAGUUGGAAACCAUCUGCCUAUACAUGAUUUUGAGGUUGGCGUCGAUUUGAGCAUCCUUGGACAUUGUUUCAUCCGUGCCGUUAAAGUCAAGAUCGAUGAGAGUCGGCGGCUGAUGGCUGGCAGCGCGGAGCUCGUCGUAAAGCGGAGAGUCCGGGUUAGCGAACAAGGCAGGGAGUUGCAUGCCAGCUGGCGCGUCCCAGUUCCAAAACGGCAACGCGAACGUCGGAUCGUCUAUGAGUUUGGCCAAGAUUCUUUCGUGGAAGUAUAGGUAGUAACGAUGGAAGGGGAAGAAAAGCCAGGAUUGAUGGAUUUGGAGCUCGAGGUUGGGGAAGCCGACUUGAUCGUACGCGCCGUCGCAAUAGGCACAGUGGAUAUCGGCUUGCUGGGUGAAGCUACGCGGAUCGUCGUCCGGGAGGGCUUUCAUGAGCUCGAUGGCUUUUGAAUAUUUUUCGAUGUAGGCUUUAUCCACGGUGUGAGCUGCCGGCCUGACGCGGAGUUUGGUAGGGGAGGGGAAUUUGAAGUCUACGAUUUUUUGGGACGUUGGCGGGCAACAGUUGGUCGGGACUGCUCCACUUGGAAAGUCCGCACCUCCGCAUUUGGCUAGGUCAGGCGGCGACACUGGCUUUGCAACAGCGAAGGGGUCGCUGCCAAGACCAGCCACUCCACCGUACAGGCUUCCGAGACCUAUAAGUACAUGUCUUCUGUCUAGGUUUACUGGAGAAAGGUUUUCAUGGUCGUGAUCGUUGGAGCUAGUGGAAGGGUUUUUGUUUUGGUCACUACUAUUAUUCGUGGCUUUGCAUGAGACGGCUUGUAAAUUGGAAUGCCUAGGGUUUUCAAAUAAGGAAAUUCGGUGAUACUUUUGGGAGAAAGGGAAGAGAGAAGUUGUGGGGAUGAUACUUGUGGUGGAGGUGACGAGUGGAGCUGACAUAGAAGCCAUGGUUACUUGACUCUGAAUACUACGUUGUAUAGGCUUUGCUUUUAUAAUGUGUUCUAGGUUUUACUUUUCUUUGCACAGGUGGCAGGCCGUACACAUUGGCGGUCCUUAAGGGUUUGACGAGGAAUACUACGUAGUCAUUUAGUACAGGGCAACCAUGCACUAUAGCACGUGGCAUGUAAUAUUUACGUAGUCUCAGAAGGUGAAGCGGUUUUGGGCUUCUUGUGUACCAAUAAUAUUUACGUACUCAUUAUUCCACUGGAUGGAUUGCGUGCACGUGAUCUUUAUUCAAACAAAUCACUAUUGACCAUAUAUUGCAAUUGGUUAAUGUUAGGCAAAUUAAAUUUUUACAUCAAAUAAUGUGGUUGCUGAUUAUUGAAUUAUUAUUUAAGUUUGAUUAAUGUGCUUAUUUUUUAUCGGUAAUACAUCAUUUGAUUUGCAAAUUUGAUUUACCUAAUAUUACCAGUUAUAAUUUGUAUAAAUGGACUGGUACCUAACAUUACCAAUUGUAAUUUGUAUAAAUGGACUCGUACCUAACAUUACCGGUUGUCCCAAGAGCACACGCUACUGCUCAAGAAGCAAAGUUCUUAUUUGCCCAAAAAAAAUCAUGGUUUUUUAAUUGAUGCUCUCAUUUUAAUUUACUAGCCCCUUACUUGGCCCUUUUUAUUUAUCAUUUUAUACAUAUUAAUAUUUUGUUUGUAAAAUAUAUUAGUGUUAGUUUUAUCAAAAUUAAAAAUAAAUAAAAAACUUAGCUUUAGUAUUUAGUUAUUGAAAUUGUAAAAAAAGUGAUAAAGUAUUGGGUGCUUUGUUUGAAAAUUUUCAAAAUGAUAUUGUUUUUACCACUGAACCCCUGUUAUAUACAGUGAUGGCUAAUUUGUCAAGUUCUACGAAGUUGGGAUACCCAGCGUUUUAGCAUAUAACAUAGCUUAGUAUUUCAAGCAUAAUUAAUUAACGAAAAAUUAGUAUCCGGUCCCUAGUUUUUACUGUUCAUUGACUAAGACCUUAUUAGUUCUCAAAUUUUGAUUCAAGUCCCUAGCAUUAAUGUGAUAAUGAAUUUACAUGUUUAUUAUAUAAUUUUUUAAUAUAAAAAUUAGUAAUUAAUUUAGGGUUUAAUACUCACACCUCUAUUAAACUUCUAAUUAAUUUUCAAUUCAGACAUUUCCAAAAUAAUAAAAAAUUAAAUUAAAUUAAGUUUGUACCUAUUAGUUUUUUUUUAUAUAUAAAAAGAUUCUCAAUUUUUAAUCUUAAAUGUACAUCUUAAAUGUACCCAUUCUCAAAUAUAUCAAUUUGUUAUAUGUAAAAUGUACCCUUUUUUAAUAUAAAAUCCAUUCAAAAUUUUUAAUCCAUGUUUAAACUUAUAUGGGUACAUUCUUUUUCGUUGAUUUGAGAAUGUAUCCAUGUUUUGGUACAAUAAAUUUUUUGUUAAUUUUGGUUAAUGUACCCAUACAUAUAUGUACACACACACACACACACACACACACAAUAUAAUAGAGAGUAUAAUUUAUAUUUUAUUAUUUUUAAUCCCAUAAAUGAUGGGUUUUAUUUAAAAUCUCAUUAAUAUAAACAAUUAUAAAUUUCAAUUUUUAAUUUUUAAUUUAAAAAAUAUAGUAACUUACAUUAUUACAUUAAUGUCAGGGACCUCAAUAAAAAACUAAAAACUAACAAGGUUUCAAUCAAAGAAUAUUGAUAGCUAGGGACCACAUCCAAAGUGUCCCUUAAUUAAAGGGUAAAUUACAUAGUAACCCCUCAGGUUUGAUGUCUAUUACAACCCCAUACAACAUCUUUAAAACAUUUCACUUUCAUACCUCAAGUACUAUUUUAUUUCAAUAUAAUACAUCUGUUAGAUUUUCCAUCCAUUAAUCCGUUAAAUGCUGACAUGGAUACCACAUUUGUGCCACGUGGCUGCCAAAUGCGUGUCAUGUGGCAAAAAUAAUAAUUUUUAAAUUUAAAAAAAAAUGAAUCUUCAACCCAAAAAAAAAAAAAAAAAAAAAACCCCAAACCCAGAUCCCAUCAACCCCCCCCAAACGAUUAUCCCUUCCCCAUAUCCCCCAUCCCACCCCCCAACCCCCCCUCUGCGACCAACCUUACCAUAGCGCCCCCCAACCUCGCGACCCACCUCACUCAAGGCCCUAAUCCACACUACCUACAACCCAGAAACGAAAAAAAAAAACAAAAAACAAAAAACUCAUCUCCCUUUCCCUGCAACCCAAAUCCCAUCUUCCCUAAUGGGUAUGGAUUUAAGAAGUGGGGUGUGUAGAGGAGGGAAGAGGGUGGGUGCGGAGGAUGGGUAUGGUGGGUUGCAAGGAAGGGGGGUCGGGUAAGAUGAAGAUGGGUUUUUUUUUUCUCUCUCUCUUCUUCUUCUUCUGGGUUGCAAGUUGUAGGUUGGGGUUUUUUUUUGGGGGGGGGGGGGAGGGAGGGAGGGAAGACGACGUGGGGUUUGGUUUUUUUUUUUUAAUUUAUUUAGAAGAUUUAGGUUUUUUGAAAAAAAAAAAAAAAUUCCACGUGGCACAAAUGUGGCAGCCACGUCAGCAUUUAACAGAUUAAUAGAUGGAAAAUCUAACGGAUGUAUUAUAUUGAAAUAAAAUAGUACUUGAGGUUAGAAAGUGAAAUGUGUUGAUGCACAAAACCGAAGGUCUUUGAACAACGUAAAUCCGAUCGUGAAUAUGCAAGUAAUGUAAAUAACACAAGAUGUAUCGUGGUUCACUCCAAUGUUUGGGCUACGUCCACACUGAUUAUUGUAUUUCUCUGAGAGGUGAGGGGGAGAGCUUUGAGAAAGCUUAGAGCUUAGGGGAUGUGAGAAGGCUUAAGAAUUGGCCUCCCUUAUUUGUGAGGGUGAUGAGUCCUUUUAUAGAAUAAGGGAUCCUCACUUAUUACAUAUUUGCCCAUUCCUUUAUUACAUAAUUACAUUUAAGUCCCCUGAGUACUUGUACAAGGUCUAAAUACGGAGGCCCUAAGUAUGGUACAAACAGUAGUCCCCCAAGUCUUCAGUCAAGAGAGUCUUUUGGCUAGAGACUUGAAAUUCUGUCCAUGUGUGAGCCGAAAUAACUAGAUGUCGUCUAGAACUGAUAUUUGAUAUGCGGCAGUGCCCAUUUUGAAAUAAUGCUCAACUAGAAGUAGCACAUGCUGCGAGGCUGCUCUGCUUGUGUUGCCUUGGUUGGCUCGACUUGUGGCGUUGAAGGUGAGAGAGUCCCUUUUAUAGAAUAAGGGCUCGCUCCUCAUUACAAAGAUGAUGGGUUAGUUGGUGCUUGCGGUGAGGCGGAUGCUCAGCUGGCGGCGAUGCUCUCUAAUGAUAGUGAGGGAGUCCAUUUUAUAGAAUAAGGGAUCGCUCCUCAAUACAUAAAUAAUAGGUGCUCUCUAAUGAAAGUAAGGGAGUCCCUUUUAUAGAAUAAGGGCUCACUCUUCAAUACAUAAAUAAUGGGCUAAGUCCCCUAAGUAUUUUUUAUGAGGCCUAAUUGAGGCCCAAUAUAUGGUACAUAAUGUAGUCCCCCAAGUCUUCGGUCAAUAGAGUCUGUUGGCUGGAGACUUCAAAUUGAAUCCAUGUAUGGGCCGAAGUGGCGGUUGUUCGGAAGCGGUAUUUGUAUACCCUGCACUGAAGCUUUAUAGGUGAAGCUUUGCAAGUGAAGCUUUGAAGCUGGAGCUCAGUAAAUGAAGCUUUUGAAGCUAGAGCUUUUGUAAAUGAAACUUUUGAAGCUGGAGCUCUAUAAAGGAAGCUUUUGUAAAUGAAGCUUUUGAAGCUGAUUCACAUGAGUGAUGCUCAUGAAUGUUUAUGUUGAUUGAUAUGAGUGAUGCUUAUGGAUGUUGACAUGAGUGAUGCUCAUGGAUGUUGACGUGAUGCUCAUGAAUGUUAACAUGAGUGAUGCUCAUGAAUGUUUAUGUAUGAUUGAUAUGAGUAAUGUUCAUGAAUGUUUAUGUAUGAUUGACAUGAGUAAUGCUCAUGUAUAAUUUGAAGUACUGGGCAUACUUUUGAUUACCUGGUUGGCGAUAAUAGCGGCAGGGUGCCGAAUAAUUUUUUGUAGUACUGGGCGUACUUUUGGUCACCUGGUUGGUGAUAAUAGCAGCAGGGUGCCGAAUAAUUUUUUGUAAUACUGGUCGUCCUUUUGGUCACCUGGUUGGUGCUAUUUUGAGCUUAUGGGCCUUCGCCCUCUACACAACAUUCCAGCCUAUUUAUUUUGGGCUUUACCGUUUUUUUUAAUUACCCUAUGAUGGGGUUUAUACAGAUGUCUCCGAAAGAUAUGAAAAAUAAAUUACAUCAUUCAAAAAUAAAUCCGACCCUCUGCUCAAUGGGUCACGCCAAUAAUUCUUUUUUUUUAUGCAUGCCAUCACCACCGCAAUUAUGUCUGCUUCUUUUUAUCUUCUUUUGCUUUCUGCUUUUGCUUUUACUUUAUCUUUCUCUUUUGGCAUAUGGCAGACAACGCCAAAACGGAAUAAUGAAUUAUUAUGAGAACAUGAAUCUUAUCUUUUGCCUGGUUUUCCACUAGUGCUCGUGGUAUUCUCAGGAGAUUGGAUCUGGGGGUAGGCGACUACCCCAGCACCUUGCCCUGAUACGUAAUAGCCUGAUGUCCCACUGCCAUCUCCAUACUGGAAGGUGUACGAACAAUGGUUAUUCUGUGUGGAACAAAUAGAAUCCGAUUGAGAUUCAAGACUGCACCUUCGAUCUGAGCAAGAAAUGAAUUGUGACGUUGAUGAACUUCUAGGAGGAGAAGCAGAGGAUCUUUGACUAUGAUGAUCUUUGAAUUCCAGAUGAAACUGAAUAAAAUGCAGGUUGUGGAGCUUGAUGUGGGCCCAGAUCUGCUUGACAGCUUUGGGGCGGGAGGAUUCCUUGACACUGAGGAAGAUUCCCAGAGCUGGAGGGAUGAGAAUCGACUUCAUAAUCCCGAUGGUGGGUUUGUGCUUGGUCGAAAGAUCAUUUCUGGCAGGGGAAAACAUGUACCAUACCUAUUGCAAAUCUUGCAAAUUCUCUGCUUCUCCAUGGAAGAUGAAGAGCAUCGAAUCUCUGUUUUCUCUCUCUCUCUCUAAAACGUUUUCGUUAUAGAGUGCCCCAAUAGAAGUGGACGGGCAGUGAGCAUGCCAUUUAGUGCCUCCUCCAAGACAGUAACUGAUACGGUGGUCUUUAUUGGCACUCCAAGUUUACUAAAAAGGGCAGCAAAAAUAGUAUUUACAGCACCCAAACUUGAAAGAUCUAGCUCCAACUAGUGGCUUUCUGUUUCAACAGCCUGAAAGCCGGCAGUGUCAUACCGACGCCGUUUGUCUGGAUCAAAUAAUAUAUUAUAAGAAAACAUGACCUUCUUGAAGAUAUCAGCUGUUUUAGAGUCAUUAGCAUUUUUGUCAGGAUGGUACUUGAGAGCCAUUUUCCGGUAAGCACUUUUGAUUUCCUGGUUGGUGGAAUUCCUAUUGAGGCCGAGGACCGCAUAAGGGUUUUGUCGGAGCUGCUUCUUAGCUUCUUGCUUCUCCGAUUUUGAUCGGCUGCCCUGCAUUUUUGAAAUUGACGGUCAAUUUCUUCACAAAACCCUAGAAAUUGCCUCUCGAUUACCUCCGAAACACAUAAUUCACGACUCUUGGUUGAAAUUUUUUUUUUUCAUUUCAAAGAAGUGGCGGAGGUAAAUCAGUUGUCACAUAGCACCGGAGCAUGAGGAAAACCUAGAAAACCAAGAGGCAGAGAGACUCCAUGCACAUCUAACCUGGAACCUUGCAGGAGAGAGCAGAGAGAAAGAGACAAGAAAGAUUGAGGGAGAAGCGAUCUUGGUGCAUCGUCUGUGAUUCCUUGGUGAUUUGCUCGAUCGGGACUCUGAAUUCGUGCAAGUCAUUGCUGUUAAGCAAGAAUCGCGAGGAGUCGGAGAGCUUGGAAAUCGAGAAGGAGAGAGGGCCUUUAGUCAGGGCUUGGAGGGUGUCGGACUCCGUCGGCCAAGAUUGGUGCACGGUCACGGCGUCUGGGCCCAUGGCGGUUGUGUAAAUGGGGGAGGUUCUAGGAGUCCAAGAAAGAAGAAGAAGCAGCGACCAUAGAUCUGGGAGUCCAUGGCGCUUGAAAGAUACGGCGAACAAGUCGGACUUGCUGCUGGGCAGCUGGCGGUGAUAAUGUUGGUGCAUGGGUUUUGGAGUGGGAGUGUUUGGAAUGGGUUUUUUGUUUAGUUUCUAUGUGUUUUUUCACAGAGAGAGAGAGAGAGAAGUGAUGGUGUUUAAGGGAUGAGUUUUGGAGCUUAGUGAAUGCUUUUUCUGGAAAAGCCCAGUGAGGUUUGUGGGUUUUUGCAGAUUUUGCAGAUUCGCGGUGGAGGUGAAAGAAUGAAAGAGAACCGACACAACUUUUCGUAUUGAUUCCCACAUACGGCGCCAAAUGUUGAUGCACAAAACCGGAGGUCUUGGAACAACGCAAAUCCGACCGUGAAUCUGCAAGUAAUGUAAAUAACACAAGAUGUAUCGUGGUUCACCCCAAUGUUUAGGCUAUGUCCACACUGAUUAUUGUAUUUCUCUGAGAGGUGAGGGAGAGCUUUGAGAGAGCUUAGAGCUUAGGGGAUGUGAGAAGGCUUAGGAAUUGGCCUCCCUUAUUUGUGAGGGUGAGAAGUCCUUUUAUAGAAUAAGGGUUCCUCACUUAUUACAUAUUUGCCCAUUCCUUUAUUACAUAAUUACAUUUAAGUCCCCCGAGUAUUUGUACGAGGUCUAAAUACGGAGGCCCUAAGUAUGGUACAAACAAAAUGUUUUAAAGAUGUUGUAUGGGGUUGUAAUAGACCUCAAACUUGAGGGGUUACUAUGUAAUUUACCCUUAAUUAAAAUAAGGGCAAAUGAAGAGGAUGGUUGAACUUGUUAAGUUUCUUAAGUGUGUCUAAUUUAAGUGUGUUGUUAAUAAACAUUUAUUAUGGAGGCAAAGAGAGGGAAGGUGCGGCAUAGAAAGAGAAGAGAGAGAUAUGUAAUUGUGAGUUGUGUUUUAUUCCAUCCCAUUGUGCAUUUAUUUAUAUUAGUUGGGAAAGUUAAUUCUUUAACCUUUUAGGAUUACAACUCUAAUAGGAAAAUAUAUAAUCUAAAAGAUAUGGUAGAAUCCCAUAAGAAUAUCCUAGAUAUGUUAGGAUUUACACAAUCAUAUUCCUAUUCCAAUAGGACUGCAAAACAUUUGUAUUUUUUUAUAAUUUUUUUGAUAAUUUGUUGGCAUUUUCAAUUUUUGUUAACAUUGAAAAUAUAACGGUUCAGAUGAAAAACCUUUGGAAAUCCAACAUUGAAAAUAUAACAGUUUGACGUUGGGCUGUGGUGAAGGAGGCUGGGCUGUCACGUGGGUGGGGCCCUCCCUCUCCCACUUGGUGAUUCAAAGGGCGCAGGCCCGUGCAACAAUUGAGGCAGCCCAUAGAGAUCCUGCGUUUCACCCAUUUGCCAUUUUUUCCACCGCUGGAGCACCAAAAUUCGGUCCAAAGGCAGGGGUUCCAAUUGCAUGGGCAAUUUGGUUUCCGCUGGAGGUGCUCUUUGUCGACUUUGUUUAUUCUUUCUUUUUAGCUUUGCAGUAAUAUUGAAGUAAUCACUCCAAUUGUAUCCGAACUUUUGUUGUCCAUCAAUUUGUAUCAAAACUAUUGGUUAAUUUACAUAUUCAGACUAACCUUCUCAUUAUUUUUAGUAUUUUUAUCAUAAAUAAUAUCUAAAAUAAUCACAUUUUAUUCAACAACCACUCAAUUAAAAAUUAAUUAAUGUUGUUUCUAAACCAUUACAUCGAGCUUUUGUAAAUACACAUCAAUAUUGCAGCGAUCCGAGGCAUUGUUUUCUACGCCUUGGAUUUGGCGAAUUGGAAAAGAGAAGAGUUACGAGUAAAAGUCCCUCACAUUAAGAGGGCUCCUCCUCGGGGAGAUGAAGAUGAUGAUCUUUUGUUUUUGUUUCUUAAUGAUUAAUCCACGCAGCAACAUAUAAUUAGAUUGUUGGGAUCUACUCAAGUUCCAUAUCACGCACUAAUAUAAAGUUUGACAAACGAAACGAAAUAUGUGCUCUCGAAAGCAAAAUGAGGGCACUGCUCCAAGAACAGGAAGGGCUCCUUGUCGAGGUUGCCAUCCGCCAUGAGGGAAAACCGGAAGAAGUUAGACAACAAUGAUGACAUCGAUUUGCAACACCCAUAUUGGGACAUCAAACUGUGAAAUAAAUACUCAAAACUCCUGGAAAGUCCUCGGGACAACAAACUUUUAUCUCCUUCAAAUAUUUCAUUUUACCAAGUUUUAUGUUUGAAGGGAGGGAAAAAAAGAGAUGAGAGAAUCCUACUCCUUAUUCUUGAAUAUAUUCAGGAAUAACUAUUGAAUAAAGAGAGAAUGGAAGGGGAUCGAAAGAGGAGGGAAGAUAAUUCUAGUCCCAAACAUAAAAAGGACCACAACUUUUAAAUUAUCAGCACGAUCAUCAUCUGAUUGAAGAGACCAUUCAUUGUGAAACAUAUCGUCAAUCAAUAUGUCUAUAUCUAUUUAUAUACCACAUUUUUGGAGUAGGAUUCUCCCCCCUCCUAUUACCAUCCCCUUCCAUCCCCUUCCAUCCCCUCCUUUCAUACUUUUUUUUUUCUUAUUCUCUAUAUAAAAAAUUCAAAACAAGAUGUAGAUGUGUCGUAAUCGCAAUAGUUUAAAUAAAAGGAGAUGGAAGGAGAGAUAAAUUACGAGGGGAGAGAAUCUUACUCCCACAUUUUUCUUCUUCAUAAACAAAAGAGAGGUUCUAGAUUACUUGACUCUAUGCCUCAUUUUUUUCAUCAAGUAUUUGUGCUAAACGGGUUCAGUUUCAAGUAUUUUAGUUUUUUGUCAAAAUUGAGAAAACUGAAAAUCAAACAUUAAUAUGCAAAAUUAAAAAAUCAACACAUAAUUAUUUAGAAAUCGCAAUAGAAAAGAAAAAAUGGAGGUUUGUGAUGAAAAAUCUUUUAUACUAAGUAAUUUAGUAUCCUUAUGCAUGAAGAUAAUCAAUUCGUUCGUUAUGGUCAGACUCUUUUUGAAUUUUUGAACACAUUCUCCAUAGGGCCUUCUUAUUUGUUCCUUCUCCGAGUUGGGGUUAUGGAAGAAGUAAAAGAAGGAACCAAGAAGAAAGUAUUGGCAACAACCGAUUUCGUUACGGGACAACUCUUGAUAUUCAUAUCGAUCUAUUAUGUACCUUUGCAUCUAGCAUUAGACAAUAACUGUCAUAGCUUUACCAUAUUUUUUUGUUUCAUUUCUUCUGAAACAAUAACACACACUUUUUUAUUAUGUGUCUAAUACUAGGAAUUCAAUACAUAAUCUUAGCAUUCAAUAGUUAUUCCUGAAUAAUUUCAUUUUUCAAUUGAUCAACCAUUUCAUUUUUCCAAGUUCAAUCAAUGUUAGUCACAUUAGUCAACAUUUAUAUAUUUUGAUGCAACAACAAUAUGUUAUUUGUAACAAGUGAUUUUGCUAGUUGGUUAAUUGGUCACAAGUUAAUGUUCGGUUCAGUUCAGCUUUUCUCUCGAUUUUUUGCGAUUCGGUUUUUUCGAUUCUCUUUAGAUUCGGUUCGAUUUUGUUUUUUUAUUUAUACUUAAUUUUUUUUAAUCUGAAAACACCAAGAACAACACAAGCAUACUCAAUCAAACAACUAUCCUUCUCCACAAAUCACAGUAAUAAUUACAUUCAUUUAGCUAAAAUGCAAAUAACUAACAAACUCACAAAAAUCGAAUAAAAACUACAAAUUGCUUACUCUUUUUCUUUGGGUUUCACUCGAAAAGUGUCGGUAAAAUUUAGGGUUUGCAAGAACGCAACCGAAAUCCAAAACGGAGGCUCUGUGGCUUGUGGGCUGCUAUUGAGUUCCAGUACGGAAAACCUUGCUUACUCUCUAUCACGGUACAAAGUAUCAGUACCUUUAGCACUGUAUUUGGUAGAACCAAAUUAAAAGCUAACAUCAAUAACAACUACCAGAGACAUAAGCUCUUAUCAAUGCUUUGGAAACAGUCAUGUAUCUCCAAGUGUAAUGAUAUAAUUAGUAAGAAAUUUAAAAGAAAAAUGGUGAUUUCAUAUAAAAUCAAUAAAAAGUUACAAUAUUGACAAUAUAUCAACAAUUUUUAUGGGGUAAAUUACAUAGGACCCCCUCAGGUUUGAGGUCUAUUACAACCCCAUACAACAUCUUUAAAAUAUUUCACUUUCAUACCUCACCUACUAUUUUAUUUCAAUAUAGUACCUCCAUUACAUUUUCCAUCAAUUGAUCCAUUAAGAGCUGAAUUGGUUGCCACAUUUGACACGCCCCGAUCCCGAUAUCCUCGGGAUAUCAGGAUGGUCACGUGCUGGCCGACACCCGAGGGUGACGAAAGCCAUUUAUUGAGUGCAAUUGCUGAAAAUAAAGGAUAGAUAAAACUUAUAAAUGUAAAAGAAUAAGGAAUAUGCAUUUAAGGAACGUGUUCAGAGCAUACAACUAACUAGAACACUAAAAGAAUGAUAUAAAAUGGAAUGAAUAAAAGAAUGAGUCUUACACCAAGAGGACUCGAAGAUGCCGAUGCGGAAGUACCUUGAUUGUCGGGAUUGUACGCCUCGAUCCUAAAUCCUGAAGGGGGCGCAAAACAAACAUGAGUGGACCAAGUUGAUAUAUAUAUAAUAAAACAGUUAUCAAUAUACUAACCCCCAGGUUUAUGAAAACAAAUAUAUAAUGAUGAACAUAGGUUUUCCGAAACCUAGCAUGAUGUGCAGUAUCUCAAAUCAUAACUCAUAUAUAAUAAUCACUAGUGAAUUGUCCGAUAACCUGCAGGCCCCAUGCCGGCUCCCCGUCUCUGAGCAGACAGUCAGAGGAAAAUACACUUCAGGCCCCAUGCCGGCUCCCCGUCCCUGUGCUAAAUAGCCAGAGGAAACACACUCCAGGCCCUAUGCCAACACCAAACCGUCGCCCGGGACGGACCGGAAUCUAUUCCUACGUCCCGUAGCGGAAAUGACCACUAGGUAAGUACAAAACCAUUGAACAUACAUAUAUUGAAAAACAACUUCAUAGUAUAAAGUCAUCCAUCAUCUAUACUAUAAAGAGGUGUUCGAAACAUGUUCUAAAUAUCAUAUCGUCAUCCAUCAGAUAUUCUAUAAGAACACGGGUUAUAGGAAAAAUAGUAAUAAUUCAAGGUAGCCUCAGUAAGCAUGUUAUCUCAAAACGUUUCAUAAAACGUAAUCAUUAAAUCAUGCAUUUCAUGUAUGCAUUUCUACUAUUAAAACAUGCUUUUGAAGGGGUCCACUCACAGUACUUAGCCGCCGAAGAGCCACGCAAACUAACGUCACCAAUAUUGCCCCUAAGCACAUAAAUGGUCCAAUUAAUAAAACUAUAUAAUAGCAAUUGGAUUUGGGAAAACGGACGUUGGAAACGGAUUCAGAACGUCGAAUUACCCUAAGAAGGGUCCCGGACGAAAACCCGAAAAGUCAACUCUAAAGUCAAUGUUGACCGGAGGUCAACGGUCAAAUUAGGUCUAACGGGUUUUAGGCUUGAAAUCCGGAUUAGGGUUUAGGUUAAAUAGGAUUAGGAUUUAUUGGGUUUUGGAAUUCUAAGGUUUUUGGGUUAAAAGGGUUUAGGGUGAAAAUGGGUGGUUUGGGCUUAAUCCCAAACUCACACACAACACACACACACACUACACAAACCCUAAAACACACACACACACACGGGCUGCACUAGGGCAGCCCUCACAACACUUCACAAAGGCCCUAAGGCCUUAUUAAAGGACAGGGCUUUAAGCCCUUUAAAGGAUACUGGCCCAAGGCCCGUCAAAAUAAGGCCCGAGGCCUUUGGGUUUUAAAAAGAACAAGAACAAAUUUAAAAGAAAAGGGGCUGGGGUCUACUGGGCUAAGAUAUAACGGGCUUAAGGCCCGUGGGGUUUUCUAAAGGGCCUGAGAGGCCUGGGUUUGUCGAAGGAGAAGGCCGGAAUUUCGGCCGGAAAACCACCCAACUUUAAAUGGCCAUAACUUUGUCAAUACUCAACGAAAUCAAGCAAGACAAAAAUGAAAGUUGUAGCCCUUGAAGCGACGAAGAGAAUGGUUCCUCACACGACGUCUAACUCGCCGUGGUUUGGCCGGAAAAUGCCUCGAAAUCCGUCGGACUCGCCGGAAACUGGGUAAGAUUCAAAUGAGUAUAACUUCUUCAAUACUCAACGAAAUUAAGUGAAACAAAAAGGAAAGUUGUAUUACUCGACGAGACGAAGAGAUUGAUACCUUACACGCCGGCCAACUCGCUGUGGUUUGGCCGGAAAUGGCCUCGAAAGGGGCGGUGCUCGCCGGAGCUUACUCCGUGCCGUCGAACUCGCAGGGUAGGGUCCGGGGUUCGUUGCAAGCCUCUCUUCGAUGGUGACUCGGUCCUAGUGAGUCCAGGGGAAGAGAGAGAUGCGAAAGGUUGAGGGAGAGAGAGACGGGAGAGCUGAGAAAGAGAGAGCUACGGGAGGGAGAAACGAAGAAGAAGAAGAGAGAGAUCAGAAAACAUAAAAAAAAUAAACAAGGUGGGCCCCACGGGCUCACCAAUUAAGGCUUUAAAACAAUUUUAAAAUAUAAAAGAGGGUUGGGGUGUUUCAACAUUUGUACCACGUGGCAAAAAAAAAACCUAAAUCUUCUAUACAAAAAAACUAAAAAAACCAAAAAAAGCAAAAUCGAACACUCCACCCCGCAAAAAUCCUAGCAUCUUCCUUUUAUUCCCCACAACCCCAAAUUCCCCCCCAAAACCCCUAAAACCCAAACCCUAAUUCCUCCCCCACAUGAAGAAAAUCCCAGUCCAAUUCAAUCCCAAUUACCUCAAAUCCCACCAUAGAAACCCUAAAUUUUGGUUCCUCAAUCCCUAGAUUUCCCACGCCUCUGUUGCCUACACCUUAUCAAUCUUUAGCUUUCUCCCUCAUCCCCUCCAUGAACGACACUUUCUCUCAUCCGCUGUUCCCCAGCAACGGCACCGAUACCUACGAGGCCUGGUACGGCAACAUCCAGUACCUUCUCAACAUCUCCGCCAUCGGCUCAUUCUUAUGUGUCUUCUUUUUCACCUUGGUCAAGCUUUGAAGCGAUCGCCGCCGCAUGCCCGGCUCGUCCUCCCUCGUUGCUAAGCUCUUCGCAGUGUGGUAUGCUACCUGUCGAGAGAUUAUGCUCCCAUGUGGCGCUGAGGCCAUAAUACUCACGCACCCAUCUACACACCCACACCACCACUACCGUGGACUCUCUCUCACUCUCCCUCGUCUUUGUAGAGCUAGGUGAAGCCUAGAAACCGAGAACUAGCUCCAGCAAACCCCGUGAGUUUCGAGCCAGAUCCCUGCCGACUCCGACCAUCCCAUGACCAAUCUAAGGUACAAAACAUUUCCCCUUGACUCUAUGCUCUUUUUCGUAUGUAGAUCGUAGGGAAAAGCCCACAGAAUGAGAGAGAAUAGUGACCUGAGAGAGUCCACGGUGAUGGUGGUGUGUAGAUGAGUGCGUGCGUGGGUGUACUGUCGGGGAUAGAGUCUGAGAGAGAUAGAGAGUGAAAGAGUCUGAGAGAAGAGUGACUUGCGAGAGUGAGAGAUUCGAGAGAGACUCGGGAAAAGAUUUAUGGGUUUGGGUUUUUCUGGUUUUUUAUUUUUAUAAUAAUAGGGUUAAUAUUAUAAUAUUUUUAAUGUAUAAAAAUUUCUUUUUUGCCACGUGGCAGCCACAUCAGCACAAAUGUGGUAGUUGUAGAUGCAAAUUUCUUCCUCUUGAUCUUGGACAAUUUUGCACCUACAAAACAAUUAACACCUUAGGUUAAGGCCAAAAGCCUCACACACCCACAAUGAAUGGGGGGCUUUGGCCGAAGAACCUCUGUUGCCAAAGUUAGAAUUUAGAGAGAAAGAGUCUUUACAGAAUUUUGGGAUUUUUGCCAAAGUGUUGGAAUGGCUUUCUGGUGAGAACGGGAUCACUUUUAUAAGGAUAGGAAGUGGUCGGCCUAGCUAGGGUUUUUGGGUUUAAUUUAGGUUUAAUUCUUCAAUUUAUUUGGCUAAUUAAACCCUAAAGAAUAAAUUGGUGGUUACAAAAUUGAUUAUUUGUAUAAAUGGGGUAAUAAAAUGGAGAAAAGUGAAAAAGGUUAGGAAAAGGGAGGUAGCUAGCUUCUUAGUAGUUUUAGGUGUGAGUGGGUGUUUUAAUUGAUAAUUAAGGGAUUGAUUAGGUAAUUAAUCCCUUAAUUAAACAAUUUUUAGGGAAUAUGAAAGGAAAUUAUUAUUUAGCUAAUUGAUUAGCUAAAUAAUGGAAUACAAAAUAUAUAGAAUAAAUUAGGCUUUAGGUAUUACCUUAUAGAAAUGAUUUGAUGAAAUAGGCUUUAAAUUGUUAACUAUUUUGGGCACUUUUGACUUGGUUGAGGAUGAUUGUCUGCCGCUCGCACGUAGGAAUCUCGAUAUGCCUUAAGGGUAUUUUUGUCCUCUUUUACCCAAAAAUCCACGUGUCGCCUUGUGAUUAUUUUUGGCUCCACAAAUGCCCCCACACCUGUUGGGCUGCUCGCAGAAAAUGGCAGCAGGUGUAGAGAUCAUCUUGCUUUAGGAAACGUAGGACUACUUCCUCUUUAGAUGUAGAUUCUCUCUUUAAUAGGAAAUUAGGUUCUUCUAGGAAAGGGAAAUAAAUUUCUGUUAAAGCCUAUUUAAGUCUACCUUAAGUGGGUUAUUAAAUCAACUUUGGAGAGCGAUUUCUUAUACCCUACAAGAGAGAGGGAGCUUAGAGAAUAUUUGUUCCCCCUCUUCUAGCAAUCUUCUACAUCUUUCCCGUGCAAAGGAUCGUCUUUCGUUGAUUUCUUCGUCUUCUCCGUGCCGCACCGAUGUAAGAAAAAUUUAAUUUUUUGCUUAUCUUCUUCUUGGAUAGUACUAUUACAGGGCAACCGUUAAGGUAGUGCGGCACGUCUACUGGCAGGGGCUAGGAGUUGGCUCGGCAUCGGUCGAUGAGGCAUUAUGGCAGGGGCCACUGCUUAGGCUGUUUGGCUUGGCUAGAGCCAAUGGCAGCUUGUGCGGCUGGGGUCGCGGAUUGUGGCGUUGGGGCGCAAUGCUAGGCGAGCCACAUGGUUAAUGUCCUUUAGGCUCUUAGACCUUACUCGGGCCAGGCUAGCGACUGAAAGAAAUGAGGAGGUCGUGGGCCUCAUGGGUUGUUGGAAUGUUGGGCAUGCAGGCCUCCUGUCUGCUAGAAUGCUAGGUUGAGCUCCUCUGCUGAGUACCGUGAAUGGCGUUGGCUGCUUAGUUCUUUUUACAGAGAGAAAGGUGGGCUGCUCCCGAAAGAGGAAGUAAAGAGGAUCAAGGUGGAUGCAUUGGCUCGUCUAAUCGCUGUCGUGGAACCUCCUAUGAAUGAAGAUGGAAAUAAGAGAUCUUCCCUGCCUACUCAAGAGAUGCCGAUCGAGAAAAAUUGAAGACUUUCUCCACUGCUGCUCAUGAUGAUUUGUCUGCUGUCGAUAGGCCUGUGAUUGGCAUGACUUCUUCCAAUGGGAAGAAAAAUGAGGCUGCUAGAUCUGAUCAUGUGGUGCCUUCCAUGUUGAGAAUUGCUAGUACAAUUGUUGAUAAGAUUGCUUAGCGCAAAGGUUUUAUCAUGCCCCCAGUACCGAAGUCUGUACCAGGACUUUCGUUUGGAGCAAAGUCUGGUUCACCUUUGGAGAUACUUGCUAUUAUGAAAAGUGGUAAGGUGGACUCUGCUGCUAAAGUGGCGUCAAGGCCCACUCCCUUUGUUGCUGAGACUGAUUCGCCUGCUAGGAAGGAAGAUACUACUUGUAUGGGCAGCUGUGAGAAAUCCACUAAACUUGCUUCUGGGGAGGCUGCUGAGAUCAUUGUGCUUUUGAAACUAUAUCUGCUUGAAGACAUGGACGCUUGUGCCAAGUUUGUUGAUGGCGGUAGAAAGGUUGUUUACCUAAGUUCCUUUGCGAAACAUACGACCCAAUAUAAAAUGACUGCUCUGCUUACUAGGAUGCAUAAAUAGCAAGGUUGUCAAGGAGGUGGCGAAGAUUAUGGCAGCUAAAGCUUAUUCCUCAGUCGAGGAGAUCAAAAGGUUGAAUUAUGAGCUUGUUGCUUUGAAAGAAAUGGAAGAACUGCAACACGUUCGUGUUAGUCUGUUUGAGAAGAAUGAGCAGCUAAACGGUAAGAAUGAUGGGCUUGAGGUUUCUCUAUUUUUCCGGAAGACUUGCUUACUUUUACUUUUGAGGCUUCCAUUGGUGAAGUAGUUGGAGACGUUAGUGCCCAGGCUUAGGCAACCGGGGGUGAAGCACCGGAUGAUGCCGCUGCUAAGAACGUUACGGCUGCUGAAGGUGUGGAGACCAAGUAGUCGUGGGAUGUCCAAGCUGCUGUAGUGUAGUAUUUUAGGUAGCUUUUAUGAUUUUCUUUGUUUUUCCUUGUAGCUCUUGUUUUGCUUGAACUUCUUCGGCCUUUGCUAGUUGUAUAAACAUGUUUUCCUUCGCUUUUCUUCAUCUUCGCUUCUUUUGUUCAUGCCCUAACCUUUAGACUUGAUAGACCAAUGGCAGGCAUGCUACUUUUUUAUAAGCAGACAAGCUCGCGUAGCCUAUGCAGCCGUAAAUGUUGGUGUAGAACUUUGCAAAGUUGUUAGCCAUUAGGUUGGUAACCAGAUACCUUACUUACAGAAGUAGACAAGUCCGCAUAACCACUAGGCUAUUAACCUUGACUUUCUCCAAUUCUGUAGGUUGCGUAGCAAGUAUCACAACACUUUAGGAAUUGGUAUAGGUUGCUCCGCACUUGGCAGAGGUGAAGCCUAUCGACUACGUAGCAUGUCGGCAGUGGAUAAAACUUCCAUAUAUGCGCGCUAGCUUGUUUAACCUUUCACAAGAAUGUGCGGUUGUAUAAGUCUAGCACGGUUUUACUGCUUGAAGGGCAAGCCGUAGGCAGUCUUCCGGAAUCCGUAGGCUACCUUAAUGUACUCGGUAGCAGCUUUAGGGUUCCAGGGCAGCCGUCUAUAGAGCGUACUGCGUAAUGUGCCCCAUCCGUCUCUAGCUCCCGGUUCCCCACAGAUUAGACCAAGAGACCCAAAAUCCUUCAGUUAGUUAAGCCUUGAAAAAGACCAUUGUGGCUACUUCUAGGAAUCCCGGCUCAAGCCAUCGUACAUCUAGUUAUACUAGGGUAGCCAGGCUCAUCAGCGUCUGGAUAUUCGGAGUGUAAAGUUUAUCCUCCCGUCUUAGAGAGCUGACCCAUAUGAGUGUCGGGGAAUUGGUUUACCCUCUCACACUAGAGAGUAAUUAAUUUACCCUCUCGCACUGGAGAGCAAUUAGUUUACCCUCUCGCACUGGAGAGCAUGGUUGGUCCAUCGGGGGGCGCAAUUCCUGCGAUGAGUCCCUAAGAAGGGCGCAGUCUUCUUUUGAAGUGCAGGAAUGAUUAGUUGUUAUAAGCAUGUGAUCGAGUCAAGUUGUGAUUACUUCUAAAUUCCUCAUUGAAAAACGAGUGAAACGAACGAGAACUUAGCCGUAAGGUAGGAACUGCAUAACAACUGGAUAGUCCUCAACUUGUGUGGUGGUACCCAUCGAGCUUCUUGAGUCUUCGGGCUUUGAUGUAGUGGGAGGUUACACAUGGCACCUUUUCAGAUUGUAGGCGCUCUACUGCUUUUCGAACUUUUUUUUUGUUGUGUAAUUGCUCUUGCUGCCUACUCGGCUAAUCUUAUACAGACUUUCUCGGAUGAGAUUCAUCUUUUUGGAGCUUCUCUGCUGGCAGUGAUGAAGGCUUUUCUUAGGACUAGAUCUCUGGGCUGGAACUGCCAGAUUUUGGCCUUUUUGUUGUGGCUGGAAAAGAACCACUGCUGGUAAGUUGUAAUGCAGAUGAUAGUCUGCUCGCACUUCUCCUCUGCCAAAUUUAAGCUUGUGGCCAUCUCCUUUCGGUUGCUCGUCUUUUGGUGUUGCGAUGUGCCCAUAGACAUCCAGGGAGUUUGUCUGGCCAUUUUCUUUUCUUAUUGGUAGGGGAUUUCUUGUGGCAGUCGAGGAUCAUCUUAGUGGAUGUUUUGGCCAGCCUAUUGCCUUGAGGAUAUCUUGGCGUAGACAUGUGCUGCUUGAUGCCAUAUUUUUAGAAGAAUUUCGCCAAAUCUUUGCCCACGAAUUACGGGCCGUUGUUGGUGACGAUGGAUUAAGGUAUGCCAAAUCGGCAAAUGAUGCUCUUUCAUAUGAAGCGCUCUAUGUCCGUUUGAAUUGUGAUCGUCAUGGGCUCUGCUUCUACCUAUUUGGUGAAAUAGUUGGUUGCCACGAUCAUCAUGCAUUUGCCCUUAGUAGUCUGGCUGGUGAUUAGCUGGGAAUCAGAAUGAAUUGAAAGCUUUUUCACCACCAAGUCUUUUGUCACUCGAAGGCCUGCUAGUGGGGCUUUGUACUCUGCUUCGUUGUUAGGUGCUUUGACGCUUAGAGUGAUCGCUUACUCGAGCAUUGAACCGUCUGGGGUGGCAAGAACCACGGUUACUUAUAAGCCUUUGUAGUUGGAUGCGCCGUCGACAUGCAAAUGCCAGAAAUUUCCAUUGAGGGAGUAGGUAUGGCUAAAGUGUGCUCGGCUACCUUCGAAGCGUCGUUGGGCCGCUUUGUUACAUUGUCAAGGCUAGGUUUGAAGGCGCGGUAGAGAGUCGUGGAGCUGGGGCCAUGUUACAUGUAGCAGGAGAUGCUCAACUUCCGGUAUUAGGCCACUCUAGAGCUGAAUAAUGGAGCAAAGGUCGGCUAGGGUCGUAUGACGCGCAGCAGAAGGUAGUGCUCGACUGCUAGUACAUGUUGCUCUUACGUAGAAUCUUCUGAGGCGACGAGGACAAAACUUGCUUUUAAGUGUUCCUUCUAGUGUUCGUCUGCCCUUGGCGUGUCUUUUGGGCUGAGUUGUUGCGUUCGUCAGAAAACUUUGCAUCUGCCAGGGUUUACGUCUUUAUCAUCACGGGUUUGGAUUAGGCGGAAUAGUGCGUCAUGAUGAUGACUGCGUACAUUUGAAGGUAAAACUUAAGCUUUUGGGUUACAACAACUAUCACCAAAGUUAGCUUUUGAAUUUUUAAUAGCAUCGAGGAGAGCUUUUGAACUAUAAAAUACAUGUAGUUGGGCCCCCAACUCUUCUCGCAUGACGGUACAGCUUAUUUCUACUUUAGAUACCGUCAAACAUGCGAAUAAGUCCUCUGCUGCUUCUAGGGAGGUGAUGUUGGGUACUUCUUCAAGCCCUUGAAUGUGCAUUGGCGAGCCUCAUCCCAAAGUGCAUGCUUCUCUGCCAAAGAAAAAGAGUCUACCAGAGUUAGAUAUUCUUUCAUGAUCAAUUUUCUAAAUAGCGGUGGUCUGCUGGAAGGCCUUUUUGGAAGGCUGCUCUAGCUAUUGAGUCGCUGCAUCCGACUAUCAUUGCCUUCUCUGUUUUGAAUCUCUUCACAUAGUCACGAAGUGACUCCUUUGGGUUCUUUUUUACGUCAAACAAAUGGUCGGACUUCUUUUUGAUCGAGCAAUAAGAUGAAUAUUCUUUGGUGAAAACCAAAGAAAGUUCGUAGAAAUUCUAGAUAGAUUGUGGCGGCAGGGUGUAGAACCAAUCUUGUGCCUCGCCUUCAUAGUGGUGGCGAAUAUCUUGCACAUGAGAUCAUCGUUGUUUCGAUAAAGGAUCAUUGUGCUUCGGUAGCGCUUUAAGUGUCUCUUCGGGUCUUCAUCCCCUUUGAAAGAUAUGAAAUGUUGCAUACUGAACUCGCAUGGAGGCUCUGCCAGCUCGAUCUCAUCCGUGAAGGGUGACCUGCUUAUGUUGGUCAUGUUCCGUCGUAGUGCCUCGUCGGUGACCUUGUUGCGUUAGAAAUCAUGCAAUCGCUUGAUUAAAAGUCUCUCUACUUCUUCCUGAAUUUUCAUUUGUUAGGGUAGCAGAGCUCUCGGCUGCCCCUAGCCAUAACUUACUGGUCUAGGAUGCUCUUCCAUGUGUUUGGCUCGUAUACCGUGGAUGCAGUGUAUGUGGUGCGGUCCUAGUAGGUGAGCGAGUUCUUCGCAGGCUGCUAGUUGAACUUGAGCUGGAUUGAGUGACUACUUCUCUCCGUCCGUCGUGCUGCCUACUCCAAUGUGAGGUGAAAGAUGCUCCUUGCAGGCUUAGCCACGAAUGAACACUUUACCUGGAAGGUUGCUCAUGUUGACUAUCAGAGUAUGACCCUAACCGUGAAUGUAUAUUCACCCGUGGGCUUAGUCGAGAGUGCACGCUCCUCCGCGCGCUAAGACGAGAGUAUACGUUAUCUCGGGAGCCCAAUUGGGAGUGUACACUGCCCGAACGCUCGGCUCGUGGCUGGUCGAGUGGCUGCUUGCCGAAACGCUGCGGGAAAGGUUCGUCUGCCCUUGUCCUACUUCGGGAUACCUUGUUUGGGGCACGUUGGAUUCUGGUGCAUUGCAAAAGUUGAUUCACCAAGGUUGUCUGUUGUGCAAGGGUGCUCGUAAACGCUACGACUUGUCGAGACAAGUGUUGUUCGUCAUUUGGAUUGGAAUAGCUUGGAAGGAAUGUGCCUUCUUGGGCAGUGGAAGGGUGGUAGACUCCGGGCUCGAGAUUUGAGUUGGGAAAUGUCAAAUCUACGAAAAAAUGUGGUGAGAAUGCCCCCGGCUCGAUGGUAGGUCCGGAUGGUUGAGAUAGUCUUGGGCCGACUUGGGCUGCUUGGAAAGCCACGGGAGCAGGCUGGGCCACGAGAGUGAGCUGCUCGGCAGGAGUAGGCUGGGCUACGAGAGUGGGCUGCUCGGCAGGAGCAAACUGCUUGGAGUGUGAUGCACAUGGGUGCGAGGCUUGGGCUCGGCUUGGUAACACAUUGAGUUCGGGUUUGGCUUGGAGUGACAUGACUUGGGCCGUGGCCUUGGUGUCGUGAGCCUUGGAUGGCACGGCUCGGGCAGUGGUAGCUGUGCCAUGGACCUCGCCGCGGGUAGUGGUGACCGUGAUGGCCACCGCGGUGGUUGCCAUGGUGGAGCCCCGUAGUGAUGGUGCCGCUCCUAUGAUCACAUUUAGCCUCGUGGAUCGUCGUGGUCCCAUUUCUUGAAUAUUAGAAUUUUCACUUAUGGAAUUUUCUAAAUUUCUAGCCAUUAUAUUUUUCUUAUACGUUUUAUCAAAGAACCUUUGCAAAUAAAAAAUUCUAAUAAUAAGAACGUAUGAAAAAAUAUUCAAAUGGACUAGAAAAUAGAGAAAAACCUUUUUAUGCGAGAGUCUUCUACGAGUAUAGAUCUCAACUCUCAAUGAAAGCACCAAUUUGUGGAUGCAAAUUUCUUCCUCCUUGAUCCUAGACAAUUUUGCACCUACAAAACAAUUAACACCUUAGGUUAAGGCCAAGAGCCUCACACGCCCACGAUGAAUGGGGGGGCUUUGGCCGAAGAACCUCUGAUGCCAAAGUUAGAAUUUAGAGAGAUAGAGUGUUCAGAGAAUUUUGAGAUUUUUGCCAAAGUGUUGGAAUGGAUUUUUGGUGAGAAUGGGAUCACUUUUAUAGGGAUAGGAAGUGGCCGGCCUAGCUAGGGUUUUUGGGUUUAAUUUAGGUUUAAUUAGUCAAUUUAUUUGGCUAAUUAAACCCUAAAGAAUAAAUUGGUGGUUACAAAAUUGAUUAUUUGUAUAAAUGGGGUAAUAAAAUGGAGAAAGGUGAAAAAGGUUAGGAAAAGGGAGGUGGCCGGCUUCUUAGUGGUUUUAGGUGUGAGUGGGUGUUUUAAUUGAUAAUUAAGGGAUUCAUUAGGUAAUUAAUCAAUUUUUAGGGAAUAUGAAAGGAAAAUAUUAUUUAGCUAAUUGAUUAGCUAAAUAAUGGAAUACAAAAUAUAUAGAACAAAUUAGGUAUUAGGAAUUACCUUAUAGAAAGGAUUUGAUGAAAUAAGCUUUAAAUUGUUACCUAUUUUGGGCACUUUUGACUUGGUUGAGGAUGAUUGUCUGCCGCUCACGCGUAGGAAUCUCGAUAUGCCUCAAGGGUAUUUUUGUUCUCUUUUACCCAAAAAUCCACGUGUCGCCUUGUGAUUAUUUUGGCUCCACAACAACCACGUCAGCAUUUAACAGACCAAUGGAUGGAAAAUCUAACGGAGGUAUUAUUUUGAAAUAAAAUAACAAGUGAGGUAUGAAAGUGAAAUGUUUUAAAGAUGUUGUAUGGGGUUGUAAUAGACCUCAAACUUGAGGGUCCUAUGUAAUUUACCUAUUUUUAUGUUAAUUAUGAAUAGGUCAAUCAUGUAGAACCAAAUUAAAAGCUAACAUCAAUAACAACUACCAGAGACAAAAGCUCUAAUCAAUGCUUCGGAAACAUAGUCUUGUAUCUCUAGGUGUAAUGAUAUAAUUUGUUGGAAACUUAAAAGAAAAUUGGUGAUUUUGUAUAUAAUCGAUAAAAAGUUAUAAUAGUGACAAUAUAUCAGUAAUAUUUAUGUUAAUUAGGAAUAGGUCAAUCAUGUAUUUAAUACUUACAUGCAUUUAAAAUAAACACCUUAUCAAUGUUUUUUUAACUGUGCUCAGUUUUUCUCCUUCGCUUUGGUUUUGUUCUAUUGGAUUUUUCAACUAUCAUUAAUUGUGAACAUAACUGAUCAUUGAGACACAAACAUCCAAGGGAGAGUACCGUGGAACAAAAUGUGGAUAUCUUUAUACAUUGUAUGGUAGUAAACCAUCAUAAACACCAUAAUAAUGUAGAAACGCUCUUGGGGUACCUUUGGAUGAUAACUCAUGUAUUUGUUGCCCUACGUAAAGAUGGCUAAUGAUAAUGGAAGUCUAAUUUUCUCAUCCCAAUCUCUCCUGUCUCUCUUGUUCUCUUUUCUCUAUAGUUUAUUUCCAACAAGUUGUGUUAUUUUUUUUUUUUAGUAUUGUUAAGCAACCAAUAGAUUUUAAUUAGCAGUCUUUGUUUUUUUCUUUUAUAUUUUUAAUCAAUUUCAGUUGCUUAUCCGUUCUAGCAAAUUGAGCUCUUUUACAGCAAUUUUUUUCUUUAAAUGAAAUUAUUAUUAUUAAAAGAGUGAGAAAAUUCGAAAUUAUUACAACAAUUUAAAAAAAAGAAGUUUCGAAUCAUAAACACAGAGGGAGUUUACAACAUUUUAAUUAAGAAAUUAGGCUUCAGCUCAACUCAUCUUUGCAACGUCGGUUCCACUUCACAUCAACAUGCAAUGUUUCAGAAGGUCACGCGGUUUUGGGGUUGUUGUGUACCAAUAAUAUUAUAUAUAUAUAAAUUAGGAUUGAAGGAUACACGCAUUUUGUAGAGCUUAUUUUGUUAUGUAUUUUAAUGAUUUAAAUGCUUACGUUUUUCUUCACUACAAAUGAGUGAAUUAAUGAUUUUAGAAUUUGUCUAAUUUUUUACAUUGAUUAUUUAUGAAUAUUGAAUUGAAAUAUAGACGAUUCAAAAAUCGUUGAUAUACAUUACAAAAUGAACUCCACAAAAUAAGCGUCAAAAUAUGUAUAUAAAAUGGACAGCGUGAAAGGCUUGGAAAUUGGAAUAGGUUUGAAAAUUGUGCUUUUUGUAGCAAAUUGUAGCAAAGUUUGCUUGGACUUUCACAACCGUAUAAAUUAUGCCGCAGCACUCUCUAUUUUCUCUCUCGCUCUAUAUCGUGGUCCCUCUCUCUCGCCGUCCUCGAUUGCUCGAACUCACUAUCCUUUAUUGCUCGAACUCACCGUCCUCAAUUGCUCGAACCCACUGUCCUUUAUUGCUCGAACUCACUGUCUCCAACUUCCUCUGUUUGGUUCCCGAUGAAGAUGGUAAAACAGUAGGGGCAAGAAAUUAUGACAAUGUUAGAUUUGCAUAUUAAUCUGGUAGGGCUACAAUUCUCCAAUCCACACCCCUUCCAUCUAUGCUAGUGUUUGUACCCAAUAUUAGAUAUCCGGUCUGUGCAAUCGAGAUCGUUGAAUGAGAAAAAUUCUAAGCCGUGGGAUCAAAUAUAAUGAUGUGGAUUAAAUAAGAAAAAUUUAAAUGUUUAUCUUGGUUGAAUUACCAUGAUAAUAUUGUGGAAUUAUCUUCUGCAUAACGGGAUAGCGAGAAAAGUCCAAGGGUGUAGGGAAGUUGUGUGGCUGACUACCGCUUUUUUUUAUGGUGUCAUUAGUAGAGUAAUAUCACACUUAACAUUUAUUUGUACCAUCUCUCUAAUAAAGAUAAAGACCAUCAAUGCAUAAAUAAUGAUACAAAUAUAUAAUAAGAGUAUCAUAUUUGUAACUAGAAUAGGAGAAGAAAGACUUCAAGAUGGGGUCAGCCAAAUAAUUAGCGUCAGGAUAAAAAUAUGAGUAAUGAUAUUUGUAAACAUCGAAAUUUCGGUAAAUAAAUGUUGACCGAUAAAUCAAAGUUUCAACGCUCAUGUAUUACAUAAAUUUUACACGUAGCGUAUGUCUAAACAAAAAAUCGAAAUAAGUUGGAAAAGUCAUCAAACAGGACACAUGUCAACACCUGGCAGAAACGACUUAUUUCAUCUGGAAUAUUAUAUUCAAAAUUAGGCAUUGGAAAAUUCUAUAAAUAGAAGCCAAUUUCAUUCAUUUGAAGGAACCAAAAUCAUUAGGCAAAAUUCUUGAAGCUCUGAAGCUCUGAAACUCCGAAACUCUCAAGCAUCCAGGUUCCCGAAGAAUCAAGAAAGCUCUCUUCGUUCUUCGUUCUUCGUUCAUCGUUCAUCCUAAGAUCAAGCUCCAACGGCCCUUUAGAUCAACAAUCAUCCACUAAUUCAAGAUCAAGCCCCGACGGCCCUUGAAGAAAGUGUUCUUCAUUCUUCGUUCAUCGUUCUUCCAAGAUCAAGCCCCAACGGCCCUUUGGAUUAACAAUCAUCCACCAAUUCAAGAUCAAGCCCCAACGGCCCUUGAAGAAAGUGUUCUUCGUUCUUCGUUCAUCGUUCUUCCAAGAUCAAGCCCCAACGGCCCUUUGGAUUAACAAUCAUCCACCAAUUCAAGAUCAAGCCCCAACGGCCCUUGAAGAAAGUGUUCUUCGUUCUUCGUUCAUCGUUCUUCCAAGAUCAAGCCCCGACGGCCCUUGGAUCAACAAUCCACCAAUUCAAGAUCAAGCCCCAAAGACCCUUGAAGAACUUCUACCAAUUCAAGAUCAAGCCCUGACGGCCCUUGAAGAAAGUGUUCAUUGUUCAUCAUCCGUUCAUCCCGAAGAAUCAAGAAAGCCUUAUUCGUUCUUCGUUCAUCGUUCUUCCAAGAUCAAGCCCCGACGGCCCUUGGGUCAACAUCAUCAACAAAUCCACACAUCCAACCGUUCUUCAAGAUCAAGCCCAAAAGCCCUUGAAGAUCCGUUCAUCACCGUUAUUCAAGAUCAAGCCUUAACGGCCCUUGAAGAAACACUCAUCCUCAAGAUCAAGCCCCAACGGCUCCUUGAAGAUCCGCUCAAAUCCACCUUCAAAGAUCAAGCCCACGGCCCCUUGAAGAAACAUCCAACAGUUCAUCCAAGAUCAAGCCUCGACGGCCCUUGGAUCAACGAAACAUCUACAAAUCAACACCUUACGGAGAUCGAAUCAGAUGAUCAAAUUAGAGAGAGAUUGUAACCCUAAAUCAUCAAAAUACAAAUAUUAUUUUGUGCACGUUGUUCUUAUCUCUUUCGUUUCAGGAAAUUUUCGUGUUCACAAUAUUCUUACCAUCUAAAUAUACUAUAAUUUUAUACCAUCUUAUGUGGCAAUUGAGAUGGACUUCCACAUAAGUUUUAAAAAAAUCUCAUGUCAGCUAAGGUGGAUAUUUACGAUUUUACGAUUUUACUCAAUGAUUUUUAUUAAUAAAAUAAUUAAAAAAUAAUAAUGAAACCUACUUGCUCCCGUUUUCAAGCCUCAUCGCUGGGCCUCCUCCCUCUUCGCUCUCCAAUUUCACCUUCCUUCACCAACGAUCGAUGGUGCUCGACCCCCUUCAUCAUUGCCAACUGGCCGAAUAUCUUGAUGGUGCUCCCAGUGAUUGUUUUGCUCUGCCACCAAAUCAAGUUUGCAAUUUUAAUGGUUUAUGCCUUCUGGCCAAGUGUUGGAUUUGAUAGGUUUUUAAUUCCAGCAACAUUGAACAAAAAUAUGAAAAGGAUUGGAUACGAUAUUUUCCUCUGUUCUACUGCUGAGGAUUUUCCGAAUAGAAGAAGAUUUGGAAGACAACCUCUUUUCUUUUUUCUUCAUGGACUUUUGGUUAGCACCAAAAUCUUUUCCUAAUCCUCUAUAGGAAUGAAAAUUUCAUUCCAUGUUAUAUCCCGAUGUUGUCCAAGGUUUUGGCUUGAAUUUUCAUUGGAAUUAUCAUAUGUUGGAUCAGAUCAGGUGGAGAGAUGAAACGUAUCUAACAAGGAAGUUGAACGGGUAGGGUUUGAGCAAAAAUAAACAGAAAUUCCACCUAGGUUGACACCUAAGCUUCCACAUCAUGUGGUAUACUAAAUGUGGUAUAAUAAGAUGGUAAGAAUAGCAUUAUUGAAUGGGUAAUGUUAAGAGAAAUUUUUAGUUGUGACGGGAACACGGAUGGUACACCAUGCGUUUUUAUGUAAAUGGUGGAAAAUUUUAAUUUUUAAAUUAUUAACCUUUUAGCACACAUAUCCCACCAUUUAUAUGAAAACACGUGAUGUAUCACCUCGUGUGAUAGUCACAUUGAAAAAUCUCUCGUAAUGUUAGGAAAACUAAAUUUAUAAACAAAAGUUACAAAUUAAAUGAUGGGUUACCAAUAAGAAUGAUUACGUUUAUCAAUGCUUAAAUAAUAAAUCAUUCAUCAACUUCCAGUCCUUUAGUUUUUAAAAUUUUGUCUAACAUUACCCUUUCAAAACUCAUGAAAAUAAUUUUCAAUUUUUUUAACUGAAAAGUGAAAGUUACUAAACAAGAUUUCAGUUUUUAGCUUUCAAAAAAAUAAAAACAAAAGCUAAAAAUAAAAUGGUUAUCAAACAUCCCUAGAAGUCAUUCUUAGUGAUAGUAAGGUCAUCUCCAACCGAAAGAUCCAGGGGGCUAGAGGGCCGAAAAUAGUCUGAAAACCAUUUCCAAUCAAAGGCCAUGCCAAAGGGGUCGUGGACCCCAUUAGACAAAAAAGGGCCAAAGGGCCAACUGGCUGGCCCCAGUUCCAACAAUAACUAGAUGACGUCAGUUAACCGUUAUUUUUGAAUUUUUUUUUUAACAAAUUUUAACUUUCUAAGCCAUUAAACAACAUUAAAUUAAGUAAAAAAGAAAAUUCCUAUAACUUCCUAAGUCAUUAAACAAUAUUAAAUUAAGUAACAUGAAACAACAUUAAACAAUAUUAAACAAAAUUAAACAAUAUUAAACAACAUUAAAUAACAUUUAACAACAUAAAAAUUAUACAACAUAAAAAAAAACAUUUAAGAACAUAAAAUUUAAAUGCCUACUUCAUGCUUCUUUUGGCCCAAAGAUGUGCAACAAGAUCCUAAUGUAGGUACUUGUUUGUGGCACGAGAGCGUAUCAUCCUAACCGUUAGAUUUGAUUUUUUUUUGUUUUCGGCCAAAUUUUUUUAAAUUUAAAAAUAAAUUAUGUUUGACCUUUUGGCCCUCGAUUGGAGAUAGUUUUUUUUGUGACAUGACUAUGUUUAGCCCUAUGACCCUUUGGCCCUCAGUUAGAGAUGGUAAGAAAUAUGACCCAACAAUGUUCAUUAAAAUAUUAAUUUCUUGAAGAGCCAGAGGGCUAAAACGAGCCAUCCUUCGGUUGGAGAUGGCCUAAGAAGAGACUAGAGAUAGAGAGAUUCCUAUACUUAGCUGUGAGAGUUUCCUAUAUAUGAUUUUCAUUAACAAGAUUGAACUGAUUACAUAGAGAAGAAGAUCAAGUAUGGUUAUUUUUAUUUGGGAGACUUUGGAUGUGGUCCUUAGUUAUGAAUAUUAUUUGAUUGAAAUCUUGUUGGUUUUUAAUUUUUUAUCAAGAUCCCUGAAAUUAAUGUGAUAAUUUAUUUCUAUGUAAGUUACUAUAUUUUUUUAAUUAGAAAUUAGAAAUUUUAGUUGUUUAUAUAAAUGAGAUUUUAAAUUAAAAAAACCAUAAUUUGUGGGAUUAAAAAUAUUAAAAUAUAAAUAUACUAUUGUGUGUGUGUGUGUGUGUGUGUGUGUAUAAAUAUGGGUACAUUCAUCAAAAUUAACCAAAAAAUUUAUUGUAUCAAAACAUGGGUACAUUCUUCAAAAUCACAAAAAAAGAAAGAUAUUAGGCUUAAUAACAUUAGUAAAUUUCUUCGAUUAAACUUGACAUGGAUACAUUUUAAAAUCAAAGAAAAAAAAUGUACCCAUAUAAGUUUAAAAAUGGAUUAGAAAAAAAAAUUGAAUAGAUUUUAUACAAAAAAAGGGUACGUUUUACAUAUAACAAAUUGGUAUAUUUAAGAAUGAGUACAUUUUAAGAUUAAAAAGUUUUACAUGAAUGGGUUCAUAUAAUUAGCAUGGGUACAUUUAGCAAAAUAAAAAGUACAAAUACAAAAAAAUAUAUGUGUACAAAUACAAAUAAACUUUAAAAAAUAUGGGCACAAAAAGAAAUUAAUAUAUGGGUACAAAUUAAAACCGAAAAGAAAAUUGGUACAAGUUAAAAAAGAAUUACAAAUUAAAAAUGGGUACAAACUAAAACUAAAAAUAUAUGAUAAAAAAUUUAGUCAUAAAUAUAAAUAUACUAAUUGUAACAUUUUUAACAUUAAAUGAAUAUAUUUAGACAUAAAAAAUAUAUUUUAUUAUUGAAAUAAUUAAUGAUGUUAUUAAUACCCAAGGACCUUGAUAAAAAAUUGAAAAGAAAUAGAAUUUUAAUCAAUGGAGUAGCAAAAGAAAAGAUGAGAACCUAAUUUCUCCUUUGUAUUGUGUAGACAUUAUAACUAUACAUUCAUAAUAACAUGAGUAAUGUUAUAUUUAUCACAUUUGUACUCUUUCUCCAAUAAAGAUAGGGUCCAUCAACACAUGUGGGUUCUAUUUGCCCAUCAACACAUGCGAAUCUCAUUUUUAUUAGAAAAAUAGUACAAAUAUGAUAUGGAAAUUAUGAUAAGAUCGCAAUUUUGUAAUAACAUAUAUACUCAACUAUUUAUAUACCAACUCAUCUCCCUUUAGUGUAGUUAAUAUUGUUUGUUCAACCAAAAAAAAAAAAACUGAACUUGUCAUAAUCAUUGAAUCCAUUUACCAUGAACAAACGGCAGUUUACUAAACUUGCCCUCAGAGUAUAUAUAAAAGGUGAAUCACAAUCUAUUGCAUUAAUAUAAGGAAACAAUUUAUAGGGUUUGACGGGUGACUUAAUAUGCUAUAUGGCACAAUGAAAAUUAAGUUCACACUUUAUCCCAAAUAAGGUGUUGCACCUUUAAUUUAUGGAUGCUGGUUUGACGUGUGACCGAAAUAAUCAAAUUGUAGCCAUUAAUCAUUUUACAAGUAAUAAUAUGUGGUUUUAUUGUUUACGAUUCACACAACAAUCUGCUAGGAAGUAGAAAAUGCAGUACUUGUCCCUCUCACAGAAGUCAUGAAUAAUUAUCAAAUUCAAAGAUAAAGAAAAACCACACAAUUUACAAGAGGAAAGAAAAUGAAGGGAUAAAGAAAGUAAGAAAGGAAUACCUCUAUGGGAGGACUCUUAUUUGCUUCAGAUGCCUACAAUAUUCAUCAUAUAAACACUGAUUAAGUAGUCAUCGAAAACCAAAACAAAUGUCGAACAUAGGGUGAAAAACAGAAAGAAUAACCGCAGCUCAUCAUACCAAUAGAGAUAGAACUGCCCGAUGCCCAAGUAUGACUGAAAAAUGGCAAUCCAAACAUGGCGCCUUCUAGCUCAUCAAACUGUCAAAACCUAGGUUCCACCAAAAAGAUACAAGUCACCUAGUUACUUGUAAAAUAAAAAUCUGUUUCAAAAUAGUGGAAAAUAUUAUUAACAUUGUUCAAAGUCCACAUUGUUGUACCUACCAAGAAACAAGAAGGAUUGUAUCUUAUCAUGAAAAAGAACAUAGGUACCUUUUCAAUUGUAAUUGUACAAAAAUGAGAGACCACUUCCGAACUUCUCUUGGAACUUCAAUCAAUUUCUGCCCACUUUUAAAUGCCUUGACAUACUUAAGCCUAUUUCUUUGAGCUUCAGUUUUGGCUUCUGAUGCCUUUAAAUUUCUUAAAGAUUCUUACCAAGUUUUACAAACUCACUUCUAUACAACCAUUUGUCAGUAUACAUACCAUUUUCUUUGAGCUUCAGUCUUUGCAACACCAAAACCCCCCAAAUAGACCCGGAAUUUUGCAAUGUGCAGGGAAUAUACAAAAAAAACCCUCCUAUCCAUCUAAAACGAAAUCAGAACGCAAACCACAAUCAAAAUCCGUAAAAUUAAUUUAGCCAACCCCUAAAUCUAAUAAUUCUAACAAAUAUUAUAGUAUCAAUUGAGAGAGAAUUUGAGAAGAUACCUAGAGAUGAAAGGAAGAGCGUUUCCUCUGAUAGGGGUUCCGUGAAAGCAUCUGUUGACCAGAAAAGAAAAGGCAAAAAACCCCAAAUUACAUAUCAAGCAAUUAUAGAUAGAUCGAACCUUGAAAAUUGAAAUUUCAAACAAGAGAAAGGUUAUAAACUUACAACGAUCUGGGUGUUGGUAACUGGGUUUGGAUUUGGGUUUCUGAUAAGAGAGAGAAUCGUAUGAGGAACCGAUAGAGGAACUGCACCGGCAACAGAGAGCAAUUGAUAUGGUGGAGAACAGACGAGAAUAGCUGCUUGGAUGGUCAAUCCAAGAAGAGAAAAUCUUGCCACAAUCGCGGUACUUGAAAAAAAAAAAAACAAGUUUAAAGGAGGGAAACAAUCGCGCCUUUUUCUAAUAGACUCUGUCGACGAUAUUCUUGACAAAUAGAUGCUUCGUCGGGUGAGCUUAUUUUUCACAACAUUUUAUUUAGGAUUGGGUUCGGUUGGUAAACCGUGUCAAAUUUCUUGUGCCACUUGCCAGCCACAUAUACAUAAUUACCGAAAAUCAGUUACCGUUAGCCAACCGUCUUCUUGCGGUUGCCAAAAAUCGGUUCAGCCAAAAUGAUUGGCUGGUUCGGUUGGUAAAUGGCACAACCGGUGGUUUCCACUUCUUCCUCGCUAUCUUCCAGUUCCAAGGGCUCAAUUUGAUUUUCAGAUUGGGAUGCUUGUUCGGUUGCAUUGUGUGGUUCAUUUUGGGUUAAUCCAUGUUGUGCACUAGUAGUUGAUUGGCUAGACUCCAUUAUCCUAAACAUAAGCAACAAAUAUACAUUCAAAAUAAUAUAUAUGUACGUGUAUAUAUAGUAUCAGUAAUCAUCAUGCUAUCAAUUUUGUUAACAAUAUUUUCUAUAUAUUGAUUUUGGCAUGAAUCAUAUACACAUACAUAUAUUUUUAAAACCCUAAAACUAAGGAGUCAUUUAUUUUCUAAACUCUAAAAUUGAGGAGUCAAGCAUGUAAAAAAAUACUUAAAAUAUCUAAAUAGAAAAAGAAAAAGAAAAAAAAAUAAAUAUAUAUAUAUAUCGGUAGGUAUGGCAUACCGCCGGCAUACAAAAUCAAUUACCAAAGCCAUGCCAUUAAUUGUCGGUUCGGUAAAAUGCCAACCGAUUAUGAAAAAAUGUCAAAACUAUACCAUACCAUUUUGAGCCAACCAGUAUGGUUUGGUCAGUAAAUCGGUUUAUGGCAAAAUUUCUCACCCCUAAUUUUAUUUGUCACCUUAAACCUAUUGGUUUCUAGCCUACAAUUCGGAUAUUUUGUUGGGGAAAGAUUUUUGUACCAAUAAAAUUUUGCUUUGUCGGCAAAAUGACAUUUUCUAGUAGUUAUAAUAUUAGGUAGAUCAAAUUUGUAAACUAUGUGAUGUGUCACUAAUAGGAAAAAAUUUCAGUGUGCUGAAAAUACGGUCUAGAACACCAAGUGUCAUAAUAUAUACUUGGUUGGAAAUCUUUUAUUUUCAAGUUUCCAACUAGUUGUAUUGUAACAGUUGGUGUUCCAAGCUAUUUUCUCCAUGCGCUGGAAAAUCUCUUCACUAAUUAAAAAUAAACAUAUUAAUUAACACUUAAGUAAUAAUCAAAGCAUCAACAACUACGUCAUAGAAUUUACGAAAUAUGAUCUUAAUUAAUGAUCUCCAUUACCCUUUAUCUUAGCGUAUACGUACGCCUUCACAUGUUUAUUUGCUGAUAUGCAGCUUGAGUAAAAAUUUCUUUUUAAGAACAUAUAUGUGAAUAUAAACAUAUAUAUCUAGUGAUCCAUGUUGCGUUAUUUAAAAAUAAACAAAUUAAUUAAUUAAUGAACUGUGUACCUGUCUGUGUAGAGUAAUCCAUAUGCAUGCUUGAAUCCUGAUCACCACGAAACCAUAAUAUAAGCUACUCAAGGCCCGGAAGCUAGGAUUGAAGAGAAAAACACCCAGUCAGAUUAAGCCAAUACAUCAAAGUUAAUACUUCCAAAUGUAAGCUUUAAGAUAGAAAAAUCACUUACUUCCUUGAGCAGUCGAGCUUCUUCAAUGGCAUGAAGCUUUUAGCAUGAGAUUGACUGCAUCACAACUAAAAUUUUCUCUUGGAAACUACAUAAGGAAUAGCAUGUAUACCUAUAACGUUGAGAAAGUACGCCAAUUUUUUCCUUCUGCACAUUCAUGUUUAAAAGUAAUCCUCAAAUGAACUUGCCCACAAUGAAAUGCAAUUUGAGGUAGUCGAGUGUGUUCCAUUUCCAUCCCAUCGGAAUUACUACUAAACUUUGAGAUGGUAGAGGAUUCAUGAAAUUUUUUACUUUUGAAAUAGUCUCCUUAGCAUUUCUCGACUAUAACAAUGAGGAAAUACUUCACCUUGUAUCAAACAAGGGAGACCGAAAAUCAACUACUAAUAGCAUCACAGAGCCAGCAGAAGAUUGAGGAGGCCAUGAAAAGGAAAGAGAAAAUACACUCUUUUUUUGUAAGGACAGAGAUAAUACAUUCAAUAAAGGGUACUGAUGUUUAUAUGCAAAGCUGAUUAGGUUUAAAUAGUCGUAUUUAUUCUGUACAGUGCCAAUAUUACCACCCGUUAGUACACUUUCAAGACACUGUAAUCCAGUGUAUGCACUAUGCAGUACGUAGUACUCCUCAUUUUUUUGGGGAAAUUCAUUAUUGGUCUUCAUAUCUUCUUUAUUUUCCUUGUCCUCAUUGUGCCACGUGUUUAAAUCACUAAUUAUAGGUAAUCUUUCAAUUUAAUUAAAUCUUAUGUAAAAAAAGAUAAUUAAAUAUCAUUUAGUAUUACAAUAUAGUGAUAUUCCUCUUUAGUAUAAAAUUUUUAUAAUUAAAAGCGUUCAGCUUUUUAAUCUUCAUUGGAAUAUUAUCUAUAAAGAAAAAUUAUUCGAAUCAGAGAUCAUUUAUGCAUUCAAAUGUAUAAAAUACAUCGACAGUGUGAGAACCAACUAAUAUAUUUUUGAUGAAGUACAAUUAUUGAAUACAUUUGAACGAUCAAAUGAUAUAUGAUUCAAAAUACAUAUUAAGAUAAUAAAUAUAAAAGAAUUGUUAUUUGCACUUCAAGAAUCUCAUUCUACACUCUAAAUUUUCUAUAUAUUAAAAGAAAAAUAAAUUUGUGAAAAGUGUAGAAUGAGGUUUUUUUAAAUGCUAAUAACACUUCUCUAAAUACAAUUAUGAAAUUAAUUAAGUAAAGAUACAUGACCUCGUGAAUGAUGAAUGUAUUAUUCAAAAAAAUAUUAAAAACAAAUUGAAAAAGGACGCUGUUGUUGCCACCACUUAUGCAAUGAUCGUCGCUGCCAUCACCAACCCCCAACACCCCAUUACAGCUCAUAAAAGCACAUCAUAAGCAAUUUAUGAAAUAAAUUUACUGGAAUACUAAUUUCCCCCUUAGUUUAGGUCACCAAUGUUUAAAUUUAGGGAUCGUGAUAUCCACACACAUUUUUUACUUCUUUCACACUUUUUUUUUCGGUUGUCGGAUCAGAUGAAUUGAAGAAAAUCAAUGAACAGAAAUUAACAAGGGGUGUGUGAGAAGUAAAAAUGAAUGUGUGGAUAACACACCCCUAAAUUUAUCACAACUUUCAUUCCAAAUUUAAUUUUUAUCCGUAGUUUUGUUUGUUCAAAUUUACUUUGACAUUUCCAUUAGUAUUAAAAUCUAAUUUAAAUUUUAGUGUUCAAGCUAGAAAAAGUGUUCCAUUUAAUAUUUAAUCUCAGUUUUUCUCUUUAUUCUUUUAUUGGGAUUUGGUUGCAUCGUAUCUCCAUUUUUCUCGGUGUUGUAUGUUCAUAAGGCCUGUGAAACGUUGGCACGGAGUGAAGGGUACUCACUUUUUGGCCCAAAAUGCAUAAGGCAUGUAGAUAUGUUAAUCAAAUUUUGUAAACUAAAGGAUAUAGAAGUUGAUAAUUAGAUUAUAAUUUAAGAUAAUACUAAGGAGACUAAAUUUGCAAACUAAAUGAUGUGUCACCAAUAAAAAUAAGCACGUUUAUCAACAAUUAAGUAAUAAAUCAAUCAUCAACUUUCAUGUCCUUUAGUUUCCAAGAUUUAAUAUACAAAUUUAGUCUCCCAAGCAUUACUCUAUUACUUAAGUAUUGAUUAACAGACUUAUUUCUUAUGGUGACACAUUAUUUAGUUUACAAUUUUAGUCUACCCAACAUUACUCUUUUGAAAUUGUCUUGUCCACUGAUAUAAUUCUAUUUUUCUUGUGAUCAAAACUUCAAAUGUUAGCAAGUCGCACGUAAAGUCGCUUAUGAGAGAAUGUGCUCACAUUGUAGUUGAAAGAUUAUGUGGCUAGCAACAUUACAAAUUUAAUUUGGUAUAAUUCUAAAAUAUAGAUUGAGGAAAAAAUGAUCACAUUAACUAGAAACUGAAAAGGUUUCAGCACAGUUUGUUCAAGCAAGAAAUUCAAUUUUGAUGCUACCGAUCUUAACAGCCUGAGCGCCGUACCUGGGCACCAAAGUCACCACCACACUCUCAUCAUCUUCAGCACCCAAAUCCUCCAACAGGUCCGUUAACCCCAACCUUAAACAACUCUUGCUCUUUUCCUUCUGCUUAUGUGGCACACUCACAAAACUCCCAGCAAACUCGCUCUUGUCGGGUCCACUCGGUGCCGCAUCCUCAUCGUCCACGUCAUUCACAUACACACAUCAAACUUCACAGCCACAUCUUUGUCAAGCUCAAUCCCCUGAAUCACCAAUAUCUCCUCCUCAUCCUCUUUCUCCUUCUUGCUCCUCUUCUUCGGCUUCGGCCUUGACACCACCGUACUUAUCUUCGUCUCCAAAUUUAUUGGAAAAUCUUUACCCGCCACCACCUUCCCUGAUGACGUCGUCUCAGUGGCCUUCGCCACUCCAGCCGCCUUUGCCUUUCUCGCAAGCUUUGUCCGACGUGGCGUCGGUCUAGACUUGAGCCAUGGAAUCUCAACAUCUUCAUACGUAUACCCUAGCUUUUUAUUAUCAAGAGUGUCCCUCACCGUGACCCUAACAAGCUCAGCAUUCUCGUCAUAAAACAAAAACCCCGUAUCCAACCAAUCCUUAUCGUUAAUAUCGUUAUUUUUAGUCCCUAUACUUUUCCAAAUAUUCCACAUUCGAUCUAUAUUCGAAUGGUGCGAAAAAAAUAUUGGAUCCCUUGCAGCGGAGUAAAAAUUCCCCAUGUCUUCAAAAUUAGGCUGCGUGUUAUCUCCGGUCCAUAAAUGAACCGGACCAUGUGGGGUCGUUUCGAUUGAACCGCCCCCUGGAUCUGGUUCAGUGUCAGCCCUGUAGGGCGAACCAAAGAACAACAGCGGUUUCUUGGAGUUGGAAACCAUCUGCCUAUACAUGAUUUUGAGGUUGGCGUCGAUUUGAGCAUCCUUGGACAUUGUUUCAUCCGUGCCGUUGAAGUCAAGAUCGAUGAGAGUCGGCGGCUGAUGGCUGGCAGCGCGGAGCUCGUCGUAAAGCGGAGAGUCCGGGUUAGCGAACAAGGCAGGGAGUUGCAUGCCAGCUGGCGCGUCCCAGUUCCAAAACGGCAACGCGAACGUCGGAUCGUCUAUGAGUUUGGCCAAGAUUCUUUCGUAGAAGUAUACGUAGUAACGAUGGAAGGGGAAGAAAAGCCAGCAUUGAUGGAUUUGGAGCUCGAGGUUGGGGAAGCCGACUUGGUCGUACGCGCCGUCGCAAUAGGCACAGUGGAGAUCGGCUUGCUGGGUGAAGCUACGCGGAUCGUCGUCCGGGAGGGCUUUCAUGAGCUCGAUGGCUUUUGAAUAUUUUUCGAUGUAGGCUUUAUCCACGGUGUGAGCUGCCGGCCUGACGCGGAGUUUGGUAGGGGAGGGGAAUUUGAAGUCUACGAUUUUUUGGGACGUUGGCGGGCAACAGUUGAUCGGGACUGCUCCACUUGGAAAGUCCGCAGCUCCGCAUUUGGCUAGGUCAGGCGGCAACACUGGCUUUGCAACAGCGAAGGGGUCGCUGCCAAGACCAGCCACUCCGGCUUUGCAACAGCGAAGGGGUCGCUGCCAAGACCAGCCACUCCACCGUAGAGGCUUCCGAGACCUAUAAGAAGAUAGAAUUCAGUUCUUGGCAGUAGAGGACUCUAUUGCAGGGAAAAACUGAUUUGAAUUAGGAAGGCUUAAGUAGUUUUCCAUAAGGAUUUUAAUAGGGAAUCCAUAUUCUAAUAUGAGAAGGAUAUGUGUGUACAUAUAUAUAUAUAUAUAUGGCAAUCUCUUCUCUCACAGGUGUGUGCUCUUUUGGAACUAAGCCCUAUUCUUAGUUUGAGUGAUAAAUACCCUGACAGAGAGAAGAAGAAUUGAUGUGCUUUUCAGGUUGAUCGAGAUCCACCAUGACUGCAUCAAACGGGAGUUCUACAGGUUAGUAUAAUUAGGUUUUAUUUGGAUUGAUGUUUUGUGUCUACUUGGUUGUAGUUUAAGUAACUGAAUCUUGCAGCUAGAUUUUGGUUUACAUGUGGUAUCAGAGCCAUAGAUUCAUGUUCUUAAAUUCAAUCGAUAAAAUUGAUUGAAUCCAAAAUAAAAUUCCGAUCUUCAGACUUCGAAACAGGUUCUGGUAGUUAAAAUUAGGAAAAGAAGAAACGGUGCGUUUUGAUUAAAAUAUGAUGAUUAAUACUUGACCGUUAAGAGCUAAUAAACUAUCUUCUCUUCCGAAUUGGGAAUACAAAUCGACAUCUAUCGAUUUCGAUUUCGGGGUUUGAAAAACUGGGUUAUAUGACAUCUAUCGAUUUCGAUUUCGAGGUUUGAAAAACUGGGUUAUAUGAAUUGUUAUUGAGUAUCCACAAUUUAUAUUAAUUGCUUCCGCUGCUGGGUGUUGAUGCUCAUAGAACAAACGGGUAUGUCUCCUGAACAUUGAAUUGAAAUUUGUUUUUUAAUCAAUCUUAUCUUGAAUUUCAUUAUGUUCUACAGCAUGAUUCGAAUAGUGAGCAUAAAAAUAUGCUUAUUUAUGCUGAUUAGUCCUAUGUUUAUGCGUUUUUCUCUAACCAUCUAUGGAAGGGAGUUCUUCGAUAAGAACCUCUGCAGAUUUCACUUGUUUUAUGCAGAAAGUUUUAUGAAGAACUGUUCAUUUGAUAAAGAUCUGCUAAAACUGUGUUCUUAAAUGGAAAAAUCUUUUAUUCUAUAUGUGCUUAUCAAUUCUUCAUUGUUAAGAUUAUAUAUAUGGAUAAAAGGUUUUGAUGAUAUGAUGUACAAAGGAUUGUGAGAUGAAAUCUGGAACUCUAAACGUUCUUCUGUGAUUCAUUGUGAUUUCAUUGUGCUACAGUGUCUGCAAUAUCAAUGAAGACUCUGAAUUUGGCUAACAUCCCAAUUCUUACUGGUGGGGGAAAUUACAAGAAGUGGAGAAGGGAAAUCAGUUUGCUGUUGACUCUAAACGAGUUUGAUAUAGCAAUCGAGAAUCCCAAACCCGUGGUCAAUGAUCAGAGCAGCACAAGGGCUGAAAAGGCAGAUUUUGAGAGAUGGACAAGGGCUAAUAAGGUAGCAUUGUCCAUCCUUGAGAGUGGCAUGACUGAUACAAUCAGAUGAGGAAUUAAGAAGCACGAUUUGGCUGCUGAUUACCUAAAAGCUAUUGAAAAGAAAUUUCAAGAAUCUGAAAAAGCUGAAGUGAGUCAGUAUAUGUCUUUAUUAACUACUUACAAGAUGGAGGGUACAAGCUCUAUAAGGGAUCACAUAAUGAAGAUGACAUAUGCUGCAGAAAGACUCAAUGCAAUGGAUAUAAACAUAGGUGAAAAGCAGUUAGUAUUCAUGAUUCUUCAAGCACUUCCCAGUAAAUAUAGUCAGUUGAAGAUCUCCUACAAUACUCAAGACAAAAACUGGGAUAUUGAUCAGUUGAUUGCACAGUGUGUGCAAGAAGAAACUCGUCAAAAACAAGAAAGAGGCAAAGAAGUUGAGGACAUCAACUUUGUGCAAACUAUAAAUGACAAAAAGCAGUUCAACAACAGAAGCUUUUCUGGUUCUGGUAAGAGUUCUAAGCCUUUUAAAACUUCUAAUAAGUUCAGUAAUUCUGCUAAAGUAGUUGACUCCCCUAGAAAAUCUAUCAAGUUUAAAGCUAAACCUAAAGAUGUGUCUAAAUUAAAAAUGUUUUUGGUGCAAAACUAAGGGCCAUUUAAAAGUUAACUGUGAAAUUUUCAAAGAUUAUGUAAAGAGCAAAGAAAAGGAACAAGUACUUGUCUGUAUUGAAUCAAAUUUGUGAAGUAUACCUGUUGAUUCUUGGUGGUUUUGAUAUACCGGAUGCUCAGUGCAUAUAACUAAUUCUUUAAAUGGUUUUCAAAAACAAAAGGAAUUUGGAAAUGCUACAUAUAAUGUUUUUGUUGGGGAAGGAACUAAAGUUGCAGUAGAGUCAAUUGGGAUAGUCAAAUUAGUCUUAUGUUCUGGUUAUGUUUUAGAGUUGAAAGAUGUGUGCUAUAUGUGCCUAAGAUGAGAAGAAACUUAAUUUCUGCCCUCUAAAAUUGUAAAAGAUGGUUUUUCUUUUCUUGGUGAUGAUGAGUGCCUCAAAAAUUUUCAAGAAAAACUGUCCUUGUCCUAACACUAUUUUAGGGACUGCUUUUUUGUCUGAUAAUUUAUGGAAUCUAAAUUGCACUGUUAAGGCACUCAAUCACACGAUUUUCAGCAUUAGUACUAAGAGAAUGAUAGGUCAGGAUACUUCAUACAUUUUAUGGCACAAAAGACUAGGACACAUCUCUAAAGAAAGGAUAAUUAAGCUGUAAAAAACUGACUUGAUUCCAAAAUUAGAUCUUUCUACUGCAACUGAAUGUGUUGACUGCCUAAAGGGUAAAAUGACCAAUUUUAGAAAAACAGAUGCCAAAAUGAGCCAGGGGUUACUUGAAAUCAUACACACUGAUAUCUGUGGUCCUUUUCCAGUUAAGACAAUAUGUGGAAACAAGUAUUUCAUUAAUUUCAUAGAUGAUUUUUCAAGGCUGGGAUAUACCUUUCUGAUUAAUGAAAAAGCUGAUGCCCUUAAGUGUUUUAUAAUUUACAAAACUGAGGUUGAAAAACAGUUAGGCAAGGUUAUUAAAAUUGUUAGAUCGGAUAGGGGAGGUGAAUACUUUGGCAGGUACACUGAAUCCGGGCAGCAAAAGGGACCAUUUGCUCUCUAUCUCGAGAAGAAUGGUAUUGUGGCGCAGUACACCACACCUGGAACGCCUCAACAGAAUGGUGUUUUUGAAAGAAGAAACAGGACUCUUAUUGGUAUGGUUAGAAGCAUGAUGUCCAGAUCAAAAUUGCCAGGAUUCUUGUGGGGAGAAGCUUUGAAAACAGCUAAUCAUAUAUUGAAUCGAGUUCCAAGCAAGGCAGUAUCUACCACACCCUAUGAGUUAUGGCAUGGGAGAGUUCCUAGUUUUACUUAUUUCCAUGUUUGGGGUUGUAAAGCAGAAGCUAAGUUAUAUAAUCCUAAUGAAAGAAAGCUGGAUUCAAGGACUCAGUCAUGUUAUUUUAUUGGCUAUCCUGAGAAAUCAAAAGGAUACAGGUUCUAUAUCCCUCAAGGUCACACUCGGAUCCAAGAGACACACAAUGCAGUUUUCCUAGAAGAUGAAGAUGUCUCUCAUUUGUCAAGGGAAAAUUUCAUAUUUGAAGAGAUGCAUUCAGAUGGUGGGGACCAUGUGACAAUGGAUUAUAAUAUCGGUCUCAUUGUUUCCCAAUCAAUCAUCAAUUGCCAUUGAAGAUAUGAGUGAAGAUUUAGGAGUUCCUGAUGACAACUCUGUAGGAGUUGAUUCCACAACAUAAGCUGCAACAAUUCCUUUUGCAGAAGCAUGUGAACCAGUUGCUGUUCCACCUCCAGUUGAAAUCAGAAGGUCACAAAGAGCUCGGAAAACCACUGCAAGCAAUGACUAUGUGUACUUAUAAGAGACUGAGUUCGAUAUUGGUGACAUUUGAUGAUCCUCUUACAUAUACUCAGGCAACUGAAAGUCCUCAAGCAGUUCUUUGGAACAAUGCAAUGAAGGAUGAGUUAGAUUCAAUGUCCAAAAACCAGGUUUGGACAUUGGUGGAAUCCAACUCUGAAAUUAGGCCAAUAGGCUGCAAGUGGGUAUAUAAAACCAAAAGGGAUGCUGCUGGAAGAAUUGAAAGAUAUAAAGCAAGGUUGGUUGCUAAGGGGUUUACUCAAACGGAGGGGAUCGACUAUAAUGAUACUUUCUCUCCAGUUUCCUCCAAAGACUCCAUGCGAGUUAUCAUGUCUUUAGCUGCCUACUUCGAUCUUGAAUUACAUCAAAUGGAUGUAAAAACCGCUUUUCUUAACGGAGACUUACAAGAGGCUAUAUACAUGAAACAACCUGUUGGAUUUGUUGAAAAGGGGAAAGAGAAUUUAGUAUGCAAGCUCAAUAAGUCCAUAUACGGCUUGAAACAAGCAUCAAGGCAAUGGUACCUAAAGUUUGAUCAAAUUGUCUCUGCAUAAGGUUUUGUAGAAAACAAACUGGAUGAUUGUAUAUACAUUAAGUUCUCAGGUUCCGAGUUCAUCUUCUUAGUACUUUAUGUUGAUGCCAUUCUCCUAGCUAGUUCAUGUCCCCAAUUGCUUCAUAGCAUUAAGAGAAUGCUAAGUGAUAACUUUGAGAUGAAAGAUCUUGGAGAAGCACAUUAUGUACUAGGAAUAGAGAUUGUUCGAGAUAGGAAAAUGAGGCUCCUUGGUUUAUCUCAAAAGGGGUACAUUGACAGAGUGUUGGAGAAAUUUCAUAUGGCAAAUUGCAAUUGUGGUCAGGUUCCAGUCAAUAAAGGUGACAAGUUUUCGAAGAUUCAAUGUCCAAGAUCUGAUUUGGAGGUGAAGAAAAUGCAAGCUAAGCCUUAUGCCUCGUUGAUUGGAAGUCUUAUGUAUGCAACUAUCUGUACAAGGCCUGAUAUUGCCUUCAUAGUUGGUAUGCUAAGACGAUUUCAAGCAAAUCCUGAGAAGCACAUUGGGGGUGGCAGCCAAGAAGGUUCUUCGAUACUUGCAGAGAACCAAAACUCACAUGUUAGUAUAAUGGCCGAACUGAUUCUUUGGAGCUCAGGGGGUAUAUACUCGGAUUUAGCUGGAGAUGUGGAUGACAGGAAGUCCACAGGGGUUAUAUCUUCAUACUCAAUGGAGGGGCAGUUUCGUGGAAAAAUGCAAAGCAAACUAUUAUAGCCACAUCAACUAUGGAAGCUGAGUUUGUAGCCUGUUUUGAAGGCAUGAAACAGGCAGCAUGGUUGAAGAAUUUUUUGACAGAUUUAAAGAUUGUGAAUUCGGUUCAGAAACCAGUAACAAUGUUCUGUGAUAAACAACUCGGCUGUGUUUUUUGCUAAGAAUAAUAAAAGGACUUCAGCAUCUAGAUUUGGAUGGACGAAGUUUCUUAAGGUCAGAGAACAAGUCAAGAAAGGAGUUAUUGAAGUACAGCACAUUAGCACUACUAUGAUGAUUGCUGAUCCCUUGACUAAGGCACUGCCAAUUGGAGAAUUCAAGAAACAUGUUUCUUCAAUAGGAGUACUAGAAGGUUUUGAUCAGUGGGAGUAAUCACGUGUGUGUUAAAGGCUUGGGAUUGCAGAAGCAGAAGUAUAUAUGUGUUUCAAGAACUGUAUGUGCAAUUCUGACAAGCUGAACUAAGGAUGCUUUAUGUUUUAACUUGCUUUAGUUAGUUUGUUAAGGUUGUUUGUGUUUUAAUAAGUGUCCUUGUCUGCUACUCAAUACUUUGGCUUUCAGGUGUUGAGGUACGGAUACUGGACUGAGUUAGAAUUUAGUUUCAUUAGUAACUUUGAAAGAACAGUUUGUCUGUUUUUUAAGUUUGUGGUUAAUGAUGUUAUAUAGUCAAUUACUAUGUUGCUUUUCUGUGAAGAUUAAUGUGUGUUGUGAUCUUUUGAAAAGUGGGAGCAUAAUGUUUGACGGUUUAUGUUAGUCAUGAGUCAUAUUUACAAAUUGAAUAUAUGUGAGCCUUGAAUUAAUACUACAAUUUGGUUGUGGUCUGAGAUUCUUGGUUUCUAUAUUUUGAGAUGUAAUGGGACAGUGGUCAUGAUGGUUAAAUCUUAGAUGAGGUUAUGUGAUCACUUCUUAUGAUUGGUGACGGCAAGGUUUGAUCUUUGUCUCAUGUUCAAGUGGGAGAAUGUAAGAAUGUGAACAUGAGAUAAGAUGAUCGGAUAUUAGUUGUUUGAGUCCAAUCCGAAUAAGAAAGCCUCUAAGAAGAUGGAAUUCAGUUCUUGGCAGUAGAGGACUCUAUUGCAGGGAAAAACUGAUUUGAAUUAGGAAGGCUUAAGUAGUUUUCCAUAAGGAUUUUAAUAGGGAAUCCAUAUUCUAAUAUGAGAAGGAUAUGUGUGUACAUAUAUAUAUAUAUAUGGCAAUCUCUUCUCUCACAGGUGUGUGCUCUUUUGGAACUAAGCCCUAUUCUUAGUUUGAGUGAUAAAUACCCUGACAGAGAGAAGAAGAAUUGUUGUGCUUUUCAGGUUGAUCGAGAUCCACCAUGACUGCAUCAAACGGGAGUUCUACAGGUUAGUAUAAUUAGGUUUAUUUGGAUUGAUGUUUUGUGUCUACUUGGUUGUAGUUUAAGUAACUGAAUCUUGCAGCUAGAUUUUGGUUUACAUAUUUUUCGAUGUAGGCUUUAUCCACGGUGUGAGCUGCCGGCCUGACGCGGAGUUUGGUAGGGGAGGGGAAUUUGAAGUCUACGAUUUUUUGGGACGUUGGCGGGCAACAGUUGGUCGGGACUGCUCCACUUGGAAAGUCCGCAGCUCCGCAUUUGGCUAGGUCAGGCGGCAACACUGGCUUUGCAACAGCGAAGGGGUCGCUGCCAAGACCAACCACUCCGGCUUUGCAACAGCGAAGGGGUCGCUGCCAAGACCAGCCACUCCACCGUAGAGGCUUCCGAGACCUAUAAGUACAUUUCUUCUGUCUAGGUUUACUAGAGAAGGGUUUUCAUGGUCGUGAUCGUUGGAGCUAGUGGAAGGGUUUUUGUUUUGGUCACUACUAUUAUUUGUGGCUUUGCACGAGACAGCUUGUAAAUUGGAAUGCCUAGGGUUUCCAAAUGAGGAUAUUCGGUGAUACUUUUGGGAGAAAGGGGAGAGAGAAGUUGUGGGGAUGAUACUUGUGGCGGAGGUGACGAGUGGAGCUGACAUAGAAGCCAUGGUACUUGACUCUGAAUAAUACGUUGUAUUGGCUUUGCUUUUAUAAUGUGUUCUAGGUUUUACGUUUCUUUGCACGGGUGGCAGGCCGUACACACGUGGUCGGUCCUUAAGGGUUUGACGAGGAAUACUACGCAGUCAUUUAGUACAUGACAACCAUACACUAUAGCACGUGGCAUGUAUUUAGAGAUCGAGAGAGAAUUGGGUAAGGUUCACGAGGGAUUGUAGUUUCAGAAGGUGAAUUGGUUUUGGUCUUCUUGUGUACCAAUAAUUUUUACUUAGUCAUUUAGUGCAGGACAACCAUGCACUAUAGCACGUGGCAUGUAUUCAGAGAUCGAGAGAGAAUUGGUUGGGUAAGGUUCACGAGGGAUUGUAGUUUCAGAAGUUCAAGCGGUUUUGGGCUUGUUGUGUACGGCUGUGGGUCUGCUGUCACGGACUCUCUGUCUCAUUUGUGUCUUAUUUUUUAUUUUUUGACACGUUUUAACGUCAAAUCAUUAUAGCAAUGUUAUGCAAUUGGGAGCUAAAUGACCGAUGCUCUUAUUUUUUAGUUUGCUUUUUUUCCAGAUCUGAUCAAAUCAUGAUAGCAAUGUUAUGCAAUUUUCAAGAGGGAGAGAUGCACCUGGGAGAGAAACGGUACGGUGACUUCUAAAUCACCGUCCAACAGAACAAUUCUCAGUAGAGACUACUAGAGAGAGAUGCACCUCACCAAUGAAAAAUUUAACUGCAAAAAUUCUGGGUAUCGGGAGUUGUGGGGUGGGUCUUGGCAGUUUUCUUAUUUCUUUGAAUUUUUUAUAAUUUAUUUUAUAAAAGUAACAGUGUUUUGUGGGGGUUAAAUUGUAAAACACGUGUCAUCAAACUAAAUAAAGAGACACCAAAGAGACAUGGAAUUCGGGACAACAGACCCACAGCCGUUGUGUACGGAGGCAGACUCUCUGCUCUCCUACUUUCUGUGUCCUCCUGUUUUGUGUAGUCACGAUUAAAUCACGUCAAUAUUUUAUAUUAUUAUUUUAUAGAUAUAAUAAGACAAAAAAGAAUAGUAAUUUAAAAUAUUAACGUGACUUAACUGUGACCACACGAAUAGGAAGGCAUGAGAAGUGGGAAGGCAAAGAAUAUGCCUCCGUUGUGUACCAAUAAUAUUAUAUAUAUAUAUAUAUAUAUAUAUAUAAUUAGGAUUGAAGGAUGUAGAGCUUAUUUUGUUAUGUAUUCUAACAAUUUAAGUGCUUAUCUUUUAGGUUUUCUCUUAAACAGCAUGCCUAUAAAAAAUCACCAAAAUUCAAACCAUAUGACCAUUAGAUCCAUAGUCAUUUUAGUGUUAAAUGAACUUCACAAAAUAAGUCUCAAAAUAUGUAUAAAAAAUGGACAGCGUGAAUGGUUUGGAAAUUGGAAUAGGUUUGGAAAUUGUGCUUUUUGUAGCAAAUUGCAGCAAAGUUUGCUUGGACUUUCACAACCGUAUAAAUUAAACUGUUCGCUUUGUUGGGAAAAACAAGUUUGCCGCUGGUCUUGGGUUCCAAGAUCGGCCAAUUUGACGGCACACUUUUUGGCGUUGAGAAGCAGUACGGAGAUGUGCAGAUUAACUUGGAUUGAUACUCCUCCAUCUUCGUUGGUUCGUGUAUUGAACAAAGAUGGCCUUCCUUGCCCUCCUUAAUAUUUUUUGUUCUUCCUGCAGUGGAGGCGGUGACGCCUUGCUCUUGGUGCAGCGUCUAGUGUUCUGUACCCUCCUCUUCUGCAUAUGUUUGUAUUUCCCCUCGUUGCCCCUUCUAAGUGGGCUUCCUAUUGUUUUGGCUUCGGCCCUGGUUAUGAAAUAUUUCCAAUCUUACCCAAAAAAAAAAAAAAAAAGAAGAAGAAGAAGAAGUCAAGCACGGUGGGAGACUGGUCAUAGUUUCUAGAUUGAUGCUCUAAUUCUAAUGUUAUACAACGCGUACGCUAAAAUAUUUUUAUCAAAAUAUUAGUUUUAGUGUUAUCAAAACAAUAAUGUUAUUCUUACCAUGUUUUUGUAUCACAAUUAUAUACCACCUUAGAUGGCAUAUGAUGUAGAUAGCCACAUCAUUUAAAUUAAUAAGCAUUUAAUUUCAAAUGUUAAUCAAUAAUUAAUAAAAUGAUUGUUAAUUAAAUGAUGAUUAUGGUAUACAAGGAGUCUCCUUCUUCCUUCCCCUUUCCAUUCUGCUUUUUCUUCCUACCACUUUCUGUUUUUUUUUUCAUGCCAGUUUUUGUAUUGAUUUCUAUUGAUUUCCAUGAUUAUGGUCAAUCUUUAUAGAAUUUACUCGUAUACCACAACCACCAUUGAUUUCUAUCUCUAGACUCAUGCCCCGUAGCCCUAAUCCUCAUUCCCCUUCAAGUAUUUCUGUCUCCAAUCUUCUUUGGUACUCCAUGGUUGUUCAUCUCGUGAUUUUUUUUUAUUAUUUCAUUAAGUAACGCCUAUUAGCUUUCAUGCGAAUUAGGAGUCAAAAUCAAAUUUGUCUAUCGGAUUAGGGUUCAUGCCCAAUUAAGUUACUAACGCAAGAGAGAUUUUGAAGUCUACAAUUUUCCUUAUUUAAGUGUUUUAAUUAAUAAGAAAAUUGAAAUUAAACGAUUUAGCUUGUCCAACUCAUCUGCCACCUAAGAUGGUAAAUAAAUGUGGUAAGAAUAGCAUUACUCUUAUCGAAAUUACAAAAAAAAAAAAAAAAAAAAAAAAAAGCUGAUUCAAUAUUUAGUUAUUAAAAAAAAUAUAAAAAAAGUGAUCAAGUAACUAUCCAAUACCCAUGUAUUGGGUGCUUUGUUUGAAAAUUUUCAAAAUGAUAUUGGGCUCGUUUGGAUAUGUUUUUAAAAUGACUGAAAGCGUUUUUAGAGAAAAUAUUUUUUUGAUUCCAAAAGCACUUAAAGUGUUUUCUGCAAAAAGCACUUAAAGUGCUUUCUGCAAAAAGCACCAGUUAUGUGCUUCUUCCUAGAAGCACUUUAAGUGUUUUUCAAGCAUUUACUUGCUUUUUUACUAAGGAUUGGUUCCAAAAACAUUUUCACAAAAAGUGUUUUCAGUCAUUUUAAAAGUACAUUCAAACGAGCUCAUUGUUUUUCCUAUUUUAAUCAAGUGCGUCGUCCCCUGUUGAGAAUGAAUCUCAUAUUAUGGGGAGAGGGGUCUUGCAUGGAUGAGAGGAGGGACCUUGCAUGAGCUUAUAAGUAAGUUGGGUUACUCUCUAUAUUGCCAAGAGAAAUUUUAUUUGGACCUACUUUUCCUCUCUCUAAACCCAACUUUAAUAUUUUGUUACCUAAACUCUCUAGUUUACCCUCAUAAAUUAUAAACAUAAAUAAACUGGAAAAAGAAAAACUCAUCAAACCUAUUUCCCAACUGUUCUGGCGUCUCUUCCCUGUAUUUGUUGGGUCUAUCUCCCUCCCGACUGUUUUUUUUCCCUGAUAUUCUCUGUGUGUUCCCCCACCUCUCCCACACCCACCGAUUCUUUGUGGUGGCUAUUCCACCCAACGUCCAGUGAAUCUUUCCAUUUUUCUUCUAUUGCGCGUGAUAGGGCCUUGCUGUUAAUAGGCAAAACUAAGCGGCAUCGUCGACUCUGUAAGCGACUUGUUGCAGAAGUCCAAAAUGGAGUCAAAAGGAUUUUGUAUUGGGUCGGGUUGUUGAAGGCGAUGGCUGAUUUAGCAAUCUCGCCUAACUACUUCUAUAUGCAGGAGAAGGAAGAGGGAGGAAGGUCUAAAGUGGUGGUUGAGUGGUGGCGAUGUAUGUGGGUUCUAUCUCGGUUGAAUGGGUGUAGAAAGAUAUUUAAUUUUCAGUUUCUUAUUUUAUUUUGUAUAAGGGAUAAUAUCGGAAUUACAUAAAAAGUUUUUUUUAUAGCUGGGUGUAGAAAUAGUAUUGUUGGGUCUAAAUAAAAUUACCCUAUUGCCAAACAUAGUAUUGUUGGGUCUAAAUAAAAUUACCCUAUUGCCAAUUAGCUUUGUUUGAAAAUUUUCAAAAUGAUAUUGUUUUUACCAUUGAACCCUUGUUAUAUACAGUGAUGGCUAAUUUGUCAAGUUCUACGAAGUUGGGAUACCCAGCGUUUUAGCAUAUAACAUAACUUAGUAUUACAAGCAUAAUUAAUUAAAAUAAAGGAAAAUGAAGAGGAUAGCUUAGUAUUACAAGCAUAAUUAAUUAAAAUAAAGGCAAAAGUAACAGCCUGUCCCUAAAAAUGACGAUUUUAUAAUCUUAACACGUGAGUUUAUGAAGAUGCCCUUCGAGGCAAAGUGUUGACUUGUGUUGACUACCGCAUCGUGUCAUGUGAGACUCAUCUUCUUGGCGUAUUCUCGUUUUACUUGUCACUACGGACGCAUGGGCGCAAACGGGACAUGAUUUGGAGCUAUAACGAAUGAGUUAUUAACAUUUAAAGUUAAGGACAUUUUAGUAAAUUAAUUAAUUUCAGAUUAUGUUGAGGGGAAAAUCUGGAGUGCCGGUGGGUGGCCCAGAUUAAAGGAAAUGAAGAAUGGAUGGUGGAGGUGUAAAGGAAAGAAGAUAAAAGAAAAAUGAGAGGAAGUGUGUGACUAAUAGGGAGAUGAGAGAGUUAGGAUGGCCCAAUCAGAAACAAACGAAAGGAGGAAAAAGGAGAGAAGAGGGGAGCGGGGGAUCCCUUCGACCCGGUUCCAUUUUCCGACCCGACCCGAUCCUUUUCAUCUUCUUUGAUGGUUUUUCGUCGGUUUUUUCCGACGAACCACGUUAUCUAACCCCUUGGAAAAUGUUCCACAACCUUCCCUCAACUAUUACAAUCCAAAAUUGUAGAAAUUUAGCCAUGAAAGUAUGAAAACCACACCGGUGGGUGCGGGAAACCCUUGUCGUCGAUUCUCCCAUUAUUGCAACGAUUUUCACCAAUUACCACCACCUACAACAUCCUCUUGAGGUCUGGAAUAAAGCCCAAACAAGUUUUGCACUACUACAAUAUUAGCUUUAGAUGGCAGAUGAUGGUGGCGGAUUUAGAAAAAUAUUGUCGGAUAAAUUAUAUCUGACACAUUAUUUAAUUAGUGGUGAAUAUAAGAAAAAUCAUGUCGGUUAUAACCGACAUAAAUUCGUGGCAGAUACUAGCAGAUAUUAAAAAACUCAUGUCGGUUAUAACCGACAUAAAUUCCUAGCGAAUAAUUACUGACAGAUAUUAUAAAACUUCUGUCGGUUAUAACCGACAAUAUUUUUGAAUUGGGGGAAUUUAAAAUUUUGGGAGGGAAUUUAAAAUUUUGGGAGGGAAUUUAAAAUUUUGGAGGAAAUUUUGGGGGGAUUUUUACCCAUAUUAAUUCAUGGCGGAUAAUUACUGACGAAUAUUAUAAAGCUCAUGUCGGUUAUAACCAACAAUAAUGAAAAUGUUUAUGUCGAUUUUUAUUAAAAAAAUGUUUCUGUCAGUUUUAACCGACAUUAAUGAAAAUAUUCCACAGUAAAACCCCUACUUCUUCUCCUUGUGCUGGUGCCUUCUCCCUUCCCCCUUCUUUCCCCCUUUUCUCUUCUCCUCAUUUCCUUUUCCUUUGUAUUUUUGAUUUUGACAAGGUCUCUCCUUUAUUUGAUUCUUUGUUGUUCAUCUCUCACAAAUGUAGAGAGAGUAAAGGAGAUGCUUAGAGCGCUUUCUUUGUUCCUUUUUUUUUUCUUUUCAUUUUUUCCCUUUUCAAACUCCGACUAUGUCUUACAUGGCCGGUCCCAAGCCCGGAUAAAGGAGGAGGGGGAGGGCGUCAGGUAGUCGACAGCCGGCACUCCAUGAUCACGUCGAAUCCUUAUGAAAAUGAAUCCAGAACAAAAUCGCGCUAAAGCUAGGGCGCCACCCGUAAGUGGCGCGCUGUGUGGCCCGAGCACAGUGAUAAGUGAGCAAGGGUCGCUGUAUCUCCAUCGGCACUCGGAUGCAGUGUUAAAUGAGCAAGGGGGCCAUAGAAACUUCUUUUCGAACGACUCCACUCAAAGUUGUUUGGGAGCAUAUGCUCCUAUCAACUUUACCCGGGACACACAAAAGAAGUACUUUGAUCCUAUUAGACGGGGGAGGGUGAAGAAGCUAGGACAGAAGGGUAGAGUUCAAGAGAGCAAAAUGCGUUUAGGAACGUGGAAUAUAGGAACCUUAACGGGAAAAUCUAUGGAAGUAGUGGAAGUUAUGGUGAGGAGAAGGAUAAAUAUUAUGUGCCUACAAGAAACUAAGUGGGUUGGUAGUAAGGCAAAGGAUCUAGAAAACUCAGGGUUUAAACUUUGGUAUUCGGGCACAAAUAGAACGAGAAACGGUGUUGGCAUCAUCGUGGACAAGACCUUGGUACAAGAUGUUGUAGAUGUCAAGAGUGUAGGAGAUAGAAUCAUGGCAAUCAAGAUUGUAAUAGGACAAGAACUUAUCAAUGUGAUUAAUGCGUACGCACCUCAAGUAGGGUUGGAUACGAGUUCGAAGGAGAAAUUUUGGGAAGAUCUUGGAGACUUGGUGCAAGGAAUUGCUCAGACGGAGAAGUUAUUUAUAGGAGGAGAUUUAAAUGGACACGUGGGCAGGGAGACAGGCAACUAUGGAGGUUUUCAUGGUGGCCAUGGUUUUGGGGAGAGAAACGAGGAUGGGGAAGCUAUCUUGGAUUUUACAAUGGCAUAUGAUCUCUUCUUAGCCAACACCUUCUUUAAGAAGAGAGAAGAACAUGUGAUCACCUACAAGAGUGGGUCGUCAAAAACACAAAUAGAUUUUCUUCUAAUGAGGAAAGGGGAUCGUAUAACUUGUAAGGAUUGCAAAGUUAUACCAGGAGAGAGCGUGGCUAAUCAACAUCGCUUGUUGGUGAUGGAUGUACAUAUCAAAAGAGUAAGACAAAAGAACAAGACUUGGAAGUGCCCAAGGACUAGAUGGUGGAAUCUAAAAGAAGAAAAACAAGUCAUUUUCAAAGAGAAGGUAAUCACCCAAUGUGUGUGGGAUAGAGAGGGGGAAGCUAGCCAAAUGUGGGAUUUCAUGGCUAGUUGUAUCCGAAAAGUAGCAAAAGAGGUAUUAGGAGAGUCUAAGGGCUUUGCCCCACACUAAAAGGAAUCUUGGUGGUGGAAUGAGGAGGUACAAACAAAGGUGAAGGCUAAGAAGGAAUGUUGUAAAGCCUUAUACAAGGAGAGGACCGAUGAAAAUGGUGAAAGGUAUAGAAAAAAAGCGAAGCAAGAGGCGAAGAAAGCUGUCAGAGAAGCUAAGUUAGCGGCUUACGACGAUAUGUAUAAACGACUAGAUACCAAAGAAGGAGAGUUGGAUAUCUAUAAACUAUCUAGAGCAAAGGAAAAGAAGACAAGGGACCUAAACCAAGUGAGGUGCAUCAAGGAUGAGGAUGGAAAGGUUCUUGCUACAGAGAACGCGGUUAAAGACAGAUGGAGAGGUUAUUUUCAUAAUCUUUUCAAUGAAGGACAUGAAAUGAGUGCUUCUUUAGGGGAGUUGAGUAACUCAGAAGAGUGUAGAAACUACUCUUUUUAUCGUCGAAUCCGGAAGGAAGAAGUGGUUGUAGCUUUGAAGAAGAUGAAGCAUAAAAAAGCAAUAGGCCCAGACAAUAUACCAAUCGAAGUGUGGAAACUUUUGGGAGAGACAGGUAUAACAUGGCUCACUGACCUUUUCAAUAGGAUUUUGAAAACGAAAAAGAUGCCAAAUGAGUGGCGAACGAGCACUUUGGUGCCUAUCUACAAGAAUAAGGGCGACGUACAAAAUUGCAUGAACUAUAGGGGUAUUAAGCUAAUGAGUCAUACAAUGAAGCUCUGGGAGAGAGUCAUUGAGCAUAGAUUGAGGCAAGAGACACGGGUUUCGGACAACCAAUUCGGGUUCAUGCCAGGGCGCUCAACCAUGGAGGCAAUCUAUCUCUUACGAAGAUUGAUGGAAAGAUAUAGAGAUGGGAAAAAUGAUUUACACAUGGUCUUUAUAGAUUUGGAAAAAGCGUAUGAUAGGGUCCCAAGAGACAUUCUUUGGAGGAUUUUAAAGAAGAAAGGAGUACGAGUAGCAUAUAUCCAAGCUAUAAAGGACAUGUAUGAAGAAGCAAAGACUGCCGUAAGAACUCAUGAAGGACAAACCGAAAGCUUUCCCAUAACUGUAGGAUUACAUCAAGGCUCAUCCUUAAGUCCUUACCUUUUUGCGUUGGUAAUGGAUGAGUUAACAGGACAUAUUCAAGAUGAUAUUCCUUGGUGUAUGCUUUUCGCAGACGAUAUAGUGUUGAUAGAUGAAACUCAGGAAGGGGUAAAUGCAAAGCUUAACCUUUGGAGAGAAGUGUUGGAAUCUAAAGGUCUUCGCCUAAGCCGAUCAAAGACAGAAUAUAUGGAGUGCAAGUUCAGUGCAAAUGGAGGCCAAAACGAGUUAGGGGUGAGGAUCGGAGAUCAAGAAAUACCAAAGAGUGACCGUUUUCGUUACCUAGGAUCUAUCUUGCAAAAGAACGGAGAAUUAGAUGGAGAUCUCAACCAUAGAAUACAAGCUGGAUGGAUGAAGUGGAAGAGUGCAUCUGACGUGUUGUGUGACCGUCGUAUGCCACUGAAGCUCAAAGGAAAAUUUUAUAGGACGGCAAUAAGGUCGGCGAUGAUUCAACUUGGCGGGUUCGAGCAAAUAGGCGUUGGGCCAUAUUAGACACAGAACCUGCACACUGAACACUGAGAGCUAGCGAAUCCUUAACAGCUAACUCAUCAGACCGUUUGGAAAGUAGUCUGUUAUCUUUGGGAGUGAGAAGGUUCCUGGCCACCACCGCAGCGGUCAUAUCAUUCUUCAUCACGGAAUCCCCAACGGUAAGAGGACCAGUAGGGGAGACAAAGGAUGGGCGCCAUAUGUUGUCUGGAGAAGGCGGGGCUGCCUCUUCAACAAGGUUCAAGUCAAAAAACGACGGUCGGAGGGCCAGACAUUUUCAAAGGUGUUGAAGAGAGAAGAGGUCGGACACAAAUCAAGAUCUUAGAAGUGCAAGAAUGAAGCUUCUACUGGUGGAGAUUCAAGUGUGCUUUGGAACUUAAUGCCAGCCCCUAUAAAAAUCUGCACUCGACGGAGCUUCAGAAAUCGAAGAGGCGUUUGCUUUCUCAAAAGCUGGGCUGCUUAGAGAUCACGAGGGUUGAUCUCAGGAAUCGAAGAGGCGUUUGCUUUCUCAAAAGUUGGGCUGCUCAAAGACCACGAAGGCCGAUCUCAGAAAUCGAAGAGGCGCUCACUUUCUCAAAAACUGGGCUCCCCAGAGACCACGAGGGCCGAUCUCAAAAAUCGAAGAGGCACCUACUUUUCCAGCCUUGUCAGCACCUGUCACACGCACACUCAGCUUUGCGGAAAUUAUGGGCAUUCUGUCGAAGACUUCUGGGGAAGUAGAAAACACAUGAAUCUUACUGUUCAAUCACCCACUUCCCACACGCAAUAAUAGCUCAUGGGUACCACAGAUAACUUUGCCAAAGUUCUCUGCCAAAGUUGAGCACGUGAAGCUUGCAGCUCCCACUACAUCGCUCUGACCAAGAAGGGUAAAAAGAAUAGCAAAGAAACAGCACUAACAAAGUUUAGACCCAUAAAUUUUGAAGGUCUAGCUACCAUAUUAUUACCCACAAGGGUAAAGGAACAGUACCACUGCUGGAUAAUUGGAAAGUCCCUAUGUGUCAACCUCUGUGCUUCGUGGCAAGGUAGACUAGCAAACAUGCCCAACCUUUACUCACAUUCGAGAAAACACUCCCAAUAAGAUUGCUUGCUCCAAAAUCGAAGAGGCACCGUCCUCCGAAUCUCGAGAGCCAGACUCCCAACAUGACUACUUUCUUAAAAAUCGAAGAGAGGGUAAAGGAACAGUACCAUUGCUGGAUAAUUGGAAAGUCCAUGUGUGUCAACCUCUGUGCUUCGUGGCAAGGUAGACUAGCAAACAUGCCCAACCUUUACUCACAUUCGAGAAAACACUCCCAACAAGAUUGCUUGCUCCAAAAUCGAAGAGGCACCGCCCUCCGAAUCUCGAGAGCCAGACUCCCAACAUGAUUACUUUCUCAAAAAUCGAAAGAGACACUGCUCCCCGAAUCUUCGAGAGCCAGACCCCCAGCAUGAUUGCUUUCUCAAAAAUCGAUGAGGCAUCGUUCUCCGAAUCAAUCGAAGAGGCGCUCGCUUUCUCAAAAGCUGGGCUGCUCAGAGACCACGAGGGCCGAUCUCAGAAAUCGAAGAGGCACUUACUUUUCUAGCCUUGUCAGCACCUGUCACACGCACACUCAGCUUUGCAGAAAUUAUGGGCAUUCUGUCGAAGACUUCUGGUGAAGUAGAAAGCACAUUAAUCCUACUGUUCAAUCACCCACUUCCCACACGCAACAAUAGCUCAUGGGUACCACAGAUAACUUUGCCAAAGUUCUCUGCCAAAGUUGAGCACGUGAAGCUUGCAGCUCCCACUACAUCGCUCUGACCAAGAAAGGUAAAAGAAUAGCAAAGAAACAGCACUAACAAAGUUUAGACACAUAAAUUUUGAAGGUCUAGCUACCAUAUUAUUACCCACAAGGGUAAAGGAACAGUACCACUGCUGGAUAAUUGGAAAGUCCCUGUGUGUCAACCUAUGUGCUUCGUGGCAAGGUAGACUAGCAAACAUGCCCAACCUUUACUCACAUUCGAGAAAACACUCCCAACAAGAUUGCUUGCUCCAAAAUCGAAGAGGCACUGUCCUCCGAAUCUCGAGAGCCAGACUCCCAACAUGACUACUUUCUCAAAAGCGAAGAGAGGGUAAAGGAACAGUACCAUUGCUGGAUAAUUGGAAAGUCCCUGUGUGUCAACCUUUGUGCUUCAUGGCAAGGUAGACUAGCAAACAUGCCCAACCUUUACUCACAUUCGAGACAACACUCCCAACAGGAUUGCUUGCUCCAAAAUCAAGAGGCACCGCCCUCCGAAUCUCGAGAGCCAAACUCCCAACAUGAUUACUUCCUCAAAAAUCGAAGAGACACUGCUCUCCGAAUCUCGAGAGCCAGACCCCCAGCAUGAUUGCUUUCUCAAAAAUCGAAAAGGCAUCGUUCUCCGAAUCUCGAGAGCCAGAUACCACAGACCACUUUUUCAAAGUGCUCUGACAGAGUUAAAACAUGUGAAACUGGCAGCUCCCACUACCGUGCUAUGACCAAGCAGGGUAAAGGAAUAGCAUUACUACUUGUUGUUAGGGAGACUCCUAUAUAUGUCGACCUCCAUCCCCAACGGACAGGCAGACCUGCAAAAAUGCUCAACCCUUCAUCAUAUCUGAGUGGGCACUCCCAACGAAGCCUUUCGAAAUAUUCAGCUUUCUUUCCCCCCGAUAAUACCUCUGCAAACAAGCUAUACUAGAGCAAGAAUAUCUCAUAUCAUCAGGGUUAAAAGCAAGAGUAUCCCAUAUCAUGCUUUUUCCCUGUCUUUUCCUUUGGCCUUGUUUUUACCUGCAAGACAAGGAGAAAGAGAGCAAUCAGUCAGCACUUGGAAUCAAGCUUCCAACCAGGAAAUGACUGCCUGGAACCCCUUACUUGGCAUUGCUCUCGAGUACUCAUCUUCAACAUCUUAUGUUUCCAGGGAAGAUUCUGCAUCUGCUUGAGGAACAGAUAGGGCAAGUGCGAAGGAUACAAGGAAGCAUGCGGAGACAAGCGUAACAGCACACGUGCCGAUACAUCCAUUACUCUGUCAAAAGCAAAAGUAUCCCAUAUCAGCAGGGUGGAACGUACUCUAGAUUUGAUGGACUUGUUUUGACCCUCAAAUUCUUCAGUCGGCCUUAUAUUCUGGAGGAAACCAGAAAACCCUCCAGCUCAGUUCAAGAAUAAGCCUGUGGAAAGUUACUUCUUCAAAAGCAAAAGUAUCUCAUAUCAUCUCUUCUCAUUUUUCUUCUCUCUUUAUCCUUCAUGCUGCUGCAAGAUGGGGAGAAGGUGAACAAUCAGUCGGAGCUCUGAUUGCUUACCUUGUCUGUCACCUCUUUCAGCAGACCCCCUAGCUCGGCGACUUGGGGGACUCCUACUAAAUGGUUUGUAUCGCGCUUGACCAAGCCUGAAACUACAAGUAAGCUUCAAGUGAAAUUGAUACAUUACCUUGUGCAUCUCCACCAGUUAAAGAUACCACCCCUGGAUGGAGGAAGAGUACUUCCAGAGAAGAUGCCACAUCUACCUAUGAGACAGAUAAGGCAAGUCAAGACGACACCACACUCCGAUACUUAGAAGUUUCGUGAUUAUGAGAUCAUUCUCCCACAAUAUUUCCUAAUGUCAUUUGUACUAAAUCAUUCACUUGUACUCACUAAAGGAGAGCUUGAACCUAUGUACUUGUGUAAACCCUUCACAAUUAAUGAGAACUCUUCUAUUCCGUGGACGUAGCCAAUCUGGGUGAACCACGUACAUCUUGUGUUUGCUUUCCUAUCUCUAUCCAUUUAUAUACUUAUCCACACUAAUGACCGGAGCAAUCUAGCGAAGAUCACAAAAAGCGACCGUUUUCGCUACCUAGGAUCUAUCUUGCAAGAGAACGGAGAAUUAGAUGGAGAUCUCAACCAUAGAAUACGAGCUGGAUGGAUGAAGUGUAAGAGUGCAUCCGGCGUGUUGUGUGACUAUCGUAGGCCACUGAAGCUCAAAGGAAAAUUUUAUAGGACGGCAAUAAGGCCAGCGAUGUUGUAUGGCACAGAAUGUUGGGCGGUGAAGCAUCAACACGUACACAAAAUGGGUGUAGCGGAGAUGAGGAUGCUUCGUGGGAUGUGUGGGCACACGAGAAAGGAUAAGAUUGGGAAUGAGGAUAUCCGAGGUAAAGUAGGAGUAGCCGAAAUUGUAGGAAAGAUGAGAGAAAAUCGGCUCCGGUGAUUUGGACAUGUGCAAAGAAGGCCGACUGACGCUCCGAUUCGAAGAUGUGACUACGGGACAGAGGUUCAGGGCCGAAGGGGUAGAGGAAGACCUAGGAAAACUUUGGAAGAGACUCUAAGAAAAGACUUAGAGUACUUGGAUCUAACGGAGGACAUGACACAAAACCGAGCGCAAUGGCGUUCUAGGAUUCAUAUAGCCGACCCCACUUAGUGGGAAAAGGCUUUGUUGUUGUUGUUGUUGUUGUAUUUUUUCCCUUUUCAAAAUCGAAAUGUUCUAAAUUAUUUCACUAAUCCUUGCUAGUUUGAACUGCAGGAGUCUGUCUCUGGAUUUGAAAGAUUAUCUGGACUUACAGUUUUGAAGAAUUGGGAUUCUAGUGUUACACAUAUUAUUGCAUCGACAGAUGAAAAUGAAGCAUGCAGAAGAACCCUUAAAAUUUUGAUGGGUAUCUUGGAGGGGAAGUGGAUUCUGAGUGUGGAGUGAGUUUUACUGUUUUCGUUUUAAUUGUUCUUCCUCAAGUGCUUGGACUUUACAAUUGUAAUGAGUACAGAAGCCGAAAUGAGAUAUUGAUAUACAUGUUCACAUUGCUGAUAAUUCGUUAUCCGUCUGUUUGUGUAGGAAUUAAUGCUUGCACAUAAGUAAUGAAACUAGUUAAUGAGGAGCCUUAUGAAAUCAACGUUGACAUUUAUGGAAUCAGGGAUGGUCCUCGACUUGGUAGACUAAGGCUGCAGAACAAGGUUAGCUUUUCCUCGAGUUUAACUAUCAUCACGAAAACUUUAGAUUUUCAUGGAUUCACCAUAGGCAUUGUUAAUCUUGUUCAGUCCAUAAAUAGGUUACACACUUAUCUUAACAAAGGUGAGACCUUCUCAAUUCCUCAUCGAGAUGAAUCAAGAGCAUAAUUGUAGCAGUGAUCAAGAGCAAUUUUUUUAUGUUUCUUCCAAAUUGUUGAGAUGAAUCAUCUGUGUUUUGUUCUAAUAAUCUUACAAAUUUGUUGAGCAAUUUUUGUAAAGUCAGAAUCUUUGGUUUCGGUUGUGAGGUAUCUGAUUUGGGUAUAUGUGUUUUGCAGGGCACGGUGGUUGUGGCGGAGGAAGAUUAGGAUUGACGACAGAGCUCUGGCCAUGAACUAUCAGCUCUGUCUUUCUCUCUCUAACUAUGAAUUGAAUACAAAAGUCUGUGUUGAUAUGGAAAAUGUAGCUCAAAAUUAUUACACAAAUGGCAAAAAAAAAAAGUUCGAGUGUGGAGUUUCACUUACUGAUACAGGGCUUUUGAAACAGGGUUGUCUAGACUGUAGAAGAAAUCCAUGGCUUUUGGAAGAGGGGAUGUUCCAAAUCUAUCUUUUCUCCCUCUCUAAUGUUCUUCGAGGGGUUCUUGUGAUGCAAAAAGUGGUUUAUAUAUAUUUUUUAUUAUUAAUAAAUUUUCUGUCGGUUUUAUCAGACAAUAAUUCUUUUAUUUAUUCUUAUUAAUAAUUUCUCUGUCGGUUAUAUCUGACACAAUUUCUGUCGAUUUUAGAGUAUUUUCUAUCGAAAAUUUCAUUUCCUGACGCAUCAAUUAUGUCGCUUAUUAUAUCCGCCACUGCACUCAUUUCAUGUCGGAUUUUGCUUAAUUUCCAACAGUAUUAUACAUUUCUUGUCGGUUUUUAAACCGACACUAAUGGGUACUUUUGUAGUAAUGUUGGGGCGUCGGAGUUCGUUUAAGGUCGAAUUGAGCACACCCAAAUUCAAGGGUUCCGUACGGUUCAUGGUAAUUUGAGGUAUUUCUCAGCCAAAUUGUCCUUAGUCACAGAUAUGAAAGUUGCUCCACUCGUUGAGAUCUUCAUUUAUGUCAAAUUUGAGAAUUUUUAGAAAUAAUUGGAUUUUCCAGCGAAUCGGGGCGGCGGACCACCACCGGACAGCGCAUGGCUAGUGGGCCCCCAAUGUCAUUUUACGUUAAAUUGGUAUCUUGAUUUUAGGUUUGAUGUCUAUAUGUUAUGACUUGAUAUGUGAACCUAGUUUAAUUAAGGUGCGUUAAUUGGUAAAAAUAUGAAACGACGAUCCGACCGUGGGAUCGUCACCAAUCUUUAUUAUGUUAUAGUACAUUAUAUUUGAGAAUCAUAGGGACUGACGGAUAGGAAAUCCGAUAUACGGAUCUUCCUGAAAUGGAAUUGUAAGUUCGAAGAAUAAACGUUAACCGCCACUUUGUUUUGACUAUUGGUGAAGAUCCAACCGUUGGAUCAUAAUGAAAUUUUAGGAUGAUGUUUUAGAAGCAUAAUGUGGAUCUUUGGAAGUUAUUGAUUGGAAAUCCGAGGAGCGAAUCUUCCGGAUUGAAUUACGUAAGGUUGUGGACCCUACCGUCGAUCGUUGACUGACGAUCGACUUUUGGUCAAUGGGGCUUAAAUCACUCUAAAAUGUUUUUAGGGAUGUGUUUUACGUAAAUUACAUUAUCUAUGGAUAAGAAUUCUGAGAUGUGGUUUGAUAAUUGUCCUGGGCGCCGAUCGUUAGGAACGCUUCGAUGGUUGUGCUAGGAAAUUGUAGCAUAGACUCCAGGUGAGUGAAUCUUUUCCUUCUUAUAUAUAUAUAUAUAUAUAUAUGAUUGACAAUUCCACAAACGUUUAUAAAUUGAUUAUUGCAUAUAACUACUGUAAAUACUUUGAAGUACUUAUGCGAACUACGAAUGGCUUGAUCCCUAUUUAGGGUACGUAUGCAGUCUAACAAGACAUUAAAUGCAGUCAUACAAUAAUUGAGAUUAAACAAUUGAGACAAAGCCUUGUAUGGGGAACUGGGCAAGGUGAACGAAUUUGGUAAAAAUGUGAGAUUUAACCUUCUGAAUUGGUGAUUAAAUGUUGGUCAUAAAUCAAUGUGUAAAGAAUCAAGAAUUUGAAGUAAGGAAACGUAAGUAAUGAUAAUUAAUUAAACUAGUGUCUAGUUGGGCUUGUCACCUAUAAUUAUCCCCAAAAAUGAAUAAUUCGGGAGUAGGGCGUUAUAGCUUCUGCAUUUUUAUGCCACAUUAUAUAUAUAUAUAUAUGUGUGUGUGUGUGUGUGUGUGUGUGUGUGUGUAUAAUUGGAAAUGCUAUAACGUGGUUGAGUAUCAGAUUUCAUCAUGGUUUAUCUAUAUGUAUAUUACCUGCACACAAUUAUUAUGAACACUUUGAAGUGCAAAGGUGAACGCAAGACACCCAGGAAAGUUCAGGUGAGUUUAUGGUAUUAGUUGAAAUGAUGGGGUUAUGGUAACUACAUGUAUGUUUAGGUUGCAAUGAUAGGCAACUCCGACACUGUCGUACAAGUUGCCCAUGAAUUGUAUAUGUUACAAUAGAUAGAGUUAGAGGUCAUAAACCUGCACCCCGGUGUUAGUGCUCCCACCCGUGGCUAGGGCACAGUCUUUCACGAGAUGUUCACCUCUCGCAUCUUACGCUCACCUUGGAUCCAAGGUAGGUGCACAGUCAUGUCAUAAAGACCACUAUAGGUGGUUCCGACUAGUAGAUGACCCGUGAUUAUUCGCACAGUCUUCACGUGAUUGUAGCACUUGAGCGUAUUUAUUUACACCCAGUCCUGUCGUACAGACCACUUUAGGUGGUUCCGACUCGUAUGCAGGUAUACUUAUUGAGCUAUGGAUAAGUCGUACAGGUCACUAAAGGUGACUCCAACUUAUGAGCUAGCAUAUGUGAUGAAAUAUGUGAUGAGCUAGCAUAUGUAAUGAGAUAAGUGAUGAGCUAGCAUAUGUGAUGAGAUAUGUGAUGAGUUAGCAUACGUUAUGAGAUAUGUGAUGAGUGAUAUAAUCAUAAUUGCAUACAUUUUCAUGCCCUUUUAGUUUAGAUUUUUGUUAUCCUUUUGAGUGAAUUUAGUUUGUUUCACUUAGUUUUAUGUUUUUCUUAGAUUUGAAGUGUGAAGAUGAAGAAAGAAGAAAAAAGAGCAUUUUUAGCGAUUGAAAUGAGUUUGGCAUGCUGGAAGCAGAGGCUAUUUGUGCGGAUCAGCCAACUUUACGGAUUAAACUGUACUUCCUUAGAAUGCCAGCUGUUGAGUCUUAUACCAUUGGAAAGAUAUGAAAGUUAGCUUUCAGAGGAAUUUUACGAUUCGUGAUUCCGAGUUUCCUAGAAGACGUUAUAGUGGUUUUUCUACCAGAUGUCUGCCAGCAAGGUUUUACGCGGGAUUUGCAAAGAGAUUCCAGAUUUACAAAGUUUAAUUAAAGGAAACAAGCAGAGAAAAAAGAAGAGGAAGCUUUUAGAAAAGUUCAGGACUAUUCUAAACGGUGCAUAGUUAAUAUAUUUAAUAGUUUAGUGUGCCACAUCAUCAAUAAACUAAUCUAAGUCAGAAGAGAAAUUCAAGAGUCCCAUUCAAGUAAGUAUUCCAGCAGUUUUAUUCAGGAAUAAAGGAGGGCAGACCGUCGGACUUUAGGAGCGGACAGAGAGAGUUUUUGGGUUUUCGAAGGUGCAGAGAAGAGGUCGCAGCAAGGAGUGAAACAGAGUCGCCGAUCAUCUGGGCAAUCCAUCACCAUCGUGUGGAAGUAUUUUAUGUUUUUCAGAUUUUUAAUUAUGUUUUCAGAUUUUAUGAGUAACUAAACUCUUUUUCUAAGGUUAGGAUGAUGCCCUAGCAUGGAUGUUUAUGGUUUGUAAUGUUAUUCAUUGGAUUUCCAGUUUCUUUUAGAUGAAUGCUUAAUCACUGUUUGAAUUGUUACUGUUUGUUUGAGUUCUUUGAUUGAUCACCUUAGGACUUUGCAUCUAGUAAGAUUGGAAGAUGAAUUUGAGACUGAACUAACAAUAUAAUUCAAUUAGCUUCUUGUGGUUAAGUGUGGUAAAUUACAUUAUUGCUUGAAAAAGAAUAAUGGUUUGUUUGGGUCCCUUGUUUUCUAGAGGGUAAAGAGUCCUACUUGUUAAAUUUAUGCCUUAACUAGGAUAGACUGCUUGUUAGGAUAUACGACCUCUGCCUAAACUAGGAGAGAAUCAUUCACAUAAGGAAAACUAUGGUCUAAUAUGCCUGACAAGGACUUAGAUACGGGAAUUAUCAUCUAAAGAAUUGAAAGAUCCAUUGAAUGCAUUGAAACCUAAACUAGAUUGCUUGUGGUUGAUUCCGAAUCCCUAGAUUUUCAUCACUUGCCUUAAAACACAACCGUUUCUUUUCUUUAAUUUCAGUUUUUACUUAAGGUUCUGUUUUUGUUCAUUUAUAAAAUCAUCACAACAAAUUUUUUACAUCUUUGAUUGACUUAUUAAUUAAGAUCGAGUCUAGUUCGUUGUUUGGGUUUGUGUGUCUUUAAUAUAAUUAGAUUUGGUUUAGUUUAUCAAAUUGGAGAUUGAAUUAGAAUCCUCGUGGGAACGAUACUUGGACUUGCAAAACGUUAUAUUACGACUAUCUUGUGCACUUGUAAGUUUACACCAAGUUUUUGGCGCCGUUGCCGGGGACUCUAAUUGAGUCCCCCAAUUUGAUAUCAUAUUCCAUAUCUAAUAAGUAGUUUAUUGUAGAUUAUUCAAUUUGAUUUUGUUUUGUUCUCUAGUUUCGAGUAAGAGUCAUAACUAUUAAGAUAAGUAAAAGUAAUUUUCGUCACUGUUUUAUUUCAGUUUUGUAUCACUGUUUCGACACAGUUUUGGACUAAACUAUUCGAUUUUUUACCAGGAAUAUUGUGUAUCGUUGGAAAGCCCCAGAAGUCUAGUUUUCAACCCAAAAAACAGAUCAAUGAUUGGAUUUUUGAGCUGCAAGAAAUGUACAAAAUACUGAGCAGUGGUCAAACAAGGAGCACAGUCUGGUCGUAUAUGCAAGGUAGACGUUCGUUGCAAUUUGAGUUGAUUCAUAUAGACCAAGAACUUGUGCGUACUUUAAGAGAACAGUGGAGGCAGCGAGUGUGUCAAGAACCAGCCAUGGAGGAAGUAGUUAAUAAUGGUGGAAAUAAUCCUCCACCAUUGCUACCACCACAACCAAGGCUCAUGCGUGAUUAUACAAAGCCAACGGAGUACAACGCACCGUCAUGCAUUGUUUUGGCUCCAAUUGCGCAGCGAUUUGAGAUUCGUCCACAAAUCUUUCAGUUGCUGCCUAUAUUUCUUGGGAAGGAGGAAGAAAAUCCAUACCAUCAUAUCAAGGCGUUUUUCAAGCUAUGUUCCACAUUCACAUUCACCAAUGUUACUGAAGAGCAAAUUCGACUUCGGUUAUUCCCAUUCUCUUUGAGGGAUAAAGCAAGCAGUUGGUUGGAUUCUCUUCCCGAAGCAUCUAUCGACACAUGGACAAAAUUAUCGAAGAAGUUUUUGUCCAAGUUCUUCCCCGCUCGAAGAACCAAUGCUCUGAUCAAUGAAAUCAUGAGCUUUCGACAACAAGAAGGUGAACAGUUUCAUGAAAGUUGGGAGCGCUAUAAGGACUUGUUUCUUCAAUGUCCUCAUCAUGGUUUCAACACUUGGCAAAAGGUUCAUUAUUUUUACAAAGGUUUGAACUCUCAAUGUAGGAGUUUGGUUGAUUCAACGGUUGGUGGAACCUUGAUAGACAAAACUCCAGAAGAUGCCAUACAUGCCUUUGAAACUAUAUGUGAAAAUUCUGAGCAUUGGGAUUUUCCUACAAAAGAUUUGAGAGUUCCAACUGCAUCGUCAACAAAAAAAGGAGGCAUUUAUGAAGUUAAUACAAGGACGGGCUUAGAGGCACAAGUGGCAGCCCUCACCAAGCUUCUCACACCACUUGUAAGCAAGAUAGCCACGCAGCCAUGUACUUUAUGUGCGAGCAUCGCCCAUGACAUGGAAAAUUGUCCAACAAAUGCUAAUCUAGAAGGCAUCCAAGAGGUCAAUGCAUUUAGUGGGAGGCCCCGGAAUGAUCCAUAUUCUAAUAAUUAUAACCCGGGAUGGAGAGAACAUCCAAAUUUUUCUUAGAGAGAUUCACAAAAUAGCAUGGGAUCAUUCACUUCAACAAAGCAAUAUCAGCAACCUUAUCAAGCUCCUCCAAUUCAACAAAAAGACUCGUCUAUCAAGGAUAUGUUAUCUCAACUCUUAAAGAAAACUGAUCGGUAUGAACAUGAAGUUGUGUCGCUUAGACAAAGUCAGACGGUGUUGGAAAAGGCUCGAUCUAAUUUUGAGACUCAGUUGGGACAGAUAGCUACUACUUUGAACAAGCUGGAGUGAGCACAAGGGCAAUUUCCAAGCCAAACUGAAACAAAUCCUAGGAAUCAAAAGCAUGUUCAAGCUGUCACCACUUUGAGGAGUGGAAAGACGAUUGGUAAUAAUGUGGAAAGUUCAAAAAUUAAUAAGGAAGAAGAUGAAGGGGUCAGCACAUAUCGGGCAGCAGCUUGACAAGACAAGCUAAAAAAGAGAAGUAUAUGGGAGAUAUUUUAGAGCAAUUUAGAAAGGUGCAGAUUAAUAUUCCUUUUCUCGAUGCCAUCAAACAAAUUCAAUCAUAUGCGAAGUUUUUGAAGGAACUUUGUACUAACAAGAGACGGUAUGAAGAACAUGAGGAGGUGAAGUUAUCAGACACGGUUAGUGCGGUUCUUCAAAGAAAAUUGCCACCAAAACUUCAAGAUCCUGGUAGCUUUACAGUCCCAUGUGUCAUUGGAGAAAGAAAAUUCGAAAAAGCUUUGCUUGACUUGGGAGCCAGUGUGAAUUUGAUGCCCUAUUCUGCUUAUAAACACCUCAAAUUAGGCGAACUAAAGCACAUAUCCAUUUCUCUACAAUGCACUGAUCGUUCUGUGAAAUAUCCAAGAGGGAUUGUUGAAAAUGUACUUGUGUGUGUUGAUCAAUUUAUUCUUCCUGCUGACUUCAUCAUUUUGGACAUGGAAGAAGCCGAAAUUCCUGGUCGUGACUUGCCUCUCAUUCUUGGCAGACCUUUCAUGGCUACUGCAGGUACGAAGAUUGAUGUUAAAUCGGGAUUAUUAACUAUGACUGUGCAAGGUAUUACUGUAGAAUUUCAGGUCUUCGAAGCAUUGAAGAAGCCCAUGGAUCUUUAUGACUGCUUUCGUGUUGAGGUAGUGGAUCCAAUUAUAAAAAAAAACAUUCAUUGAAUCAAGCAUCUCAGAUCCUCUGGAAGUUUGUAUCUCUCAACAUGGGAUGAGUUUUGAAAAGGCUACCAUCAUUGAAGCAGAACGAGAUCUCAAUGCCGUAACGUCCUACUCUCUUAGAUGCCAGCCCAAAUUUGAAGCGUUGCCACUCACAAGCCAAAAUUGUACCAUCCAUUAUACAACCUCCAAAGCUUGAAUUGAAGCCUCUUCCAGAGACUUUAAAGUAUGCAUAUUUGGUGAUUCAGAGACUCUUCCUGUGAUUAUAGCUGCUGAUCUUAACCAAACAGAAGAGGAAAAGUUGAUGCAAAUGUUGAGGGAGCAUAAAACAGCAUUGGGAUGGAGUAUUGCAGACAUAAAAGGAAUUAGUCCUCAAUUUGCAUGCAUCGGAUAUAUCUUGAGGACAAGUCAAAGCCUUCUAGAGAGGCACAGCGACGUCUAAAUCCACAUAUGCAAGAAGUGGUUCGGGCAGAAGUUCUUAAAUUACUGAAUGUCGGCAUUAUUUAUCCUAUAUCUAACAGCAAAUGGGUAAGUCCACUGCAGGUUGUACCACAGAGAUCUGGAAUUACAGUUGUCAAGAAUGAAAAUAAUGAGCUUAUACCCCAGAGGACUGUCACGGGUUGGAGAAUGUGUACAGAUUACAGAAAGAUCAAUAAUUCAACUCGAAAAUAUCAUUUUCCACUCCCUUUCCUUGAUCUCAUGCUUGAGAGACUUGCAGGCCAUAGUUAUUAUUGUUUUCUUGAUGGCUAUUCCAGAUAUAAUCAAAUUCCCAUAGCUCCGGAAGAUCAAGAAAAGACUACUUUCACAUGUCCAUUUGGAACUUUUGCCUAUCGACGAAUGCCUUUUGGGUUAUGUAAUGCUCCCGCAACAUUCCAAAGAUGCAUGAUGAGCAUUUUCUCAAACUUGGUGGAAAGGUGUAUCGAAGUGUUCGUGGAUGAUUUUUCCGUGUUUGGGUCAUCGUUUGAUCAAUGUCUUCAUCAUCUUUCAUUGGUGCUCUAACGGUGUCAAGAAACCAACUUGAUUUUAAAUUGGGAAAAAUGUCAGUUUAUGGUGAAAAGUGGUAUUGUUCUUGGUCAUGUAAUUUUAGCUGACGGAAUUGAAGUUGAUAAAGCUAAGGUGGAGCUGAUUUCGAAGCUUCCUCCUCCCACUUCUGUAAAAGAAGUUCGAUCCUUUCUCGAGCAUCCAAGUUUUUAUCGCCGAUUUAUUAAAGAUUUCUCGAAAAUCACCAAGCCACUUUGUGAUCUGCUUGCUAAAGAUUCUGUGUUUAAUUUAAAUGGUGAGUGCUUACAAGCUUUUGAGACCCUCAAGAAAGAAUUAACACAAGCCCCAAUCAUAAAAGCUCCAGAGUGGUCUCUUCCUUUUGAAAUCAUGUGUGACGCCUCUGAGUAUGCAAUAGGUGUUGUGUUAGGGCAGCGAGUUAACAAACUUCCUCAUGUUAUAUUUUAUGCUAGCCGAAUUCUCACUUAACAACUUUCAUAUCCCUUAGUUUCCAAAAUUUAAUAUACAAAUUUAGUCUCCCAAGCAUUGCUAUAUUACUUAAGUAUUGAUUAAUAGACUUAUUUCUUAUGGUGACACAUUAUUUAGUUUACAAAUUUAGUCUAUCUAACAUUACUCUUUUGACAUUGUCUUGUCCACUGAUAUAAUUCUAUUUUUCUUGUGAUCAAAACUUCAAAUGUUAGCAAGUCGCACGUAAAGUCGCUUCUGAGAGAAUGUGCUCACAUUGUAGUUGAAAGAUUAUGUGGCUAGCAACAUUACAAAUUUAAUUUGGUAUAAUUUUAAAAUAUAGAUUGAGGAAAAAAAGGAUCACAUUAACUAGAAACUGAAAAGGUUUCGGCGCAAUAUGUUCAAGCAAGAAACUCAAUUUUGAUGCUACCGAUCUUAACAGCCUGAGCGCCGUACCUGGGCACUAAAGUCACCACCACACUCUCAUCAUCUUCAGCACCCAAAUCCUCCAACAGGUCCGUUAACCCCAACCUUAAACAACUCUUGCUCUUUUCCUUCUGCUUAUGUGGCACACUCACAAAACUCCCAGCAAACUCGCUCUUGUCGGGUCCACUCGGUGCCGCAUCCUCAUCAUCCACGUCAUUCACAUACACAUCAAACUUCACAGCCACAUCUUUGUCAAGCUCAAUCCCCCGAAUCACCAAUAUCUCCUCCUCAUCCUCUUUCUCCUUCUUGCUCCUCUUCUUCGGCUUCGGCCUUGACACCACCGUAGUUAUCUUCGUCUCCAAAUUUAUUGGAAAAUCUUUACCCGCCACCACCU
rnacentral:lncRNA from 1 species